GCAAAAGCGGAGAUUUAUCGCACCAAACCUCAUCAAUAUACUGAACUAUUAUCAGAGACUCACAAAUGGGCUUUCCAUUGUGGAUCAGAACUGGGAUUUUCUUAUGAACUGGGUUCAUCUCAAGAAGCAAAGGGCUCUUGUUCCACAGGUCCUCCUCUCUAUAUUCAUACUUGAGACCCUUCUCUGCCAGGGCAACUCUGACCCUCAUACCAAACAUGCUAGGCCAGAAAUCCAACAAGAUAAUCUCGUCUGCCAUUGCUACUAAUGUGAUUGAUAAGAUUCAAUCUCUUUAGUAUUGAUGAACAACACAGGGCAAAUUGCUGAGUAUUUAUAGCAAAUUUCAGAGAGUGGGUUAAACCCUUGGAUACUUCUAGGAGGUGGUGAUGCUCAUUCCUUAUCUCAGCUUUCAUUUUCAUUUUCCAUUCUAUCUGGGUUUCGUAUCUCCAGAAUUUGUGAAUUAUGCAAACUUUUGUUAUGGCAUGGUAAAAUAUAGAAGCGUCACGAUAGUUGGUUGCUUCCACGACAUCUCAUUGCUUUGAUCAUUCCACGUCAUCGCUUUCGCCAGCCCUGUCAAUUAAGUACACUGGUCCUCCGCAUAAUUUCCACCACAAAAAUGAUGUUGCAAGGAAAAAAAAUGAUAUUGUAGGGAAAAGAAAAUAGAACUUGUAUACUUUUAGAUCGACAAGUCACUAUUGGUCCCUUCCUUAGUUCUUAGAUUCCUGAAAUUAAAUAAAUAUUUAAACUUUAUGUGUAUUAUAAAUAUUUAAAAUUUCAGUGGUGAUUGUAUUUUUAUCUAAGAUCUAAUUUUUUUUUUAAUUUGAAUAAAUUAAGUAUUGUUAAAUAUUUAAAUUUUUUAUAUUUUAAUUAUUAGUAAAUGUUAAUAAAUAUUAAAUUACUGAUCUUUUACAUUACAAAAAUAUUUAUAAAAUAUAAUAUUUUAUUUCUUGUUAAAUUAGUUUGCAAUCCAGCAUAUUUUUUAAUAUUUAAAUAUCAUAAUUCAUUAACAUAUUAAAAUUUUAUAAUAAAUAAUUAUGUAAUUGAUAAGAAAUUGGUAGUAUGAUAAUAAGUAUAAUUAUGGGGUAUUUGGUAAACUCAAUAAUUAUUAUUUAAUGACUUAAGUUGAUUUUAAGUAAAAUUAUAUUUAAGUUAUUGACUUAAAACUUAUCACUUAAUUUUUACUUUAAAUAUUAAGGUUGUUUAAUAAAAUUAAUUUAAAAUUUAUUCUAAAUCAUCAAAUUGAUAUACUUAACCCCAUAAUUAUAAUGAGGGUAAAUGAGAUCGAGUAACGAUGGAAGUUGUAUAAUAGCAAAAGAAAUCGUGGAACUAAGAUAAAUGAGGGUAAAAAGAUAAAAUGAAAACAUGGAUUUAAGAAUAAAUUAAUUAUUUUUACUUAUUACUUAAAGUUGUUUUUUACUUUUAAGUUAUACCAUUAAAUUAUUUUACCAGCUGUAUUUAAUUUGUUUAAUAACUUGAAUUAAGUUAUUAAGUUGAUUUACCAAAUUCCCACUUAGACUUGUUAGAAACUAUUAGAACUUUUUCUAAGUUAGUAUAUGUUUAGAUUUGAAGAUUUGUGAUUGAAAUAUAUAUUCUUUUUUAAAUUAAUCAUUGAUUUUUGGAAUUUUAUCGGAGUAUCAACUUUUAAUUUAUAUUUUUUAAAAUUAUUAAUUCUAAUAAAUAUUUAGAUGAAUGUGAAUUAUGCUUUAGAAUUUUGAUUAAAAAAAUCUUAUUAGAAUUGAUAACUAUUUUUAUUUUUUAUAAAGCUGAAUUUUAAAAAUUUAUAUUAAAUAUUUUUCUAAUUUAAAUUUUAUGAUUUUUAGUGUAAUUUACUUUUUAAUUUUGAAUGAGUAAUCAAUAAUAAUUUGCGGAAUUCAAUUUUAUUAAGAAUGGGAUAAAUUAUGGGGUAAAAAUAAUGGAAACAUGUGGGGAUUUGAAAUUUUGUAAAUUUAUCUUUUAGCUAUCAAUUUAUGAGAAAAUUUUAAAUCUGAUUUUUCUUUAAAAAAAAUGAAAAAUGAAAAUGAAAAAAAAAAAACAAAAAAAAAAAUCAAAUAUAUUUGAUGCUUUUUGUGAAUGACAACUUUGUUAAUUUCUAAUAAAUUUAUUUCUCACUCAAAUUAUAUAAAAUUAACAUAGUUUAACUAUUUUUUAAAACAAGUUAUCUAUUCUUUUUUAAAGGAAUUUAGUUUAAAUUUUUGUGAAAAUUUGUAUUUAAGCAAGUACUCUUAAUUAAUGAUUAAAAGCUUUUUUAUUUUUUAGUUUUUCCCCAUAAAGAAUUAAAUAUUAUAAUUAAUCCUAGUUUUUUCAAACUCUUAUAAAUAGGAGACUUGGGUCAAUGAAAUGGAUACCUCAAAGUUAUUUUAGAAAUCUGUCUUUUCUCUAAUUCUAGUCUCUCCAAAAGAAAACUUUUUUUUAUCAUCUAAAAGGUAUGUGAUAAACUUCUACUUUUAUAUUAUUUUCUAUUUAAUUUAUCCUUUUUUCGAUGAAGAAACUAGAAAAUAUUUUUUUAUAGACAAAAAUUAUGAAAAAAAAAAAUCGCAACUAGAAGUUAUAAAAAAAAAUGUAAAAUAUGUACAAUUGUAUAGCUAGAGGUUAUAUGAGAAAUUAUAAAGUUAUAAAAAUAUAAAGAACGACUUACAUGUAAUUUCUAAUUUCUUUUAAUCAUAAUGAUAUAACCAAAUGUUACACAAAACAAAAUUGUAUAGUCAAAAGUUAAAUAAUGAAUAUUUCAUAGCCUAAAGAUGUAUACAAAUUUACACAUUUUUGUUAUGAUAAAAAUAAUCCAUAGCCAAAAACUAUGUAAGGUAUCAAUUUGUAAUUUUUAUUUUGUUAAUUCUACAUGAUGUUCAUGCAUUUCUUUUUUACCAUAUUUAUAAUAAUCCUUUAGCGAUAAAAUAUAACAAAAUCUUAAAUCAUUAUGCUUUUAUUAAUGAAUAUAAACCUGAUAAAAUAUUGUUAGAUAAUUUUAUUCAUUUAUUUAUAAUUUAUUUUGGUAAAUUGAAAUAUUAUUCUAAUUAAAUUAUUUCAAAUAUAGUUUUCAAAUAAUGUCAAAUCUUACCAAGUUUGAGUUUGUUACACUCCCUAUUUCAGGCAAAACUAUUUAUAUGGAUUUUAGAUGCUAAAAUUCACCUAAACGAUAUGAAUCUUGAAAAGACCAUUAAAGAAUAAAAUGAGGCAUCCUCACAAGAUCGCACUGGAGCAUUAAUAUUCCUUCAUUAUCACAUUGAUGAAGGAAUAAAAGGUGAAUUCCUUACAAUCAAAGAAUUUUCAUCCUUUGAAAUAAUCUAAUGGAAUGAUACUUUGAUCCUUUGGAAUAAUAUAACAUAAUGAUAUGGCCACCACGAGAUUAUAAUCCUUCCAAAAGCACAUCAUGAUUGGAUGCACUUGAGAUUACAAAAUUUCAAGUCUGUCAAUGACCACAACUCGACUUUAUUCAAAAGUUGUUCACAAUUUAUAUGGAGAAAAAAUCAUUAAAGAAUAUAUCCUUGAAAAGACAUUUACUAUUUUCCAUGCCUCGAAUGUACUCCUAUGGCAACAAUAUCAAGAGCAUAAUUUCACUAAAUAUUUUGAAUUAGUUUAAUGUCUUCUUAUGGCUAAACAAAAUAAUGAACUUCUACUUAAGAAUCAUCAAUCUCAUACUAUUAGGUCUGUGUCAUUACUUGAAGCAAAUGUCACAUCCGUCCAAGCUCCUAGACAUUGAGUUGGACUUGGACAUGAACAAGGCUAAGGACACAGUCAUGGUCAUGGUAAACAUAAUUCUUGGUACCAUGGUAAUUAUAGUCAUUAGAAUAGACAAAACAAUUCAAACCAUUAGAAGUGGAAUAAUUCAAAGGUGCAACCUAAAAAGGAUAUAUAUAUAUAUAUAAUCACAAAACAAACAUGAUAAUAAGAAUGAAUGCUAUAGAUAUGGUAUGAAAAGGAUGUAUGUAGGAUUUAGAAAUGACCUACGAGGAACAGGAAGACCUCAAAUUCAUUAUGAGGCUUCUAUAAUUUAAUAUUUAGACCCAAAUAAGAAUGGAUAGAACCAUGGUCCACCUUAAAAGAAAAGUUUUUUUUUUUUUUUGAAGAAUUUACAUACUUUUCUUAAGAAUGUACGUAUUUUUCUUAAGGAUGUACGUAGACUUUGAAAAUGACAAACGAGGAAUGGGCAGCCUCAAAAUUAUUACAAGGCUUCCAUAAAUUAAUAUUAAAAACCUAAAUAAGGCGAAAUAAGGUCACAAUCUGCUUUUAAAAAAACGCACAUAUUUUGUUUUUUUAAGAAUGUACAUGUUUUCCAUAAAAAUAUAUGUAUCUUUUCUUAAGAAUGUUCUUAAGGUUUAGAAAAGCCUAACAAGGAAAAGAAAGACCUCUAAUUCAUUCUCAGGCUUCCAUAAGUGAAUACCUAGACCUAAAUAAGGUCAAAUAGGAUUAUAGUCUUAAGAUAGAGCUCUUAAGAGCAUAACAUGGUGUAUUAAGUUUGAAAUUCAUUAUUUAUUUAAUGAUGUUCCCAUUUCACUUUUAUCUAUCUUUAUUCCAUGUAUUAUAUUUUAUGAGAAGUCUUGUCAGCAUCUUUUGCAUUGUACAUGACUUAGGUGCAUUAGGAGUUGCACAGAAGAUCUUUAAGCCAUGGGUUCCUUGCAAAUAAUUGACUUGUUCACAACCGGUUUAUGGGUCUAGGCAACCCUUUAGAAGUUGUAGUGCACCACCUCCUAAUUAGAGGGAUGGUUGGUCUUCGUUAUCGGGAUGGGUUUCCCAUGGUGAGUACACUACUAUGUAUGAUUACAUGUUGGACAAGACCUACGAUGAGCCAUGACUUAAGACUAUCAAGUAGUCAUGACCUCACCAAGCUACUUCAUUGUGUUAUCUCUCAACCUUGAGAGAAUAUCGAGAUUGUGUUAAAAUUAGCAAUGACUUUUACCUAUGAGUGAGAUCGUAAGUUGGAUCAUAUAUUCCCUAUGGAUUGGGUCACUGUUGAUGGAAGUCGGUAACAAUAGGUAUUCUCAAUAGACACCAUGAUAUCUCAUGGGAUUGAGACAACGUGUCCCCUUGGGUGAUCCUAAGGGGAUGUGUUCAUGGAAACUAUGGCCAUAAUAGUUCCUUAAGUAGAACUUGACACAGGCUCUUUGAGAGCUAAGACAUGUCAAUUGAAUAUACAAUAGGAGGAUUUGUAACUCAAGGAUAGUAGAGGUAGUCUUGAAAGGUUGAUAGCUUUCACCUUGUUAGGCUAGAACACCAGUUCAUGGGGAGAGUGAACACAAUGGAUACUAGGUCACAGACCCGAGUACAUAGUGUCUCGUUGUUAUUUACAUAGGAUAUUGGAGUUCAAUUGAUUCUUUGUAAUAAGAUGUUGAAUCAACUUCAUAAUUGGAUCCUGAGGGAGUUAGUACUCUUAUGGAUCCUAAUGGUCCCCGCUCUAAGCUUAUAUAUCUUUUUGGCAUAGUUAUGAGUGUCGAAUUGACUCUAGGUUCACUUUUGUGCAUAAGGGCAUUUCGAUAAUUAUGCAAGAUUGCAUAAGGGUAAGUGAACAAAGUCUAUAGAUUGAGCUAAUUAAUUAAUUAGUAGGCCCUAUUAGGUUAAUUAAUCCAUUAGGAUCCAUUUUGGGAUAAAUUAAGUUAUCCAAAUCCAUGUGGGCUCAAGUCACUUAAGCCUAGUUAGGAACCCUAUAAAUACCCCCUAGGGGUUAGAGUCUUCAUCACUUUUGUCUUCCACCAUUUAGACAGAAAGAGAGCAAUAGCCUCUACCUUUCGUUCUUCCCUAUUGAAAGUGUGCCAAGAAUAAAUUUGAGUCAUCAGGCAAAAGACCAUGGGUUUACGAGACUUCCAACAACUUCAAUGUCAUCUUCAACACUUGCAAUUUAAGGUUUGAAACAUCCAAACCUAAAGGUUAGCACUUUAACCAUAAAGAUCAAUUUAAAAAAAUAAAUAAAUAAAUUGGUAUUGUUUCCGUUCCUUAGAUCUACGAUGCCAACACACAGUUCGCUUGAAAAAAAUGCAAGUAUUUUCUUCAAAAUAUAUAUAUUUGUUCAGAAUGUAUGUAUUUUUGUAAAAGAUGUACCUUAGGUAGGGUUCCACCAUGCCAAAUGAGGUUUGGGAAGCUUUCAAAUACAUUUCGUAGAGUACAUAAGUCAAAUCUUAGACCCAAAUGAGUGUGAAUCUGUCAUGUUAAGUUGAAAUCAAAUGUACAUAUCUUUCUUAAGGUGUUAUAUUUUUCUAAAAAAUGAACUUAUGAGUGUUUAGCUAGGUUGGCAAUUCCGGAAAAAAUUUCUAAGUGUCCCCUAACUUGGUUUACCAAUCCCUCUUCGGACUACAUGACCUUUGAAGAUUAAGACUUUGCUAAAAGGUCGAGGUAUGUAGCCAAGUCUGUAGUGAUUAAAUGUGAGCCAACCCUAUUUUUUCAUCUUUAAAUGAGUAAAGAAAGCUGAGAGAAAUAUUGUUGGUGCAAGGCUUUUGUUCCCCUGUUUCUAGAUCGAUCCAGGUAUAGGGGCAAAUCAAUCCAACUAACCUAUUUUUAAGAUCAAUUUUCAACCUUUGGAUUAAGGUUUCACUCUCAUUUAAAAUCAAAUCUCCCCCAUUUCUGGAAAUGGUGACUGUAGUAUCCGUAAGAGAUUUUUUUUCUUUCCUCACCAUUUAGAAGGUGUUUACCUAUGAAGAAAAUCCAUCCAAGUUUUCCAAGAAUUUUUUUUAAAAAAAUGGAUUUUCUGAAAAUGAACAAGGGUUGAUUUCUAAAACAUUCAUAUUUCAUUCUCUUGGUUUUGUGCAAAAACCCAUUUUCUUCUUGUAUGAAUUCAAGAAGAAAUCGAGCUUAGUGCAAACUCCAAGUGUGUCCCGAAAGAAGAAGCUAAGAAGCUGAAAAUGAAGGUACUAGUCAAGUGGUUUGGGAAAGAUUGGUUGGCUUGAGCAAGGUAAAACCUUGUAUUCAGAUUUUAUUUUUCAUAGUGGAUGUUUUCAAUCAGUAAUAGGCCCGUGGUUUUUUAUCUCUUCGGAGAUUUUUCAUGUAAAUUUAUGGUGUCUCAUUGUCUCCCUUUCUCUUCUUAGCAUCAGUUUUCAAUUUCAACAAUUUAUUAUAAUUUUGAUUGUCUACUAUUUGAUUGAAUGAUGAAGAGAAAUGACUAUGAAUCAUCUUUGAAGUUGUUUCUAAUUGUUAAUCAUUGAUAUUUUGAGGUAUAUUGAUCUUGCUUUUAUCAAAAUUUAGUUUAAGUUGAUUUGGGUUUGGGAGUGUUAGAUCAUGUGCAUGUGAAUUACAUUUGAAUAUUGUUAGGGAGUGUUGUUGCAUUCAUAUAUGCAUGUGAUUUAUAAUUUGUGUUUUUGAGACUGUGUGAAGAGAAGAAAAAUAUUCAAAAAGUUUUAAGGUUUGCUAAUUUGAGUUGAGAUUUUGUUUAAUUGGUCAAAACACCUAUUCAACCUCCCUUAGGUGUAUUCCACUAUUGAGAUUCACCUUUUCAAUUGGUAUCAGAGAGGGUUUUUAAAGCAAAAAUCAUUUUCGAUCCUUAAAUCUCAAUCAGGGAACCUCAUUAAGAGGGAGCUUCCAUUAGAAGACCACCUUUCUUAACCAGUGAAAAUUUUUCUCAUUGAAAAGUGAGAAUGCAAUAUUUUCUCAAAAUGCAAAGUGAUAAAAUUUGGAAUGUCGUUGAAUUUGGUUAGUCUCCACCUAAGGUGUUAGAUAGAGAAGGUAAAUUAACAAAUGUUAUCAAGCCAAAAUUGAAAUGUGAUAGAAGUGAAAAUGAAGCAAGUGAGAAUAAAGCUAGAGCCAUGUUCUCCAUCUUCAAUGCCAUUAGUACGAAUGAAUUUCAUAGCAUUGCCACAUGCACUUUGGUUAAAGAAGGCUUAGGAUAUCCUCUAAGUGACUCAUGAAGGAACUAAUGUCGUGAAAAUGUCCAAGCUUCAAAUGUUGACAUCUAGGUUUGAGACCAUUAGGAUGGAUGAUCAUGAAACUUUUAGAGAAUUUCAUGCAAAAUUGAUGGAUAUUGUGAAUUCUAACUUCAAUCUAGGUGAAUCCAUCUCUAACUGAAAGAUAGUUAGAAAAAUUUUAAGAUCUCUUCCAGAUAAAUUUAGAGCUAANGUUACCGCCAUUGAAGAGUCUAAAGAUGUGGAUUCCUUGAAGAUAGAUGAACUUGUAGGUUCUCUCCAAACCUUUGAGAUGAUGCUUGUAUCACCUAGGAAAGCUAAGGGAAUUGCUUUAAAAGCUAUUAAAUAAGAGUCCCUAAGUUUCGAAAGUGAGAAUGAUGUCAAAGGGUGAGCUUACUAAGUUUACUAAAAAAAUUAAGAAGUACAUGAAAUUCAGAAAAUCCAAGAAAGAAUCAAAUGAUGGUAAAAAUGGAGGAACUCUAUUAGAAAAAAAGAAGAAUAUGGAGAAAUGUGUGAAAAAAGAGUUGGUGAUUGAGUGCUUUAAAUGUGGAGGAAAUGGGCAUUAUGCCGCCAAAUGUCCCUCAAAGAAAAAAAAAAUGAAAGAAGGUCAUGCAAGUCACUUGAAGCAACAUAGAAUCUUGUCAAUCAAGUGAAAAAGAAUCCAAUGGAAGUGAAGAAUACACUAACUUCAUAGCCUUUGCUGCAAGUGUCAAUGAGAAACCACUCAAGAAAGAGGUCUUAAGUGAGUCAUGAGUCAAGUGACUCCAAUGAUGAUGACAUGAAUUUUGACAUAGCAUAUGAGACUUUGUAUAAGGAAUGCUUGAGCCUUAAACAAGAACAAGUCAAGUGGAAGGCUUCUAAGAAUAUUCUAAUCAAUGAGAUUGAUGUCUUGAAGGGAGAAAAGAAGGCUUUGCUUGAAAAAAUUGGAUUUCUUGAAAAUGACCAUUUGGAAGUGAAAAAAAAAAUAUUAUGUAUUGAAAAGUGAAUCAAAUGUUCAAGGAUGAGUUAAGUCUUAAGAAGAAAGAAUCACAUCCUAGCUCUAAGAGGAUUAAUGAGUUGAUCAAUUUAAGGCGUAAAUCUUUUGAUAAACAAGGCUUAGGAUUUGUUGAUGCAAAUACUACUCCAAGUAGUGGUAAAACAAUUUUUGUUAAGCCUUGUGAAAAAUAAUAUCCUAAGAAAACUCAUUCUCAAAUCAAGUUUCAUUGCAAUCAUUGUGGCAAAAUGGGACACAUUUUUCAUAGAUGUUGUACAAGAUUGUUUGAUAACUUUCAAAGGAAGUUGACCAACCUAAUGAAUGAAUGUUAUGCUUUGAAGAAUAGGUUAUUGAAUGAGAAUAAGAGAGUGUCCAAGAAGUGCUCAAAGAUCCCUCAUAAUGGUGAGUUGAAAGGAAGCACUUUGAAUGAAAAGACAAGUCUCAAAUGUUAAACAAAUUUGGGUGUGAAUGAAUUAGUUGAAGUGUUUUGUUGUCCAUACCGCACUUAGAGCUAGUGAGUCACACUCAUGGCAUCUUGAUAGUAGAUGUUCACAUCAUAUGACUAGAAAUAAAUCUUUGUUCACUUCAUUCACUGAAUUUGAUGGAGGAAAUGUGACAUUUGGAGAUGGUAAUGUGGCUAGGGUGAAAGACAAAGGUACCAUUUGUGCCCCUGACAUUCCUAAUCUUGAAGAGGUCUUAUAUGAAGGUUUAAAGGCUAACUUAAUUAGCACAAGCCAAAUGUGUGGGAAUGAGUUCAAUGUAAAAUUUUCACAAACUUUUUGCAAGGUGUUUGACUUGAAUGAUGUAAGUGUGAUGAUUGGCUUGAGAACUUGUGAUAAUUGCUAUGUUGUUAGUAAAAAAUCUCCUUCAUCCUCUUCUCUCGUGUGUGGAAGUUCUAAAAUUGCAUGUGUUAAUCACUUGUUGCAACAUAGAUUGUUACAAAAUGAAAAAGAGCAUCCCAUUGUAAAAGUUAGGAUUGGUAGGGGGGAUUUGAUGAUGCCAAUGUUAUUGAUAGGCUAGAGAACCAUGUUCUUCAUUAUAGAUAAAAACAUGUGGACAUUAAGCAUCACUGCAUUCAAGACUUGGUAGAAGACAAGGUUGUUUACUAGAGGUUUUCCCUAUAGAGAGUCAAAUUGCUAACAAUGUUACUAAACCUUUGGACAUUUCUAGGUUUGAAUCACUUAGGAGCCCCAUAGGUUUAUAUAUUCUCUGUUUAACUGCCUCUAGAACUUGUCUAGGACUCCUCUUGCAUAUCCUUGAGUCCUAGUUGUCUUCCUAAGUUCCCAAAUAUCAUCAACUUGAUGUUCUUUUUGUUUUGGUUCAAUAUUUUCUCCAUUUUUCAUAAAUUUUCAACAAUUGUUGAGUUCAUGAGAGUGACAUGCUUAUUCAUUUUGUUUAAAAGUUAAAUUAACUCAUAAUGAUCUUAAAAGCUUCAAGAUGUAUUUAUCUCCAUGGCUUGUUUGAUAAACAUGAUAUUGAAUCCUUGCUAUUUUGAUUUGGUUAGAUAAACUACAAAUGAUUAGCUUCAUUUCUAUUAAGUGAGUAAGAGCUCAUUGUUGGACCUUGUGUUUGCAUAAUGGUGAAUAAUGCUCUUUAAAGUCUAAAUGAAAACUUAUACCCAUUUAAUGAGCUUUAAAGAGUGAGUAAAGACACCUGGAAUAUCCUUGAGAGGUUGAGAUGAUCAGUCUUUGAUUGUUUGUCCUCUCUUUGAAAUUAAUUUUUUUUUAAAUGAAAAAGAAAAGAAAAAGAAAAUAUGAAGUUUCCCGGAAUGGAUAUGGCUCCGUGGCAAUGUUUCAAGAAUUAAAAAGCCUCCAUUGCAAGAGUGGGACAUCCCUUAUGUUGUUAUGUUGUAAAGACAUCCUUAGAGAUCCUCAAGUCAAAAAUUGAUCUUAAGGGUAAAACUUAAAGCUUUGUAUUCCUUUCAAUGCUAAAUGUGAAAAGCAAAUAGUGUAUGAAUUUUAUUAAAGGGAUGUGAUUAGGUCAUGUUGAACAGAAAUCUGGCCAAGAGAGAUGCAAAUUGACUUUGAUUACUACUCAAAAAGUACUCUUUUAUAGCUUGAAACUAACUGUUUUAAACACUUUUGAGUAGUAGUUAAUACAUUUUAACUCAAUUGGCACAUUAAGAAACCUAGCAAGGGUUACUAAUCAAUUUUUCGCAAGUUUUGGUGUUUUUGGUAGCUAUUUGAUCAUUGAAACAAGCCAAGAAUGAGGGAGAAUUUUGUGAAAUCCAUGGCAAUGCAAGUUAAAGCUCAAAUACAUGAAGAAUCCAAGCUUUGGAGCACUUCAUAGCCCUUUUCCAAGCCAAUUAGAGAUGCAAGAAGGGAAACCAGAGGAAGAAAUCCAACAACCAGCAUUUCCGCAUGGCUGUGCGAAAUUUCGCACACCAUACGAAACCACUUGAGGCAACCAAAAAAUUUCUCACAUCAUGCGAAAUUUCCCAAGGUAUGCGAAAUCUUCCUGUGCACCAACUCCGUUAGAUUUUUAUCUCUAGAUAUUUUAUGUAAUUUCCUAUUUUCUCCUUAUAAUCAACUUAGAUAUUUUCAUAUAUAUUUUUUUAUAUAUUUAGUGUGUGUAACAUCUUUUGAUAUAGACACACAGGGAUGUAAUCAGAGAACGCUUGUAAAUUCCCCGUAGUAAGAAAUAUACAAAGCUUUUGCUCUGUCUUUUCUUUUCAUUUUGUUUUCACUCUUCUUUCUAGUCAAACAACCUCUAAGGAUGAUUUCUCAGGGGAUGAGUGGCUAGGUUUUACGUUUCUUGGAGCUAUGGAAGCUAGGUGAAGGACUCGAAUGCAAAGAUGGGAGUUGUCCUUACUCUAAAUGAAAGUAGUUGUUAACCAUUAAUGGUUUUUAUUUUAAGGUUUAGCUUUAAAUCCCUUAAAAGCACCUUGAAUGGCCAAUACUUGGUAAGCUUUUUGAAUUCUAUGGAUGCUUAGUGCUAGAUCCAUGGAUGUCUAUUAGUUAUCAUUUAUGAGCUAUUGGAAGGUGGUUCAAGGUGAGAGUCUUUAGUGUGUCAAGCCAUUAAUGGGAAGCAACUAUUAUUUUUCAUGAACCCUUUGGAUCAAAUCUUAAUUGCUAAAAAUAAAAUCGGUUCGGGAGAUAACCAUCCUUAUAUUAUUGUCCCCAACGCGAGGAAAAGAUCCGGAAUCUCCCCCUUUGUCUAAGGAACCCAAUCCUAGUGACCUAAAGCUCCAAGAGACCUUUUCUUUGUAGUCAACUUCACCUAUUAUUUUUGCUUAACUUAAAAUCAAUCUUUGCAACCACAAUUCCAUUUUCUUUAAAAGCUAAUUUUCAUAAGGAAAAACACCAUUUUAUUUCCUUCACUAAAGUCAAUUGUACGAUGAAAACCCAUCCUUGUGGACGAUCCUAGAGCCACUAUACUAUGUUAGCUAUGCUACCCUAGUGUGAGGUGAUUUAGGUUUUAUAAAUUUUGUUGAUAACACCCGUCUAAGCCAGAAUCAAAUGGCAUGACUACAAUGGGGAUGAAUCAGACUUCUUGGAACAUUAUCUUGAAUUUCUCUAGGAAGGAAGAGUAUCUUGAAAAUGAUUUUUGGCUCAUAAAUGAAUAUAGGUUUCUAAGUGGAAAUUAUUUAACAUUAUCACCAUUUUAUGGUGUCAUGAGUGAGUUUUUUUUAGCUUAAGCUUCCUUGUUAGAGUGUUGAUAAUCAUUUGUUUUUUACCUAUUCAUUUGAUAAAUUUGGAAAGUACUUCAAUCUCUAUGUUUAUUAAUUUUGUCUAUUGUUAUGUUCUUGGAAGCAUUUUUGUUCAAUGUGAAUCAAUUCUAACUCAUUAAUUGAAAGAUAAGUAUGUCAUCCUAUUGUAUCUCAUCUUUGGUCGAUCAAUUUUCAUUUUUUGGAAAGCCUAUUCGUGUAUUUCUUGUGAUUUUUCGAUAGUUUUUGCCUAAGUCAUUUUUCAAUUGGGUGUCGAUCGAUCUACUGAAUUUGUGGAUCGAUCCAUUAUGUGCACAAUGUAGUGACCGAGAGCCCUUGAAUGAAUCUUGGAUCGAUCCACCAAGAUCGAUACCACCUAGUACUUGUCUCUCACACACUUAGCCAUUUUUUUCAAAUUUGGUUUGUUCAAACCUAUGUGACUGUGUAUCAUCAAGAGCACAAUUGAAAAUUGGAUCGAUCCACCAAGGUCGAUACCACAUAUGCAUUUGUGAAAAAUUCCAUUUUUGCCCCCAACUAGUUAUACUCAUAUGGUUUAAUGGAUGAGGGGUAUUUUCAUAAUUAAAAGUAAAAAAUUGAAAAAGUCAAAAUUCCUAAAUCUGUUUUUCCCAAUUCAUUUCUUUCAAAAGCCCUAGGUCUUUUGUUUCAAAGAAGAGAACUUCUCUACUCUAAGCUUCUCUUUAGCCAUCAUCGUCGAUCCAUCAUUCUGGCCACUACCAUCAAAAGUCUCUACCACUAGAAACCUUUAUCGUCAGACUUCCUUAUCUGGUGAGCGUUUCAGGUCUGGCCAAUCCCACUAGACAGCCUCGUCAAAUAGCCUAGAAUUGUUGUGUUGCUCAACUCAUGUCAUCAGCUUGUGUGUCUCUUCUUAGUGCGUCGGUGUUUUCGAAAAUUGCCUUCUACAUAGUAUGUGUUGGCUAGGACCUCCUGUGUGCAUCACUAGAUUGUAUCUCAUUCAAUUGGGAUUCCAUUCCAGCAGUUGGAAAUUCCAAUCAGCCCUUAGGACUGUGUUUUUCACAGCACAAUCAACACAACGCAAUCUACACUUCUGGAAAUUGUGUUCUACAUAGCCCAUUUCUCUUGUUUUUUUUUCUACUAUUUUCCAAUGUCCGUGUCUUCAAUGCAACUUAUUUGCAAGAGUUCUCAUUUCCGGCAACCAUUAUUGUUUGAUUUAUCCAUUUUUUUCUCUUCUAUUAGUCUCAUUUGGAACUUCUCUGCUCUAAGCUUCUCUUUAGCCAUCAUCGUCGGUCCAUCAUUCCGGCCACUACCAUCAAAAGUCUCUACCACUGGAAACCUUUAUCGUCAGACUUCCCUAUCUGGUGAGCGUUUCAAGUCUGGCCAAUCCCACUAGACAGCCUCGUCAAAUAGCCUAGAAUUGUUGUGUUGCUCAGCUCAUGUCGUCGGCAUGUGUGUUUCUUCUUAGUGCGUCGGUGUUUUCAAAAAUUGCCUUCUACAUAGUAUGUGUUGGCUAGGACCUCCUGUGUGCAUCACUAGAUUGUAUCUCAUGCAAUUGGGAUUCUGUUCCAGCAGUUGGAAAUUCCAAUCAGCCCUUAGGACUGUGUUUUUCACAGUACAAUGAACACAACGCAAUCUACACUUCUGGAAAUUGUGUUCUACAUAACCCAUUUCUCUUAUUUUUUUCUCUACUAUUUUCCAAUGUUCGUGUUCUCAAUGCAACUUAUUUGCAAGAGUUCUCAUUUCCGAAAACCAUUAUUGUUUGAUUUAUCUAUUCUUCUCUCUUCUAUUAGUCUCAUUUGGAUUAUUUAUUUAUUUAUUUAUUUUUAUUUUUUUGUAGAGUCCUCUCACAGUAGUUUUAAUAGUUUGAGAUUUCAUUUUUGCCUUGGAGUGUUCCUAGUUUCUAGGAAUGCUAAUCCUAGGCUUUGGUUGUUCAUUUUGAGUGGUCUUCAUACAUUUUCAUGCUUGAAAUCUAUUUUCAUGGUGAUAAAGCAUUUUUUGAAAGUUUUUAAUUGAAACCAUGUGAUAGGAUUCAAGAGGAGAUUCUCAUAUCCUGUGAUGGGAGUCAAGGGAAGAUUCUUGUAUCCUAUAAUUUUUUUUUCUGGAAUGUUGAUAUGGAUACUUGGUGAUAUGUGAAUAUUUGAUUUUUGGGUAUUUGACAUUUUGUUGAAAAGUGGAUGUUUGUUGAUUUGGAUGUGAGAUAUUCUGCUAUUGAAUUCUCAUCCAUUUGUCGUUUUUCUUGGAUAGAAAAUGGGAAAUUAUAACUUUUUGUCUCCUGCUAGGACAAAAAGGAGAAAACAUUUUACAUGGAUGUUGAUAUGACAUGUAGUUGAUCAUGACGGCUUCUUUGUGUUUUGUUGCUUUGGAUAUUUGAUAUGUUGAUCAUGAUCACCUUUUUUGUAUAUUGAUGGAUAUUUGACACGUUUUUGAACUCAUGAAUGCAUAUUAAUUAUCUUUAGACAAGUUAUUUUUGUGGAUAUAUGUGGAUAUUUGUGUGUCAAUUCAUUUGAAACUUAUGGAAGUGUCUUGGUAAUAUGUGCAAGUGCUACUAAUGUUUUUUCUUGAGAUUUAUUUGCAGGAUUUGUAGUACCUUUAGUUAGGUUUUGAGUGAGUGAGUGGCCUUGUAUGAGAGUUGGGUGGGACUUACUUGUAUUCAUUUGUGUUGUAAAGGGUUUUGUCCCAGAAUUUUCAAAUGGGGAGAUUUUGAGUGUUUAGCUAGGUUGGUAAUUCCGGACAAAAUUCCUAAGUGUCCCCUAACUCGGUUUACAAAUCCCUCUUCGAACUACUUGACCUUUGAAGAUUAAAACUUUGCUAAGAGGCUGAGGUAUGUAGCCGAGUGUGUGGUGAUUGAAUGUGAAUCAACCCUGUUUUUUCAUCUUUAAAUGAGUUAAGAAAACAAGGAGAAAUAUUGUUAGUGCAAGGCUUUUGUUCCCCUUAUUAUGGAUUGAUCUAGGUGCAAGGGCAAAUUGAUCCAACUAACCUAUUUUUAAGAUCAAUUUUCAACCCUUGGAUUAAGGGUUUCUUUCUCAUUUAAAAUCAAAUAUCUCCCAUCUCUAGAAGUGGUGACUACAACAACUAUGAGAGAGUUUUUUCUUUCUUCACCAUUUUAAGGGUGUUUACCUACGAAGAAAAUCCAUCCAAGUUUUCUAAGAAAUUUUUUUAAAAUGGAUUUUCUGAAAAAAAAAAAAAAAAAAAAAAAAAACAUAGGGUGAUUUUUGAAACAUUCAUAUGUAAUUCUCUUGGUUUUGCGCAAAAACCCUUUUUUUUUCUUAUGUGAAUUCAAGAAGAGGCCGAGAUCGAGCUUGGUGUAGACUCCAAAUGUGCUCUAAAAUAAGAAUGUGAGAAAGUGAAAGUGAAGGUACUAGUCAAGUGGUCCGGGAAGGAUUGGUUGGCUUGAGCUAGGUAAAACCUUGUAUUUAGUUUUUAUUCUUCAUAGUAGAUGUUUUCAAUUGAUAAUAGGCCCAUGGUUUUUUAUCUCUUCGAAAAAUUUUCAUGUAAAUUUAUGGUGUCUCAUUGUCUCAUUUUCUCUUCUUAGCAUCAUUUUUUAGUUUCAACAAUUUAUUAUAAUUUUGAUUGUCUAGUAUUUGAUUGAAUGAUAAAGAGAAAUGGCUAUGAAUCAUCUUUGAAGUUGUUUCUAAUUGUUAAUCAUUGAUAUUUUGAGGUAUAUUGAUCUUGUUUUUAUCAUAAUUUAGUUUAAGUUGAUUUGGGUUUGGGAGUAUUAGAUCAUGUGCAUGUGAAUUUCAUUUGAAUAUUGUUGGGGAGUGUUGUUGCAUUCAUAUAUUCAUUUGAUUUAUAAUUUGUUUUUGAGACUAUGUGAAGAGAAGAAAAAUAUUCAAGAAGUUUUAAGGUUUACUAAUUUGAGUUGAGAUUUUGUUUAAUUGGUCAAAACACCUAUUCAACCCCUUUAGGUGUAUUCCACUAUUGAGAUUCGCCUUUUCAGAACCUAUACUUCUACCAUGCUACAUGAAGUUUUGGAAGGCAUAAAAUACAUUUUGAGGCAUAUAUAAGUCAAAUCUUAUAUCCAAAUUAGGUUGAAUUGGGUCAUGGUUAACCUCAAAUCAAAUAUAUGCAUUUUUCUUACGAAUGUAUAUAUAUAUAUAUAUAUAUAUAUAUAUUUAAGAAUAUAGUUAUUAUUGUAAAGGAUGUAUUUUUUCUUAAGAAUAUACUUUUUUUUGUAACAGAUGUACCUAGGGUUCUCCCAUGCCAAAUAGGGUUUGGGAAUGCAUCAUGAGGUAUAUAAAAGUUAAAAUUUAGACUCAAAAUAGGUCGAAUAAGGGAAUGAUUCAACUCAAAUCAGAUGUAAAUACUUUUCUAAACUUUUAUGCAUUUUUUUAAAGCAUGUACACAAAGUUAUAUCAUGUUGAAUAGGGUAUAAGAAGACCUCAAAUGCAUUCCAAGACCUACAUAAGUGAAAUCCCACACCCGAAUUAGGUUGAAUGAGGAUAAGAAUCCACAAUGAAAUGAAAUGUACAUGUUUUUAUACUAGAUGUACCUAUUUUUCUAAAGGAUGUACUUAUUUUUAAAAAAAAGAUAUAUGUAUUUUAAGAAAUAUAAAAUUUAAUUAAAGAAAUGUUAAUACAAUUUUUAUGAAAAUAAUUUUUUUUCUAUUUUAUGUAUAUAAAAAAGUUAAAGAUUUUAAUUAAAAAGUUAGAACCAUGAUCAAUUUUAAAUCAUAUGAAAAAUUAAAACGAAUGUUAAUAUGAAAGUUCAAAAAUUUAAAUUAAAAUGAUAUAACAAAAAUAUUUUUAGUUUAUUUAAAUGUUAUAAUUUUACAUGCCCUAUCAAUGUCUUGUCAAAUUUUUUUAGUACAAAAUGGAAUAAUAAGUGAAUACUCUUUUAUUUCUUUAAUACAAAAAAUACAAACCAAGCAUCUCUCAAAAUCUUGUUCCUUGCUCUUGAAUAUAAAGUAAGAUAAGCUCGUGAACUUAUUCACAGUAAAAGUUUUGCUAACCUACAGUCACGCAACACAUGAAGGCAUUAUUCGACUUUAUUCAGGCAUCGAACACAAUUCGGCAAAGCUGCUAUAUGUCUUUUGAAGUGAUUUUCAUUUGUCAGCAACUUGUUGUGCAAAGCCAGCCACAAAAAGGAUCUAAUCCUUUGGGAACCCCUUCAUUUCCACAAGGCCAUCCAAUUCUUAUUCAAUUCUAUCCAGCAACUCUCUUCAAUCAGUUCAUAAGUCGACUUGGUAGUUGACAACGCUGACAUGAAGGCCAAAAAUAGUGGAGGAUUGUACAAGAGCACAUAGCACUUGACCCAAAUUCUCAAAAUUUGCUGUUGAAAAGUUUUUAGCCUAUUUGGCCAUUUCAUUAAAAAAAAAAAUUUAAAUUAAAAAAAAACUAUUUUUAAAAAUUCAUAAAAUUGUUUGUUAGUUGUUUUCUAUUUGUAAUUUUUAAAAAUAAAGUGAAAUAAAAAAACAUAUUUUAUAAAACAAAUAGAAAUUGUUUUCACCAAUUUUUAAAGACAAAAGAAAAAUAUAGAGGAAUUAAAAAAACUAUAAAAACCAAAUAAGAUUGAAGAUGAUAUCAUUCUUCUUUACCUCUUUCUACUAUCUAAUACUGAUACUGAAAAUCUUCAAAUAUAAUAUUCUUUUAAAUUACAUGUGUUUUUAUGAAUUUCAUUUAAUUUAAGAAAUUUUUCAUUGAUAAAAUAAAUUCUAAAUCAAAUUAUACUUUAUACAUAAAAUUUACUAAUGUUUAAAAAUAACUUAAAAGUUAAAAACUGAUUUAGUUAGUACUAUAAAGUCAUGAAACUCACUAACAUUGGAAUGCCAUAUAGCAAAAUUCAUUUGAAUGUCUUGGCUAGUUUUUUCUUUGCAUAUAAUCAUAUUUUUACAAUUUUUUUCACUUAGUAAAUAAUCACCAAAUCAAGUAUGACUUAAUGCAUUGAAUUUAUUAACAAGUCUAAGUAAUUCUUAAAAAUAAAUUGAAACGCAAAUAGUGAUCCAAUUAAUACCAUAAAUUUAUGGACAAAAAUUGAACUUGAAUGACUUUAUUGUUUCCAAUUUUGUUUCAUUGGACAAAUAAACUUAAAAUUAAACCAAACUUAAUGUGUUGAAUUCAUUAAUAAAUUUAGUAAUUUCUAAAAAAAACUUAAAACUCAAACAAUGAUGUAAUUAAUAUUAAAAAUUUAUUGAUGAAAAUUGGUCUAAAACUACUCUAUUAUUUUUCUUCUACAUGGAAUCAUAUUUUCCCAAUUUUAUUUUACUAUAUAAAUAAACUCAAAAUUAAACAAAACUUAACAGUCUAGUAAUUUUUAAAUUAGAAUAAUAUUUGAAAUAAUUUAAUUAGAAUAAUAUUGAUUCGACUCAUGGUAGCUUAGCUUUAAAGGCGUAUCAACAAAAUUUAUACCUUGAAUACUAUUACUAAAGUAGCCAAGCUACUAUAGCAUAGUGGUUCUAGGAUCGUUCACUGGGAAGGGUUUUCGCAAACACAAGUGAUAUUCAAAUUAGGAAAAUAGGUGAUUUUCUUAUGGAUGUUAGCUUUAAAAGAAGAUGUAAAUGUUUUAGAAAGAUUUAAACUAAUCUAAGCUAACAUUAAAGACUAAAAUGAAAGGGUGUAAAAACAAGUUUCUCAAAGAUAGGAUAGCUAUGCUCUGGCUCUUAUGCAAAUUGGAAAUCUCAGGAUAGGCUCCUCGCGUUGGGGUUGCAACUAUGGUGAUGCUUGCUUCCCGAACCGGUAUGGAUUUAGCAAAUCAAGUUUUAAUCCUUUAAAAUGGCAAAACAGAUGGUAGUGAAUUUCAUCAAUGGUUAUUCACCUUAGACUUCCUUUGAAUGGCUCGUAAGAGAUAACUAAUGGUCUAAAGCCAAAAGCUUACCAAAUAUUGGCAACUCAAAGUCAUUCCAGGUGAUAAACUUACCUUUCAAUGGCCAUUGAAAUUGGUUCUAACGGAUUAAUGCAAAACUUGGAAUUGAAAACCUCACCUUCCAAUAGCUCGUAGGAGAUAACUAAUGGAUAGUAAUCCAAAAGCUUAUCAAGUAUUGGCCGUUGGAAGUUGUCCAAAGGAAAUAAAAACCAAACUUUGCAUUAAUGAACCUUUAAUGAAAAACGACUACCUUACCUUCCAGGUGCGAGAAAUUUCCAUGGGAGUGCAUCCAAGCCAUCACAUAACAUCCAUACUUUGAGAAACUAAAAGUUUUAGCCAAUCAUCCUCUGAGGAAAAGCCCUCAGAGGCUGUUUGGCUACUAAGAAAAUAGAAACAGGGAAGAACAGGAGAAAAGAGCAAAACAGAGCAAGGCUCUGUAUAUUCUAUAUAUUGAUCGAUUUAUAAUUACAACGGAUGCAAGGGAAUAUAUAUAGAGAAGUUUUUCCAAUCCUUCCUAGCUAAGAAAUCUUAUGAUUCGUGGAUUACAAGGAGAAGAAUGGAAAUUUAUACAAAAAUAUCUAAAAGAAAAGAUCUCGUGUGGAGUCGGUAGAAACAGGGGAAAAUUCGCACGUUGGAGUUCCAAUUUCGCACGUUGAUUUGAGGUGUGCGAAAUUCUCGCACAGUGGACUGAGGAAUUCGCACCUUGAACAGUGGUGUGCGAAAUUGUCCCUCAGCUUGAUGCAGUUGUCUUCCGAAGGCCAUAUCUUUCUCAAUUCAGCUCCAAAUCGUACAUGGUUUGAACCGUUGGAUUCUUGACUUUCUGAGCUUUGAAAUGGUAUAUAGCAUGUAGAAAAUGGACUUCGGGAAGUGCUCCAAAAGUGCCAAAGAAGACUGCAGUUGCUGUCCUCUGUUUUCCUCUUUGCUUCUUUUUGCUUCUCUUUCCUCUUCUCCAUUGUUCUUUCCUUGCAUACUUUGAACGAAUUUGGCAAAGGGCUAUGGAGCUCCAAAGCUUGGUUCUUCAUGAAUUUGAGCUUCCAAAAGCUUUGCCAUAACUUGUCCAAGUAGCUCCUCUAUCAUUUGGCAUGCUUGAAUUGAUUCAUAAGCUGAUAUAAACAUGUAAACUUGCCACAAAAUGGUUAAAACCAAUUACUAAGGACCUUAAUGAAUUAAUUGGGUUAAAUGAAUAUGAUUACUACGCAAAGGUGCUUAAAACCAUUAUAAUUAGGUCUACAAAAUAACACUUUUUGGUAGUAAUCAAAUAUUUUAAUUUAUUAAAAUAAAUCAUAAAUAAAUGAAUAAAAUUAUCUAACAAUAUUUUAUCAAGUUAAUAUUUGUUAAUAAAACUAUAACAAUUUAAGAUUUUGUUAGAUUUUAUCGCUAUAGGAUUAUUAUAAAUGUGGUUUAAAAAAAUGCAUGAACAUCAUGUAAUAUUAACAAAAUAAAAAUUACGAAUUGAUCGCUCUAUGGAUUAUUUUUAUCAUAACAAAAAUGUGUAAAAUUGUAUACACCUUUUAGGCUAUGAAAUAUUCAUUAUCUAACUUAUGAGUGUACAAUUUUGUUUUCUCUAACUUUUGAUUAUACAUUAUAAUUAAAAGAAAUUAGAAAUUACAUUGAAGGUUGUUUUUUAGAUUUUUUUUAACUUUAUAAUUUAUAAUAUAAACUCCAGCUAUACAAUUGUAUAUAUUUUUUAUAACUUCUAGUUGUGAUCUACAAUGACUCUAUUGUUUCUCUUCUAUAUGAAACUAUAUUUUUUAUUUAUUUAUUUCACUAGACAAAUAAAAUCCAAAUUAAACAAAACUUAAUCCCUUAAAAUAAUUAAUGAGUUUAGUAAUUUUUAAAAUAACUUAAAACUUAAAUAGUGGUUCAAUUAAUAUUAAAAAUUUAUGGAUAAAAAUUGGGUUUUAAUGAGUCUACUUUUUUUCUAUACAUACUUAUAUUUUUAUAAAUUUUUUUAUUAAAGAAUAAACUUCAAAUCAAGUAAUUGAAUUCACUAACAGGUUAAUUUUUUUAUUUUUUUUUAAGUUACAACCUAGUAAAUAGAUCUAAUCACUAUAAGAAAUAAUAUAUGAAAACCAAUUGUAGACCCCAAAAUUUGUCCUAAUUUUAUUUUUACAUUGAUAUUGAGUUCAAUUUUAUCCUUAGAUUUAAAUUUCGAUUACAUCUUAAUUGUUUAACCCACUUACACUAUUUUUUUUAUUUUUUCUCUCAUCUCUCCUCUCUCUUCAUCUUUCUCCUCAUUCUACCUACUCCACCUACUUCCCUUACCCAUUUCCUUCUCUUACACGUCUAAGCCACUCCCCAUACCCCCUCCAAGCUUUUUUUUUUUUUUUUUAUCAUCUUUCUCUACUCUCCUCUCUUCACUUUUUUUUUCUCUCCAUCAUUCCUUCUUCGGGCUCCCUUCCAACACCACAACCACUCCACAACCCACACACCAGACACGGUCAACUUCCCCAUCUCCUCUCUUCCUUCUUUCUUUUUUUUUUUUCCUUCCCCUCAACUCUCACACAUGACGGUCCCCAUUUUCUCUUUCAUUUCUUUUCUCCUUCUCACAGUCCUUCCCUCUACAUUGCCAUUUUCCAAAAACUCCCACUGUCACACGCUCCCCAUCUUCCUUCAUUUUUUUUUCCUGUUUUUUUUCUCUUCUUUCUUCUUUCCUUUUCCCCUCUCCACACUCCACGGCCACUAUUGGCCCUCCACUGCCCGCCACUACCAGUAGCCACUGCCAACAACCACCACCCGCCACUGUCUGCCAGUCAUUGCCAACUAGCAAUCCUACCAUCCAUAGUUCUAAAAAAAAUGGGUAAAUUUCUGAGAAGAAAAAGGCUAUGCUUAGUUAAGAAAAACACCCAAAAGGGAGGGUGAAUUGGGUUUUUAAAAUCUUUUCAAUCACAACAAAUUUAAACAAAAUAUAAGCAAAGCAAAGAGAUAGAGUUUAGAGAAUUCAAACUCGGGUUUAUAGUGGUUUGGCACUUCCUUGCCUACGUCCACUCUCUUCAACCUCCUAACCGAGUGAGGAUUCCACUAACUUGAAGCUUCAACCAAGCUUCCAAUCUUCUUACACUUGGAUUCCGGUUUCAAUGGGCUCUUACACAACCUCUUCAAGAUUCAACCCUUUUGAAGGCUUUAACACUUAGAUUGUUACAAGAUAUAAUCACUCAACCUAGCUUAAAGAUGGCUCAAAUACAAGACAAAGCUAGGAUGACAAACAAGAGUGCACUAAAGGAUAUGCAAGUGGUGAUUUAAUGCACUAUGAAAUAAAUGAGAGCUUUUUUUAUCAAGAACAGGUAGGUAGGCUUUGAAUGCAAGUGUUAUCUUCACAAUAAAUGAAGUGGAGCUCUCAAUUUAUAGGUUUCUAAGCUCGGGAGUCAAAAACAACAAAAGGCAACCUCGACCGGUUCACUAGCCGUUGAAGCAUUUAAUGCAUGACAGGUUACCGUUGCCUCAACCGGACCUCGAUCAAUAAGGGAAUCACCUCGACCGGGAAGAGAAGGCUACUGGGAGAGAGAGAAGGUUUUUGACCUUCCUCGACUGGACGACCUCAACCGGUUCUCGACCGGACGACCUCAACCGGUCGACCAGUUCCUCAACCGGUUGACCGGUUGGCCAUAGCCUCGACCGAUUGAGCCUUUUUGGCCCCGAAAAACCUAUUUUUUUAUUUCUUUCUUUUCUAACACUUAGGCAAGGUCUUUAGGUAAAUUAUUAAGCCAAUUUUGAAACAUUUUGCCUAAGGUAAAUUAGUUAAAAACUCGGGUUUUAAUGAAAUCGAUGUUUUAAAGAAUAAACCGAGUUUUCUAAGAUGCAUGAAACGUAUGAAAAUCCUAAGUGCACUCAUGCAUUCAUCUUACAUUAGGUUCCUAUGAUCACAAGUCUUCCAAGCGUCUCGAUCUUGUAUGCAUUUGGUCUUUUGAUGAAUUUUUGAGUUUAUACCUGAGAUUCUUAGACAUUAAACCAAUUAGUCACUUAACCAUGGUUUGUUAUCAUCAAAACCCGAUUAGGAGAACCCUUGGGCUAACAAUUUCCUUUUUACUUUAUUUUAUUUUGAUUUUUGUAUCUUUAUUUUUUUAUUUUCGUUUGCACAGUAAUUGAUUUAGACUUGGAUCUAUUGCUUAUUAGUUAUUUAUUUGGGCUUAUUGGAUUGGGUUUGAGAUAUUAUUUUCUUUGGUCAUGUGUAUUAUUAAUGUGGGUUUGUUGAUUGAUAUGAAUUUUUGACCCAUAAUGUGGGUAUGAAUUUUGGGCCCACAAUGUUGGUGGAAUUUGAUUGAUGACUUGAAUAUUUGAUAUGAGCCUGACCAAUUUAAACUAUUUAAUUUGGAUAUGGGACAAUUAUGGUGUAUAUUAAAUUAGGCUUGGAUUAUGAGAUAUUAAAUUUAGGCCUAAUUGAAUUUAUUUUAUUUUGUGAUAUUUUGGGCUUGGCUAAUUGUGUUGUAUUUUGAUUAUUAAUUUGAAAAUUUUGGAUUAAGAUUUAUAGCAUGUGAGAUGUUUUUGUUAGGUUAUAUUUGUUCAUUUGUGCCCAUUUUGAUUGACAAAAUUUAUGAGACUAAUUUGAAAUUUGAAUUUGAGUUUGAAUAUUUGUUUGGGAUUUUGUACAUCUUUGGAUAUUUACAUUUGAGCUAUUUUGUUUUUGCAUGGGCCUAUUCUACAAUUCUGUUGGCUGAGUACAAAUUUAUGAUACACGGAGCACGAAAUUUUAUGGAAGAAUAAAAAAGUUGUAUGAAGACAUUAAACUAGUUAUAAGCUUAUUUGGGUACACAUUUUAUUUCCCACUUUUAUUUGAUUUUAUUUCUAUUAGUUCUUGUAAAUAUUCGUUUGUAUAUAUUUAUUGUGUACAGAAUUGAAUAUUUAACAAAUCAAAAUUUUCAUUUAAAUAAGAGGAAUAAUUCAGUAAAUAUGUUCUAAUAAAAUAAUAAUUUUAAAAUAUUCUUCUUAAUAAAAGAAAGUUUUUUUUAUUAAUAAAAAUUCAUAAAAAUGCUUUUAGAAAAAUUCAAAAAAAUUGUUUUUAAUAGAAUUUGAAAAAUUAUUUUUAAUAAUAAUUGUCCAAAAAUGUCUUUGUUUAAUAAAAAUUGUCCAAAAAUUGUUUUGUAAAUAAAGUUGUCCCAAAAAUUAAUUUUUAAUUAAAAAUUCUUUUGCAAAUAAAGUUAUAUUCUUUUUAAUAAUUUGUACAAGUCACUUUUCUUUUACUACAAGAAAACUUAUUUUUCCUGACAAAAAUUUAGGGGCGAAUUGUAAUUUUGUCGCUAAAAAUUACUUUUACCGAUGAAAUUUUAGAUAUCGUUGCUAAUGUCAAAUUUAUGAAAACUUUUUGUAACGAAUUUGAAUUUUUCGUUGCCAAAAGAUAUUGCGGGAAAAUUUGGCGGCUUUUUUUGGCGCAAACGCUAUUGUGAUGAAAAAAAUACUAUUUGCCAACGAAAAUAUUUGUUACUAAAUACAAUUUUUUUGUGACGAAAAUAAUUUCCUUACUAAAAGUUACAAAUUUUUAUCCAUAUUUGCUUACAAAAUGGUUUCAUCAGUAAAUAUAUUAUUUUCUGACAAAAUGAGUAAUUUUGUCACUGAAUAGUGUUGCUAAAUUGUAAUAUUAAUAAGUCAUAUUGACAAAUAGAUAAAAGGUUUAUGCUAUAAAAUAAUAAUACGUAUUUUUUGAGACUUGAUAUUUAAAUUACAAUAUUUUAUUUAUAUAUAUAAUAAUAAUACUAAUUAAAGAUUCAUAAAAUUAAAUACUAGAAUAUAGAUUUAUAGAAAUUUAAAUGUUUUGUUAUGUAAUAAUAGUAUUGUUAUGAAAUAAUAAAAAGGUAAAUUAUUUAAGCAAUUAAUUUUUAUAGUGUAAUAUAUAUGUUAUAUUUUUUUUAUAUAGAUAAUAACAAAUAAUCCAAGAUAUAAUAUAAAUUUAUUUAAAUUUCAAUAUUAUUAUAUGAUGUUAACCAAACAUAAAUAAUUUUAAAUCUUUUUUAUUAUACAAUGUAAAAGUUAUUUUUGCAAGUUUAAUAUAGUAGUAUUGAACUUAAAUUAGCUAUGAAUAAGUAAUGAUCCUCUAAUUUGUUCUCAUUCAAAAUCAUGUCGUCUGAAGUAAAUUUAUACUAAUAUUUAACUACCUAGUUUAAAUUAAUAGAUUUUUAUAAUUAUUACUUGGUUUUUAAAUAGUUGUUCAGAAUUGAAAUUAUCAAAUAAAUUACCUAGUGUCUAUAAAAACAUUAUAUUUGCAUAGAAUUUCAAAUAAUACUUGUGUGUAUAAAAAAUAUCAUAUAUUAUCAAUACAUAUAUGAUUGCAAUUAAAUAUUAUAUGAUAUGAUAUAUGGCAUUAUAUGCCUCACUACUAUAAUAUUAAUAACAAAAUAAAAAAUGUGUCAUAUAUAUAUACACAUAUUAUAAUGGGUAUAUGAAGAAAUUAAUAUAUGAAUGAUAUAAAUUGUAACAUUUUAUAAUAAUCAACAGUAUUUGAAAGCAUAUUUAAUGUUAAAAUGAUAAUUUAUUUACUUUAUAAUAAGUGAAUAAUUAUUAUAUUUUUAUUUCAUUCAUGAUUUUUGUGCUUUCAAUAAUAAAUUAAAUGGAAAAUAAAAUUAAAUAUUGAAAAUUAAUAGAAUUAUUAAAACUUUAUCUUAAUAUUUUAAUAUUUAAAAUGUAUAUAAAAUUUAGGUGUAAACAUAAUUAUAUAUAAUGUAGGCACUUUAAUAACUCAAAUGAAUGACUAUCCUAGUGGUGUAUAGUUAACUUCGUAAGCUUGGGAAGUCUGAACACUUUAUUGAUCUCAUUAUAAAUUUUUAUUUUUAAUUGUUAAAUAUUAAUUUAUCAUAAAUGAUUACUUAUUAAAAAUAAAAUCAUAAAUUAUAUCACAAAAUAGUAAAUGUUGUAUACUAACUUGUAAAGAAGUUUUUAUAUUUGUAUACAAUUUUUUAAUAAAACAUGUAAAACAAAUAUAGUUAUAAAAAUAAUUGUAACAUAUAAUAAAAUAGUAUAUCAUUUACAUUUAUAGUGUUUUAUUGCAUUUGAUAUUUUUGUUUGAAAUAUAAGAGAAAGAAAAUGAAAAAUAUAAAGAUGACUUGUUGACACGAAUUGUUGCACUUAGGCUUAUUCACUUUGAAAGUAAAUUUAUACUAAUAUUUAAUUACCUAGAUUAACCUAAUAAAAAUAUUUUUUUUAAUUAUUGUUUAGUUUUUAAAUAAUUGUUAAUAUUAGAAAUUAUCAAAUAAUAACCUAAUUUUUGUCAAGAUAUUCUAUUGACGUAAAUUCCAAAUAUGGUUUAUGUUUAUAAAGAUAUCAUAUAUCAUUAAUGAAUAUAUGAUUGUAAGUUAAAUAUCAUAUGAUACAAUACAUUGUACCAUAUGCAUAACUACUAUAUUAUUAUUUUAGAAAAUAAAAAAUGCAUUAUAUAUUAGUAAUAUAUUAUAUACAUAAAAACAAAAAUUGUAAGGUAUCUAACCACUUCUUAAUUAACAAUUGAUUAGUUUAAUUUUUAAAUAAUUUUAUGAUGUAUUAAUGAUCUUUAGCUUAACUACUAAAAUAAGAUAAUAAAUUAUGCCACAAAAGUAGCAACUAUUAUAGCUACUAAUUUGUUAAGGAUUGUUUUACACUUUUAUAUGUUUUUUAAUAAAAUAUUUAAUCUAUGAUUUUUAUUCCUUGCUUUAAAUUUCAAUUUUUAUUUUACUCUAAUUUCUAAUAUAUAAAUUCUGAUUUUUAAAUUUUUAAUUUUUAAUUUCUAAAUUUUAAAUAAUACAAAACUCAUAAAUCUUACAUUUUAUUUUUAGUCAAUUUUGUAAUUUAUAAAUUCUAAUUUUUUUAUUUUCUAAAUUUUCUAAAUUUUAAAUAAUAAAUAGUCCCAAUAAUAGGCAAAUAAUAAAGUUUCAAUUUUAUUUUUAAUCUAAUUUUUAAUUUAUAUUUUAAAUUUUUAAAUUUUUAAAUUCUAAAUUUUAAAUAAUAUAAAACAUAUAACAUCAUGAAAUGCAUUAAAUGCGCCGAGUUGUAGCAGCAUGCUACUGAGAUUUGGUUGUAGAGACGGCACAAUGGAUGGUAUGGAGUAUUGGUUGGGAAAUGAAAUGAAAAGAAAGUGAAAUAAAAAAGAAAAAAACAAAUCUCCCAAGCACCCACGUAGCACUGGGACUUUGAAAAGUGAGAAGACUUUCUCACCAACUCUCCAUCAUUUGCCUACAACUUUGAAAAUGAAAAAGAGCAUUACUUCCCACCACAUCUCUAACAUCUACCAUAACCUCCUGAACCUUCCACCAUUUUCACCAUCUCAUCUACCUUCUUAAAAAAUUGUUUCCCACUUGCAAGCCAUAUUCACCAUUCUCCACCAAAGUUUACCGAGCCGGCAAAGCUUCUUAUCUACCAUUUUCAUCGGUCUGUUAUACUACAGAAAUCUACCACUNNNNNNNNNNNNNNNNNNNNNNNNNNNNNNNNNNNNNNNNNNNNNNNNNNNNNNNNNNNNNNNNNNNNNNNNNNNNNNNNNNNNNNNNNNNNNNNNNNNNNNNNNNNNNNNNNNNNNNNNNNNNNNNNNNNNNNNNNNNNNNNNNNNNNNNNNNNNNNNNNNNNNNNNNNNNNNNNNNNNNNNNNNNNNNNNNNNNNNNNNNNNNNNNNNNNNNNNNNNNNNNNNNNNNNNNNNNNNNNNNNNNNNNNNNNNNNNNNNNNNNNNNNNNNNNNNNNNNNNNNNNNNNNNNNNNNNNNNNNNNNNNNNNNNNNNNNNNNNNNNNNNNNNNNNNNNNNNNNNNNNNNNNNNNNNNNNNNNNNNNNNNNNNNNNNNNNNNNNNNNNNNNNNNNNNNNNNNNNNNNNNNNNNNNNNNNNNNNNNNNNNNNNNNNNNNNNNNNNNNNNNNNNNNNNNNNNNNNNNNNNNNNNNNNNNNNNNNNNNNNNNNNNNNNNNNNNNNNNNNNNNNNNNNNNNNNNNNNNNNNNNNNNNNNNNNNNNNNNNNNNNNNNNNNNNNNNNNNNNNNNNNNNNNNNNNNNNNNNNNNNNNNNNNNNNNNNNNNNNNNNNNNNNNNNNNNNNNNNNNNNNNNNNNNNNNNNNNNNNNNNNNNNNNNNNNNNNNNNNNNNNNNNNNNNNNNNNNNNNNNNNNNNNNNNNNNNNNNNNNNNNNNNNNNNNNNNNNNNNNNNNNNNNNNNNNNNNNNNNNNNNNNNNNNNNNNNNNNNNNNNNNNNNNNNNNNNNNNNNNNNNNNNNNNNNNNNNNNNNNNNNNNNNNNNNNNNNNNNNNNNNNNNNNNNNNNNNNNNNNNNNNNNNNNNNNNNNNNNNNNNNNNNNNNNNNNNNNNNNNNNNNNNNNNNNNNNNNNNNNNNNNNNNNNNNNNNNNNNNNNNNNNNNNNNNNNNNNNNNNNNNNNNNNNNNNNNNNNNNNNNNNNNNNNNNNNNNNNNNNNNNNNNNNNNNNNNNNNNNNNNNNNNNNNNNNNNNNNNNNNNNNNNNNNNNNNNNNNNNNNNNNNNNNNNNNNNNNNNNNNNNNNNNNNNNNNNNNNNNNNNNNNNNNNNNNNNNNNNNNNNNNNNNNNNNNNNNNNNNNNNNNNNNNNNNNNNNNNNNNNNNNNNNNNNNNNNNNNNNNNNNNNNNNNNNNNNNNNNNNNNNNNNNNNNNNNNNNNNNNNNNNNNNNNNNNNNNNNNNNNNNNNNNNNNNNNNNNNNNNNNNNNNNNNNNNNNNNNNNNNNNNNNNNNNNNNNNNNNNNNNNNNNNNNNNNNNNNNNNNNNNNNNNNNNNNNNNNNNNNNNNNNNNNNNNNNNNNNNNNNNNNNNNNNNNNNNNNNNNNNNNNNNNNNNNNNNNNNNNNNNNNNNNNNNNNNNNNNNNNNNNNNNNNNNNNNNNNNNNNNNNNNNNNNNNNNNNNNNNNNNNNNNNNNNNNNNNNNNNNNNNNNNNNNNNNNNNNNNNNNNNNNNNNNNNNNNNNNNNNNNNNNNNNNNNNNNNNNNNNNNNNNNNNNNNNNNNNNNNNNNNNNNNNNNNNNNNNNNNNNNNNNNNNNNNNNNNNNNNNNNNNNNNNNNNNNNNNNNNNNNNNNNNNNNNNNNNNNNNNNNNNNNNNNNNNNNNNNNNNNNNNNNNNNNNNNNNNNNNNNNNNNNNNNNNNNNNNNNNNNNNNNNNNNNNNNNNNNNNNNNNNNNNNNNNNNNNNNNNNNNNNNNNNNNNNNNNNNNNNNNNNNNNNNNNNNNNNNNNNNNNNNNNNNNNNNNNNNNNNNNNNNNNNNNNNNNNNNNNNNNNNNNNNNNNNNNNNNNNNNNNNNNNNNNNNNNNNNNNNNNNNNNNNNNNNNNNNNNNNNNNNNNNNNNNNNNNNNNNNNNNNNNNNNNNNNNNNNNNNNNNNNNNNNNNNNNNNNNNNNNNNNNNNNNNNNNNNNNNNNNNNNNNNNNNNNNNNNNNNNNNNNNNNNNNNNNNNNNNNNNNNNNNNNNNNNNNNNNNNNNNNNNNNNNNNNNNNNNNNNNNNNNNNNNNNNNNNNNNNNNNNNNNNNNNNNNNNNNNNNNNNNNNNNNNNNNNNNNNNNNNNNNNNNNNNNNNNNNNNNNNNNNNNNNNNNNNNNNNNNNNNNNNNNNNNNNNNNNNNNNNNNNNNNNNNNNNNNNNNNNNNNNNNNNNNNNNNNNNNNNNNNNNNNNNNNNNNNNNNNNNNNNNNNNNNNNNNNNNNNNNNNNNNNNNNNNNNNNNNNNNNNNNNNNNNNNNNNNNNNNNNNNNNNNNNNNNNNNNNNNNNNNNNNNNNNNNNNNNNNNNNNNNNNNNNNNNNNNNNNNNNNNNNNNNNNNNNNNNNNNNNNNNNNNNNNNNNNNNNNNNNNNNNNNNNNNNNNNNNNNNNNNNNNNNNNNNNNNNNNNNNNNNNNNNNNNNNNNNNNNNNNNNNNNNNNNNNNNNNNNNNNNNNNNNNNNNNNNNNNNNNNNNNNNNNNNNNNNNNNNNNNNNNNNNNNNNNNNNNNNNNNNNNNNNNNNNNNNNNNNNNNNNNNNNNNNNNNNNNNNNNNNNNNNNNNNNNNNNNNNNNNNNNNNNNNNNNNNNNNNNNNNNNNNNNNNNNNNNNNNNNNNNNNNNNNNNNNNNNNNNNNNNNNNNNNNNNNNNNNNNNNNNNNNNNNNNNNNNNNNNNNNNNNNNNNNNNNNNNNNNNNNNNNNNNNNNNNNNNNNNNNNNNNNNNNNNNNNNNNNNNNNNNNNNNNNNNNNNNNNNNNNNNNNNNNNNNNNNNNNNNNNNNNNNNNNNNNNNNNNNNNNNNNNNNNNNNNNNNNNNNNNNNNNNNNNNNNNNNNNNNNNNNNNNNNNNNNNNNNNNNNNNNNNNNNNNNNNNNNNNNNNNNNNNNNNNNNNNNNNNNNNNNNNNNNNNNNNNNNNNNNNNNNNNNNNNNNNNNNNNNNNNNNNNNNNNNNNNNNNNNNNNNNNNNNNNNNNNNNNNNNNNNNNNNNNNNNNNNNNNNNNNNNNNNNNNNNNNNNNNNNNNNNNNNNNNNNNNNNNNNNNNNNNNNNNNNNNNNNNNNNNNNNNNNNNNNNNNNNNNNNNNNNNNNNNNNNNNNNNNNNNNNNNNNNNNNNNNNNNNNNNNNNNNNNNNNNNNNNNNNNNNNNNNNNNNNNNNNNNNNNNNNNNNNNNNNNNNNNNNNNNNNNNNNNNNNNNNNNNNNNNNNNNNNNNNNNNNNNNNNNNNNNNNNNNNNNNNNNNNNNNNNNNNNNNNNNNNNNNNNNNNNNNNNNNNNNNNNNNNNNNNNNNNNNNNNNNNNNNNNNNNNNNNNNNNNNNNNNNNNNNNNNNNNNNNNNNNNNNNNNNNNNNNNNNNNNNNNNNNNNNNNNNNNNNNNNNNNNNNNNNNNNNNNNNNNNNNNNNNNNNNNNNNNNNNNNNNNNNNNNNNNNNNNNNNNNNNNNNNNNNNNNNNNNNNNNNNNNNNNNNNNNNNNNNNNNNNNNNNNNNNNNNNNNNNNNNNNNNNNNNNNNNNNNNNNNNNNNNNNNNNNNNNNNNNNNNNNNNNNNNNNNNNNNNNNNNNNNNNNNNNNNNNNNNNNNNNNNNNNNNNNNNNNNNNNNNNNNNNNNNNNNNNNNNNNNNNNNNNNNNNNNNNNNNNNNNNNNNNNNNNNNNNNNNNNNNNNNNNNNNNNNNNNNNNNNNNNNNNNNNNNNNNNNNNNNNNNNNNNNNNNNNNNNNNNNNNNNNNNNNNNNNNNNNNNNNNNNNNNNNNNNNNNNNNNNNNNNNNNNNNNNNNNNNNNNNNNNNNNNNNNNNNNNNNNNNNNNNNNNNNNNNNNNNNNNNNNNNNNNNNNNNNNNNNNNNNNNNNNNNNNNNNNNNNNNNNNNNNNNNNNNNNNNNNNNNNNNNNNNNNNNNNNNNNNNNNNNNNNNNNNNNNNNNNNNNNNNNNNNNNNNNNNNNNNNNNNNNNNNNNNNNNNNNNNNNNNNNNNNNNNNNNNNNNNNNNNNNNNNNNNNNNNNNNNNNNNNNNNNNNNNNNNNNNNNNNNNNNNNNNNNNNNNNNNNNNNNNNNNNNNNNNNNNNNNNNNNNNNNNNNNNNNNNNNNNNNNNNNNNNNNNNNNNNNNNNNNNNNNNNNNNNNNNNNNNNNNNNNNNNNNNNNNNNNNNNNNNNNNNNNNNNNNNNNNNNNNNNNNNNNNNNNNNNNNNNNNNNNNNNNNNNNNNNNNNNNNNNNNNNNNNNNNNNNNNNNNNNNNNNNNNNNNNNNNNNNNNNNNNNNNNNNNNNNNNNNNNNNNNNNNNNNNNNNNNNNNNNNNNNNNNNNNNNNNNNNNNNNNNNNNNNNNNNNNNNNNNNNNNNNNNNNNNNNGUUCUAGAAGUUAUCAAAAAUGGAUUUUCCAUGGGGAAGAACAUGAAUCUCAACCUAAUGAGCAAAAUGAUAUUGGUGUUGAUACAGAAAUUGUUGACGCUACUGAUGCUGAUAUCCUUAAUGAAGUUGCGGAUGCAUUAAAUGAUGCAUGUGGACACAUAGACAAUGAUAUUAACUUAGAGGAAUCUACUACUCAUGGAAAAUUUGAUUACUUACUUGGUGAAGCUAAUAAAGAAUUGUAUCUAGGUUGUAAAAAGUUUUCUGCUUUGACAUUCCUUGUGAAGUUAAUGCAUAUUAAAGUCCUCAAUCGUUGGAGUGACAAGUCUUUUGACAUGUUACUCCAAGUUUUAGUUGAUGUUUUUCCAGAAAGAUCAAACAUUCCAAAGACAUACUAUGAUGCUAAGAAGAUGUUAAGAGAUUUGGGCUUAGGAUAUGAUUCAAUCCAUGCAUGCAAGUAUGAUUGUGCAUUGUUUUGGAAGGAGAAUGAGACUCUUGAUAAAUGUUCAAUGUGUGAUGAGCCACGAUAUAAGUUCUGUAAUGGAAAAGGUAAAAAAAUUCCUCAAAAAGUAUUGUGUCAUUUUCCACUAAAAUCAAGGCUACAAAGGUUAUUCAUGUCAAGGCAUACAGCAUCAGCUAUGAGGUGGCAUAAAGAAAACUGAAUCAGUGAGGAGGGAGUCCUAAGGCAUCCAGCAGAUUCUGAAGCUUGGAAGGAUAUGGACACCCAAUUCCCUUGGUUUUCGCAAGAACCUCGAAAUGUUAGAUUAGGGCUUGCAACAAAUGGUUUCAAUCCAUUUGGGAGCAUGAGUAAUAGUUAUAGCAUGUGGCCAAUUGUUCUUGUGCCAUACAAUAUGGCACCAUGGAGAUGUAUGAAAGAGAUGUUUUUCAUGUUAUCAUUACUAAUUCUAGGCCCACAAGCCUUAGGGAGAGAUAUUGAUGUAUACCUACGUCCUUUGAUAGAAGAAUUAAAAGAGUUAUGGCAUGAAGGUGUUCAAACAUUUGACAUGUCAACAGGAGAAAACUUUCGCAUGCAUGCAUGUGUUUUAUGGACAAUAAAUGACAUUCCUGCUUAUGGGAACUUGGCUGGGUGGAGUACAAAAGGAUAUAAAGCAUGUCCAGUUUGUAAUGAAGACACAUCGUCACUAAGUAUUAGAAGUAAAAUAUGUUACAUGGGUCAUCGACGUUUUUUACCUCUUGAUCAUGGAUGGCGAAGGAGUAAACAACACGAUGGUAAGCCGGAGUUUCGACCACCGCCAAGAAUGUUCUCUAGUGAUGAAAUAUUGCAACAAUUGUGUUGUCUUAAACAUCAGAAGCCUAGUAAGCAUCCAAACAACGUUGAUAGAAAGCAAAAACGGGUGCCUGAAGAAUUAAAUUGGACAAAAAAAAGUAUUUUCUUUGAGUUGGAGUACUGGUCAAAGUUGAAGUUGAGACAUAAUAUUGAUGUUAUGCAUGUUGAAAAGAAUGUAUGUGAUAGUGUUGUGGGAACUUUGUUAAAUAUUGUAGGAAAAACAAAAGAUAUAAACAAAGCUCGCUUAGAUUUGGCUGAUAUGAAUAUAAGGAAAGAAUUGCAUUUGCAAAUACAAGGGAACAAAUUGGUAAAACCCCAUGCAUGCUACACAUUGACUGUAGAGGAAAGGAAAGAGUUCUGUAAGUUUCUAAAGUCUGUUAAAUUUCCAGAUGGUUAUGCUGCAAAUUUAUCUAGAAAUGUUAGCAUCAAUGAUGGGAAGAUCUCAGGGUUAAAGAGUCAUGAUUGUCAUGUUUUGCUGCAAAAAUUACUCCCUAUCGCUAUUCGUCCAUAUUUUAAUAAAGAUUUGUGUACAACACUGGUUGAGUUGUGUAGUUUUUUCCAAAAGUUAUGUGCAAAGACCUUGUACAUGAAUGAUUUGGAAAAAUUAGAAGAAGGGAUUGUCUUAAUAUUGUGUAAGCUUGAAAGGAUAUUCCCACCAGCUUUCUUUGAUGUCAUGGUUCACUUGAUGGUACAUUUACCACGUGAGGCCAAACUUGCUGGACUAGUUAGUUAUCGAUGGAUGUAUCCAUUUAAGAGGUACAUUUUUACCUUUUUUGUUUAUUAAUAUUCUCAUCUAACUAUGUUACACAAUACAUGUGUUAAGGCUUAUUUAUUAACACUAUUUCUAUUUAGGAACUUAGGAACAUUGAAAAGAUAUGUGAGAAAUAAAGCUCGACCAGAAGGUUCAAUUGCAAAGGCAUACAUCGUGAAUGAAGCUUUAAUGUUUUGUUCAAUGUAUCUUACUGGAAUUGAAACACGUUUUAAUCGAAGUGAAAGGAACGAAGAUCGAUUUGAACAUCGAGUACAAGAAUGUCUUUCCAUAUUUUCAUAGCAAGCUCAACCAUUAGGCUGUCGAUAACAUCUCCAAUUUUCGAAGGAAGAGUUAACUAAGGCACAUUGGUAUAUCAUGAAUAAUUGCCCAGAGUUGAGACCAUACUUAGAGUAAGUUUUAGAAUCAACAUUAAAGAUAUUUCUUUAAUACCUCGUUACUUAAUAUCUAUUUAAUGAUGUAGUGAACAUACAAAAGAAUUGGAGAGGACAAGUUCACAUAACUUAGAGAAACGACAAGAACAAGAGUUUCCUAAGUGGCUUGCAGAUCGUGUAAGUUUUAUUUGUGUAAUUUGCUUGCUACAAUAUAGUUGUAAUGAACUAAUAUAAUUUUAAUAAUAUUUGAUAUUAAACUAUAAAUAAUUAUGUACAUUUAUAUUGUAGAUGAAAGCUUUGCAUGUUAAACAAUCACCAGAAGCAACUGAUGAACUAUACUCAUUAGCGUGUGGACUAGAUAAUCGAGUCCACACAUACAUGGGUUGUAUUGUUAAUGGAGUUCGCUUCCAUACAAAAGAUCAUGAUGAUCGGCGUAUCACCCAAAAUAGUGGGAUAUGUGUUUCUGGGGAGCAUGAUGGUGAGGAGGUUGAUUUCUAUGGUGUUUUAUCAAAUGUGGUUGUUUUGAACUAUGUCUUGGGGUAUAAGGUUAUUCUUUUCAAGUGCACAUGGUUCGACACAAACCAAAAGAAGAAGAGAAUAAAACAUGACUAUAAUUUUACCACAAUCCAAGUUAUCUCCACCUGGUAUGACAAUGAUCCUUUUAUACUUGCUACACAAACACAACAAGUUUUCUACCUAGAUGACUACAAAAAUGGUCAUAAUUGGAAAGUAGUACAAAAAGUGAAUCAUAGACACAUGUGGGAUGUACCAGAAAGGGAUACUAAUAUAGAAAUCGAUGAAGAAGUGUGCGGGGGAAGUGAUGAAGAAGCUUACCAAGAUAAUGAAUCUCAUGAGCUUAACUGGUUUGUAGAGCAAGAUGAUGGAUUUGAAUUUCAACGAUCUGACCGCUUAAACAUUGAUCUAGAAGUUGUUAAUGAUAAUGUUUUGAUUUUAGAGAACAUGAAUGACAAUGAUGAUAACUUCAUAUGUGAUGACAUUGAGGAAGAAGAUGAAACACUAGAUGAUUAUGCUAAUGAGAAUGAAAUGUGGCUUUCAAGUGAUAGUGAAAGUGAAAGUGAUUAAAGAGACUGGUAAGCUACAUUUUAUUUACUUUAUUAUAUGUUAAAUAACAUAAUGUAAUCUAGGUCUAGUUCUUUAAAUUUNNNNNNNNNNNNNNNNNNNNNNNNNNNNNNNNNNNNNNNNNNNNNNNNNNNNNNNNNNNNNNNNNNNNNNNNNNNNNNNNNNNNNNNNNNNNNNNNNNNNNNNNNNNNNNNNNNNNNNNNNNNNNNNNNNNNNNNNNNNNNNNNNNNNNNNNNNNNNNNNNNNNNNNNNNNNNNNNNNNNNNNNNNNNNNNNNNNNNNNNNNNNNNNNNNNNNNNNNNNNNNNNNNNNNNNNNNNNNNNNNNNNNNNNNNNNNNNNNNNNNNNNNNNNNNNNNNNNNNNNNNNNNNNNNNNNNNNNNNNNNNNNNNNNNNNNNNNNNNNNNNNNNNNNNNNNNNNNNNNNNNNNNNNNNNNNNNNNNNNNNNNNNNNNNNNNNNNNNNNNNNNNNNNNNNNNNNNNNNNNNNNNNNNNNNNNNNNNNNNNNNNNNNNNNNNNNNNNNNNNNNNNNNNNNNNNNNNNNNNNNNNNNNNNNNNNNNNNNNNNNNNNNNNNNNNNNNNNNNNNNNNNNNNNNNNNNNNNNNNNNNNNNNNNNNNNNNNNNNNNNNNNNNNNNNNNNNNNNNNNNNNNNNNNNNNNNNNNNNNNNNNNNNNNNNNNNNNNNNNNNNNNNNNNNNNNNNNNNNNNNNNNNNNNNNNNNNNNNNNNNNNNNNNNNNNNNNNNNNNNNNNNNNNNNNNNNNNNNNNNNNNNNNNNNNNNNNNNNNNNNNNNNNNNNNNNNNNNNNNNNNNNNNNNNNNNNNNNNNNNNNNNNNNNNNNNNNNNNNNNNNNNNNNNNNNNNNNNNNNNNNNNNNNNNNNNNNNNNNNNNNNNNNNNNNNNNNNNNNNNNNNNNNNNNNNNNNNNNNNNNNNNNNNNNNNNNNNNNNNNNNNNNNNNNNNNNNNNNNNNNNNNNNNNNNNNNNNNNNNNNNNNNNNNNNNNNNNNNNNNNNNNNNNNNNNNNNNNNNNNNNNNNNNNNNNNNNNNNNNNNNNNNNNNNNNNNNNNNNNNNNNNNNNNNNNNNNNNNNNNNNNNNNNNNNNNNNNNNNNNNNNNNNNNNNNNNNNNNNNNNNNNNNNNNNNNNNNNNNNNNNNNNNNNNNNNNNNNNNNNNNNNNNNNNNNNNNNNNNNNNNNNNNNNNNNNNNNNNNNNNNNNNNNNNNNNNNNNNNNNNNNNNNNNNNNNNNNNNNNNNNNNNNNNNNNNNNNNNNNNNNNNNNNNNNNNNNNNNNNNNNNNNNNNNNNNNNNNNNNNNNNNNNNNNNNNNNNNNNNNNNNNNNNNNNNNNNNNNNNNNNNNNNNNNNNNNNNNNNNNNNNNNNNNNNNNNNNNNNNNNNNNNNNNNNNNNNNNNNNNNNNNNNNNNNNNNNNNNNNNNNNNNNNNNNNNNNNNNNNNNNNNNNNNNNNNNNNNNNNNNNNNNNNNNNNNNNNNNNNNNNNNNNNNNNNNNNNNNNNNNNNNNNNNNNNNNNNNNNNNNNNNNNNNNNNNNNNNNNNNNNNNNNNNNNNNNNNNNNNNNNNNNNNNNNNNNNNNNNNNNNNNNNNNNNNNNNNNNNNNNNNNNNNNNNNNNNNNNNNNNNNNNNNNNNNNNNNNNNNNNNNNNNNNNNNNNNNNNNNNNNNNNNNNNNNNNNNNNNNNNNNNNNNNNNNNNNNNNNNNNNNNNNNNNNNNNNNNNNNNNNNNNNNNNNNNNNNNNNNNNNNNNNNNNNNNNNNNNNNNNNNNNNNNNNNNNNNNNNNNNNNNNNNNNNNNNNNNNNNNNNNNNNNNNNNNNNNNNNNNNNNNNNNNNNNNNNNNNNNNNNNNNNNNNNNNNNNNNNNNNNNNNNNNNNNNNNNNNNNNNNNNNNNNNNNNNNNNNNNNNNNNNNNNNNNNNNNNNNNNNNNNNNNNNNNNNNNNNNNNNNNNNNNNNNNNNNNNNNNNNNNNNNNNNNNNNNNNNNNNNNNNNNNNNNNNNNNNNNNNNNNNNNNNNNNNNNNNNNNNNNNNNNNNNNNNNNNNNNNNNNNNNNNNNNNNNNNNNNNNNNNNNNNNNNNNNNNNNNNNNNNNNNNNNNNNNNNNNNNNNNNNNNNNNNNNNNNNNNNNNNNNNNNNNNNNNNNNNNNNNNNNNNNNNNNNNNNNNNNNNNNNNNNNNNNNNNNNNNNNNNNNNNNNNNNNNNNNNNNNNNNNNNNNNNNNNNNNNNNNNNNNNNNNNNNNNNNNNNNNNNNNNNNNNNNNNNNNNNNNNNNNNNNNNNNNNNNNNNNNNNNNNNNNNNNNNNNNNNNNNNNNNNNNNNNNNNNNNNNNNNNNNNNNNNNNNNNNNNNNNNNNNNNNNNNNNNNNNNNNNNNNNNNNNNNNNNNNNNNNNNNNNNNNNNNNNNNNNNNNNNNNNNNNNNNNNNNNNNNNNNNNNNNNNNNNNNNNNNNNNNNNNNNNNNNNNNNNNNNNNNNNNNNNNNNNNNNNNNNNNNNNNNNNNNNNNNNNNNNNNNNNNNNNNNNNNNNNNNNNNNNNNNNNNNNNNNNNNNNNNNNNNNNNNNNNNNNNNNNNNNNNNNNNNNNNNNNNNNNNNNNNNNNNNNNNNNNNNNNNNNNNNNNNNNNNNNNNNNNNNNNNNNNNNNNNNNNNNNNNNNNNNNNNNNNNNNNNNNNNNNNNNNNNNNNNNNNNNNNNNNNNNNNNNNNNNNNNNNNNNNNNNNNNNNNNNNNNNNNNNNNNNNNNNNNNNNNNNNNNNNNNNNNNNNNNNNNNNNNNNNNNNNNNNNNNNNNNNNNNNNNNNNNNNNNNNNNNNNNNNNNNNNNNNNNNNNNNNNNNNNNNNNNNNNNNNNNNNNNNNNNNNNNNNNNNNNNNNNNNNNNNNNNNNNNNNNNNNNNNNNNNNNNNNNNNNNNNNNNNNNNNNNNNNNNNNNNNNNNNNNNNNNNNNNNNNNNNNNNNNNNNNNNNNNNNNNNNNNNNNNNNNNNNNNNNNNNNNNNNNNNNNNNNNNNNNNNNNNNNNNNNNNNNNNNNNNNNNNNNNNNNNNNNNNNNNNNNNNNNNNNNNNNNNNNNNNNNNNNNNNNNNNNNNNNNNNNNNNNNNNNNNNNNNNNNNNNNNNNNNNNNNNNNNNNNNNNNNNNNNNNNNNNNNNNNNNNNNNNNNNNNNNNNNNNNNNNNNNNNNNNNNNNNNNNNNNNNNNNNNNNNNNNNNNNNNNNNNNNNNNNNNNNNNNNNNNNNNNNNNNNNNNNNNNNNNNNNNNNNNNNNNNNNNNNNNNNNNNNNNNNNNNNNNNNNNNNNNNNNNNNNNNNNNNNNNNNNNNNNNNNNNNNNNNNNNNNNNNNNNNNNNNNNNNNNNNNNNNNNNNNNNNNNNNNNNNNNNNNNNNNNNNNNNNNNNNNNNNNNNNNNNNNNNNNNNNNNNNNNNNNNNNNNNNNNNNNNNNNNNNNNNNNNNNNNNNNNNNNNNNNNNNNNNNNNNNNNNNNNNNNNNNNNNNNNNNNNNNNNNNNNNNNNNNNNNNNNNNNNNNNNNNNNNNNNNNNNNNNNNNNNNNNNNNNNNNNNNNNNNNNNNNNNNNNNNNNNNNNNNNNNNNNNNNNNNNNNNNNNNNNNNNNNNNNNNNNNNNNNNNNNNNNNNNNNNNNNNNNNNNNNNNNNNNNNNNNNNNNNNNNNNNNNNNNNNNNNNNNNNNNNNNNNNNNNNNNNNNNNNNNNNNNNNNNNNNNNNNNNNNNNNNNNNNNNNNNNNNNNNNNNNNNNNNNNNNNNNNNNNNNNNNNNNNNNNNNNNNNNNNNNNNNNNNNNNNNNNNNNNNNNNNNNNNNNNNNNNNNNNNNNNNNNNNNNNNNNNNNNNNNNNNNNNNNNNNNNNNNNNNNNNNNNNNNNNNNNNNNNNNNNNNNNNNNNNNNNNNNNNNNNNNNNNNNNNNNNNNNNNNNNNNNNNNNNNNNNNNNNNNNNNNNNNNNNNNNNNNNNNNNNNNNNNNNNNNNNNNNNNNNNNNNNNNNNNNNNNNNNNNNNNNNNNNNNNNNNNNNNNNNNNNNNNNNNNNNNNNNNNNNNNNNNNNNNNNNNNNNNNNNNNNNNNNNNNNNNNNNNNNNNNNNNNNNNNNNNNNNNNNNNNNNNNNNNNNNNNNNNNNNNNNNNNNNNNNNNNNNNNNNNNNNNNNNNNNNNNNNNNNNNNNNNNNNNNNNNNNNNNNNNNNNNNNNNNNNNNNNNNNNNNNNNNNNNNNNNNNNNNNNNNNNNNNNNNNNNNNNNNNNNNNNNNNNNNNNNNNNNNNNNNNNNNNNNNNNNNNNNNNNNNNNNNNNNNNNNNNNNNNNNNNNNNNNNNNNNNNNNNNNNNNNNNNNNNNNNNNNNNNNNNNNNNNNNNNNNNNNNNNNNNNNNNNNNNNNNNNNNNNNNNNNNNNNNNNNNNNNNNNNNNNNNNNNNNNNNNNNNNNNNNNNNNNNNNNNNNNNNNNNNNNNNNNNNNNNNNNNNNNNNNNNNNNNNNNNNNNNNNNNNNNNNNNNNNNNNNNNNNNNNNNNNNNNNNNNNNNNNNNNNNNNNNNNNNNNNNNNNNNNNNNNNNNNNNNNNNNNNNNNNNNNNNNNNNNNNNNNNNNNNNNNNNNNNNNNNNNNNNNNNNNNNNNNNNNNNNNNNNNNNNNNNNNNNNNNNNNNNNNNNNNNNNNNNNNNNNNNNNNNNNNNNNNNNNNNNNNNNNNNNNNNNNNNNNNNNNNNNNNNNNNNNNNNNNNNNNNNNNNNNNNNNNNNNNNNNNNNNNNNNNNNNNNNNNNNNNNNNNNNNNNNNNNNNNNNNNNNNNNNNNNNNNNNNNNNNNNNNNNNNNNNNNNNNNNNNNNNNNNNNNNNNNNNNNNNNNNNNNNNNNNNNNNNNNNNNNNNNNNNNNNNNNNNNNNNNNNNNNNNNNNNNNNNNNNNNNNNNNNNNNNNNNNNNNNNNNNNNNNNNNNNNNNNNNNNNNNNNNNNNNNNNNNNNNNNNNNNNNNNNNNNNNNNNNNNNNNNNNNNNNNNNNNNNNNNNNNNNNNNNNNNNNNNNNNNNNNNNNNNNNNNNNNNNNNNNNNNNNNNNNNNNNNNNNNNNNNNNNNNNNNNNNNNNNNNNNNNNNNNNNNNNNNNNNNNNNNNNNNNNNNNNNNNNNNNNNNNNNNNNNNNNNNNNNNNNNNNNNNNNNNNNNNNNNNNNNNNNNNNNNNNNNNNNNNNNNNNNNNNNNNNNNNNNNNNNNNNNNNNNNNNNNNNNNNNNNNNNNNNNNNNNNNNNNNNNNNNNNNNNNNNNNNNNNNNNNNNNNNNNNNNNNNNNNNNNNNNNNNNNNNNNNNNNNNNNNNNNNNNNNNNNNNNNNNNNNNNNNNNNNNNNNNNNNNNNNNNNNNNNNNNNNNNNNNNNNNNNNNNNNNNNNNNNNNNNNNNNNNNNNNNNNNNNNNNNNNNNNNNNNNNNNNNNNNNNNNNNNNNNNNNNNNNNNNNNNNNNNNNNNNNNNNNNNNNNNNNNNNNNNNNNNNNNNNNNNNNNNNNNNNNNNNNNNNNNNNNNNNNNNNNNNNNNNNNNNNNNNNNNNNNNNNNNNNNNNNNNNNNNNNNNNNNNNNNNNNNNNNNNNNNNNNNNNNNNNNNNNNNNNNNNNNNNNNNNNNNNNNNNNNNNNNNNNNNNNNNNNNNNNNNNNNNNNNNNNNNNNNNNNNNNNNNNNNNNNNNNNNNNNNNNNNNNNNNNNNNNNNNNNNNNNNNNNNNNNNNNNNNNNNNNNNNNNNNNNNNNNNNNNNNNNNNNNNNNNNNNNNNNNNNNNNNNNNNNNNNNNNNNNNNNNNNNNNNNNNNNNNNNNNNNNNNNNNNNNNNNNNNNNNNNNNNNNNNNNNNNNNNNNNNNNNNNNNNNNNNNNNNNNNNNNNNNNNNNNNNNNNNNNNNNNNNNNNNNNNNNNNNNNNNNNNNNNNNNNNNNNNNNNNNNNNNNNNNNNNNNNNNNNNNNNNNNNNNNNNNNNNNNNNNNNNNNNNNNNNNNNNNNNNNNNNNNNNNNNNNNNNNNNNNNNNNNNNNNNNNNNNNNNNNNNNNNNNNNNNNNNNNNNNNNNNNNNNNNNNNNNNNNNNNNNNNNNNNNNNNNNNNNNNNNNNNNNNNNNNNNNNNNNNNNNNNNNNNNNNNNNNNNNNNNNNNNNNNNNNNNNNNNNNNNNNNNNNNNNNNNNNNNNNNNNNNNNNNNNNNNNNNNNNNNNNNNNNNNNNNNNNNNNNNNNNNNNNNNNNNNNNNNNNNNNNNNNNNNNNNNNNNNNNNNNNNNNNNNNNNNNNNNNNNNNNNNNNNNNNNNNNNNNNNNNNNNNNNNNNNNNNNNNNNNNNNNNNNNNNNNNNNNNNNNNNNNNNNNNNNNNNNNNNNNNNNNNNNNNNNNNNNNNNNNNNNNNNNNNNNNNNNNNNNNNNNNNNNNNNNNNNNNNNNNNNNNNNNNNNNNNNNNNNNNNNNNNNNNNNNNNNNNNNNNNNNNNNNNNNNNNNNNNNNNNNNNNNNNNNNNNNNNNNNNNNNNNNNNNNNNNNNNNNNNNNNNNNNNNNNNNNNNNNNNNNNNNNNNNNNNNNNNNNNNNNNNNNNNNNNNNNNNNNNNNNNNNNNNNNNNNNNNNNNNNNNNNNNNNNNNNNNNNNNNNNNNNNNNNNNNNNNNNNNNNNNNNNNNNNNNNNNNNNNNNNNNNNNNNNNNNNNNNNNNNNNNNNNNNNNNNNNNNNNNNNNNNNNNNNNNNNNNNNNNNNNNNNNNNNNNNNNNNNNNNNNNNNNNNNNNNNNNNNNNNNNNNNNNNNNNNNNNNNNNNNNNNNNNNNNNNNNNNNNNNNNNNNNNNNNNNNNNNNNNNNNNNNNNNNNNNNNNNNNNNNNNNNNNNNNNNNNNNNNNNNNNNNNNNNNNNNNNNNNNNNNNNNNNNNNNNNNNNNNNCUUAGUGAACCGUCAAAACCAGGCCCUGGGAGAUUGUUUGAGACCAUACAAGGAUUUUUGGAGUCUACAAACCUUGUUGAAAUUUGAUGUUGUCUCAAGUCCAGCAGGAAUCUCCAUGUAAACUUCUUCCUCUAAGUCACCAUUGAGGAAGGCACUCUUCACAUCAAGUUGGUGAAGCGACCAAUCAAGAUUAGCUGCCAAGGAUAAAAGUAUACGAACAGUAUUGAGGUUGGCAACUGGAGCAAAAGUUUCUUGAUAGUCAAUGCCAUAGGAUUGGGUGAAUCCUUUGGCGACCAACCGAGCCUUAUACCUGUCCAUAUUACCAUCUACCUUGUAUUUUACUGUGAAAAUCCACUUACACCCAACUGGUUUCUUACCUCUUGGGAGGUCAGUAAUUUCCCACGUACCAUUCUUUUCUAGCGCCCGAACUUCCUCAUCGACUGCCGCCUUCCACUUAGGAUACUUGAAAGCUUCCUGAAUAUUCCGAGGAACUUGUAUCUCUGUGAUGCUAGAAGUGAAUGCACGAAACGUAGGUGAUAGCUUAUCAUAAGAAAUAAAAUUUCCAAUGGGAUGCUGAGUGCAUGAUCUAACUCCUUUCCUCCAAGCUAUGGGCAUAUUAAGAAUAUCAUUUUCUAACUCGAAAUCAACAGUACCAUCAAGAGCGUUGUUACCUGGAAGUUUGCUUGGAUUAGGACCCGGUUCAGCCUCAUGGGUUUGUUGAGAAAGUGCUCCUUCCUCCGUUUCCUCUUGGAUGUGCUCCUUAUCCCACAAGUCAACAAUGGACUCAGGCUUAUUAAAUGACUCUGGAGGAAUGUGAUUUUCAGUGGUGAUGGGUGACUCACUGAAUGACUCAAGAUCCCAAAAUUGAUAUUCCUGAGUUGAAUUCUCCCCCUGAAUAUCGUUUUUGGGAUAGUAAGGCUGGGUUUCAAAAAAUGUGAUAUCCAUUGAAUUGUAGAAUUUUCUUGUGACUGGAGAGUAACACUUAUACCCUUUUUGAUUUGAAGAAUACCCAAGAAAGAUGCACUUGAGUGACCUAGGAUCAAGUUUACUUCUUUUUUGUUGAUUGAUAUGAACAAAGACAGAGCACCCGAAAAUUUUGGGUGGGACGGUGGAGAUGAGACGAGUAGUCGGAAAGGAUUUUAGGAGUGUUUGACAAGGUGUUUGGAAUUUUAGUACCCUAGACGGCAUCCUAUUGAUGAGGUAGGCUGCCGUAAGGACAGCUUGCCCCCAGAAUAAUUUUGGAACAUUCAUGGAGAACAUUAGUGAUCUAGCCACCUCUAACAAAUGCCUAUUUUUCCUUUCAGCGAUUUCGUUUUGUUGUGGGGUAUCAACACAUGAACUUAAGUGAACUAUCCCUUCUUGUGCUAGAAAUUCUCCUAGAAUGGAGUUGAAAUAAUCCCUAGCAUUAUCAGACUUUAGAAUUUGUAUUUUUGACUGGAAUUGGGUCUGAAUCAUAUUUUUAAAAUUUUUGAAAAUUUGACUCGUUUCAGAUUUUUCUUUCAUGAGGAAUACCCAAGUUAAUCUAGUGUGAUCAUCUAUGAAUGAGACAAACCACCUAGUACCAGUUACAUUUUUUAUUCUUGACGGACCCCAGAUAUCGCUAUGAUCAUGAGAUGGACUAGACUCUUNNNNNNNNNNNNNNNNNNNNNNNNNNNNNNNNNNNNNNNNNNNNNNNNNNNNNNNNNNNNNNNNNNNNNNNNNNNNNNNNNNNNNNNNNNNNNNNNNNNNGGGAAGUGAUGAAGAAGCUUACCAAGAUAAUGAAUCUCAUGAGCUUAACUGGUUUGUAGAGCAAGAUGAUGGAUUUGAAUUUCAACGAUCUGACCGCUUAAACAUUGAUCUAGAAGUUGUUAAUGAUAAUGUUUUGAUUUUAGAGAACAUGAAUGACAAUGAUGAUAACUUCAUAUGUGAUGACAUUGAGGAAGAAGAUGAAACACUAGAUGAUUAUGCUAAUGAGAAUGAAAUGUGGCUUUCAAGUGAUAGUGAAAGUGAAAGUGAUUAAAGAGACUGGUAAGCUACAUUUUAUUUACUUUAUUAUAUGUUAAAUAACAUAAUGUAAUCUAGGUCUAGUUCUUUAAAUUUAUGUUAUGUGUUGUGAUAUUCCUUUUUUAUUAUUAUUUAUUUGUCUUUAUUGUUAUUUUAUUAUAGAUGACUCCUGGACGAAAGCGGUCACCUUCUGAGUUAACUCAACCACCCACAACAACACCCAUGACUCCUUUUUAUGUCGAUGUUCCAAUGCACACAUCCAAUGAGGGCACUAGUAGUUGUAAGAAACUUCUUACAUUUAUAUAUUUUACUUAUUAUAAUUUUGUAAGAUAUUUUUUUUUUAAAUUUUAAAUUAUAAUGAGUUGUAAUUUAAUUUUAGUCUUUUUAUUAACUCUUAUUAAUUGUUAAAGUUUAAUCAAUAAUUUCAUGGUAGCACCUAAUAAAGAAAUUUAAGAGGCAAAACUAGAGGUGUCAUUCUUGACAAACUUAUUGAAGCUAAUGGGGGCAAACCUCUUCCGAUCACAAUCAAGCCAUCUAAUGGGAAGCAAACAGGAAAAUAUUGUGAGAAAUUGUCAAAUGAGAUUGGGUUAAUAGUGAGACAACAUGCACCUGUUAGAGUGGAAAAAUGGAACCAAAUGCCUCGAGCUGAGAUCAAUACAAUGCUUGAUCGAAUCAAGGUAAAGUUGCUUGAAAUAUAUAUAUAUUUUUUAGCUUGUAAUUAUAACUAAUUGUUGGUUAUCUCUAAACUUACUUUAUCUCAUAUUAGUUCUUCCCUUGUUUGACUAUGAAGGAAAAGUUUGCCCUAGAUUUGACACAAGAGCAUGUGAAGAAAAGUUUAGAAAAACAAUUAUCUGACCGCUUUAGAAAUUGGAGAUGUGAUUUGCACAAGCACUUCAAAAAGUUCCCAACUGUGGUGGAGGCUAAGCGAAAUCCUCAUGAAUCUGUGUCAAAUCAGGAAGAUUGGGACUACUUUUGUGAUAGAUUUUCAAGUGAAGAAUUUAAGGUAAAGUUUUCAAUGAAUAAUCAUUCAAACCUAUUUCUUAUUGAAUAUUCUACUAACUAUAUUUAUAUUAUUUUCAAUAAUAACUAUUAUUACAGCGUCGUUCAGCAAUCAAUUCAGUAAAUAGAUCAAAGAUGCCUUUUCAUCAUCGAGGAGGCUCUCGUUCAUUUAUCCAACAUGGUCUACAAGUGGUAAAAUAUAAAACUAAGGUUCUUUAGUUAUUCAUAUAACUUAUAAUUCUUAAUAUUAAUGCAUAAUACUUGACAGCCAACAGAGAAUGGAGAGAUGGUUGGCCAAAUUGAACUAUUCAAACUAGUUCAUUGGAAAAGUCAAGAUGGAUGGAUAAAUCAAGAGGCUAGAUAUUAUUAUGUAAGAUUAUUUUGAUAGCUUUCUAUGUUUAAAUCAUGUUUGGGAUUAUGAAUCUUUGUGGAAGUGUCAUCGUGAUAGUUUAUUUACCAUGUUUUGAUAAAUAAGGCACUUCCUUGGUAGUUUUCAUAAAUCUAUAAAUUUUGAUUUGGUUAUUGAUUGCUUGGGUGUUCAAUGUUGUUAAAUUGAUUAAUAGCAGGGAAAAUUUGGCAAAGUCUAAAAAUUAGGAGAGACUAUGCCAAAAUUUCUAUUGAAAUUUUAUCUUACCAACUUAUUAUUAUAACUUUUCUUACUCAAAAUUACAUUUAAGAUUAUUAGUACUUGUAAAGUAUUAUUAUAUCAACUUGUAUACUAGAUUCUUAUUUCAAUUUUUAUAUUAUUUAGUGUGUGAUUACAAGCUAAUUAGGUUCUUCUUAGGUAGAAUCCUUGAAGUAAACUUUUGUUUGGGCAUUAACUAAUCAUAAAUCUUUAUUGUUAAAUAUUUGAUUAUGUGGUUGGUAAAAAUUUGUGGAAAUAGUAAAGAAUUAAAGAGGGAUUAGUAUAUUAUUAACUUGAAUAUAUAAUAGGUCAAAUUUUGGAAAAAAAACUAAGAAAUAUAAGAGAAUAUGCCAAAAUUUAAAUAGGAUUUUUAACUUGUUAACUUCUUGUUAUAAUUUUCUUUGCUUAAAAUUAAGUUGAGAUUCUAUGUACUUUUCAAUUUUUACCAUUUUAUUAUGUAUAUAAGAAUCUUGUUUAUGUGAUAACAAGUUUAGAUACUUUUUUUAGCCAUUUCUUUGCUUAAAAUGAAGUUUAGGAUUAUAUGUGCUUGUGGGGUGUUACAAUAUUUGUAUAAAAAAUAUCAUAUCCUUAUUUGAAAUCUAAUAUUAAGGGACUAUUCCAAAAUUUAAUUAGGAUUUUUAACUUAUUAACUUCUUGUUGUAAUUUUCUUUACUUAUAAUUAAGUUGAGAUUCUAACUACUUUUCAAUUUUUAUCAUUUUAGUAUGUAUAUAAGAAUCUUGUUUAUGUGAUAACAAGUUUAGAUACUUUUUUAGGCAUUUAUUUGCUUAAAAUGAAUUUUAGGAUUAUAUGUGCUUGUGGGGUGUUAUAAUAUUUGUAUAAAAAUAUCAUAUCCUUAUUUGAAAUCUAAUAUUAAGGGACUAUUCCAAAAUUUAAUUAGGAUUUUUAACUUGUGAACUUCUUGUUAUAAUUUUCUUUACUUAUAAUUAAGUUGAGAUUCUAACUACUUUUCAAUUUUUAUCAUUUUAGUAUGUAUAUAAGAAUCUUGUUUAUGUGAUAACAAGUUUAGAUAUUUUUUUAGGCAUUUCUUUGCUUAAAAUUAAGUUUAGGAUUAUGUGUGCUUGUAGGGUGUUACAAUGUUUGUAUAAAAAUACCAUAUUCUUAUUUGAAAUCUAAUAUUAAGGGACUAUGCCAAAAUUUAAAUAGGAUUUUUAACUUUAUAACUACUUGUUAUAAUUUUCUUUACUUAUAAUUAAGUUGAGAUUCUAACUAAUUUUCAAUUUUUAUCAUUUUAGUAUGUAUAUAGGAAUCUUGUUUAUGUGAUAACAAGUUUAGAUCAUUUUUUAGGUAUUUCUUUGCUUAAAAUUAAGUUUAGGAUUAUGUGUGUUUGUGGGGUGCUACAAUGUUUGUAUAAAAAUACCAUAUUCUUGUUUGAAAUAUAAUAUUAAGGGACUAUGCUGAAAUUUAAAUAGGAUUUUUAACUUACUAUCUUCUUGUUAUAAUUUUCUUUACUUAAAAUUAAGUUAAGAUUCUAACUACUUUUGAAUUUUCACCAUUUUAGUAUGUAUAUAUUAUUCUUGUUUAUGUGAUAACAUGUUUAUAAACACUUUUUUAGGCAUUUCUUAGCUUAAAAUUAAGUUUAGGAUUAUGUGUGCUUAUGGGAUGUUACAAUGUUUGUAUAAAAAUACUAUAUUCUUGUUUGAAAUCUACUAUUAUUUACCAUAUAAUAACAAAUUAAGGCACUUGGAUGUUUUGUUGUGCUAAAAAUCAAUUUGAUUAUUAACUAAUUUGAAAUUCCAAUGCUUAUAUUUAUUAUAUAUAGUAGGUAUAAUUUAAAAAAUAUCUACUAAAUAUGGGAGAUCAUGCCCAAAUUUAAUGGAAAUUUUAAUUUACUAACUUAUUAAUUAUGUUUUGGUUCUUUUUUUUUUGUUUUAUUUUUUAUUUUGCAUAUAUAGGAGAAGAUGUUGGAGCUUUAACGCCAGCCUAUUGCAGAAGGAGCUGUGGCUAUGACUGAGGUAGAAAUUUGUGAGAAAGUUUUGGGACAAAAAUCAGGAUAUGUCAAGGGCCUUGGUUUUGGCCCUAAACCAAUCUCAUUUUCUAAAUCUAAACCAUCAUCUUCUGAGCGUGAAAAUGAGUUGGAGCAUAGACUUAUUGAGACUCAACUACUUGUGGAGACUCAACAACAAUAACUUGAGACUCAACAAGAUCGAAUUGACCAAUUGGAGGCCUUCGUACAAAAACAAAAUCAACAACAUCAUCAACAAUUUGAAGAAAUAUUGCGUCAUCUAUGAUCAAGCCAAGGGUCCUCAUGAUCCCUUUUUUUAUGAUGUGCAUAUGAUGGACGUUCAUUUCUUUUUUUUGCCUAUGCUAAUAUAGUUGUUUUGUGAUAGACAUUUUGUUAAACUAAUACUUUAUUUUGUUUUGUAGUUAUAUUAGCGUAGAUAUUAUACUACUAUGAUCACAUGUUAUGGUUACAUAUAUUAAUUACCAAUGAAGUUAUGUGAUAUAUAUUUUGAUUUUUGUAAGCAGGUUUCAGAAUUAACCUUUCUAUUAUAAUUAAUGUUUUAAAUACCAAAUGCCAUACAUUUGUAAUAUGAAAAAUAAAAAAUGUAAAUACAUUUCCUGACAAAAAAAAAAAAUUGUUACUAAAGAUAUUUCCUGAUGAAAUAUUUUUGUUGCUGAAGAUUGUUGUAUCAUCCACAACUAAUUUAUAAUUCACUGGCAUACGUUUUAGGGACAAAAUCAUUUUGUAAAUAAAAGGAUUUAGCAACGAAAUGAAUUUGUCAGUAUUAAUGAUAAAUAUUUUAGUUCAAAAAAAUCCUUUAGCAAUGAAAUAUCUAUUUCAUCAAGAAAAACUUUUAGUGACAAAAUGGAACUUUCGUUGGGAUUGCAAAGCAUAGGGAGACGAAAUUAAAUUGUUACAAAAAAUAUUUGGCAGCAAAAUAAAUUUGUUAGCACUAAGUAUUGACGACUUUGAGGACAAAAAUUUAUAUUUUUUAGUGGCAAAAAUUCUUAUUUUUGUUAAUGAAAAAUUUCGUUGGGGAAAAUAUUUAGUAACAAAAUUUUUAUUUCAUCAGGGAAAAUAUUGGGCGACGAAAUAGGAUUUUUGUCGGGAAACUUUUAGCGACGGGUCUAAGGCAACGAAUGUGACACGAAACAUUUUUCGUUGGGAAAUAUUUUUGCAGACGAAAUUUCGACUUUUAGUGACAAAAUAUUUUAUCAUUGAAAGUUAAUUUUCUUGUAGUUAAAUGAAAACAAAUUGAAAUACUUUUGUAAAUAAAAUUGUAAUUUUUUUUUGUAAAAGCAAGUAAAAAUCAUUUUUGUUGCCAAAUUGAAAUUUUGCAAUAAAUUAUUUUGAUAUAAUAAGUGAAAAUAAAUUUUUUUGAAAAUUAAAUACAAAUGAAAUUGAAUUAAAUCAUUAAUUAAAAAUAAAUUGAAACUUCUUUUUUGGCAAUAAAAAAAAAUUAAAAUCAUUAAUUUAAAAUCAUUUUUAAUAAAUACUUUGAAAUUUCUUGAAAAUUAUUUUUUUAAUAUUUUUUUUUAGUUCAAUAAAUCAUUUUGCAUAAUUCUCUUAUUAUUUAUUUUGUGUAUUCUUGUAAUUAGAUUUCAUCAUUAUUUUUGUGUAUAUUAAUUUUCACCAUGACUUGUACAUACUCAUUUACAUGAUUAUUUUUCUUGGUAUCCAUAAUUAAUUAAUUAAUCAUCACAAUUUCCUUAAUUCAUUUAGUAGAGGGCAUACGUAUACAAGCUUAGAGGGGUGUUACAGCUCAUUACAAUACCUUCCCGAUAUGUAACGGGGGACUCAAACUCAAUUUUUCACAAACUUGUUUUUACUUCGAGAGUCACAUUUAAGGUUUUUCUUUUUUAUUUUGUUUUUCCCUUAAAAAAAUAAAACAAAAAUCAGUAACGACUUUAAGUCUUUUUUAAAAAAUCAUAUUUUUUACCAAAUAAAUAAAAAACGAGUCUCGUUGUCGAGUGGAGACGCACAUGAAAAACGUAGGUCCACACCGAUAUAUUAUAUUAUUUUUUAAUUUAUUUAUAAUUUAAAACUAAUUUCAUUUUUUAUAAGACCUCAAUUAAAUUUCUAUUAAUUAAAUUUAGAAUAUUUUUACAAAAUCAAUAUAGAAAAAUUAUUUAAAAAAAAAAAAAAAAAAACCAACUUGUAGACUCCUUCUCUUGAGCUCUAUUUUUUUUAUGGUCUGAAACAAGGGGGCAUGGCAUGACCCAAGGGAGAAAUUUUCGAUUUUUUAGUGAAGGAGGGGACACCUCCCAAGAAGGUAGCUGCCUUGGACGUGUGGCAAGGGAGAUUGGCUGCCCAUGAAAGUGGUUGCAAGCCCAUGCUUGCUGUGAGGUGAAUAGGAGAGUGGGUGGUGGCUUGCCAAGGAAGGGAAAAAGAGAGAGAAAAAAGGGGAGUUAGAGCUGAGGGCAAGGGUGGAGCCAGAGAGAAAGGAGAAGCCCGAAUGAGAAGAAGGGAGAGGUACGACAUUUACCAUGACUCUUUGGACUCACUUGAUGUAUAUAAUCUCCUUAUUUUUCUCUUAAUAGUUUCGAGUAGAUUAUUCGAACAUAUGUUUCGUUUUAUGGUUCAUAGUUAUGGUUUGGAUGCUACUAUCUCUUUCAUAUUUUUGGUUUGUUUUGAGAGCAAUGAAGCUCUGUUUUAACCUCCUCCUCAUGGCCAUUACCGUGCUCAUCAUCCACCCCCAAUACCCACAUCGUCACGCACCAAUAUACCAGCUCCAUUUCAUCACCAUCCCACGUUCCAUGCAUGGCUGUCACCCUCACCCAUCCUCCCAAUCACCUUUUCUCUCUCUACCCGCCAUACCCAUCCUUCACCCGCAUGCGCGGAACCUGGUAUAUUUGGCUGCCCACCAUGCCCGCGUUCAGCUCAUCUCCACAGGAACCCCCAAAGCCGCCCGUCUACACGCGUGUGUCCCAUGCAUGCAAGCCGCCCCAUCCCUCAUUUUUUUUUGCUGCAUGCACCGCGUCGACAAGGCGUCUGCUCCUCACCAGCCACCAUCACCCGCUCCAGCCAUGCGGGCAUUUGCACCAGCCACCAUGGCGGCAGCAUCUCUUGGAUGCCAUGGGACUACCACCAUUGCUCCUUGAAGACUUUGAAGACUAAAAUAUGAAGAAUUUGAAGACAAACUAUGGAGGAACACAGACUCAAUUCAUUCUGUGAUUCUUUUUUUUUUUUUUACAAUGAAAGAAAGCAUAAAUAAAUAGCCUACAGAUAUGAGAUAAUUCCGGAAUGGUACACUAUCACUGGACGGAAUUUCCCUUACAUGGAAAGUGUUACAUGGAAAGUGAAUAAACUACCUUGCUAGAAUUACUCCUAAAUCAAUUAUAAUAAAGGUUGUACAUUACACUAAUUCAGGGAAGUAAACAGAGGAUGCUAAAUAUGGGGAGGAACAUGCACAGGCAGGAAGGCGACGUGGGCUUGAUUUCCAACACUCCCCCUCAAGCCGCGUUGUAGAUGUUGAUCAUUCCAAGUUUUUCUGUCAGAUCUUCGAAGUUAACUCGAGCAAGAGCUUUUGUGAGAAUGUCAGCCGUUUGAUAGUUUGUCGGAGUGUAGCUGACUUUGAAAACUCCUUCUUCAAUCUUUUCCUUGAUAAAGUGUCGAUCUAUCUCCACGUGCUUAGUUCGAUCAUGAUGAACCGGAUUCUUAGCGAUACUGAUGGCAGCUUGAUUGUCGCAGUAUAACACCAUGGGAUGCUUCAAUGGAACCCAUAAUUCUUCUAGCAGCCUGUUCAACCAGAUUUCCUCGCAGAUACCUUGUUCCAUAGCACGAAAUUCUGCCUCAGCACUGCUACGGGCUACCACUGACUGUUUCUUGCUUCGCCAUGUAACCAAGUUCCCCUAGACAAAUGAACAAUAGCCUGAAGUUGAUCUCCGAUCAGUCACUGAACCUGCCCAAUCUGCAUUUGAAAAAAUCUCAAUCUCUUUCUUUGUUGUUCUUUGAAAGAAAAGACCCUUUCCCGGUGUCAUCUUGAGGCACCUCAAUAUUCUGAUCACAGUAGUCAUGUGUUUUUCGGUUGGAUUAUUCAUGAAUUGACUUACCACACUAACGGAGAAGCCGAUGUCUGGCCUUGUAUGAGAAAGAUAGAUGAGUUUCCCCACAAGACGUUGAUAUCUUCCUUUAUCAACUGGCGCACUUCCAUCACUUUCUUCCAGUUUGACAGUUGUAUCCAUAGGUGUUUCUGCUGGCUUGCAUCCUAGCAUUCCUGUUUCAUUCAAUAAGUCCAGAACGUAUUUGCGUUGUGAGACUGCUAUACCUUUCUUUGACCUAGCAAUCUCCAUUCCGAGAAAGUACUUGAGGUUUCCAAGAUCCUUGAUCUCAAAUUCCUUUGUCAGUAAUUUUUUAAGUAAGUCAAUUUUCUCUUCAUGAUCACCUGUCACNNNNNNNNNNNNNNNNNNNNNNNNNNNNNNNNNNNNNNNNNNNNNNNNNNNNNNNNNNNNNNNNNNNNNNNNNNNNNNNNNNNNNNNNNNNNNNNNNNNNGAUAGUGCCACAACAUAAUUGCACUAUUGUUAUUUUGACAUGAAACCGAAAAAGAAUUACUACCAACUGCCAUUUGAGGUUGUUCUUGUGGAUCGUGGCGCUCCUUAAGGAUGUAGAGUCCAGAGCAUUCCUCAGCAUUGCCAAUCGUCUUCCCCGAAUCCAAAUCCUGAAAUUCACAGUGAGUGGAGGAAAAAUUAGUAAUACACCUCUUUUCCUUAGUGAGUUUACUAAUUGACAAUAGAUUACAGUCCAAGUUAGGAACAAGGAGAACAGAGUUGAGAGUAAGAUCCCUUGAUAGCACAACUGAACCUGUUCCGGCAACCUUUGAUAGUGAACCAUCUACUAUUCGGACUGUUAAAUUAUUUGGACAUGAGCUAUAUGUAUCAAAAAUUGUCGCAUCUCCCGUCAUAUGAUCAGAUGCUCUUGAAUCCACGAUCCAAGGUUUUUUACGUUUCUUACCAGCAGUGAAGGCACUCAAAAAAUUACCUUUGUGAGCCAAGGUUCCGGAACCAAUGACCUGGUUGGAAGAUGAGCCAGUUUGUGACUGUACUGACAAAAGAGGAGACAGUAGUUUCUGAAGCAUCUCCAUUUGCUCCUUAUUAAAAGGGCUAGCUUCAGGUUGUGGCGAUUGUUCAUCGGUAGCCACAUGAUUGCCUCGUCCUUCUUUCUCAGGUGGUUGACGUGGCUUCCAAUCUACUGGCUUUCCAUGAAUCUUCCAACAAGUUUCUCUUGAGUGUCCCGGCUUUCUGCAAUGAUCACACCAAGGUCUACCUCCUUUAAUUUUUUGACGGUUGUCAAAAGGAGCGAAUUGAGUCUUAAGAGCCGAGCUUUCUGCCAUAUUCAAUUGUUGAUGGGAUCCCAUCAUGAGAUUUUUCCGACUUUCUUAGCAACGGACUUCAGAGAAUGCCUCUCUGAGGCUAGGUAGAGGUUUUACUCCCAUGAUUCUUCCUCUAAUUUCAUCAAGAUUUUUGUUCAAGCCUAACAAAAAUUUAAACACACGUUUCCCUUCGACAAUCUUUUUAUACAACAAACCAUCUGUAACACAAUUCCAGUUAUGAACCUCAAACGUAUCAAGUUGACGCUGAUUCGUCCCUAGCAGUGGAAGUGGCAAUGACACCAUUUGAUUCGAGGUUCGAUCCCCGGCAACGGCGCCAUUUGAUUCGUCCCUAGCAGCGGAAGUGGCAAUGGCACCAUCUGAUUCGGGGUUCGAUCCCCGGCAACGGCGCCAUUUGAUUCGUGCCUAAUUGGUGUCUCAGCUGAUUCGUGUCCAGCUGGUGCUCCUUGAUUGAGGGAUUAAUCAACAAAAUUUAUAACCUAUUACACCAUAUACUAGGGUAGCAAAGACAAAGCUACUAUAGCAUAGUGGCUCUAGGAUCGUUCACUAGGAUGGGUUUUCACUUCACAAAUGAUGUUAAUUCAAAGUUGAAUUGGUGCCUUUUCAUUUCAAGGUUAGCUUUAAAAGAAAACAUAAAGAUGCUUGAAUGAAAAAAAUUUGGUUUUAAACUAACCAAAAAUAGUAACUGAUUUUACUUAUAAAGAAAAGUGUUUCUUGGAGUUCAGAUCACUAGGCUCGUUCCUCAUACAAAAUGGAGAGUUCCGGUCACUUGUUUAUUUUCCUCGCAUUAGAGAAUUAACAUAUAGUUCCUUCUCCAACCGGUGUUGUACAGAUGCUUCCCAUUAAUGGGUUCAAACACUAAAUCUCUCUCACUGAUGCAUCUUGCAAUGGUUCAUGCCUCUCACGAGCACUUACCAUUCAAGAUGAUCUUUAACCUUGGAUUUCCCUUCUCAAACUCGCAAGAGAUAACUAAUGGAUGUCUCCUUGGAGUCCAAAAGCUUACCAAGUGUUGGCUAUUCUAGAAAAUCCUACCUACAAGUCACCUCCCAAAGGCUCGCAAGGGGUAAACUAGUGCAUUUCCAUGGUUGGAAAUCACUUGCCUUACCAAGUGUUAGCCCAGGUGACUCUAAGGUGUUUUAAGUUAACUAAAAACAUAGAAAUCACUAACGGGUUACACUUUCUCUUCAUUAAAAACUAAAACAACAAAACUUCCAAAUUAUGCAUGUGGAAACUUACCCGGCUUUCCUCACUCCAAGAGACAAAAAGCUUAGCCUCUCAUCCUCUGUGGAAAAAUCCUCAGAGUUUGGUUGGCUAGAAAAUGAAAAUGAAAGAGAAGACAAGAAUAUAUAUCAAAAACAGAGCAAGUGCUCUGUUCGUUGAUUCUAUAUAUUGGAUUACAUGAUAUAUCUGAUUACAUGCCCCUCUUACAGUGGAUGCAAGAGAGUUUAUAUAGGAAUGUUUUUCCAACCUUCCCAACUAAGAAAUCUUAUGGUUGGUGGAUUACAAGGAGAGGAAUGGAAAUUUAUACAAAAAUAUCUUAAGAAAAGAUCUAAAAGAGUCGGUGGCAAAUAUCGGGAAGCAUUAAGGACCAUUUCGCAGGUGAAAAUGGUGUCUGCGAGAUUUCGCAGACACUCAAGAGGGCUGCGAAAUAUUUUCGCAUCAACAAGCUGAACUCGCAGGACUGCGAAAUUGGCUUCCACCUUGAGGUUCUCAGAGUUCCAGCUUGUGGCAUGUAUCGGGUAGCUUCAGGAGGAAUUCCAUAGCACUGUACAAAAAGGCUGCGAAAUUCUCGCAACAAAAGGCUGAAUUCGCAACACUUUGGAGUGAUCUGCUUGCAAUGGCUGUAACUCCUUCGUUUCAACUCCAAAUCGUGCACCGUUUGAAGCAUUGGAUUCUUGACUUCCUGAGCUUUGAAAUGGUAUAUAGAAUAUAUAAAAUGGACUUCGUGAAGUGUUCCAAAAGUGCGCAAGAAGACUGCAGUUGGCUUUCCUCUGUUUUCUUCACUCUGUUUUCCUCUUCUCCUUGCUUCUCUCCUUGCAUACUUUGAACGACUUUGGCAAAGGGCUAUGGAGCUCCAAAGCUUGGUUCUUCAUGAAUUUGAGCUCUUCAUUGCUUUGCCAUGGAUUCCAAAUAACUCUCCUCAAUCUUGGAUUGUUUUGGUGAUCAAAUUACUAACAAAAACACCAAAACUUACACAAUUUGAUUAGAAAUGAUUGCAAGGGUCCUUAACAUGUUAAUUGAGUUAAAAGGCAAUAACUACUACUCAAAAGUGUUUAAAAGGAUUAAUUACAAGCUACAAAAUAGCACUUUUUGAGUAGUAAUCACUCCCCCCAACCGACAUAUUGCUAGUCCCUUAGCAAUGAAGGUGAUAAAAACUAAGUAAACUAUAAUAAUAUACAUAAAAUGGAUCAUGCAAAUCACUCCAAAAAAUGAUAUGAGUGGCAUGAUGGACAUCCAUGGAUCAAUAAAGAUGUGAAACUCAACCUAUAAUAAGAGUUGUCAAAGCAUUCACUUGAUCAUAGAGUACAAAGAAUGGAUAUUAUGCAGGUUUAAGCAUCAAAAGAAUUUCCACUCUCAAAAGAUCCAAAUCAAAUUCUUCCACUAAAAGCUAAGUGUUAAUGUGAUUAGCUUCCGAGUAUAGUAUGGAUAACUAUCAUCUCCCCCCAACCUAAGUCUUUCUUUAAGCUUAGCAAAAUUAACCAUCUCUUGAUAGGCUAGGAACGCACCUCUUAUUCACAAUUCUUUUCACUUACUAAACUUAACCAAUUCACCCAUGUAACAAGCAGAGGAUCGGUGACUCCCAACCAAUAAAGGCUUAGGGCACCAGGCUUUAAAGGCUUUCGCCACCCCUUCGGACCAUGCUCAGGUUUCAAGGCAAGUAAAGAAGUUUAUUCUUUUUUUUUUUUUUCUUUUUCUUUUUUCUUUUUUCUUUUUCUUUUUCUUUUUCUACAAAGACUCAUUGGUCUUUAUGAGGUGUCCCAACACUAUUAAAGAGAGGUUAAGGGUGUCAAAUUAUGAUUUCUCAAGCUUAGAGGGUGAGAUAGUUUCACAUCUUAUAACCGGAAUCUAAUGUAUGUGUGUGCGAAUAGCUUAAGGUGGAAGAGAUAAGUUUGCAUGCAAUGGGAGUUUCAACAAUUCAUCAACUUUUAGAAGAGCAUAAUACAAACUCUAAGACUCAUGUAAUCAAGUUGAAACUCGACUUCUCUCAUUUAAUUUUGAGAGUUAAUCCUUAAUAUCCAUGGAGUUUAAAGCAAAAAUUUUAAAAAUUAAGCAAAAAACAACUAAAUUACCAAAAUAACUUAGCAUUAUUAACAAUACUUACUUCCUCAACUCUCCCCCCAACCAAGCUGAACAUUGUCCUCAAUGUGACAAAAGCGAUUAAAAAAUAGGGAGGAAGUGGUACCUCCUUAGUGACAUGGAGUCUGAGUCGUAUAGGAGAAACCACAUGUUUCAAAGAAAACAUAAAAGAGUUAGUGAGUAGAGGAAAUAAAAAAAUGCCAAGUUUAAACAAAAAAUGAUGUCUAUGUAUGAUGCAUCAUCAGUAAUACAUCCAAUCCCAGAAUAUAAGACAUCAAAACAUGGAAUUAUCUAUACUAAUAUAAUAUGUAAAGACAAAAAGUAAAGAGAUGAUCAUGUAAUGGUAAGGUCCUGUGGAGCUGAUGUGUCUGUGGUGGCCUCUUGAAUGGGUUGGAUCAGGAUUUUGGCCUCUGUUCUGGUAGUCUCCUUAAGUGGCAUGGUCUCCUCAGCUGGAGCUCUCAGUUAGAGCUAUGAGCUUUGAUGGUUUAAGGAGGUCAGAAAUGGAGUGAGAGGCUUGGUGUGUGUGAUCUCAAGGUGUGCGGGGCUCUCCUCUUCAGAUGCAUGGUUGCAGAGCUCUAUUGGCAUUUUAGCAACUUCCCUUGGCUUUGCAAAGUGUUUUUGCAAAUCACCCUCCAUUUUGCAAGUCAAUUUCGCAAUUUGAAGGCCCUUUCUAAGCUUGGAGGUGAUUUCAUAGCCAUUUCGAAGCUUGGAGAUCAUUUCGCAGAAAAGUGGCAUGUUCACAGACCAUUUUUUAAGCUUGGAGCAUUUUCGCAGCUCAUAGGUGAUUUCGCAGCCAUAUCGAAGCUUGGAGAUCAUUUCAUAGCCAUUUCAAAGCUCAAAAGUGAUUUCGCAGGUGUAUCGCAGCUUCAAAAUGAGGGGAAUUGUGCUGCAAAUGGCACUCGUGUGCCAAAAAGUGGUUUCGCAGCUGCGAAACACCCUUCCAAAUGGCGUCUCGGCUGCGAAAUUCCCGUUUAGCUUUGCGCGCUUGUCUUCAAACGGCCAUAACUUCUUCAUUUCAAAUCCAAAUCGAGUACCGUUUGAAGCUAUGGACUCCUGACUUCUCAAGAUUUGAAACGAGAUAUCAUGUGCAUAAUUUGAGCUCCAGAAAGUGCUUCAAAAAUGUGUCCAACAGUAGCGAAAUUGAGGUGCGACAUUUCCGUUCAUAGUUUGCACAGUCAUCUUCAAAUGGCCAUAACUUUUCUGUUUCAAAUCCAAAUCAAGUACCGUUUGAAGCUGUGGACUCUUGACUUCCCAAGCUUUCAAAUGAGAUAUUGUAUGAAUAAUUUGAACUUCGGGAAGUGAUCGAAAUGUGUCCAACAAUUGCCAAAAUGGGGGUGCGGCUGUGAAAUUGGGAUUUUUCAUGUUUUGGAACUUCGCAGCCGUUUCGUAGCUGCGAAAUGAGGGUUACUGUGCUGCGAAAUGGCACUCGUGUACCAAAACCGGCUUCGCAAUUGCGAAAUACCCUGCGGAAUGGAGCUUUGGCUGCGAAAUUGAGAAUUUUCACGCUUUGGAGCUUCGCAGCCGUUUCGCAGCUGCGAAAUGAGGGUCACUGUGCUGCGGAAUGGCACUCGUGUGCCAAAAGUGCUUUCGCAGCCGCGAAAUCCUUUGCGAAAUGGGACUUUUGUUGCGAAAUCAGCCUUUUUCACUUCGCAAUGCGUUUCGCAGCUGCGAAACAUAUGCUCCUGUGCUGCGAAGUGGCACUCGUGUGCCAAAAUGGGUUUCGCAGCUGCGAAAAUUUUCGCAGAGACUUCUACAGUGUUGCGGAAUGGUUUGGCAACAAAAUGCCGAUUUCGCAGAGGCUGCGAAAUCUCGCAGACCCUUGUUUUUCCCCUGUUUUCGCUCCGUUUGACUCCGAUUUUGCUCUGAUUUUUUUUCUUCAAUUUCUUUGCAAUUCCUCUUGAUUUUGAUCAUUCAAAAACCUAUAUUACAUCAAAACAAAUUAGAAUUAAAGCAUUGAAAUCAAAAUUAAAGCAUUGAAAUCCAAAUUAAAACAUUGAAAUCAAAAUUAAAACAAGAAAUUAACAAAACAAAAAGAUAUGGACUAGCUAGUCUUUAAAAAGACUAAGUCCAUCAAAAAAUUUGCUCAUGAUUUAGCUUGCCCGGAUCCCAUAUGAAGCUUACAUCCCUCACUUGAGACUUGGUUUGUAUGAUUUUGCCAUACAAAGCUUGGAGAAAAGGUGGAGGCAUGCGUUUCAUCAUUUCUUCCUUGAUGACUAUCCUCUGUGGUUCUCUUUGUACAUUAAUAUCAUAGCCAUCAUUCUCUAUGCUUUCCCCCUUUUUCUUUCCUUUGAUUUCCUCCCUAUUUUCUUUCUCUGUUUCACUCUCUUCCUUAUGCUCUAGCUUGCAUGUGGGCAGAUCAACCUCUUUACCACUCCUCAGAGUGAUCACUUCUUCAAUUUCCUUCACCAUUGAAGAUUCUCCCUCUUGAGCCUCCACUUCAUGGAUGCCCUUGGAAUUUUGACAAGGUUGAGAAGGAGAGUUUUCUUUCUCUUGCACUAUGUUGAGGUUGGCAAGCCUUGAGAUUGAAUCUUGGAGAAUAUCUAACUUUUGAGAUAGAUCAUUUUGCAUUUCAUCCAUCCUUUUAUUCAAAGUACUCUCCACUCUAUCAAUUCUUUGAUCGACUCGAGCAUUGGUGGCUUCUUGCUUUUCAAUAAAAUCUCCCAUGACCUUGCAAAGAUUCACCAUAGCUUGUUCAAGGUUUGAGGCUUGCUGUGGUGCUUGAGCAGGUUGCUGAUACUGAGGUGGCUGUGGUUUCCAAGAGAAAUUUGGAUGGUCCCUCCAAUUGGAAUUGUAGGUGUUGCAAUCACCAAACAUUUCCCUCUCGGCUGGAAUGGUAGGACACUCAUCCACCAAGUGCUCAUAUGAUAGACAAAUGGCACAAGGCAUAGCUUGCAAUGAUGACUGAGAGAUGGCUUGCACUUGUUGCAUAUUCGUCAUUUCUAGCUUUUCCAAUCUCCUUUCCAUAGCUGCAAUCUCUGCCUUCAUGUUCAUACCAUCAUUCAAAAUAUACAUCUCACCCUUAGCUUUAGGUUGAGAUGUCAUUCUUCCCAUAUCUCUAGCAUUUGGUUCAUUCCAUCCUCUUGAGACUUCAGCCACAUAACUCAUGAAGUUCAUGGCUUCCUCUGCUAUGGUAUUCAAUAUGGCAUGCACAACUAGCAAUUUAUGAAUUAAAAACAGAGAACACAAAAGAAAAUAAAAGAAAAACAAUUCAAAGAAAGAAAAUUAAGGUAAACUAAAAACUAAAUAAAAGGUAUACUAAAAUAUGAACAAUAAAGAAAUAAAAAGAGUUAGUAAAAGGAAAAGAAAAGUCACCAAACUUGUGAUGAAGAUCACAAGUACUCUAGAAAGGUGAUAUCACUGUAAAGUGGCACCAUCCCCGGCAACGGCGCCAUUUGAUUCGUCCCUAGCAGUGGAAGUGGCAAUGGCACCAUUUGAUUCGAGGUUCGAUCCCCGGCAACGGCGCCAUUUGAUUCGUCCCUAGCAGCGGAAGUGGCAAUGGCACCAUCUGAUUCAGGGUUCGAUCCCCGGCAACGGCGCCAUUUGAUUCGUGCCUAAUUGGUGUCUCAGCUGAUUCGUGUCCAGCUGGUGCUCCUUGAUUGAGGGAUUAAUCAACAAAAUUUAUAACCUAUUACACCAUAUACUAGGGUAGCAAAGACAAAGCUACUAUAGCAUAGUGGCUCUAGGAUCGUUCACUAGGAUGGGUUUUCACUUCACAAAUGAUGUUAAUUCAAAGUUGAAUUGGUGCCUUUUCAUUUCAAGGUUAGCUUUAAAAGAAAACAUAAAGAUGCUUGAAUGAAAAAAAUUUGGUUUUAAACUAACCAAAAAUAGUAACUGAUUUUACUUAUAAAGAAAAGUGUUUCUUGGAGUUCAGAUCACUAGGCUCGUUCCUCAUACAAAAUGGAGAGUUCCGGUCACUUGUUUAUUUUCCUCGCAUUAGAGAAUUAACAUAUAGUUCCUUCUCCAACCGGUGUUGUACAGAUGCUUCCCAUUAAUGGGUUCAAACACUAAAUCUCUCUCACUGAUGCAUCUUGCAAUGGUUCAUGCCUCUCACGAGCACUUACCAUUCAAGAUGAUCUUUAACCUUGGAUUUCCCUUCUCAAACUCGCAAGAGAUAACUAAUGGAUGUCUCCUUGGAGUCCAAAAGCUUACCAAGUGUUGGCUAUUCUAGAAAAUCCUACCUACAAGUCACCUCCCAAAGGCUCGCAAGGGGUAAACUAGUGCAUUUCCAUGGUUGGAAAUCACUUGCCUUACCAAGUGUUAGCCCAGGUGACUCUAAGGUGUUUUAAGUUAACUAAAAACAUAGAAAUCACUAACGGGUUACACUUUCUCUUCAUUAAAAACUAAAACAACAAAACUUCCAAAUUAUGCAUGUGGAAACUUACCCGGCUUUCCUCACUCCAAGAGACAAAAAGCUUAGCCUCUCAUCCUCUGUGGAAAAAUCCUCAGAGUUUGGUUGGCUAGAAAAUGAAAAUGAAAGAGAAGACAAGAAUAUAUAUCAAAAACAGAGCAAGUGCUCUGUUCGUUGAUUCUAUAUAUUGGAUUACAUUAUAUAUCUGAUUACAUGCCCCUCUUACAGUGGAUGCAAGAGAGUUUAUAUAGGAAUGUUUUUCCAACCUUCCCAACUAAGAAAUCUUAUGGUUGGUGGAUUACAAGGAGAGGAAUGGAAAUUUAUACAAAAAUAUCUUAAGAAAAGAUCUAAAAGAGUCGGUGGCAAAUAUCGGGAAGCAUUAAGGACCAUUUCGCAGGUGAAAAUGGUGUCUGCGAGAUUUCGCAGACACUCAAGAGGGCUGCGAAAUAUUUUCGCAUCAACAAGCUGAACUCGCAGGGCUGCGAAAUUGGCUUCCACCUUGAGGUUCUCAGAGUUCCAGCUUGUGGCAUGUAUCGGGUAGCUUCAGGAGGAAUUCCAUAGCACUGUACAAAAAGGCUACGAAAUUCUCGCAACAAAAGGCUGAUUUCGCAACACUUUGGAGUGAUCUGCUUGCAAUGGCUGUAACUCCUUCGUUUCAACUCCAAAUCGUGCACCGUUUGAAGCAUUGGAUUCUUGACUUCCUGAGCUUUGAAAUGUUAUAUAGAAUAUAGAAAAUGGACUUCGGUAAGUGUUCCAAAAGUGCGCAAGAAGACUGUAGCUGGCUUUCCUCUGUUUUCUUCACUCUGUUUUCCUCUUCUCCUUGCUUCUCUCCUUGCAUACUUUGAACGACUUUGGCAAAGGGCUAUGGAGCUCCAAAGCUUGGUUAUUCAUGAAUUUGAGCUCUUCAUUGCUUUGCCAUGGAUUCCAAAUAACUCUCCUCAAUCUUGGAUUGUUUUGGUAAUCAAAUUACUAACAAAAACACCAAAACUUACACAAUUUGAUUAGAAAUGAUUGCAAGGGUCCUUAACAUGUUAAUUGAGUUAAAAGGCAAUAACUACUACUCAAAAGUGUUUAAAAGGAUUAAUUACAAGCUACAAAAUAGCACUUUUUGAGUAGUAAUCAGACGCCAUAGACGAGUAAGAGUAUUGAAAUAUUCAGUUAACGUAAGGUUUCCUUGACGCAAAUCGUGGAGGAUGCCUUCAAUCUGGAUGAUUUCAGAUGUGUUUUCCUUGUCUGAGAAAGUUUCUUUUGCAGUGUCCCAGAUUUCUUUGGCAGUAUCAAAUGAUAGAAAAUUUUCACCAAUAUCAGUGGUCAUAGAGUUGACUAGCCAGGACAUGACCAUAUUAUUUUCUGCUAUCCACUUUUUGUAGGUUGAUGCUGUGGUUUUUGGUGCCACCGAAGCUCCGGUGAUGUAGUCAUCUUUCUCCUUUCCCUGUAUAAACAUUAAUAUGGACUGAGACCAUUGCAAAUAAUUUUGCUCAUUCAGUUUAUGGGCUGUGAUUGGAAGAUGAGAGGUUUCCAUCUGAUGAGAGGAUGAAGACGAUGAGAUGAUGAUAUCAGAAGUAGAGGAUGAUGAGUUGGUAGCCAUUCCAAAGGCUGGACCGUAUUUAGGCAUAAACUAGAAGAAUAGAAUUGAGUAGGAAAAAAAAAUACUGACUAAAGAUGAAGACGAUGAGACAGGAUUAAACCUGCUCUGAUACCAUGAAGAAUUUGAAGACAAACUAUGGAGGAACACAGACUCAAUUCAUUCUGUGAUUCUUUUUUUUUUUUUUUACAAUGAAAGAAAGCAUAAAUAAAUAGCCUACAGAUAUGAGAUAAUUCCGAAAUGGUACACUAUCACCGGACGGAAUUUCCCUUACAUGGAAAGUGUUACAUGGAAAGUGAAUAAACUACCUUGCUAGAAUUACUCCUAAAUCAAUUAUAAUAAAGGAUGUACAUUACACUAAUUCAGGGAAGUAAACAGAGGAUGCUAAAUAUGGGGAGGAGCAUGCACAGGCAGGAAGGCGACGUGGGCUUGAUUUCCAACACUCCUCUCUCCAUGGUGUCGCCGGUGGUGGGAGCUUCCUCUAAGGAUGAUAUCCAGGCGGAGAGGCAAGCUAUGAAGGAGAUGAAGUCUUGGGCUUGAGAAGAAGCCCAACCCAAGCAUGUUGAUGGAGCCAUGCCAUCUCAAAUAAGUGGGAUGUGAGGGGAAAUGAUGCCUUGGGCUUGCCCAUGGUGGGAAUGGAUUUGGGCUUAAGUUGAGGCACCAGGCCCAAGCUAUGAUGAUGAUGGUGCCUUGGGAAGAGAAUGUGUGAAGAAGAACCCAGCAUUUUGGACAAAUCCCUCAUCAUUAUCAAAAUCUGAGCCAAUCGCCAUGAAUCAAUGGAAAAAAAAUGCUUUAAAUCAACAGCAAAGACAUACCUUCUUGUCUACGUAGUCCGCCCAGAACCUGGCCUGAGCUCUCUGGUAUGGGUCACUAGGCAAAAGCGGAGAUUUAUCGUGCCAAACCUCAUCAAUAUACUGAACUAUUAUCAGAGACUCACAAAUGGGCUUUCCAUUGUGGAUCAGAACCGGGAUUUUCUUAUGAACUGGAUUCAUCUCAAGAAGCAGAGGGCUCUUAUUCCUAAGGUCCUCCUCUUUAUAUUCAUACUUGAGGCCCUUCUCUGCCAGGGCAAGUCUGACCCUAAUACCAAACAUGCUAGGCCAAAAAUCCAACAAGAUAAUCUCGUCUGUCAUUGCUCCUACUGUGAUCAAGUAUUGAUGAACAACCCAAGGGAUAUUGUCAAGUAUUUAUAGCAAAUCUCAGAGAGUGAGUCAAAACCUUGGACAUUUCUAGGAGGUGGUGAUGGCGUGAUGCUCAUUCCUUAUCUCAGCAUACACUUUCCUUCCAUAUUAUAUCCUUAUCUCGGUUUUCUUUCUCUCUCCAGAAUUCCAAAAUUUUAAGUUUUUCUAUAUUUUUUUAUCAGUCUAGAAUUUUUUUUUAUCAAAUCUCAGUUUAAUGUAUUCACUUUUUUUAUUAAAAAAAAUUAAAAAUGUCAGUUGAGAUAUUCUUAUAUUUUUAUCAUUUGUACAAAAAUAAUUUAAUUUUAAAAUUAAUAUCAUAUUUAAAUCCAAAAAUAUUAUCAGAUAGAAAGCAAUUUAGCGUUUUUUUAUAUAUAUAAUAUCUGCAUUCAAAAAAAAAAAAUCAGCACAUUUAUUUAUUUUUAAAAACUUAUUAAAUUUUAAUUUUACUAGUAAAUAAUAGAAAUUAAAAUAAUGAACUUGUGCCAUAAGUUUGUGAGAGAAGUAAACUUUGGUUAUGGAGCAUCCAAUGCUCUGGUUGCUUCCACGAGAGGUCAUUGCUGUCGUCAGCCCUGGUCAACUAAGUACACUUGUCCACUCCAUGAAAUAUAUUUAUGUUAUUUUUUAUUUUAAAUUUUUGGUAGGAGAACUCUUCGCUAUGAGAAAAAAACACACUCUCAAAUGUGGGAGAUUGUCAUAAAAAAAAAAUUAAUAAUAAAUAAUAAUAAAUACGGGGUGAUCUCACCACUUACAUAUCUCCUCCGUCAUAAAACCAGAAUCAUUGAAUAUGGUUCUAGUUUACUAUGGUUCUAGCUUUAUGGCUUGAUUAAAAUUUACAAUUUUUUGUUUGUAUUAAAAUAAAAUAGAUAUAUAUUUUUUCAUAAAAAAAUCAUAUUAAAUAUUUUAUUUUAAUUUUAAAAUAUUUUUAUAGUUCUUUGCUCUUAAUAGAUAAAGACAAAAGAUUUAUACUCUAUUUAGUAAUUAUUUUUUGAAAUAAUUUUCUGUUUUUGAAAACCAAAAAAGAAAAAAAAAAAACAAGAAAACAAGAAAACAAAUUUGACAAUUUUAAAAAAAAAAAAUUGAUCUUAAAAGCAAAAAUAUGGUAUUUUUGAAAACAUAUUUUAUUGGUUUUCACUUGAUUUUUUUAUGGUUAUUUAAAAAGUAAACAUGCAACAUAAAGAGUGAUUAAAAAUAAAACAUUACACAUAAAAUUUAUUAUUAAAAUAUAUUUAAAAAUAUAGAAAACAACUUAAAAAUAUUUCUAUUCCAAAACAAAUUUUUUGUCUAUAAAAUAUCAAAAAAGAAAUUUCAAAAACUAUUUUUAAAAAUUUAUUUUUCAGAAUUGUUUUAAAAAUAAGUACACCAUAUAUAUAUAUAUAUAUAUAUAUAUAUAUUAUGUAUGUGACUCAUUUGCUCUAAUUGGACAUGAUCUUCCAUUUUUGUAGGCCUAGGCUGACAUAAAGGGCUUUCACUUUUUUUAUGGGCUUGAGGCUUUCACAUAUCCCAUUCUACAUCCUAGAACCCUACGUACAUCAAUUGAAAAAAUAGAUACGUCGUAUUAAAAAAUAAGCACAUCUUAAAAAAUAAGUACAUCUAUACUUGACUCAUUUGUCCUAUUUUGGACAUGAGCUUUCAUUUUUAUAACUGACUCAUUUGGCCAAUUUUUUGAGGUCUUUGCAUAUCCCAUUUUGCAUAGAAGAACUUUGGGUAUAUCCUUCAGAAAAAAUAAAUACAUCAUAUUGUAAAAAUAAGUACAUUCCCUUAAAAAAUAAUUGGUACAUAUUAUUUUCAUUGUAUAGGUGACUUGUUUGGCUUAUUCUUGUUUGGCAUGUCUUAUCCAACUUGUUUUAAUACUUGUUUAUGUGACAUGAAACGAUGGAAUGGACUAGAAUCUCCCCUGUGACAUUUAGUCAACUUCAAAUAUCUUAGUAACUCUAGUUAGAAUUGUUGAUUAGGUCAUCUAUUUGAACUUUUAUGCACCCUAAUAUCUUGUGAAACACCCUCUAGGCUCUAUUAUAUGGUAGAUAGCUUUAGAAAAUGUCCCUUUUCUUUUUCAUAUGUAAAUUUUUGUCCUCAUCUGGAACCUCCUACAAACCCUUUCCAAUCCUUUACCACUUGGGCAAGCCUCAAGUGGUACCAUUAAAGUGAUAAGCUUUAGAAGAUGUUCUUAUCACUCUUUACUUCAAUUUUUCCUAGGUUUUUGCCAUAUCUAAGGAUGAAGCAACCAAAAUCCCUAAAACUUUUAAAAUUAGCUAGGCUUCUUUUAUUGUAAAGAGUUUGAGUAGCAUCAAUUUUAUAGUAAAUCUAUUAAUUAUGUAAUAAGUUGUAUUAACUUCCUCUACUCAAAACUGUUAAACUAAGCCAUUUCCAUUAAGCAUCUGGAUGCCAUAUGUUGAAGAGUUAUACUUUCUCUUUGUAAAUCUAUUUUGUUAUUAGUUUCUUGUAGGUUUUUAAAGGCAUAUGUACAUUAGAAGUUACUCAUUCAUUCAAUCCGUCCAUCUCCAAAGAACAUGAUGCUUCCUUCAUAUUCAAGAAGGCUUGUAAAUUUUGUUUCAUCACUGUGUUAAGCAACUAUGAUAAAUAAAUAAAUAAAAAACAGUAUGAGUUUUCUUCUAUUACCCAAAUUCUAUGAAAUUAUUUAGAAGCUCUUUUUGGGGUAAUUCAAUUUUCUGCUUUGUUCAAGGGGCUUUUUAUUUUCUUUCAUUUUAUUUUGAAAAUCAUUAGGUUUUCUUUUCUUGAUUCCCUUUUCCACUGUCCUGUUAAUCUGCAUUGAUAUUAUUUAUCUUAAUUAAAUUAGCAUCACAAAAAAUACUUUUAUUUACGUACGAUCUUUAUUAGAGAAUAUGAUAUAUAUUAUGAGUCCAAAUCUUAAUGAUACAAGCUUUUAGAAAAAUUGGUUUUGUCAAUAAGAUAUUAAAAUGUCAUUUAGUGAAAGAUCAUGAGUUUGAAUAUGUUUAUUUCUCUAAUUAAGCUUUUAAUUUUUUUUUUAAUAUAUAGGUUUAUGAGUUUGUUUUAAUACUUGUUUAUGUGACAUGAAACGAUGGAAUGGUAGUUAAAAACUCUUUUAUUUCUUUAAUACAAGAACACAGCUCAGCAAACCCACCAACCCUCAGAAAGGGAUUUCAACCGGAAAGAUUAACGAUACAAUUUCAAAGAAAAAACUUAAGCAAACAGCCAAACACUCAUAUAUAUUAUCUAAUAUUAACUAAACAACACUACUCAAUAGCCCAUGAUGUUUCCCUUUUACUCUAUACCAAGCUUCUUUCUUAUCCUCACAACAAAUCCAUGUGCCCCUUCUACUCUAUACCAAACCUCUUUCUCAUCCCCAUGAUAAAGCCAUGGACCUUGUGUGGGUCUUCCAGAGAAGACGACACGCUCUCCUUUUCCAUGCACCUCUUGGUCCAAGCUACCAACUUGGGGCACUCCGCCUCUAUGCUGAAGUUGCCAAAGGUCUCGUAUGCAUAAAACCAGCAAGAGAAGGUCACCAGGGCCACAUCCACAAACCCAAUUUUUUCACCCCCGAAGUAAGGCUUCUCUCCAAGCUCUCCUUCCAAAAGCUUGAGGCACUCUAUGAAUUCCUUCUUGCCUGUUUCCUGCUCUUCUCCUUUGGUUGACCAUAUCUUCCCUCCAAGUUCAUAGAGCUGUGGAAAACAAUAAAGUCAAAAGAGAGAAAAGGGUUAUUUUUUUGGAGCAUUUCAUCAAGUUUCAACUUUCCGUAUAGUUGGACAAGUUUAUUAAGGACCCUUCAGCAUAGAAAUCUCANNNNNNNNNNNNNNNNNNNNNNNNNNNNNNNNNNNNNNNNNNNNNNNNNNNNNNNNNNNNNNNNNNNNNNNNNNNNNNNNNNNNNNNNNNNNNNNNNNNNAAAAAAAAAAAAACAAAAAACAAAAAACAAAAAAACAAAAGAAAAUGCUUUAAAUCAACAGCAAAGACAUACCUUCUUGUCUACGUAGUCCGCCCAGAACCUGGCCUGAGCUCUCUGGUAUGGGUCACUAGGCAACAAUGGAGAUUUAUCCUUCCAAACCUCAUCAAUAUACUGAACUAUUAUCAGAGACUCACAAAUGGGCUUUCCAUUGUGGAUCAGAACCGGGAUUUUCUUAUGAACUGGGUUCAUCUCAAGCAGCAGAGGGCUCUUGUUCCUCAAGUCCUCCUGUCUAUAUUCAUACUUGAGGCCCUUCUCUGCCAGGGCAAGUCUGACCCUCAUACCAAACAUGCUAGGCCAGAAAUCCAACAAGAUAAUCUCGUCUGCCAUUGCUACUACUGUGAUCGAUAAGAUUCAAACUCAGUUAUUCAAGUAUUGAUGAACAACACAAGGGAAAUUGUCAGGUAUUUAUAGCAAAUCCCAGGGAGUGGGUUAAAACCUUGGAACUUCUAGGAGGUGGUGGUGCUCAUUGCUUAUCUCAGCAUUCAUUUUCCUUCCAUAUUAUGUUCUCAUCUCAGUUUCGUUUCUCACUCCAGAAUUCCCAUAUGUAUUUUUUUAUUAAAUAUAAUGCUUCCAGAGAGGUCAUUGCUUUGAUCAUUCCACGUCGUUGCUGUCGUCAGCCCAAGUCCAUUAAGUACACUGGUCCAUUCUUGCAUCCUUUUGGGCGGACAAGUCAAACUAUUUUAAACUUUGUGUUUAUUAUAACUCCUUAAAAUUUCUGUGAUGUUUGUAUUUUUAUCUAAGCUCUAAACUUGUUUUUAAAUUCCAAAUCUACUUUAUUUUUACGUAUGAAAAAUAUCUAUAAAAUUAAUUAUUUUAUUUCUUUUUAAAUUAAUUUGCAAUCUAAUAUAUUUUUUUAAACAUUUAAUUAUUAUAAUUUAUCAACAUAAUAAAAUUUUUAUAACAAUUAAUUAUAUAAUCAAUAAAAAAAAUAGUAAUAGGAUAGUAAGUACAAUUUCUAAUUAUAUGUUUAAAAAAUUUUUAAACAUCUUGAAAGUUGUGUGGUUUGAUGACAGUCAAAUACUUGUAAGUGUUUGUAUAAUAUUAAUAAGCAGUUGAUAUGGCUUAAUUUUCUUACAUCAUUAUAUUAUAGCUUCCUAUUAGCGCUNNNNNNNNNNNNNNNNNNNNNNNNNNNNNNNNNNNNNNNNNNNNNNNNNNNNNNNNNNNNNNNNNNNNNNNNNNNNNNNNNNNNNNNNNNNNNNNNNNNNGAAUCUUGUUUGACCUAAACUUCACCACCACAUCCAGGCAGCUUGCUUGGGCUGAGAUUUGGUGCAGGGAUGGGAGCCGAAGUGCUCCUGGAGAUGCAUCUGCAUAGACUGUCUUAUUUAGCUGUGAAUUUGUAAUAUGUAACUCUACUGGCAGCAAAGAUAAACAAUAAUGAUGAUGAUAACAAUGAUAUAAGGAAAAGGGUUCAAACUUCAACUCCCCCUCCAAACACUAAUCCCAUAAAUAUUACUAUACUCAGAUGGUUACAACUUAUUUUCGACACAAUAACAAAAUUAACUGAAAUAAAAUUAUUCUGGGACAUAUUCCUAAAUAAUAGAAAACGUUUACUUCUAGACUUCUUAGUUGAAAGCAAUACAAAAACCCAAAAACAACAAAUCAAUCUUUCAUGUUCUUAACAGUUACUGUUCAAACACUUUUUGUGAUCAAUAAAAUAACAAAAAACAAACAAAAAACAAAUAUGGAAAAUAAAAUAACUGAUUCUACAUCUCCACUGGUUUUAGCUACUAGUCAAACACCUUCUGGACUUGGUUCUGGUUGACAUUGGCAUGUUCCAUUGAGAAAACAGAGUCAGGAACCAGGAAUUUUAAUGCUUACAUCUUCUCAAUUAUAAAACAUGGUGAGUGAAUGAAAGUGAUGUGUCCUGGGCUUGUUCUGAGGGGUAGAUGGUUUGUGAUUAUCACACAGGGACCUUGUUUUAAAUUUGUGACUUAGAGUUUGGUUAUUUGCUAAUAUUUACUUGUGGGGUUGAAGCAAGGAGAAGGUUUGUGCAAAAAUAGGAUUAUCUUCAGUGAUUUUUAUGGGGCUCCAUACUAAUGGAUGGACCUUUUAAUGGACACCUGCACAUGUUCUUUGUUUCAAGAUUGUCAAUGAGAGCUAGCACAUACAUCAUGAAUAUUUAGCAUGGACAAGGUAUCCCUAUAGUAGUAAAGAGCAUACAAUCAAUGCUUGAAAUGUCCAGAUCACGUGCCUAAAAGGAUGGGGCUUACUUGUUGAAUAGGCAGAACUACAAAAAAUCAUGGUCUGAUAAAGAGUUAAGACUGAAUUCAUGAUAGUUGACACUGUUAACGAAAGCAAUAUUUCUAGCAGUCAUUGAUCAGUCAUGACAGUAAAGAUUGCACUAAUAAACUCACACAUUGUUUACAAGGGAACACCUACCUGGGGACAUACCACUUGGAGAGAUAAAACAGCUAGAGUAUGAAAUUUAAACCACACAAAUCCCAAGGUAACAUUUUUUUGACAAACCAUAUGUAUUUUUAAACAAGGAAAAAGGCAAAAUAUUCUACAAAAUUUCCUGCACAAACAAUGGGAAGGGGGCUCCAAAAUGAGUCAAAAAGAUGGUUUUAAUUUCACCAUACACACAUAAAGCAGUUUGUACUUGGCUUGAUACUCAACCUAUAAAAUAAGAUAUAUUUUUUUUAGUCUUCUCUUUUGGAGAAUAUUAAAAAUAGACAGAAAGAUUCAGAUGAAUUAGAUGUCUUCUGCUCCAAGCGUCCAACUAUCUUGGACUUGUUCAACUCUGGAUUCUGUUUCUUUUAUGGAACUCGGUUUCCUCAGAAAGAGGACACUGGGAAAAGACAAGCAAUUAAGAAAUGCAGUAUAUAUCAGAAAAUAUCCAAAGGCAACUGAUAUUAUAUUGUUGUUUUUCAGUAAAUAUCAUUUGUCAACCAAGAAAUGCACCAUCAGUGUAGUGCUACCAGUGCAACCAAGAGGACUGAACUGACACUUAGAUAAGAUUAUCGGAUUAAAUCAAAGAAUAAGCCUAUAUUAAGGUUAAGCAAAACCAUAUCCAAAAUGAGAUUUCAAAAUUUUAUUCCAAGGGCAGAUCGUACAACCGUUCUACUUCCAGAAACACAAACUAAAAGAACAUUAUAGAAUUCAGCAUAUAUGUGGAAUUCAAAAUCAAAUCCAACUUCUUAUAAUAAAAUAAAAUCAGCUAUUGAACAUAAAAAUUUGCAACAGAACAUUAUACCAUAAUAAUAUCAGAAACCAAAUAUUAUCUUUGUUGGCCUUCAACAAUUUGAAACUUUUCCCCAUUCUUAUUUGCAUGAUUUCUAAAACCCACAAUGAUUGGUUUUAUUUUGAAUGUAUUUUACUUAGUUUUAAAGCUGAAGGUAUGUUUUAUUCAUCAUUGGUGUGUUUAAGUGCAAGUGAAGUUCCAAGUUGGUCACUUGUCUUCUUCAUCUUCAAUAUUUGCUUUACAGCAUCUUAUUAGUUUCAUCCUCACCUCUUGCUACCAGAGAUGAAAAAUAAGAUACAAAGGCAUGCCUUACCUCUUGCCUUCAAAAUUACUCAUGUCUCUGUUCCCUCAGGAAGAGCCACCAUCAUCUCAAUCUCUCGUCCAGGCCAUGCCUAUGAAAAAAUGUGAAACUGUAAAAAGAAUUCCAUAAGAUGAAUUUUUAAGGCACAAAAUUUGGAGCUGUUAGUGUAAAGAAUCUAACCAUUGUCACAAACAUGGAAUAAUUCAUUCAAUCAAACACCAGCUUCAACAACUAUGCAUACCUUAGAGUGUAACUACUGAAAACGGAAUGGUAAAAUUAAAAUUUCUGCCCAAACAAAACUAGGGGAAAGAGUAAUAAAAACCAGUUCAAACUUCCAUGACAAACAUAUUGAAGAACAACUAAUAGAUCAAUUUCAUAAUUCUUUGAUCAAUUUGAGCAUUAAGAAUCAGGAGCAACUUAACAAUAUGAAAAGGUCAUAACACACUCAGUUACAAAUAACACCCAGAUAGAAUUUUGGAAAACCAAAUACAAUAUGUAAAAAAGGUUAGAUCAAAUGUCUGCAAUAGCUGGACAUCAAAUCAUACAAAGAUUUAGAUCAGAUAUUUGGAUCAUUGCAGGUAGCACAAUUCCGACUGGCCCCGUUGCAAUGAGAGCAAUGUACAAUUAUCUGUUCUCUAAAUUUGGCCUGAUUCGUUGCCGUCGAGGUCUUCCAAGACAACGUUUUGUAACAGGAGGAUCAAGAGAAACAUGCACAUAACCAUUUGGAUCAUGCACAUUUCCAUUUGAAUGAACUGUUGGCAGAUUCUGAAACUCAAGUGGAUGCAAAGUGCCAGAAUAAACCAUUUCCUGCUUGAACAAAUGAUACCAAUCAUCAACAAAUUCAUAAAUAUCUUGGUUCAUCUUCUGUAUCAUUGCGCAUGCAUGCUCACAUGGGAUGCCCGACAUCUGCCAAGCCAAACAAGUGCAAGUAUGCUGCCUCAAGUCAACACUUAUCUUUGCCUUCCCAUCUGAAAAUGUUUCGCUUUUGGCAAUGUUAUGCAAGAGUUUAUCCUCAGUUUUUGGGCCAAUGGAUCUUUCCCAACUCUGCAUUGUGGUUUUAUGCUCAACUAACAAAGAGGCUAGCAUAUCCAUGUGCUUCUCAAUGAAACUAAAUAUUGUGUGAUGUUGUUCUUCUUUGACCCAAGCACUAAAUGACCCAAAGAUAUUAGUAUUCAUUUUGUCCCAACGCUUUUUAGGGAACUUUGACAUCGCCCAGUGUUCAGGAUUGUUAUCUUCAACCCAUUUGGCCAAGUUAGCAUCAAAUCUCCUUAAGUUCUCCAUUGCACUGUUGUAACCAAUUUCUAACCUUGCAUAUGCAACAGCAUCAAGUAGUUUAAGAGCGUUAUCUUUACCUUCCCUUCCCAUCAUCAACUGGUGGCUAAAGUCCUCCUUUAGAUGACAAUAACAAUAUGCAUGGUUUUCAACUCCAAAAACCUCUGCAACACUACGAAUAAUCGCAUGAUGCCUUCCAGAAAUGAUGACCACCUCCAUUUCACCAACUAACUGCUUUAGCCUCUGUAAGAACCAAAACCAGUUAUAAUAAUUUUCCGAACUCACAAUGGCAUAUGCUAAUGGAAACAUGUCAUCAUCAGCAUCAUAUGCCAAGGCUGAAAACAAAGCACCUUUGUGUGGCCCACUCAAGUUGGAUGAGUUAAUGGAUAUGAUAGGUCGGCAUCCCAUUAAAAACCCAUGCACAAAAUCCAUGUGCAAUGAACAAUUGCAUGAAAUUACCUUCGUCUGAGGAAGUCCAUUCAGCAAUUGUCCCAGAAUUAGUUUCCAUUAACUGCUUACAUAACCAGGGCAGCAACUUAUAUGAAUUGUGUAGAAGACCAAAUAUUCUCUCCUUCGCCUUCUCUUUACAUUUCCAAGCUUGAUUGUAGGUCAAUUUCACUCCAUGCUGCCUUUCAAAAUCUUCACAGAUUUGACGGGGCAGGUAAUCAGGGUUAGCCCUUAUCAUAUCAUCAAUUAGAAGAGCCGCUUUAUUUGGUCGUAAUGCAGGCACUGAUGAAGACUCCUCCUGUGCAGAAUGAUUAUGUUAGUUUUCAAAUGUGUGCACUCUCACAAUUUUGGUAGCCCCAACACCACGAGCAGUUAUCUUCCAAGGACAUCCACCAGCUGUGCAACAUGCAGUCAUGUGCUUUAAAGAAUUCCUCUUGAACUUGUAGUUGAAUCGUCCAGCUAAGGAGGUAAGGUAUAGUGCAUUCCGGAAUUCAUCAGCAUUUGUAAAAAUUUCCCACUACCUGAUAUAGCCUUUCCAAGAGUACUUGAAACUGGAGGAAUUGCUUCUAACUCUAUGCAUCUUGAUGCAACUUCAUGUCUCUGAAUGAUGUUAUCAUCAUUUACACCUUGAGAUGAUGAUGAUGGCGAUGAAAAAUGAUUGUUGUCCACAUUAACACUGCACGAUUAACAUAUUCAUGUAAAGUUAGAAUAAAAAAGGAGGAUAAAAUUUAAUCAUGCUGAUAAGCAAGAUAAUAUGCAGGUGUGACUUACAAAGUGCUUUGUUCAUCUAUUACUCCUUGCUUUACUCCUCCAUUAUGAGCUUCAAAUGCAUAGACUCUUGAGAAACCGUCAUUGAAGAGGACCAUGCUAUAUAUGUCAUCAUCAUCAUCCAAUGGCUGGAGUAAAGAUUUAUCAAACUUCAAGGUGCACUUAAAUGACAGACUAGAUGGGUCAAUUUGGACUUUCUUACUUGCUUUAAAAACAAAUUCAGCAUGUGAGAUUCCUUGAUUAAUACAUAUGCCAUUAGUACAUCCACCUUUAUAAUUGAUGGACCCAUUGUCAGCCUUUAUGAUCUCCCCUCCAAAAUAAAGAUAGCAAUAUAUUGAUAUUACUUUCCAUUUACCUACUAUAAAAUAAUGCAACCAAUCCAUUAGUAUGUGCUAUACUUGUUCAAGCCUUCAAGGUAAAAACUACACUUAAUUUUGGUUCCAACGGUGAAAACUAAGUUCAAAUCAUGUAUAUAAGAAGGUUUAAAACAACACAACAUCCCAAAAAGUCUAAUAUAUGAUAACACUACACCCCAUAAUUUAUACCUUGUGCCUUUUUAGGAACUAAAGUUCCCUAGAAUUGAGGUAAGACGGUACGAAAAUCAAUUGGAAAUGAAAGCAAAGAGAUAGCAUAGAAUUUAAGAGUAGCAUAAAUCAUAAGUAAAUAUUAUUUAUAAUUUUGUUUUUUUUUCGAUAACUGAGGAACCUUCUAUGGCCAAGCCCUUAAGACUCUCCAUGGGGACCCAAACCUUGGGGUGUUGACCACACUCUAACAACCAGCACCAAGUAAAUCAAGGUAUCAUCAGUAGCAAGAUUCAGGGACCACACCUCCCAACAUUCGCCCUGACCAACUGGGCUACUCUGGCAGACUAAAUAUUAUUCAUAAUUUAAAAAGGAAAAAAGAAUCCGAAAGAGAAAACAGUACAAAGUGCCUAUUCUGAUUUGAAGCAGAGAAAAAAAAUGGAAGUUUGACCUUUUUGUUUUCUUAAGAUGUAUAAUAGCGGUUUGACUUCUAAUUCAAAAGUGUUACAAUAGUUAAGAAAGCCUUAAAAUUGCUAAUUGAAGUAGGUUCAUUAUUGUUAUUCAUUUCAAUACAAACAAAAGGUGGUUAAAGGGAUAUUGUAACCAAGUUUUGAACAAGAUAAGAACAAAAGUAAAAUUGUCAUUCUGAAACCAGCCUAGUUUCAACACAGCCAUAUUCCUGCUCUGGUUCACUCUAAUAAAUAAAAUUUCUUGUACAAUGGAACCACAUCUCAUGAGCUAGGGAACAUCUGGUUUGAAGGAAAGAGCUGCAAAUGCUACUUGGUCAUAGCUCUAUUUUAACUAGGUAUCCCUAUUUUUGACUAAUAUAAGGGAUAAAGUAAAAGAGCAUGCACAUGUGGACAAGCGCACACACACAGAGACAGAAAUUUAUAGGAAACUGCAUCAAUUCUACUAGAUUAUUCAUAUUUGAAGAAGGGGAAUGAAGUGUGGUACCAAAGCAAUUCAAUAUGUAAAAGUUUCACAUAUUUCAAUCACAAAAAUAUUUCUACUUCAAUGCAAUUUUUAAGAUGCUAAUAAACUUUCAGAAACCUUAGCAAGUAAUUUGCCAGGCCAAAAGAAGUAAUGAAUUGCAUUUACAUCCAUAUAAUAACAAAACAUCUAAAAAUCAAAGCAACAUCCUAUCUCCAUACAAACUCAUCCAGCUUGUAAUAGCAAUGACGAAGGAAGUUAAAGGAAUUAAAUCAAAUUUAUUAAUUCCGUUGAGAACAUAUAACAAAUGCAUGAGAGAGAGAGAGAGAGUAAAAAAACUUAUUUAAUAAAUGAAACUUUUUAAGGCCAUUAUUUAUUUUUCCCUGAGUAAACAAAAAUUUAGUAGCAUAAAUCAUGGACGGAUGCAUAUGUAUCUAUGUGUAUACAACCAUCAACUAAUAUUUAUCACUUAUCAGCACAAACAAUAAAAAUCUAGAACCAUGAUUCAUACACUCAAAACCCCAAAUCUGCAGGGGAAAAUGAUAGCAAAGCCUGCCAACUUUGUCUCCGGAUGAAACUCCUGAUAGAUUGCAACUUUUAGCAUACAUCUGUAUGAAGGCCCAAAAGAAAUAAUAUAAAAUCGAGUCCAUCGAUAAGGUAACAUGUCACAUAUGAAUCAAUCCCUUGAAAGUUAUACAUGGGACAAAUUUCAAAAUUCAUUCAUUUCUUGUAGCUACAAUUUGAACAAAAACUCGGGUUUCAUCUACUUGAUUCAGUAAAUACAACAAUAUUUAUAUCUCACAUGGGUCAAUGCAGUUUAAAACAUAUUUCUUAACCAUUAAAUUGCUUUGGGGUUCUGUUAUACAUACUUCAACAAAACUUUGUCUUAAAAAAUUUCUAACUCGUACUUUGUACACAGAAUAUAUGGUUACUUCAUUCUUUAUAUAGCCAAGAAGUAUUGUAGACAAACUAUAGCAGAUACAGCAUUAUUUUUAUGCAAUUAACUAGAUACAAUAAUUUAUAUUAAGCAGAAAGCCAUGGUCACCAAAAAGAGGGGACCAAAGAAAGAAUUAGGUCUCUAAAAUUACAGGCGAAAUUGCAUAAAACUUAAUGAAGUUCCUGAAAGGACGAAAUCGUGGCGAAAUUGUUACUGUGAUAAAUCACAUAAAUUAGGAAAUCAAACACCUCACAGGAACAACAAAUCUACCAAAAAGAGCAGAGCCAAAUAGUGAAAUUGAUAAUCUUUAUCAUUCAUUUUUUCAGUAGAAUUGAAGCUCUCACUACAAAAUUUUCCCUGAAGUUUGAUGGAAUUAAAGUCCCUGAAACUGGCAACAUUUUAGCAAAUGAAGCCUCCUCACGAAGACAAAAUGCACAACGAGGGUGUCUUUGAACUCGAAACAAAUUGAAGGCUAAAAAGAACAUAAAAAAUUACAGGGCCCUUCAAAAUCAUUAAAAAAAAAUUAUAUUAAAAUAGAAUCCAGUCCACAGCUGAUAAUGUACGAUAUUGGGCUGUUUGGAUGGUGAGAAGGUUAAAUAAAUAGGUGUUGGAACAUUUACCUAUAAGAGAAAGAAAAUGGGUAAACUUGGGUGACGGGCCUAGAGCCUCCUUUCAUUCAUGGUGUUUGAGUUAAGAAAUUUCUGAGGACUGUCGGAGAUUUUCCGAAAUUUUCCCGCCUUUAGGGUUCUGCUUUACAUGCAGGAGAGGUGAGAGGGUGCACGGAUGUCUAGUGUGGUGCAAAAUCCAGCAGCACUAUGCGUGUGUUGCGUUUUUGCUAAUUAAUAUAAUUAUUUUUUAUUCAAUAUUCAUAAAAAGUAAUAAAGGAAAAAAAUAUCAAUCCAAAACUACCCUACUCGCUCUUAUUUUAACCCAAAGUUUGAAAUCCAACAAAAUUGAUGUCAAAGUAUAAUUUGAAUACAAAAGUCAUUUUUACUAAAAUUAUUAUUAUUAUUUUAAAUAAUGUUAGAUUAGGUUUGACAGUGAUUUUAUAAAAUAUUUAUAAUCUUUUUAAUACUUUAAAAGAUAAAAUUUUUUUAAGUGUUACAAAGUUCAGAAACACUUCCUAAGAUUACUAUCAAACGCAUUUUUAAUAUCUAUGCUUGUUCCAUAUGGUAUAAGUGUCACAUUUUUUUUUUCUUUUUUAUAAAUUAUAAUUAAAAUAGUAAAAAGAAAAUCUUUGUUACUUCUAAUAGAGAUUAGAUAUUGAAAUAUUAAGUAUGUUUGUUAAUCUCUCAAUUUAUUUAGAACACAAAAAAAAAACAUGUUUAAUAAUAUAAAAUAGAAAACAUCAUGGUAUUUUUUGAGAAUAUCUUUUGGUUAUAUUCAAUUUUUUUCAUUAUUUGAUGAGAAUUGUUUUAAAAAAUAAUUAUACAAAUAUAAAAAAAAUGACUAAAGAUAAAAUAUUAUAAAUAAAAAUUAUUUUAAAACAUUUGAAGUUUUCAAAUAAAUUUUUAUUUUACAAAAUAUCAAAAAAUUAUUUUCAAAUUAUUUUCGAAAACACCUUGUAGAUAGUUUUUAUAACAAAGCUUUUUUUUUUUAUGCCUAAUGAAUACAGACAUUUGAAAAGGAAAAAAAAAAACUAUACAGUACUCAAUUUUUGUGAGAGUAGAGUUUGAGGUUAAAAUACCAUUUAAUUUAUUUAUUAAAACUAGUAAAAUCAAUUAUUAUUUUUAAAAAAAAAUUAAAAAAAUAUUUAUUUGAUAAUAUUAUAAUAAUUAAUUAAAAAAAAUUGUAAGAUAUUUAUUUUAAACAAAAUAUUUAUUUAACAUACAUGGUCACUAAUGUUGGACACCUUCCCACUUAGUAGAGUAACCUAGAAUAUUAAUACAUUAUAAUGAGAGUAGAUGAUAAAAAAAUUUGCAAAAGGAACUCAAAAUAAGUGACUUUCUACUACAAAGGGUGCUCAACAACAAGAGAAACCCAAAAGAUGGAAAACUAGGGCUAAAUUAUGAAGACUCUAUCAAAUCUACCAUGAAGCUGGAAUUUGCCUUUUCAAAAUUCAAUCCAUUCAAGGGCAACAACUCAAUUGCUCAUGAAAUGUUAUUGAAUUCAAAGACAUUAUUCAUUGAAGUAGUGAAAAAUACAUUGUUGAUCUAUGUAUCCCAAAUAUUAAGUGAUGGGAAGUAGUGAAAGUGCAUUGUUGAUCUAUGUUACCCCCAAAAAAUAAGUUGACCAUCACCUAGGAACUUUGGAGUCCUUAAUAAGAGCAUUAUGUCACAGACUUAGUCUUUUCCUAAGCUUGUGCAACACUUAGACAAGUCAAGACACUUGAUCUUGCUAAGUCAGCCUAUCUCCUAAUGUUUAGCUUGCUAGGCUAAGAUGCUCACGACUCGGAAGCUUGAGAAGGCGUAGUAGGCAACUCUUAAAGAAUGGAAGUUGUUAUUACUCAAGGAAACCUUUACAAGUGCUUUUGGGAACUCACUUGCUUGGUUAGGAAGUGAUUUGGGUGGUCCAUUGGCCAAAUGAGGCCCUCACCUAUUUAUAGGCACCAAUGGAACUCUCUGGAACCUUGGAGGGUUCCUUACAAAUUAAGAAGAUUCUAGAAUACCCUACACAAUUCUAUGUACAACCCUAUGUACAAGAGAUCUCUAGAAUUCUUUAGAAAGCCUUGGACUCCUCUCAUGCCUUCCACCAUAGUGUAGAGAUGUGUGGACAUCUAUAGGCAUCUCUAGAACCUUCCACACUCUUCCCUCUAAUAGCUUAGUGUAGAUGGCUCCAAGAGUCUCUAGAAGCUUCUUGGGCUCUAUAUAAAUCCAUGAGGAGGCUCAUUUGAAGCAUCCUAUGACACUCUCCCCAUCCUAUUCCGUUGACGUCUUUUUUGUUGCCUCUUUCUGAAACCUCUCGAUGUGUUUCCAGAACCUUCUCAAGGCAUCCGCAUAUUCCCAGCUUACAUGCCUCCUAGGUAGUCCUUUCCAUCGGACUAGAUACUCUAUCACAGGAGGGACCCUUAUUCUCCUGGUGACCCAUUCAACCAGGAUAUUUUUCACCUCCUUUUCUUGUGAGGCCUCGGAUGGAUGCAGAUCCUUGCACUUUCGAUGCUUGGAGUGCUGCUUCCUCUUACCCAUCAAGUUCACCUUUCCCUUGGUGACCUUGUCGAUGUAUGUGCGGGCUACCUUAGCUUGCUCCCCUUUUGCCUCCUUUACUUGCACCCUUGAUAGUAAGGAGGUCUUAGGCGUACUAGACUUUGGGUUGAAUUGGAGGGCACCUAGUAACUGCAUCAAGCCCAUAUGUGCUUCGUCCUCCUGUUCCCUCUCCUUGAUCAUGGCAUUGAGCGCCUUUCUCUUUGGACAAUCCCGUGCCCAAUGUGGAUCGUCACAUAGGAAGCAUUUGAUUUUAGGCGUAAACUCCUUCCUUUCCACCUUACCCCUUCCUUCUCGAACAUUAAGCGUCUUGCCUAAUCCCAUUCUAAGAGCAUUGUGGUCCCUUGAGACCUCAUCUCCCCCACCCGUGGCGUGGCUAUCCUCCAAAGACUCAACCUUGGAGGAGUCUCCCCUUUUGUAGUCCGUUAAAGACUCUGCUACUGCCAUAGUAGUGGCUAAGUCUUGAACACCUCGACGCCUUAAUUCCUGCUCGGCCCAUUCUUGUAGGUUAUCCAUGAAGUUGAAUAGCAACUCCUUCUUAGUCAUAUUAGGAAUCUCAAGCAUGAGUGAAGAGAAUUCCUUAACAUAGUCUCAUAUCGAGCCUAUAUGCUUGAGACGCCUCAUGUUUUUCCUAGCCAAGUAGGCCACGUCCUCAGGGUAGAAUUGCCUUUUGAUUUCCCUCUUGAAGUCUUCCCACGUCUCUAUGGUGCAAAUGUCUUUCUCCAUAUCGGCAAACCUCUAAUGCCACCAUAGAGUAGUUGUGUUAGUGAGGUAGAGGGUUGCAAUCCUUACCUUAGCCGCCUUAUUAUUUAGUGCGAUAGCCUUGAAGUAUUGCUCCAUAUGCCAUAAGAAGUUGUCCAACUCCUUAGCAUCCCGCUUGCCACUAAACCAUUGUGGCUUCAACACCUCCACCCUAGAUGCCUCUUAGGUGGCCAUGACUUGUGCCAACACAACAGCCUUAUAGAUGGCCAACUCCUGCCUAACCUCAUGGUCUUGGGACUCCAUUCAAGUGGCCAAGGCCUUUAUCCUUGACUCCAUGUUAGCAAGCAUGCUAAAGACCUUUUCUUGGAAAGACAUGAACUCCUCAUGUGACACCGGUUGAACUUGUGAGCCUAGCACCCCCUCACGAAGGUCUUAGAUAUGCUCCCUUAGAUCCUCAAUACCCUUCUCCAUGCCUUGCUCGAUCAAGUCCACCCCUUCCCGGGUGUCUGCCAUGGCUAGCUCCACCUUGGCUAGCCUUGCCUCCAUGUUGGCUAUGGCAUCACGAGACUUAUCCUUCCUGCCCUUGCCCCGUGCAGUAGGCUCGAUCUCCCUUCCACGGGUUUGCUCGCUAGUCUCCUCCAUGUUAGAGCCCAACAUGCUUUCUUUACUAUGCUCGUUUCAUAGCCGCGCUCUAGUAUCACUUGUCACAGACUUAGUCUUUUCCUAAGCUUGUGCAACACUUAGACAAGUCAAGACACUUGAUCUUGCCAAGUCAGCCUGUCUCCUAAUGUUUAGCUUGCUAAGCUAAGAUGCUCACGACUCGGAAGCUUGAGAAGGCGUAGUAGGCAACUCUUAAAGAAUGGAAGUUGUUAUUACUCAAGGAAGCCUUUACAAGUGCUUUUGGGAACUCACUUGCUUGGUUAGGAAGUGAUUUGGGUGGUCCCUUGGCCAAAUGAGGCCCUCACCUAUUUAUAGGCACCAAUGGAACUCUCUGGAACCUUGGAGGGUUCCUUACAAAUUAAGAAGAUUCUAGAAUACCCUACACAAUUCUAUGUACAACCCUAUGUACAAGAGAUCUCUAGAAUUCUCUAGAAAGCCUUGGACUCCUCUCAUGCCUUCCACCAUAGUGUAGAGAUGUGUGGACAUCUAUAGGCAUCUCUAGAACCUUCCACACUCUUCCCUCCAAUAGCUUAGUGUAGAUGGCUCCAAGAGUCUCCAGAAGCUUCUUGGGCUCUAUAUAAAUCCAUGAGAAGGCUCAUUUGAAGCAUCCUAUGACAAAUAGCUCAAAAUAAAAGAGGAAAUCCAAGUAUUGAAAAAAAGGUUAGUUUUCUAAAUGUAGUUGACAUCAUUUGAUAAGGUAGUGCCUUAAAAUUAUGCUAGUUCUAAAUAAUUUGAGAGGGCAUAUGCUCUAAAAAUGCAAAUGAUCUAAAUAUAGGAAGAGAAAUCCAAUGAGAAAAAGAAAAAGAAAGAAGACCGUUAUCAAAAGGAAUUUUGGAAUUCAUGAUAAAAAAAAAAGAAGGAAAGUGGCCUACUCACGUAAUCCAUUAUGCAACUCUACUAUGCCUACCUAUGGUCCACUAUAUUUGAUGCUAUUAUAGUUAAGUUAACCCUUGACACUACUAUAAUUGAGUUUGCUAUUGACAUUGUUGCAACUAAGUUCACUAUAUUACAACCAUACUCACUAUUAUAGUCUUCUUACAAACAUACUCAUUAUCCGUACAUCUUUCGAAGGAACCCUUCAAGAUCUCAACUCUUUUACCUAUUAAGUGUAUCUUAAAUGAGCCUUCUAACUAUUGAAUUUUGAAGGUAAGACAUUAAUUCUCUACAACAUCAUCGAGAUUCAUCUCCAAUAAGGGUGGAUCUACCUUAAGAAUAGUGUUUUCAUCAUGGAUCUACUUUAAGAAUAGUAUUUUCAUCAGACCUUAAUAAUUCUAAUAUGAUAAGUACCUAAAUUCCCUUUUGUUAUUUCAUUAUUUGUUGAUGUUUUGUGUUCAACUUAGUUUAGACUUAGUUUCAACCUUCUAGAAUAUUUAAAAACAACCACGGUUGAAAAUUUCUCUUUUUUUGUUGAAAUUUCGAUGAAAUAUCGGUUUCGGCGAUCGGCGAUACGAAAGAAGGGAGCGAAAUGUCGAUGGAGAAAUUUCAGCAAAUUUUGGUUAAAAUCGUCGAAAAAUUGGCUCAUAGCGAAAUUUCGACGAUUUUUCUUAACUUUUUCGAUUGGUCAACACGGGUUAACAUGCUACAGUGCUUCUGUUACAGUGAAAUGCUACAAUAUGCCAUUACAGUGAAAGCUUGAUAAAAAUCCAAAAUGCUAUAGUGUGCUACUAUAGUGAAAGCUUGAUAAAAAUCCCUUUUAGUUUGUUGUUGGGGAGACAAAAGCUUCAAUUGAGGUGUGGUGAACCAUUAGGGCAAGUAUGCCCUUUGUUAAAUAUGUUGCACCAAACAUAUUUAUAUUAAAAGUCAUCAAAUAAACAAAAUAUUAAAAGAACAUUUUAAAUAACAAAUUAAUUAUAAUUAUUUGGGAAAAUUGUGUUUUGGGCCUAGCUAGGCCCAAAAAUUAAUGUAUGGUCCAUAUAAGUUUCAUAUUUAAGCCCAACACCCAAUAAAAGAGUGGAAAUUGAGAGUAAGGAUAUUGUCUUUAAAAAAUCCCUAAAAUACCCUUGACUAUUAAAUGAAAAAACUAACCAAUCACCUCACCUUUCUCAUUCUCUCUUUGACUUUUUUGCCCUUCUCUCACCUAUUUAAUAGUGGAACCAACUUGAAUAAUUUUUCUUCAUCAAAUAUGAAAGAUGGUUAAAAAUUAUUAUUACCAAAUGUAUUUUUGAAGUGAAUAACUUUUAAAUACCUUAUCAAAUAUUAUUCUUUUUUUCAAACUUACAUAAUAUAUAAUAAAUAUCAUUCUUUAUUUCAAACCUAUAUUAUUUCUUUAUGUAUAUUAAAUAAUUUUUAAACACCUAAAAUAUUAGUAUUAUUUGUUUACUCUAACUUGUAAAUUAGAUAUUAUCAAAUAUUAUAUUUUUUCAAAUUUAUAGAACAUAUAAUAAAUACUUUUUAAAUACCUCAUAGAAUAUUAUUAAUUUUUUUUUCUAACUUGCAAAUUAGACACAUGGUGUUUAUUAUUAUUUUGAAUAUAAUGUAAAUACUCACAUGCAUAUAUAUAUAUAUUAAUCAAGAAGACAAUAUUUAUAAGACUAAUUUACCAACCUUCCAAUAAUUUUGAAAAUGUAAAUAGAGUAAUUGUCCGAAUUAAAGUCUUCAAAAAUAUUCAAAAUUUCUCCAUUCCAAAAUUACCUAAUUGCUCUCCACACUAAUCCUAAAUAUUUUUGAAUAAAGAUUUAAAUAUUUAAAACCAUUAAAAUAAAUACUUUCUUAUUAAAGCAAUUUUUUCAAAGUAAUAAGAUAAAAAUCAUGAAAUCUUCAAAACUAUAAUUACAACAAAUAUUUUUAACUUUAAAACUAAUUUCAUAAUUUAAAUUAAUGAUUUUAAAAAAUAAAAAUGUUAUAAAAAUAAUUUUUUUAUUUUUAAUGCCAUUUAAAUAUGAUUUUUUUAAUCUCUAUUGAUAACAAUGAAAUUAUAUUUACAAAGGCAAAAUAGUAAAAAUAUAUAUUUCAUUUAGUUUACUUAUAAUGAACAAUUCAAACAUGAAUGAUUUUAAUUUUAUUUCCUAAGUGUUAAUUUUUGUAGAGAAUGUCUUAAUGACAUAGUUUGGUAAAAAAAGAAAAACAAAAUUAUCAAUAAUCGUCUUAAUGUCAAAUUCAAGUUAUUUAAAAAUCGUAUAAAACCUAUUAGAAGUCUUGUACACCCUUGUACACUUAGCACAUUUCCCUUGUACAGUUAGUGUAAUAUCCUUGUACAGUUAGUGUAAUACCCUUGUACAAUGACACAAAUUUCAUAUAUCUCCUAAUUUAUAUAUCCAUGUAGGUGUAUUAAUCAUAUUUUCAAUGGUUUGGUUGAGAAAAUGGUGGAUGACUUAGGGUCAAAUUUUUUCCCCAAAUAUCAUUAUUGGGAAAAAUAUUAGAAUUUUCAUGUAAGAAUUAAAUAAAGUGCAUGACAUAGGUGUACAAUCAUUGGGUGACAAGGAAAAUAAAAAAGUAGUUUAGAGUCAAUUAAAAUCAUUCACAAAGGGUAAUAUUGUACACUUUUGUACAAUUAGUACAUUUCCCUUGUACAGUUAGUGUAAUACCCUUGUAUAAUGACACAAAUUUUAUAUCCCUCCUAAGUUAUGUGUCCACGUAGGAGUGUUUAACCAUAUUUUCAAUGAUUUAGUUGAGAAGAUGGUAGAUGAUUUAAGGUCAAAAUUUUUUUUCUCCAAAUAUUAUUAUUAUGGAAAAUAUUGGAAUUUCCAUGCGGGAAUUAAAUAAAGUGCAUGACAUAUAUGUACAAUUCAUGAGUGAUAAAAAAAUAAAAAUAAAGGAAUGACUCAUAAUCGAUUAUAAUAUUUCACAAAGGGUACCCUUGUACACCUUUGUACAGUUAGCACAUUUCUCUUAUACAGUUAGUGUAAUACAAUUGUACAGUGACGCAAUAAAUAAAUAAAUAAAAUUUAUUACUUUUUUAUUUUCAUAUAAAAAAAAUAGUACUAAACAAGGUUUUCAAUUUCAUUUUAAAAAAUAGUUUUCAUUUUUUAAUUAAAAAUAUUUUCAAAAGGAGACAAUAUAGAAAAUAAAAAUUAUUUUUAAAAAUAAAAAAUAAAAACUAGAAAAAUAUUUUAAAACCAAACUCAAAUAUAAUCUAUAUAAUAAUAAACAAAUUUGUAACAUUUCAUAUAACUUAUUACUAAAAAUCAUGUUCAAAAAGUUAUUAAAAUAAGGAAGAAAGAAGAUUAAAAAAAAAAUAAACAUUUUAUUUUAUAAUAGUAAAAAAAAACUUUAAAAUACAUUUUAAUAUAAAAAAAAUUAAAAUAGUGAAUAUAUUUAUUUUAAAUAGUUUUUUAUUCAUUAAAUUAUUUACUUCUAAAAUAUAAAAGACAAAAAUAAAUGUAAAAUGUAAUUUUUAUUUAUUUAAAUUAAUAUUUUUUUAGAAAGUAUUUUUCAAAAUAGUCUUUGAAUCAUUAAUAUAAUUUUUUUAUUUAUAAUUUAAAAAUAAAAAAAUAAUUUUGAUUUUUCAAUUAUUUAUAAAAGAGUUUAAAAAAAUAAUGAAAAAUCCAAAAAUGAUUAAAUAAGAAAGAAUAGUGGCAUGUGAAGAGUGGUAGAAUAAAGACAAAAAUGAGUCAAGUGGGUAUUUUUGUCUAUUCCUAUCUCAUAUCCUUGAAAUCAAUUAUAGGUGUUUGAAGGACUCUUUAUUAAUUACCAAAGCCAAAUGGGUCUAAAGCCCAAUUCUCCCUAAUUAUUUUAUAAUUAAAUAAAAUUUUUUCAUUUAAUUGAUUACCAAAAAUAUAAAAUUAUUAUGAUAAUUUUCUUCAUAGUGUUUUUAAUAUCAUUAAUAAAUUAAUUAAAUAUUAAAAAGUUAUACAUAUAUCACAAUUCAUUUUAUAUAAUUUAAUACAAUUGAAUUAAAUGAAUCAUAAUUUUAAUAUUAAAUAUAUUUUAAAAUUAGGCAUAUUAUAAUCAAAUAUCACAAUAUUAUUAUGAAAUAAUAUUUGAUAUAAUUUAAUAAUAAAUGUACACUUAUCAAAUUCUUCAGCAAAACAAUUUUGAAAUGUCUAUUAUAUUUCUAAUUACAUUUUUAUAAGGUUUUUCUUACAUUCCUAUGAAUUUUGAUUAAUUUUAGGUCUAUCGAUAUUUUUUUUUCCAAAAUAUCUGUCGAUAUAUCUCUGAUAUAUCCGUAAUUACCAAUAUUUUUAUCCUUAAAAACAACACAACACCACUUGUACCAAAGGCAUAACACCCACUAAAUUUAGUUAAGUCAUUGAGGGACCCCCAAUUACUUUGAAAGAUUGGAAUGACACGUGGAACCACUUAUAUUCCAUGGAUUUCUUAUGUUAAUGGGAUUUUUUAAAAUUUUUAUUUGGUAAUUGUUGUGAGUAUUAAGUGGUAAGGUAUGACAAAUUUGAUGAGGACAUUCUUUACAUUUAGAGAUCCUAGCAUAUGGGUUCAAUUUGUCUUACUCUUCAUUAAGAAUUAACUUUCAAGGAAAUGUAGUUAAGGAUAUCAAAUGGAGGUAUUCUACAUCAAUUUUGAUCUAAAAAUUUAAGGUUCUAGUCAGGCUGAGCUUUUACCUAAAAUUAUUUAAAAACGUUUUAGGAUCAUGAAAUUAUCAAAAAGUUUAAGCUUUACUUUGAUUAUGACCAUCAUUACAAGUAAUUAUAUAGUACAUGUCUUUCAAAAUUUGUGAUAAAUCAAUAUUUCUUGAAUAUGUUUAUUAUAUUUGCUUCUUAUUAAAAUGCAUUAUAUAUAUAUAUAUAUAUAUAUUAUUUGAAUGUUUUGCUCAAAACUAGAUUUUUCUUUGGAUAUUGGUACUUAGGUAGUUAAUUAACUUCUUGUUAAAUCUUGUAAAUGGCAUGAUUAUGAAUGAUGAAUGUAUUUACUUUUAACGUUAUAAUACACCCUAGACCAAAUUUUUAUGAGACGAGGUACAAUUGGCAUCCAAAUAACCUAGUUAAUGUGCCAUGUGAAAAAAGGGUUGCAACACUAGCAAGUAGCUAAUAUAUAAUGUGAAUGUGCUUAGUAUCAUGUGAGGAAGGACACUCUUAUUGAAUUGCCAUGUGAUCAAUUAUGUUGAUGGCUAUGAUGAUGGGCACAUAUCAUUAUGUGUAUGAUAAUUUUUUUUAAUGUAACUAUGAUUUUUGAAGAUUUGAUUAGGCUAAUUAAUUUGAGAAGUUAAGGACACAAGUCCAUGAAAACCAAAAACUCACUAUUCACCUUAGCACUAUUUAUCAAGCUUAGAUUUACAAUUACAAGAGAAUUAUACAUUAUUAAUACGAUAAUGAUAUUUAAUGUCAUCAAUCUUCACUUAAUUAGAAUGAUUAAAGGUUGUUUACAUAGACUUCUUGUUUUUUAUUUUAAAAUUUGAGAUGGUACACUUUUUCUAUAUCUUAAUUUUUAAAAAUUCAUUAUCCUUUUAAGCUAAAUUUUUAAAAAUUCUUUGAUUUUAUAUUUCAUUUGUUUUAUGAAAGUAAAAAACAAGAAAUGCAUCCAAAUAACAUAUUUAUUAUUCACUCAUAACUGUUCUUUCCCAAAGUAUUAAAAAAAUUUGGAUUCACUAGAAUCAAUAAAUAUGGUAUUUUAAUCGUAAAUUUCAUAGGUCUUGAAUCAAUUUUUAAAGUAAUCAAUGAAUUAAAAUAACAAUGAAUUCAUUGCAAACUCAAGUCAAUGCUUAAUUAACCUCAAUUUGAAUAAUUAUUUUGAAUAUAUUUAAAUGAGUCACAAAAUUCUAAUAGCAAGUACAAACAGACCAUCAUCAAGUUGAAUGUAUUCAAGCCAAACAACCUCCAAACUUCCUUUCUCUUCUUAAUCUAUUUUAGAAUCUAAGGAAGAUAACAUUUCAUUAAUCUAUUUCAGGAACCCCAAAAUAUUGAAGAGUGAAAAUAUGCUUGCUUUCUUAGCAAAUACUGAAUCCUAAAUCUAUGCAUAUCUUAACUACAAAAGAUUUUAUUAGUGCUUUAAAUAAUCUUAAUUGCCAUAUAUUUAGAUUGUGAUGUUAUAUCAUUCAUCUUUUGUUUAUUAUCUUCCUCUCUGAUUUAAAUUACUUAUUAUUUUUAGCAAUUUUUUUUACAAUUAAUUUUCAUUUUUAUUAUCGAAAAAAUAAAGUAUUUUUAUUUUAAUACAAUGAGAGUAAAGUUCCCAUACUAAAAAAGUCUACAUAAACUUUAGGUAUACUGGACUCUUAGAAAGGCCUCUAUAUAAAUGCUUAGCCCAUCACUCUUAUUUUCUUGCCUCUAAAUUGCCAUGGAUGUAGGGCAUAGGAAGCCACAAGAAGCUAUUGGAGAUGGAGAAAACAAGACUUCUUCCUAGAAGAGUCUUUUUAGGACAUGACUUCAUACAUAAAUAUAGUAUCCUAGGCAUUUUUAGACUUAAGGACUGCCUUUUGGAUUGAUCAAUCGAGACAAGUGAGAUUCACCUUCUCCAAGAGAAGAGCGAGACCACCAUGAAAAGGCAUCUCACUUGGUGGGACUUGGUGUGGAUAAGGUUUAGAUCAGUCGUAGGGUUUUGCAUAUUCAUCAUCACUUGUUAGGAAGCUUGUAAUAGUGUAAGACUCGCCAUAUAUAGUAUUAUCUUAUGUCGCUUUGGGUCUCUCAUAUCGCUUUCCCUACUUUAUUACACAUAAUUCACAGUUGAAAUACCAGUCGUAAGAGAUCCUUUCUUUUAUCUUGAGUAGAAUUAAGUGAUUUUGUUACUGUAGAGAACCUUAAAUUACUUCAUUCCCUGUCCUAGUAUUAGGUUAGGUGCAUAUUCCUAAUACUCUAGAUCUAAGCACAAUGGAAACAUGGCAUUAAAAAACAAUAAUAAAUAUAGAUCUAAAGAUAGUGAAUCUUUACCUAAGAUUUAGAUAUUCCCAGACUGAUUCCUGUUGAUGUGAAAAACUCUAAAUCCAUAGAAGAUCCUGUAAACCCCCAAUCUCCCACCCUACUACUCUUCCUUGAAGCUUGAUACUCAGAUGGUAGAAGUCUCUAGAAAGAAGAAUGGUGGUAGAAGAUUGAAGCCUUAACCUAUAAGGGGUAUUUACAUGGUUCAUAUUGGGUUUAAGUAAUUUGAACCCAUUUUAAGCUUGAGUCACUUAAUCUAACCCAAAAAGGUCUUAAUUGAUUAAUUAAACCAUUAAAUAUUUAAUUAAUCAAUUAGCCCAUUUCAAAUAUGUCGUCUACUUAUUCCUAUGCAACCUUAUGUAAUUACCAAUAUGCCCUUAUGCACAUAGGUGAACUAAGAGCUGAUCCAACCCUCAUAAGUUGUGUUAUCAAGGUUAUGAACUUAAAUUAGGGACUAUUGGAACCCAUAGAAUAGUAUUUUCAUGGCUCUCUUAGAAUCAUACUUUAAAGUUGACUCAACAUCUCACUACAAUGAGUCAACUGCAAUCCUAUACCCCAUGUAUAGUAUAAUGAGAUACUAUAUGCUUGGGUUCGUGACCUACCAUCCACUAUAUAUGGUUUCCCCAUUAAUUGAUAUCUGUAAUCUAACAAGGUGAAAGUUAUUAACUUCUCAAAAUUACCUCUACUAUCCUUCAUUUAGAAGUCCUCAUAUUAUGUGAUCAACUAACAUGUCUUAACUCAUAAAGAGCUCAAGUUCCAAUUAAAGAACUACUAUGGUCAUAGUUGAUCUAAACGCAUGUCCUUAGGAUAACCCAAGGCAACACACUAUCUCAAUCCUAUGAGAUAUCAUGGUGCCUUAUUGAGAAUAUUGGUCGCUAUUGACUUAUAUCAAUUGUGACCUAAUCCCUAAGGAAUGUAUGAUUAUUUUAGGAUCUCAUCUAUAGGUUCAAGCAUAUGCUAACAGUGAUACCGACUCAAUAUUCUUUUCAAGUUGAGAUAAAUACAAUACAAUACAACAACUUAAUGAAAUUAUAACUACUAGAUAGCCUUAUGUUAUAACUCAUCGUAGGCUCUGUCCAAUAUAUAAUCUAUACACACUAAUGCACUCGUCAUAGGAACCACAUCCCGUUGACUAAGACUAAUCAUCCCUUUAAUUAGGAGGUAGUACACUACAACUUCAAAUAGAUUGCCUAAGUUCACAAAUUGAUUGUGAACAAAUCAUUUACUUGCAACAAGCUCAUGACUUGGAUCUUCUGUACAACUUUUAAUGCACCUAAGUCAUGUACAAUAUAUGAGAUGCAAGUCAAAACACUUAUAAAGAAUAAUGAAUGGAAUAAGGAUAGAUGAAAGUGCAACUGAAAUAUAAUAUAAAUAAAUAGUCAAUUCUAAAGUUUGUUACAUCAUGUAAUGCUUUGAAGGGCUCUAUCUUAAUAGUUGGGUUCAUUAUAGCUAGGAACAUUCUCUUAGACGCCAUUCUUGGGGCAACUAGGUGGGUGAUUAUUAAUCAUUUGUUGCUCACAUGCAGUAACCUUUAUAUUAUCAUGUAUUGCUUUAUUUUUUACUAUUGAUAAUGAUGUUAGUUGAUUGAGGUUUGUAAACCUCAAGUCAGUUGUGUGAGGCUUUACCUUUUAUUUGGAUCAUGAUCUUAUAUUGAGCAUGCUUAUUUUUUAAUACAAGGUUAUAAUAGUUUUAGGUUAUGUUUGGAAACUGUCUUUGGUUAGUGCAUUGAUAUUGAUGGGAGUGUUGAAAGUGGAAGUAGGCUAGAAGGUUGAACCACAAUAAAUCUUAGUGUUAUGUAAUUAAUUUUGUUGAAAUUGUUUUAAUUGCAUUUGGGAGCUUUCUUCAUAUUAUACUUUAGAUUAGCCCUAGGCUCUGGCUUCAAGAGAAAAAGACCUCUUCUUUUGUACUCUAUCUACCAAUGUGGCUUAUUGCACAUCUACUUCAAAAAACUCUAACCAUAGUUCAAAUUCAUAAUCAUAUAUAGAACAUAAUAGAUGAAUAUUAUUUAUUGGUAUUGCUAUUAUUAUUCCUUCCACAUUAUUAUUAUUAUUAUUAUUAAGCAUUUACAAUAUCAAUUCAUAAGCAUGUCCAUGGUUUUGCAUUUUCAUUCCAUGCAUUGGAAAUGAUAAAUCAACUUUCCUUAAUCUUUCAUUUUGUUUCACAUUUUAUUGGAUUGAAAAAUAUGUUAAUUUGAGCAUGGACUUAUUUAUUUAUUUAUUUAUUUUUUUUGCAUUUCUUAUUAAAAAUCUUGUAAAGAUAAAUAGCUAUCUGAAGUAAUAUUUAAGAAAAAAAAAAGAGAAAAAAAAAAAGCAUUCUUCCUUAUGAAUAUUAUAUACCUCUUUAACUUCUUCUCAAGAUUAUAUUCAUAUCUUUUUUAACUCAAUCAUAAAGGAAAAGUUGACUCCACUCUAAAUAUCUAUCAAUCAUAUGAGGAAAAAUUGACUAUGAUGAUGAAAAUCAUAGCUAAAUAUCCAAAAAUUACAUUAUUAACUUGCAAAAUUUAUCGUGCACUCACUAAAUUUUUUAAACAUUGAAAAUGUUAAUUUCAUGGUGUUAUCCUAUUUAAUUAAUUAACUAUUUCAUCAUAUAAACUUCUUAAAUAUAGAAAGAAGAUCAUUUCCUACCAUUAUCCUACUUAAGUACCAUAAUUUUUUAUCCUAUAAUCUUUUUUAAACAUAAUAAUCGCAUGGCGCUGUCCUAUUUAAUUAGACCACCAUUAAGCUGCCCAACAUCUCAUUCCUUUCAUUUCUAUCUUCUGAAAUAUUUUUUGUUCAUAAAGAUUUUUGGCCAUGUAGAAGAAGCGAGCCAAAAGCCAUGAAAAGGUUGAGAUGAGAAAGAUGAAUAAUGAAGAAGAUCGCCUUGUUUCCUUCUUGAAGCAUAGAUCUGGGAUCUACAGAAAGGCAAGUGAGCUUUUUACCCUUUGUGGUACAGAAGUUGGUAUUUUAGCUUUCUCCCCAAAUGGGGAGCCAUUCUCAUUUGGUCAUUGAUGCGACUCAUGGUAGCUUAGCUUUAAAGGCGUAUCAACAAAAUUUAUACCUUGAAUACUAUUACUAAAGUAGCCAAGCUACUAUAGCAUAGUGGUUCUAGGAUCAUUCACUGGGAAGGGUUUUCGCAAACACAAGUGAUAUUCAAAUUAGGAAAAUAGGUGAUUUUCUUAUGGAUGUUAGCUUAAAAAGAAGAUGUAAAUGUUUUAGAAAGAUUUAAACUAAUCUAAGCUAACAUUAAAGACUAAAAUGAAAGGGUGUAAAAACAAGUUUCUCAAAGAUAGGAUAGCUAUGCUCUGGCUCUUAUGCAAAUUGGAAAUCUCAGGAUAGGCUCCUCGCGUUGGGGUUGCAACUAUGGUGAUGCUUGCUUCCCGAACCGGUAUGGAUUUAGCAAAUCAAGUUUUAAUCCUUUAAAAUGACAAAACAGAUGGUAGUGAAUUUCAUCCAUGGUUAUUCACCUUAGACUUCCUUUGAAUGGCUCGUAAGAGAUAACUAAUGGUCUAAAGCCAAAAGCUUAUCAAAUAUUGGCAACUCAAAGUCAUUCCAGGUGAUAAACUCACCUUUCAAUGGCCAUUGAAAUUGGUUCUAACGGAUUAAUACAAAACUUGGAAUUGAAAACCUCACCUUCCAAUAGCUCGUAGGAGAUAACUAAUGGAUAGAAAUCCAAAAGCUUAUCAAGUAUUGGCCGUUGGAAGUUGUCCAAAGGAAAUAAAAACCAAACUUUGCAUUAAUGAACCUUUAAUGAAAAAGGACUACCUUACCUUCCGGGUGCGAGAAAUUUCCAUGGGAUUGCAUUCAAGUCAUCACAUAACAUCCAUACUUUGAGAAACUAAAAGUUUUAGCCAAUCAUCCUCUGAGGAAAAGCCCUCAGAGGCUGUUUGGCUUCCAAGAAAAUAGAAAUGGGGAAGAGAAAAGAGAAAUGAGAGAGCUCUGUAUAUAUUCUCUAAGUGUUAAACGUAAUAUCUAUUCUAUAUGAUCCAAGAGGUGAUUUCCACCCCUUAUAUAGUCUUUACAAAAGCAAAAGCUUGUGAUUGGUUAGUUACAAGGAUAAGAAAGGAAAUUACAUCACAAAAUACAAAGGAAAAUAUCUAAAGUGGAGUCGGCAAAAGCAGAGGAAAAUUCGCAACACGCAUGGGUUAUGCGAAUUUUGAAGGUGUUAUGCGAAAUUUUCGCAUAACCUGGAGCAGUUGGCUUCCGAAGGCCAUAUCUUCCUCAUUUCAGCUCCAAAUCGUACACGGUUAGAAGUGUUGGAUUCUUUACUUCCAGAGCUUUGAAAUGGUAUAUAGCAUAUAAAAAAUGGACUUCGGAAAGUGCUCCAAAAGUGUGAAAGAAGACUGCAGCUGCUGUCCUCUGUUUUCCUCUUCUCCAUUGUUCUUUCCUUGCAUACUUUGAACGACUUUGGCAAAGGGAUAUGGAGCUCCAAAGCUUGGUUCUUCAUGAAUUUGAGCUUCCAAAAGCUUUGCCAUAACUUGUCCAAGUAUCUCCUCCAUCAUUUGGCAUGCUUGAAUUGAUUCAUAAGCUGAUAAAAACAUGUAAACUUGCCACAAAAUGGUUAAAACCAAUUACUAAGGACCUUAAUGAAUUAAUUGGGUUAAAUGAAUAUGAUUACUACUCAAAGGUGCUUAAAACCAUUAUAAUUAGGUCUACAAAAUAGCACUUUUUGGUAGUAAUCAGUCAUCCAUGUAUCAAGUCAGUUACUAAUAAGCUUUUAAGUGAAAUACCAUACACCAUGUGAUGGAACCCAAAAUCUUCUUGAGCCUUACCAUCGUGUUAGGCUUAAUGAGCUUCACCAUAACUAUAAAGAAGCUUGCAAGCAAAAGAAAGCAGCCAAGGAGCAAGAAAAAAAAAAUCAAGAAAAAAAGCCUGAUCAAAGGCUGGUGGGAAGAACCUAUUAUUGAGCUUGAUAUGGAUGGUCUCAGGCGAAGGUCAGAUCUAAUUCAAAAGCUUCAUAAGCAUGUGCAACUCCAAAUCAAGGAGCUAUAGACCAUGGAAUCAUGUUCAACUUUACCAUCUAAUACCCAAACAGUUGGCCAUGGCCAUGCUAAAUAAAUGUGCUUUGUAUUAUUGAGAGUCUUGAACAUUUCAGUAUCAAACGAUAAUGGUUCAAUGCUUUUAUUUUUGAGUAAUGGGUUUUGUGUUGGAGUAGCCAAAAAUGUGAUAUUGAUUGAUUAAGCUUCCUUUUUCCCCACCGAAAAGAAGUCUUUUAAUAGUUGAUGUGGGUGACAUAUCAUGUGAUUCUUGUGUAGAUUCCUUAUCUUCAUAAUAGUAGGGUCGUUUUAUAUUUGUCUGGUUUUUGACCCUUGACUCUUGUGUGAUUUCCAUCUUAAUGAUCCUAGUAGAAACAGAUGAGCAUGAUGCUCUUGAGGGUUCAUAUUUUGAAAUUUUAGGAAUUCGAGAAUGACUGAAUGAAUUUGUUAAGCCCCAAAUUCUAAAAUUAAAGUUUAAUUAAAUUAACAUAGGCCAACUCAGACUUUUUGCACUUGAGAUGUGAAUUAAGGAAGAAUUUGGUGAAGUUUAAAGUUUGAGGGCAAACCUAAUUCACCUGUGUUAUUUAAGUUUUUGAACAAAGAAGUUCCCUAUAUUUGGAAGAAUUCAUGUUUUUCCUAUUCAUGGACUUUGUGUAUCGGAAAACUUACACAUUUUAACUCCAUGGCCAACCUUUGUAAAAAGAGUAUGCUUGUAUGGGUAUUUUUUUAAAUCUCUCAGAAAAAUAAGCAUCCAUAUGACUAUACUAAGCUCUCAGAGCUUGUUUUAGUCUAUAUAGUGCCUUUUUAUUUUUAUUUUUAUAAUUUAUGAACUUUAUGCUCACUUUUAGGCUUCGCAUACUCAAGAGGUUUAUCGAUAAAAACCUGUUCUUAUAGAUCACCAAGCAAAAAUACUGAUUUUACAUCUAGUUGGAAGAUAGACCAUGAGUUUUAAGAAGUCAAUGUAAUAAAUAGCUCGAUUGCAUCAUGUCUUGCAAUAGGAGUAAAAACUUCUUUAUAAUCCACACUAAACUCUUGUUUAUAGCCUUUAGCUACUAAGUGCACCUUAUUCUUGCCAUCUUUGUCAUUCUCCUUCAAUGUUGUCUUGUAUACCCAUUUGACACCAAUUUUUUGUGGUCUCUUGGAAGAUCAAUUUACUCCCAAGUGCUAUUUUGGUUAAUAAUUUCAGUUUGUCUUUCAUAGCCUUCCUCCACUUUGAAAGUUGUAGGAUUGAAAUAUGAAAAUAGAGCAAAAUGUGUAAGCAGGUUCUCAAUGGGUCAAUUUCUAUUUCCUUGUAAUCAAUCAUCCACAUAGGUCUUCUUCAACCAUGUUUUGUCCUUUGUUUAUCACCUCUUUAGCUGCAAUUGGGCUUUGAGCAUCAACAAGGACAUUUUUGGGUAACUUCGAGUUAUUGAACAUUUCCCAUAGGUUGUUGCCUUAUGCCAUCAUCAUCAAAAUCUAUUGGAAUACGUUUUUCAACACCAUUCUUGUUCCAAAACCAAGUUCAUUCUUAAUAAAAAAAAUAUCGUGACUAAUAAUGAUUUUCUUUAUGCUAAGAUUAUAUAGCUUAUAAGCCUUUGACUGAUCAUUAAUACCAAGACAAAUGCAUAUUUCUCCCUUGUCAUCUAGCUUUUUCCUCUUCUCAUCUAGAACAUGGACAUGGGUAUAGGCUAUGCAACUAAAAAUUCUAAAGUGUUAGGGUCUUCAUCUGUUCCAUGUUUCCUAUAGUGUUAUAUUUUGAACAAUAAAUGUUGUACUUCUCUUCAAAAUAUGAAUGCUCCAGUUGAUAAUGUUAGGCUAGAAACUCUUCAAAACUCUAAUCCUUGCCAAAAGACUUCACACCUCGUUAAGAAUCGUGCAAUUAUUCCUCUCGCAUACAUCAUUUUAUUGAGGCUAAUAGGCCUCUAUAAGUUGUCUUUUGAUGCCAUGAGUCUCAUAAAAAUUUGCAAAUUCAUAUGAGUUAUAAUCUCCCCCAUAAUUAGUGUACAAUAUUUUUAUUAAGCUAUUGACUUCUUUCUCAACAAGUGCUUUAUAAAGUUUAGAUGCUGCAGACACCUCAAAUUUUUCCUACAAAAAAUACACCUAAAAUUUUCGAUUAAAAUUAUCAAUGAAGGUAAUUAUGUAUCUUUUACCUCCAUUAUUUGGAAGAUGGAUUUAUUUGUCCAUAAAAGUUAGAAUAAGCCAACUCUAACGUCUUCUUUGUUCUCCAUGACUUUCCUUAUGGAGAUUGAUUGUGGUGUUGUUGGCUAACAACACAUAUUCAACAAAAACUUGUUGAGAGCAUUCAAUUUGAGAAAGCUUAAUCACCAUAUUUUUUUGCUGCAAUGUCUUGAGACCAACAAAGUUUAGACGCCCAUAACAAAAAUGCCAAAGCCAUGCUACAUCCUUCAAUUGAGUAGACACUACAAGAAAUUUCACCCUCUACCACAAAAUUUUUGGCCAUCAAUAUAAUUUCAUCUCUAAAGAUGAUAUUGGGAGACAAAAUUCAAGUUUGUUAUGAAAAUUUGUGUCUAAAGUUUUAAUUGAAUGUGACAUGAGGCCAAAUUAUUUGUGACGACAUCAUAAAUUUUAACAACAAAAUAUUUCAUGGUGAAAAAUAUAUUGGGAGACAAAAACCUAGUGUUGUCCCAAAAGGUAAAUAAUGGGUAACAAAAUUAUGUUGUUGUAAAAUAGUUUUGGAGAGAAAAAUCUUAACAAUGGGAGACAAAAAUAUUGUCCUAAUAUCACUAGAUGAAGGAACAAAGAAAAUUAUUGGGGAGGAAAUUGUUUUAUUGUAAAAACUCAAUAUUGGAGACAAAACUAUUUCAUCCCCAUUAAAAUGCAUUUUCCUUUUUCAAAAUGAAUUUAUCAUUUUUAAAUUUAUUUAUACUAUUGAAUACUUAACAUGAUUUAUUUGUUUUUUGAGAAAGUUUCAUAAUACUUUAAUAUUUAUGAAACAACACAAUUAUUAUUAAAGAAAGUAAAUAUUAUUUAGAAAUAAUGUGAUAUUGUCAUAUUAUAAUAUUAAUAUAAAUAUAAAUAUAAAUAUAUAUAUAGUAUUAAAAUUUAAAUAUAAUGACAAUUUUUAUUAUAUUUAAAUUUUAAUAUAUAUAUAUAUAUAUAUAUAUAUAUAUAUAUCAAUAUGUAAUAAUAUUUAAAUUUUAAUACUAUGUGUAAUAAAGUAAGAAUUUAAAAUUUUUUUAGCUAAUGUUGAAUCUUCAAUUCUGGAUAUCAUACUCAUGAUAUGUGAAAUGUAAUAUUUGUUUAAUAAAAAUAUUAUUUUAUUUAGUAUAUAACUUGAAAUUAUAUAUAAAAGAAUUUAAUAUGGAUUAAAUUAAUUACCUAAAAAAAAAAAGGGUUACAAUGUUUGGACCAUAAUAUUAUUAGUCUUCUUCUUGUUCUUGAGUACAAAAACACAAAGAUUAAUCUAGAAUGUAUAAUAUGGUAAAAUUCUAAUCAUAAUAUAUUUUAUUUUUAUAAUAUUUUAUUUUAUUAAUGAAUUUAUAAGAUAAUAACAUUUUUUUUGUAAAUUCUAUUAUAAUAUAACCAUCUAUUAUUCUUCUAAUCUUAUACUUCCUAUAAAAUAACUUUUUUUCUUUUUCUCUAAAUAAUAAUUUCAUUUUCAUGUAAAUACUUUGAACAAUCCUUAAUAAUAUAUAAUAAAAUAAAACAAAAAUAGAUUGAGAUUCAUUUCCAUGUUUAUAACUUGAUAUUUUAUAUAUCUAAAAAUGUUCAAUUAGGAAUUAGGAUUAAAUUGAUUAUAUUAUGCAAAAAUAAAAAAAUUAGUUACCAUGUGAGAACCCUAAUUUUAUUAAUCUUCCUUAUGUUAUUUACAGAUAAAAAUCAAUCCAAAUUGCGAAUGUACAAAUAAAAUAAUUUUAGUUAAUAGUAUAAACAUUUAUUACUUACCUACUUUUGUUGUUCCCAUAAAAUCAUCUCAUGUCUUUAUUUGUAAGUAAUUGAUUUCAAUGUCAAUAUUCUAAAUUAAAGUAUAAAAUAAAUUAAAAAAUAUUACAUUAAAAUAACUUAUUUUGUAUAUAAAUUUUUAUUUUAUAUAUCUAUAAAAGUCAAAUUUGGAUUAAAUUGAUUAUACAAAAAUAUAAAAAGGGGUUUGACAACCAUAACACUAUUAGUCUUCUUCGUAUUAAAGUAGAAAAAUGAAUCCAAACUCUAAAUGUAAAAGAUAAUGAAAUUUUAAUAGUAAGUUACAUUGGCUUUUUCAUAAUAUUAUAUUUUAUUAUAAUUCAUAUAUGAAUUUAUAAGAUAAUGACAUUUUAAUAAUGAUUUAUUUCAAUUCUUCUUUUUUUUUUCUUCUUAAUUUUCUAAUUGAUUUUUUUUUAAAAGAAAUAUAAAAAUUUAUAUAUGACUUAAAGUUGAUAAAAAAAAUUCAUUUCUCUUUUAAUAAUUUAACAAUAUAAUGUUUUACCAAUCUCAUCUUUUCUAUAAAAUCAUCUCAUUUCCUUAAUUUUUUUAUAGAUAUUUCUUAUGGUUAUUCUUUAGAAAAAAAAAUUCUAAUGUUAACUAUAUAAGACAAUAAACUUAUAUUUUUAAAAAUUAAUCCUUUAUAAAAAAAGACUUUUAUAAAAGUUUUAGUUAAUUCUAUAAUAGUAUAAGUAUCUAUUAUUUACGCAAUCUUGUUGUAGACCCCCUUUGGUGGUAAAAGGCUCGGGGGGAGGUGAUUUCGAAAGACUUCUCAUUAUAUUUAGAAGGGGUAGGGGACCCCUAGCGGCUGAAGGAUGGACCCCUUCUCUAGGCACGGACGUGCAGCUGCAGGGGGGCGGUUGCAAGCCCAUGCUUGCUGAUGCAUGAACAGGGGAGGUGGGUGAUGGUUGGCUGAAGAGAGAAAACAGAGAAGAAGACGUCUACGAGGGGGGUGGUUUUUGCAGGAGAGACGACUAGUGAAGGAGGAGGAAGGAUCUUUCUGCUGAUAGCUUGUAAGUAUUGCUCUGUUUCAACUCCCUUUCACAUUUCCUUAUUCUUUUGUUGCAAAAUGAUUCAUGUUUGGUCCCAAGGUGGUGAUUGAUAGUCAUGCAUUAGUUUAUUUUCCGUUCGUUCUAUUGGUUUUUCAAUCUGUUGAUGAUGCAUGAAGUGAGGUUACAACAAUUAAAUCCUCAGACCUCUCAUCCUUGCUCGGUUUCUUAGCGAUCUCUUUCUCCAUACUUCUUAUGCUACCAACCCCCUGCUCAUGCACACGUGGACUGCACACCCACUCCUACCCUCCAUUUUCCCUUCUCAUUUUCCUCUCGUUCUUCUCACUCCUCAAAACACCAGAAGUAGACGUCUACCAGGAUAGCAGCCGAAGAUGCUCAAAACUUCAAUCCCCAUUUCGAGCCUACCGCCAAAGCUCCAAAAAUCCUAGCAAAUGGAGAGCCUCCGAUGCAGUUCUGAGAGCACGAGGCUCUCUUGCGGCGCUCCGGCGAGUCCCAUGCAUCUCGCGUUCCACGUGAAGGCGUCGCCAUCAACUCUCCCCUCACCGUCGCCGCCCUUUGAAAACACUCUACCCAGCCCGCCCGCUACACACUACAAGGAAAAUGUCAAAAGAUGACGCUUUUUAAGUGUCAAGAUAGAUAUAAGAUGACGCUUUUUAAAAGCGUCAUAUAUUAGACUGUCAUCUUUUUAAAUCGCAUACGUUGACACUUUUUAGAAGCGUCAUCUUCUUUGCACGUCAACCAUGACGCUCAUAGUAAGUGUCAUUAUUUGAAAUAUUGACGCUUUAUAAGUGUCAUCAUAUGUUAAUAAUUUCAUUCAUGUCAAUAUUGACACUCAAUGAAGUGUCAUUGUAUAGGUAGAAGCAACAUUGACACUCAAUAUAAGUGUCAUCUUAUAACUUUUUAUUUGUAGGAGCAACGUUGACACUUAAUAAAGCGUCAUUGUAUAAGUAGAAGCAACAUUGACACUCAAUAUAAGUGUCAUCUUAUAGCUUUUUUAUUUGUAGGAGCAACAUUGACACUCAUAAUAAGUGUCAUCGUAUAGCAUUUUAUACCUUGACACUAAAAAAAAUGCCAUGUUUUUUUAACAUCAACCUUGACGCUUUUGAGAGGUGUCAUCUUCUGUUUAUUCAAGUAAAGCAUGAUGCUUUAAAAAAGCGUCAUCUUAUCUCAUAUAAAAUUUUAAUAGCCCAGAAAUUAAAAUGUCCUAAUUAUGCCCUGUUUUAUAAUUUUCUAUCAACAAUUAAAUUAAUAAUAAAAACUUAAUUUAAGAAUCUCCAUUGACAAAAAGGAUCAAAUAUGGUCUUCCUUUUUCACUAUUACAAUUUAUCCAUAAACAUCAUAUAUAAUCAACAACUAAAACCAACAAUUUUACAACUUCUUCUUCUCAACUUUGAAUUGUUCAUAACCUUCACUACAUCUAGUUUUACAUCAUUUUUCUUCCAAGUGCAAAAGGAUGGUUGUAACUCACUUUCUAGAUGCUCAAUCUGCAAAAUAAUUGAGAGGGUUACAUAUUUAUUAGUAUUAACAAAUAGUUAAGAAGCAACUUUGUAAAUGAAAUGUGUAUAUGCCAAUUUUUAAAUUUCCAAAAUAUCUUUCUUCCAUUGCAAUAAAUUUCAAAAUAUCAAAAGAACUCAACAAACUCCAAUAAUUUUAUUACACCAAAUUUCUAAAUAUUUUAGAACUCUCAUUCUAUUUUUUUUUUUUAAAAAAAAGUUUUUAUCUCAUUGACUAUUUUGGUAUGAUUUUUAUCUUAUUUAUGAAACUUCAACCAUUAACAUCUUCUCAUUCUUCUUAUAGGUUGUACAAGACAUUAGAUGUUUUGCAUGAGAAGAAACUAAGGAAUGAAAAAAAAAAACAAAAAAAACUAGAAGUCCGAAAAAUUGUAAAAUUGUAAAUUAACAUAUUUAUGUAAAAUUAUAAAAUUGUGUUAAAAUAUCUAUGUUCUUCUUAUUGUAUUAGUAUAUCAACAUUUAAUAACAUGAGGAUAUCUAUUAUCUAAAUAUGGAACUUGCAUGAAAUGAUCUCUAAACAUGGAAUUGAUUCAUAAAACUUACAAUAACCACAUGUUACCUCAAAAUUCUUUUGAUGAUAUAUUUUGAAUUGUUUGUGGGUGUCCUUCAUCAAGAGUAGAAGUGAUGUUGUUAAUAGAAUGACCUAUGCCUUUUUGUACAACCUGAAGAAUAUAUAAUAAACAAUUUAACAACCAAUUAGUAAGAGGUGCUAUUUCCUUCCAUAGGCUUAUUUGUAAGAAGUCUUAAACUAACUUCCUAUUUUUUAAGUAAAAGAAAAUGGAAGUACAAGAUAUUAUAGACUUUAAGCCCAUUAGUAUAGUAGGAGACCUUUAUAAAUUUAGAUUAAAGAAGUUUAUAAAGCUAGUAAUCUUAAAGACCAAAAAUGCUUUUGUAGAGAAUAGACAAAUUCCUAAUUCAUGCACAUGUAAUGAAACUAAAGGCUCUACGAAAAUGAGCUUGGACAUGUAGGAAUUUUUGUAGCUAUGCUAUUGUAGGAUUUCUCCAAAUCUAACUGAUAAUAAUUUGUAGAGGAAAUAUACAAAAGUUGUUACACCUACCAUGUCUACUUGGCUUCACCUCUCAAUAUGCCAACUAUACAUCAAUCAUAAUAGAGCAACCCCCAAAAUGAUCCAUAUUGAAAACACUGCCAACUAGAAGUACAAAGAUAUACAUUAACAAAUUAUCAUUGUGAAUAAAUCCAUUAUAAAAUUAACAUUAACAAAAUAUUGACUACAUCUUUAAAAGAAUAUGAAGUUGUAUUAGACUAUAAGUUAUAAGAGGUACCUUCAAACAUGAGUAAUGAUUAACUGAGUCACUAACAUAACCCAAUCUGAUUGAACUUCAUUAAUUUCCAUUUCACUAUAUGAUUUCUUCCCGCAAAACUGAAUUGGAGUGACAUAUACAAUUCACUAAGUUCAAUUGACCAAAAAAAAAAAAAAAAUGCUAUAGUAAAAUGACCAACCAUAUGAAUUGAAUUGAGUGCAAACCUUUGAUGUUAGUUGGUUUGGAUUAGCAAUGAUUUCCUUCAUAUAUCUCAUCACGUAAUACCCACAUUCCACACUACCUGGUUGUCUUGGGCACUAUGGGAAAAGUAUCAACAAUUGCAAUAAACACUAGAAUGAUGUUCUUACUUCUUUAGCAUCUUAUUGAUGAUCAUAUUAAUAACCAUCCAUUUUCUAAUUUUGUCAUAAAUUAAGUGGUGAAGCAAUAUAUUUUAAUCUAAACAAAUAAGUACUUACAACCACUUUCACCCAAGUUGGCUCCCUCUUUGAUGUUUUCUGUUUUUCCGGUGGGUUGAUUCUCAUUGCCCUACAAAAAGAAUUAAAAAGAUGUUAUAUAGACACUAUCAAUUGUAUUAAAAUAGGAGAAAAUAUAUACUUACAUGUUAACUAUGUCCUUAAGAUCAUCACAUGGUUGACAGGCCAUUGGAUUAAGGUAAUAUGCAAUCAUUUUCUUCAUCUCCAAUGCCACUAACACCCAAUGGAAACUAAAGAAAAGAAAUGAAAAUUGUAAUAUAGUAUCCACAAAUUCAAACAUCACAAACUAACUUACAAACACCAUAUUGAUAUUUAGGAUAAAAGGUUACUCUGGGUUGUAUGGAAUAAGCAUAUAUUCAGCAUGCUUUGUAUUCUUUAGUCGAUCUGCAAUAACCCUUGACCUGUUUUCCUUGCUUCCCUCUCCCAUUCCAGCUUUUGAGACCAAUACUGGAUUGACAAAAACAUAUCGUUCGGCCUGCUAUGCAUCAAUCAACUUUCUAUGCAAAUGCUUGAUUAUAACCCACAUGACAAGUUAUCAACAAUCAUUAUAGGUCAUUAGAAAAUAACCUUCUAUCUCAUAAUCUUGUGAAAAGUCAUUCAAAAAUUAUAAAAUCCCUUACCAAAUGUAGUAUAAAAUACAAUUGGAUGACACUUCUUUUGAUGAUAUUAUCAUUUCCAUAUCUUCUUUCAUCAUGAAGGUCUUGAAACUCUCACCAAAAACAUCAUCUGGGAAGUUUAUAGGGUAUGUUCUUGAUGUACUCAGAAUGAGGCCAACCAAUGUCUCAAAAUUUUUCAUAUCUUGUGGUUUUUCACCCUUGGAUUUGACUUCAACUUCAUUUACUUUUUGUUUCUUUGCUUUCUUAGAUGCUUGUACAAUUAAGAACCAUGGUACAAAUCAAAUUAACUAGUUUAUAUAUAUAUAAAGUCACUAUAAACUUUGGUAAUUAAAUUUACUUACUAAGAUGGGAGUACGGAUGAUGACCAAAUUAGUUGGCCACAAAACUUGGUAACCAAUUGCAGCCCCAACAGUAGUAGUUUGUCCAGGAAUAGGAAUGGGAAGGGGUGCACUUGAAUCAUAAGGAGCAUCAACAACUACUAAAUAGUUGGGACCACAUUCAAGUAUAAUUGUUCCACCUGCCACUAUAUUUUCCUUGGUGCCUAUGGCUGUAGACCCCCAUUUUGGGAACCUCACUUUUGUGCAUAUUUUGCAGCUCUUUUUGCCAGGUGUCGCAGCUGUGAGCAGCCACGUGUCGACUCCCGUCUGGUUGCUAUGGCAUCAGAUGGUGGAAUCAAGGAGCAAAUAAGAGGUUGACACGUGUAAAGGAGAUUUUGCAGGCGGUUAGGAGGAGCGUAUGAGAGAGGGGAUAUUCUGCAGAAAGUGAGGUUGCUUUUGGGAGGUUGGUUAGGAGAUAUAUUCUAGGAGGGCAUAUCCGGGAGAGAACAAAAAUAAGAGAAAAGGGGAUUGGUUGGUGGAAAGGGGCUGCAGAGUGUAGUGGUGCUGGUGGCUGUUGCUGCAAAGAUGGUUGGAGGGGCAAAUCCGGGAGAGAAAAGAGAUAUCGCCUAGAAGAGGAAGGCAGCUAGGAAGGGAUGCAGGGGGGUGGAGAGUCUGUUAGAGGGGGAGCGUCUCUUGCAAGUGGGCAGGAUUUUCAUGCUGGUCUGAGAGAUUUUUCAGGCAGGGUGAGUGGAGAUAUUGAUUUUUGAGGGGAAGAGGAGAAGAUCUUUUGAGCUGAGGAAGGUAGCAGGCUGCUAAGGAUUUGGAGAGGGGAGAGCUUUUGUUUGGGUGUUUUUUUUGGGAGAAAGGAUUCUGGAGAGGAAGCAGUAAAGCUUCUUUUGUGAGAGAGAACGAGGGAGAGAGAACAGAGAAGGUGGGGGCAAAGAGCGAGAGGGGGAGCUUGGGAGAGUAUUCGUUUGGUGUGGAGCAGCAAACUGUGAGGGAGAAGUUGGAAGCUGCAAGAAAUGUGAGUUUUUGGAGAGCUUAGAGAGUGAUAUUUCUUUAGGGCAUUGCUUGACAAGCAAGCCGGACAGGAGAAGAAGUUUUCUUAGAGCUUGAGGAGAGCUCAGAGAGAAAACCAGAGGGAACUUGCUGGUGAGAAUAGGAGGGGAUAUCUUUUUCUUUUCUAGAGGUAGCAGAGUGGAGAGGAAACAAGUUUGAAGGUAAGCAUCUCGGGAGUAAAAGGACUUCCUCAGGUAUGAUUGCUAUAGGCUUAUUGAUUGUUUUUGGCUGUUUAUCACUCUCAUAUGUCUCUUGUUGAUAUUUGAAUAUUUGUUGAUUUGCUUGGGGUGGAUAAUGGAGGCCACUUAUUGCUUGUUGAAAUAUAAUCCUGCCUACAUGUUUACCACUGUUAACCUUAGUGUGUUUUGCUCCUAUUAUGAAAAUGCCCAUAGUUGCCUUUGAAAUGUUGUUUCUCACCUAAUCAGAGGGUUCACGGAUGACUCAUGAAGUGAAACCUCUGAAAAUCACCUUUACUCAUUUUCUUUUGCGUUCUUUUCAAUGGCCUUUUUCUUUGUUGUGACCAAUACUUUGCUUCUGGGCCUCGUUCAAUGUAAUGGUUGUAAAAAAAAGUAGAUCUGGGUCUGGCUGUGUACUCAUUCAGAGAUCAAAUAUGUUGGGAAGAGACUAUGAUUGGGUGAUGAGAUUCUACUAUGAGGUUCAAGGGAGGUUCAAUCGGUUCAAUGAUGCCACUCUGAAUUUGUUGAUAUCCUAUGUGUGUAGAAGAGAUGCUCAGUGGGACUCCUUUGGGUAUCAAAACUCUGUUUCUCCCAGAUAUCAGUGGCAUGCUUAAAGGUAUAUUAUCAAGUCCUGGCCUGGUUGUAAGUAUAUCUAUUUCAUCUGCUGGAUUCUUGCGAAGAAAUCUCCCUCUAGUAGUUCUGGGAAAUGGGAAGACGUCAAUGGGAAUGUGUCUGUGGUUUCUGCUCAUGAGAAUAUAUUGAGUGAUCAGCCUGAGUUGCUGCAGCGACUUGGAAAGGACCUUUCUUUUGUUCCAAUACUGAUCUAUGACCCAUUGAUAGAAGUCUACUUGGCAGAUUUUUGAAGAUGGAGAGGCUCGAAAACCAUCUAUGCAUACUGAUGUAGGUCCCGUGUCUGAGACAAGAGGUGCAGAAAAUACCGAUUAUGCUGAUUUUAAUAAUAAAAACGGUGGGAUUUCUUGGGUCUUUAUUGUGAUGGUUGCCCUAUGUCACUCCCUCAUGAGGAAGAAGACACCAAAACAGAAUAUCUCGGUGAAAUGAAUUAUGGUAUCAGCAGGGAAUGUCUCAAUGUCGUUACUGAUGAGUAAACUGACAUGGUUGCUGAGAAAGGCGUUUGUUUCGACAAGUCAACAACAGUUGAAAUCCUGGAAGCUGUUCAUAAUCCCUGUCCCGUGGCAUUUGAAUACCCAAGGCACCUGUCACUAAGCCAACCUCAUGACUCCCCAUCCGUAGUCCUACAGCCGCAAGUGUUGUUCCAUUCUUGCAUGGUCACUCACCAAAGUUUCCCUCUCCAUUGAAUCCAAAUAUCCUCACACCAAUCAAGCCCACCCACUAAUCCAAUCCAUCUUUCAUCCAUCCCACUCUCUACCCUACACGCAUGGCAAACCCAUUUUUUUCUUAAUAUCCAUCUAAACCCAUCUCUCACUCAUGUUCGUGUCUUACCCACGUUCCAGCUCACUACAUUUCUUCAUACCCAUUGCCUAUAGCCAUACCCAUAUUUCAUAAUCUCCCAUGCAUGUUCAUUUCUUGAAAACCCAUUAAACCCUCUGAACCCAUAUUUGUUUGGCCAUGUAUGGCCAUACAAGACGUUUCCACCAAGCUCAUUAUCCCUGGAUAUUCAUAUCCGUUUCCUGUAGUUGGGCACUUGUCCCAAUUCACGUGACUUCAAUGGAGGCUGUGUUGAUGGAAGAUGUCAUUGCUUUCUUGGAUUUCAUGGUCAUGAUUGCAGUGUAUACGAAUGGAUGCUUGGGCAUGAUAACUGCCUAUAGAAGGUCUAAGCCAUAUGCAGAUCCUGAUGCAAAGAAGAUUGAUGAUCAGGGUGAUGAGGAAGUGCCCAACAAGAUGCCGAGGAAUCCAAGAAGCUGCUACCAUACCCAUGUCACCAUGCCUUACAAAUCCACUCCGUUUCUCCACCACCUUUAUGGAUUCUACACCAUCACCUAUCUAUACUCAAACCGUUGCCCCAUUUCUCUCACUAAAUCCCGCCACCCAGUCCACUCAUUGAUUGAGGAGACCAUACCCAUAUGCAUGAUCGUUUUAACGCAUGCAUGACCUUCUUGAAAGACACGAAGAUGUUUGGCGCGCCUAGAGCUUGACUGGCCACAUGUGAUGAGAUUCUUCUUUGCUGCCUUCGUCACGAUGAAGCUGUGAGCAUGAUGAGAAACCUCUUUGAUCAGCGCGAAUUAGUUAGAUAUGAUGACGAGUGUAGUCUAUCACACAGAGCAACUUGUUAUUCUAGUUUGUACAAAUCGUAACAUCAAUAUGGGAAGGUAUUUAUGUGAAAGGAAGCUGCAGGUUGUGAAAUAUUAACAUUGGUCCAAAUGUAAGUGAUCCUGGCUAUUUAGAUUUGGUAAGAAUCCGCUUGCUUCAAAAGAUACAGGUGAGGGAAUGUGCUGAGUUACUUGGGAUAAGUCUAUCAUUUAGAGUCCCAUUUGAGAUUGUGGGUGAUGUCAUGCUUAUGCAACUCUCCUGCAUUCAGCAAAGAGACAAAUCAAUUGUGGAAACUCCAAGGUAGACGUCACGUGGCGCAUUGAUAGAUAUUUGUGGAGUUUUUCAACUAGUUCAAAGGUGUCAUUGCAUGAAGAAUAACUGUAGCCAAGGAAAGGGCUGAUCUGGACGUUCUCUAUAUCAGAGCAUCAAAAUGGGAAUAUCAAGGUGCCGCUAACACACUCAUCACUAUCAUGUUUGCACAAUCAAAAGAGGAUGGAGUCGACCUAAUCGAACACGGACAGACCCAGACUGAAGACUUGCUGAGAACAGAGGCUCAGGCUUUGGGGUUAAGGUAAUUUCAAUAUGCCUAGGGAUUCUCAUUUGUGCCACUCAGACUCAAAAUAACCUCUGUAAGAAAGGAAGAGGGAUGAGAAAGCUGGCUACAGAGAUUCAAAGGAGAGUCACUACGAUUCAAGCUUCUUGGAUAACAUGCUGUUCAGAGAGUUUGCCAUAGAGUUUUGAGUUUUUGUUGUGAAAAGAUGGAUGAGAAUAUGUCGGUUGGUUGUGAGUAAGAAUUUCUAUGCUCGGCAUGCCAAGUCAGUAAUAGUUGAAGAUGGGAUCUAAAGGGCAAGCAAGGCUCAUAGCAUCGUGGCCUGAUUCAGUGACUAUUCUGGCAUCCAGUCAAACCUUCAGGGCAUGUAUCGCAUGGUCACCUUCAGGCAUACUACUUUGCCCAUGUGUCCUUCUCACUUCCUCCUUUCAUCUAUUUUAAAAAAAUAAUUUCCCACACUCUCAUUCCUCAAAAAUAAUUUUUCAAUUUCCAUUUUGUAAAUAACUCUUCAAAUUUUGAUUUUCAGAUAAAUUUCAACUCUCCUCCUUCAUCCUUAGAACCCCUUUGGUUCCAAAGUCUCUUUUUCCAAUAAAUCUUUGUUGCCAUAUUUCCUUUCGGCAUACAAUUUUCACAAUUCUUUUGUUUUUUAAAAUGUUUUAAAAUAAGCUAAAAUCAAAUUCCAUAAUUCUAAGUGAUAGAGUUUGCGGAAUUGAUUUAUGCAAAAAUGAAUCGGGCUUUGAUGGAGGCCCCACAUAUUUGACUUCAUGAUUGAUUGACUGAUUGAUAGAUUUAUUUGCCAUGCUUGAUUGGUUUACUCUAUUCCUUGAUAUGCGCUUAAUUAUAUCUGUUCAUUGUUCACUAAUCAUGUUUCAUGAUAGCGCGUUCGUGAUUGCCGCCCAGGUGCGCAUCUAUUCAUAUUUCGCCUAUUCUUUAUACAUGCUUUACUUCUCAUAUUGUGCAUGAUCAAUUUGAGUAUUCAUCAAUUUUCUCAUUGAUUGCCAUGUUAGCUUCAUUCUAUUAGUAGAGACCCGACUUUAGGGACUUAGAGGGGUGCUACGGUUUUUACCGUACCUUCCCGAUAAGUAACCUGACCCCCGAACCCGAUCCGGUUUUUCACAGACCGCCUUUUCCAAAAUAAGGAGUCACACUUAGGGUUUUUCUUUCUUAUUUUGUUUACCCUUUAAAAAUAAAACAAAAAUAAGUGGCGACUCCAAGUCAUUUUUCUUAAUCAAAUAAAAUCAAUUUUUCAAAUAAAAAUCGAGCUCGCCAUCGAGUGGGAAACGCAUUGAGCCGAAAAUGCGGGGUCCACAAUGGCCAGCUCACAUUUUCUAACCUACAAAACUCAAUUCACAAUAAUCACUUCAAUAUUAGUGGGUUUAUACAAAACUAACAUAAAUGCAUUAUCAUCAUCAAUCACCUUAUAGCUCCUAUUACAAUGAUAAAUGCAAUUUCAUUUACAUUCAAUUGCAACAAACUUGCAUGAUAACAUUUCAGUCCAUUGCAUAUAACUCAACCCAUAAUUUAGACAUAUCCUAUUAUAUGUUGCCACAUCAAAGAAGACCAUAUAUGUUGCCACCAACAUUUGAAGUCAAUUCAAACAACAAAAUUAAAUUAAAUUAUUUCUCGUAUUAGAGGAAACUUUGUCAUCAAAUUAGCUUAAUUGAAUAAAUACCUUCUUCUGUGGUUCUAUUGCUUCUGGUGGGGUCACAUCUUCAACUUUACGGAUUGCCUUAUCCACUGCUUCUGGUAGGAGAAGUUGUUUUUGCUUCAUGUUUGAACUACUAACAUCAGAUUGGGGAGUAACAACUCCUACUUGAGUCAGUUUUGCUAGCACUUCUGCCUGAAAUAUUCUUUGUUCUUCUUUAGAUGCUGCUAUGAAAUCCCUGACAGCACGAUCUACAGCACUAUUGAAAUAUUGGCGAGGUGUGUAGUGCUUCCCUUUGGCCCUAACUCGACCACUAUACUCAGGAGUACCCAAUGCUUCCACAAGUAUAUCAUUACUUCCACUAACACUUCUACCAUUCUCUUGAGACACUUUCAAUAGCUUGUCCUUAAAAAAUAUUAAUUAUAAAGUUAAAUUGCAAAUUUGUUAUUGUAAAUAACUUAUUAUAAAUAUAUGUAAUUAAAAUUGAAAAAUAUUCACUUACUAUUUUCUCAAUUACUGGUAUGGCCACUUCAUCAAAGGUGUCGUCCUUUUUUUCCCUUGCUUUCUUCCAUAAUAUGCUUCGAUCAAUAGUUUCAGUUGAUCCACUUGCAACCAUCUUUCAAAAUAGGACAAUGUAUAAUAUAAUUAUCAUAUAACCCUAUUAUGUAUUAUGCAUAAAAUAAAUAAAAAACAAUUAAUAGGCUUAUACUUACCAUCUCUUCCUCAAGACCGGCAUAUCCUUUCCUACUUAGAUGGUGAUUAUAAAUGUUUCUCUUUCUUCUUUCUUUUUGAAUUUCUCGAUAUUCCUAUAAAUUAAAAUUUUAUAAUUAAUGAAUGUGAAUAAGAGGUAUGUAAAGAGUCUUAAUUAUACCUUAAAGUUGUCAGACAAUCUAUCUUUGACAAAUAUUGUCCAAUCUUCAUCCUCAAUAAAAGUAUAUUGAAUUGGUGGUCUUUUGAGGAGCUCCGGUUGGUCUUCGAAAGGAAGAAUGUACUUCACUGUUAGCAAGUUCUUAAAGGACCAAAAGCAUUUUCCCAUUGUUACCAUACAAUUCCUCCUGCUUUUAUGAUUUAAUGAAAAAGCAGUUUGCACAUUAAUACCAAACUUUAGUAAUUUCAAGAGGUUAAGAAUGAUAGACAUUUUGCAUCAAAGUGAUUUAAAUAAGAAAUGGUUACCUCAAUGUUGUCCCAUAACUUAUCCUUCAACUGUUUAGGUACAACAUGCCAAUUUUUAUAUCUUAUUGGCACCAUAGUGCGUGCUAACACGCCUAAGUAGCUUGUUAGAUGAACUGCUGAUUCUCCUAUGAAAAUGCCAUCAAGAUUGUACUUAACCGGCAACUUAACCCCCUUGCUUCUGUUUUUUAUAAUCAUAUGCUUCUGUGUCAUCCCUCUGUACUUCCUUUUUAUGGGUUUUUCUCCUUUCUUUGUCUCCAUUCUUGUAACAAAAAAAAAAUAAAAAAUGAUAAAGAUUAGUUAAAAUUAUAUUGCAUAUAACCUAGUCAAAGAAUAAUUGUAAAACAUAACUUUUCAAAGAAACAAAUCCAUAAUCAUUGUACAAUGAAAUGCAAUAGAUCAUGAAUUCAAUAGAUCUUUUUAGAAUUGUUCAUCAUAUAACAAGGAUAACACUUCAUUUAAACUUUUUUUUGUCCCGUUUUGUUUAACAUUUCAUUUAUUUUAAGCAACCCAAGGGCCUUUGUAUAAGAAAGCUAAAUUUGCAGUAGGAAUUUCCUAUAAGAAUCAACAUGGAAGGAGCACGUGGUUUCAACAAGUUCAUCAAGUCCAUAAGAACUUAUGAAAGCUUUUGGACUAUCGGUUUGCGUUACAUUAAGUUUGGAAAACACAACAUGCAUAUUGAUAAUAAAAAAUUUCAUAAUUUUUUUACUCACAAACAUAACUAAUUUAGUAUCUUCCAUGCACAAUUUAGGGAAAAGGUUUUAGUAAAUAUGUUAUUGGGAGAUGUUAAAGAAUGGUCAAUAUUUUGUGCAAAAAAAUAAAGAAAGGAUAAAAAUUACCUAUUUUGUGGCUGUUGCAACCCAUUCCAUGGCCUUUAUUCAUACAUUAGCAUUAAAAUACAGCUACAUAGAGGAUUUGUUCUCAAUCCAAAUCCCCUCACAAUCGCCUCGCAUACAUGUUGCAUCUGAGUCAUCCAUUACAUCAAGCGCUUCAAUUUGUGGCAAUGCCCCUAUAAAGGGAUGGUGUUUAAUCGAAUUGUCAACAAAGUCUUCACCUCCUUCCAUAUCCAAGAAAUCUUUUUGAGGAGUUGACAAAACAACUGACCAUCUUGGAUCAAGUUGGUCUUGCACAUAAAAUACUUGCUUAGCUUGGGAUGCCAAAAUGAAAGGAUCUGAUUUAUGAGCAAUUUUGCUAAAGUCAACUAAUGUAAAGCCAAGAUCAUCAACUUUUAUGCCAUUUUUAUUAUCAACCCUAUCACACUUGAAAACUGGUAUCCUAAACAUGGUAUAAUCAAGGUCCCAGAUCUCGGUAAUAAUGCCAUAGAAACAAAGCUCACCAAACACUGGAUUUUGAUCAUUUGCACUUGCGAUUUGCAUUGUUGAAGCUACAAUACUAACUCCACUAUUUUGGGUAGUUCGUAAGUCAUCUCGUUCCUUGGUAUGGUAUCGACACCCAUUAAUGACAUAUCCAUGAUAUUUAGAGACAUAAUAGCUAGGACCAUGAGCUAUCCACUUAAGGGUUUCAGAUAUAGGUUCAUUAUUACCAAUUGCAGCUUCAAUAUGUAAUUAUAAAUAAUAGUUAUUAUGUAUGUUAAACAUUAGUAAAAAGAAUACUUCACAUUUUAACACCAUUCCAAUACCUUUUUUCUCAACCAAUAAGUAAAAGUCCGCAGGUGUUCAUCCUGGAGCCACUUUUGUCUUUUUGAUUGACGAGGAUUUUUCAAUUUCAACCAUUCCAUGUGCUCUCUAUGUAAUUAUUUAUAAGAAAUUCAAAGUUAAUGUCUUAAAGUUAUUUUAAGUAUCAGACACAAAUAUUAAGUGUUAGUGGUUCUUACUCAAUAUAAGGUUGAACAAUAGUUGUAUUCUUUAAAACAUAAUGAUGUGCAUGUAACCACAAAUUGGAAUCAAUUGUCACAACUUGACCUCCAAGUAUUGGUGCCCCAACUUUUUGGUCAAUGUUUGCACUAAUAGGAAUCCCAAUCGCAUCCACAUUUGACAAAUACUCUAUACAAAAUUCAACAGCUUUCUCUGCAAUAUAGCAUUUAGCGAUACAACCUUCGGGCCGAUUACGGUUUCGUACAUACCCUUUCAAAACUUUCAUGAAUCUUUCAAAUGGGUACAUCCACCUUAGGUAAACUGGUCCACAAAGUCUCACCUCCCUUACAAGAUGUACAGUAAAAUGAAGCAUGAUAUCAAAGAAGGAAGGUGGAAAGUACUUCUCAAGCAAGCAUAAUGUCACCACCAAAUCAUUUUGUAACUUAUCCAGUGCAGACACAUCAACCACUUUGCUACAUAGAGCAUUGAAAAAAAACUCAAUCUACAAAUAGCAUGCCUUACAUGCUUUGGAAAAAGGGAUCGUAAUGACAUUGGCAAUAACUGUUGCAUUAAUGUAUGAUAGUCAUGCGAUUUAAGACCAUAAAGCUUCAAGUCUUCCAUUGACACAAGGUUUCUCAUGUUAGAGCAAUAACCUUCAGGAACCUUUAAUUGUGAUAAAGUUUGGCAAAAAACCUUUUUCUCCACUUUAGAUAACGUAUAACAUGCAGGUGGGAGAUAAGUUCGAUUUGAUUCAAACCUUGGCCCUAAUUCACACCUUAAGCCCAUCUCUAGCAAGUCUAGGCGAGAAUUAAGUCCAUCUUUCGUCUUACCUGGAAUGUUGAGUAAGGUACCAAUGAUGCUUUCACAAACAUUCUUCUCUAUGUGCAUUACAUCCAAGCUAUGACGAACAUGUAGGUAUUUCCAAUACUCAAGAUCAAAGAAUAUGGACUUUUUUUUCCAACAAUUUGUAGUAUUGACAUUCAACUUGCCUCGGGAGUUUUUAUUUUUUCCCCAUGAAUUAGAAAUGACAUCAAUUUUCCUUAGGAUUUCCUUUCCACUCAAUGGUUGCGGAGGUGAGCUAAACUCUUGUUUACCAUUAAAUGCCUUCUUUUGUUUCCUAAAAGAAUGGUUGCAAGGAAGAAAUCUUCUGUGACCUGUAUAUGAGUUCUUUUUCCCAUGCUUCAAUAUGUGAGAGAAUGUAUCUUGCCCACAUAUGGGACAUGCAAAAUAUCCUUUAACUACACAACCAGAUAAGUUUCCAUAUGCAGGAAAAUCAUUGAUUGUCCAUAGUAGAACAACUCUUAAUGUAAAGACCUUUUGCUGAUGCACAUCAUAACAUUCAACCCCUACAUUCCACAACAUUUUUAAGUCAUCCAAUAAUGGUGCUAAAUAAACAUCAAUGUCAUUUCCAGGUUGUCGUGGACCUGAUAUUAAUAAAGAUAGCAUCAUAAACUUCCUUUUCAUGCACAACCAAGGAGGAAGGUUGUAAAUGACCAUUAUAAUAGGCCAACAACUAUGUCUACUGCUCAUUGAACUAUGAGGAUUUAUACCAUCUGCUGAAAUGGCAAGUCUAAGGUUUCUAGGUUCUGAAGCAAAAUCAGGCCAUCUGUGAUCAACUAGCUUCCAUGAUGGGGAGUCAGAUGGAUGACGUAUUUUACCAUCAAAUUCUCUUUCUUGAGCAUGCCAUAUGAGGUCUUUUGCAAUUUUUGGGGACUGAAACAAUCUUCUAAAUCUUGGAAUAGGAGGAAAAUACCACAUUACUUUUGCAGGGACUCCCUUCCUCUUUUUAGUACCUGUUCCAUCUAACUUCCACCUUGAAGUUCCACAAGUAGGACAAGAAGUUGCAUCAUUCAACUCAUUUCUAUACAAUAUGCAAUCAUUGGGACAUGCAUGUAUUUUCUCAUAUUCCAUUCCCAAUGUAUUCAAUGUUUUUUUUGCUUCAUACAUAGAUAGAGGCAACUCAUUAUUUAGAGGCAACAUAUCUCCAAGAAUACUUAAAAGCUCUGAAAAGCUUUUAUCAGACCAUCCAUAUCGUGCUUUUAGGUUGUAUAAUUUGACCAAUGCAGAUAACUUUGUAAAGUUUCUACAACCAGGAUAUAAAGGUUUUUGAGCAUCUUCAAGUAAUGUUUCAAACAAUUUUGGGUCAUUCUUACGAUCAUCAUAUGCAACUUGAACUGUUUCUAUUGUACUAUCCACAUCGUUAAAUUCAACUGUAUGAUGCCAUUCUGCCCUACUAGUUGGUGGUCCACUUGGAGCAGCGUCUCCAUGCCAAUACCAUGUAUGGUAACUCUAAUCAAUUCCAUAGAAGAAUAAAUGUUCUCUAAUUUUUUGAGGAGUGUGGAAUAUCGUAUUACCACACUGAAGGCAUGGACAUUUCAUGGAGUUUUUAUAUGUGGAAUAUUGUAAUGCAAAUGCGAUAAAGCUUUCUACCCCAUCUGCAUAAUCCUUUGAUCUCCUAUCCUUUGACAUCCAAGAACGAUCCAUUUGAUGUACAAGAGAUAAACACAACUCCUAGAUACCACCAACAACUAAAGUUAUUAAUAAAAUCCUAUUAACAGGCUUAAAAUAUAUAAUCUACCAAAUUAAAAUUUCCCACAUUGUCACAAAACUUAGACCAAUCCAAAAAACGACAAUGUGCAAGUCAUCUAACAAUAAGCAAUAUGACAAGAAACAUAAUUAGUAUAUUAGGUUAUUCAAUAUUAGCAUAAAAAAUGGAUCUUAGUUCAUUCAUGAUGUUUGCUUUAUUCAUGAAUAGGAAUGAAAAGCAAGAUCUAACUUUUAGUCUUCUCUUAUAUUAUUGAAUACACUAAGUUUGAAAAUUUUAAAAACACAUAACCACAUGAGACAAUGAUACCAUGAACUAAAACAAUUAACGAAUGGAACUAAGAUUCGAAUGAAUAGAAGCAAGUGAUUUAUACAUGAUUUAGGCAUUCUAACAUCUCCAACAUCCUUAAUUAGGUGGUGGUUCCUAUCCCAUAUAGGAAUACAUAAUCCCUGUGUCAAUUGCCAAUAUACUUAAAUUCAUUUUAAAGAAAUUUCGGCAACAUUUCCCUAUAGUUCUCCAAGUACACAAAAUGGAUAAGGCACAAUAUGUGACCUUGUCCAAAUAUGCACCCAAAGAACAAGAAGAAAGACUACCAAAUUUUCUAAAAAUUGAAUUAAGAACAAGCAAUUAACUUCAUAGAUAUCAUGUUUUCCUAUACUGUCCAACUGGACAAUUCAAACAUCAUUUGCAGAGAAAAGAUCUUUAUCACAUGGAAGACAAAUUUAGUAGUUGUCAACUUGAAACUGGCUUAAAUAUACCCACAUUUCACAUUUUGACAACUUAUUGUCUUAGUAUGUAAUAAGAGAAACUUCUGUCUCACAAUGAUACUUGAAUGGGAAUUCUAAGGUUUCAUGCAUGCAUAGUUGAUUAAAACUAAAACAUAAAUACUUAUUAAAAUAUUACAUCUAGUUAUGUAUUAUAAAUUAUUCAUAUCAAUUGCAAUGGUGAGAAUAGGAAAAUAUUGUUUGUAAGCAUCACAUUUUAGGCCUAAGUUCACAAACUUUGCUAAAUCCAUUAAAGACCCACUACAUAAAGUUCAUGUUAAAAUUGGUUCAUCUCCAACCCCCAAAAUGAUUUAUCAAAGUUACUCAUUUUUUAGAGUCUUGAUUAAUUAGAUAAUCAAUAUAGAUACAUAUAAUUUGUAUUAAUAUAAUAUCAUGAUAUUUUUUUCAUUUUGUUAUUAGGCUUAGACUUGGGUAGAUUUCCCAAGUAAGGCUAAAGUAGAGCUAAGCUGCACCUUGACAUGUGUUCUACUUAUGUUGGGGGUGACCAUUCUAGUUUGGUGGAACAUCCAUGAAUGUUAUCGGUGGAACAUCCAUGAAUGUUAUCUUCUUGAUUUGGAGUAAGAACUUCAUUUUCUCAAUCGAAAUUGGCUGGAGCUUGCUGGUUCAGUUAGAGACAGAUUUGGUAAUGAAACUUGAGUGUGGGCAUCGGGUGAGGAAAAGGCUUUAUUACAUUUAUCUCUUUUUUUUAAUUGAAAAAUGUGAGUAAUUAUAAAAUGAACAGAAAAUGUCGCUUUUAAAAGCACCAAGGUUGAGGUUCUCCUACAAUGGCACUUAAAAAAGCGUCAUUAUUUGAAAUGCAUUGUACAAUGACGCUUUUAAAAGCGCCAAGGUUGAGGUUCUCCUACAAUGACACUUAAAAAAGCGUCAUUAUUUGAAAUUCAUUGUACAAUGACGCUUAAAAAAGUGCCAUUAUUUAAAAACGUCAUUAUUUCUCCCAUUAAAGCGCCAAGAUAAUGCAAGCGUCAUUAAUACCCAUUUUUGAGAAUAAAUAAUAGCACUUUAUAUAAGCGUCAAGAAAAAAAGCGUCAUAAAUUACAUUUUUUGUAGUAGUGACAAGAACUUGAUGGUCGCGGCAUUGUCGGCGACGCACGUGGCGGAAAGUCGACAGCCUGGACUAACUUUGAGAACCUUCGGCGAUGCCUCUCUCACCUCCGCUUUCUCCGUCAUAGUCUUCCUGAGGUGAAGAAGAAGAGCACAUGGCUGAAAGGCCCAAAGAGAAUGAGAAUGGAUUUGGGUUUUAGUAAGUUGGACCCAAAAGAGAAGCCCAAGUUUGUGAAGGCUUUAAUUGCCUUGGGCUUGCCCAUUGAUAUCUUUGGACCUGAGCUUGAAUUGGGGCACUAGGCCCAACUUGGUGAUGGAUUAUUGUAUUAGGUUUGCCCAAUGAAGACAUUGGACUUGGGCUUGAGUUGGAGCCCAAGCCCAGUUCGUGUGGAUGAUAGGCUCCAUGCCAAUCCUUCAAAUCAUUAUCCCAUAUUUAUUAUUUAUUCAAAGUCCAAUCUAUAAAAAAAGGUCACAUGUUUUAAUUUAAUUCUUCGAAUACUCUUUUAAAUCUCAUAUUUAUCAAUUAGAACUACUACCCUAUAUUCUCCUAUCUAUCUAUGUCAAUCCUUCAAAAAUCCUAAGAUUUAAUUUAAUUCUUGUUUAAAUCAUAUUUUCAUAAAUCAAAUCAUUAUCCCGUAUUUAUUAUUUAUUCAAAGUCCAAUCUAUAAAAAGGGUCACAUGUUUUAAUUUAAUUCUUUGAAUACUCUUUUAAAUCUCAUAUUUAUCAAUUAGAACUACUACCCUAUAUUCUCCUAUCCAUCUAUGUCAAUCCUUCAAAAAUCCAAAGUUUUAAUUUAAUUCUUGUUUAAAUCAUAUUCUCAUAAGUCAAAUCAUUAUCCUGUAUUUAUUAUUUAUUCAAAGUCCAAUCUAUAGAAAAAAGGUCACAUGUUUUAAUCUAAUUCUUCGAAUACUCUUUUAAAUCUCAUAUUUAUCAACUAGAAUUAUUAUCCUAUAUUCUCCUAUCUAUCUAUGCCUAUUCUUCAAAAACCUCACACUUUAAUUUAAUUCUUCAAGUACUUGUUUAAAUCUUAAUCUCAUAAAUCGAAUCAUCAUCCCGUAUUAUUAGUUGUUCAAAGUCUAAUCCAUUAAGAAAAUCCCAUGCCAUAAUUUAAUUCUUCAAAUACUCGUUUAAAUCUUAUGUCCAUCAAUGGGAAUUAUUAUCUUAUACAUUCAUUUAUUAUCUAGCCUAACCCUUCAAAAAUCCCAUGUUUUUUAAUUUACUUCUUCAAAUACUUGUUUAAAUCAUAUUUUCAUAAAUCGAAUUAUUAUCCCAUGUUUAUUUAGUUAUUCAAAGUCUAAUCCCUCAAAAAUCCCCUGUCUUAAUUUAGUUUCUCAGUAAUUCGUUGGAAUCUUGUUUUCAUCAAUUAUGAUUAUUAUCUCAUAUUCGUCUAUUUAUUUAAAAACUAGUUCUUCAAAAAUCUCAUGUCUUAAUUUAAUUUUUCAAUCCUAAAAAUUCUGCAAUUCAUCUAAAUUUUAUCCUCACUCAUUAGAAUCGUUAUUCCAUAUCUAUUCAAAGUCCAAUCUUUUGAAAACCCCCUGUCUUAAUUCAACUUUUGAUCCCAGAAAUGCCAUUAUUCGUCAAAAUUUUAUUCUUGUUAAUUAGGAUUCUUGUUCCGCAUCUAUUUAUUUAUAUAAGGUCCAAUUCUUGAAAAAUCUAAUUUCUGAAUUAAAACUUCAAUCCCAAAAAUUCUACUACCCAUCUUUAUUCGCCUAAAUAUUAUUCUCGUUAAUUAGUAUUAUAAUCUCAUACCUACCCAUUUAUUCAAAGCCUAAUCCUUUAAAAAUCCAAUGCCUUAAUUCAAAUUUUCAAUUAGAAAACUUCCACUAUUUUAUUCGUUCAAACAUUAUUUUUGUUAAUAAAUAUCAUUAUUCCAUAUUUGUUUAUUUAUUUAUUUCAAUCAUUAAAAUUCAACUCUUCAAAACCGGAUUUCCAAAUUUAACCUUUAGACUAAAAAACAAAAAAAUUCCACCAUUCACUUUUAUUAAUUUAAAUAUCAUCUUUGUUAUCGUUAUCAUAAAUUCCACGUUUACUUAUUUCUUUCUUCUAAAAAUUCCAAUAAUUAGAGUUUAAUUAUUCAGAGGUCCGACUUUCAAACUUAAUUCUCAAAAUCCCACUAUUCACUAUUCAUCCGUCCAAAUAUCGUUUUGAUUAAUUAGUAACAUUACUCCAUACUUACCCAUUUGUUUCUCUUAAAAAUCUCAAUCAUUAAAGUCUAAUUCUUCAAAUUCCGAUUUUUAAAUUUAGCUAUUUGAAAUUCCAAUUGUCCUAUCUCCGAACUUAAUUUUCAGUUUCCCAUGCUCCAAUUCCCGUAUUUAUCCCGCUACUUAUUAUUAUCAUUAUCACUAUCAUCUUAUUCAUUAUUUCUAUAAAUCCUACCUUCGAAUGAUUUCCAAGACCUCUAAUUUUUAUACAUCAACUUUCAUAAUUUCUACUUCUCAAAUAACUUACGAUUCUGAUCCCUUUCAAAAUUUAACUCCCAUAAUCCCAAUUUUUGUAACUUAGUUUUUCUUAAAAAUCCCGAACUUUCAAAUAAUUCUUCAAAAUCCCAAUUUUAUUUCAAAUUUAAUUUCUAAAAGUUCUCAUUCUUACAUCUAAUUCCUAAGAAUCCAAUUUUCAAAUAAUCUCUAAGAUUCCGAUUCUCAAAUGAAUUUCAAAAACCCAGUUUUCCUUCGAACAAUUUUAAUCCCUGUUUAGUGAUGCAUGUGAUAUGUUUUGUGCUCUAUAUGGUGUACUAACCCUCUCUAUUGAUAGCGCAUGGUGACUCGUUGCCCAGGUAUGUACCCAUUUUCCCUCUAAUCGUUGUCUAUGCAUGUCUCGAUUUUUAUGUGUGCAUGAUCAUUCAGAAUAUUCAUUGAUUUACUUAUCAAUUGCCACGUUAGCUUCAUUUUAUUAGUAGAGCCCCACUUUAGGGACUUAGAGGGGUGCUAUGGUCUUCACCGUACCUUCCCGAUAAGUAACCUGACCCCUAGCCCGAUCCGGUUUUUUAUAGAUCACCUUUUCCAAAAUAAGGAGUCGCACUUAGGGUUUUCUUUCUUAUUUUGUUUACCCUUUUUUUAAAAAUAAAACAAAAAUAAGUGGUGACUCCAAGUCAUUUUCUUAAUCAAUUAAAUUCUUUUGUUCAAAUUAAAAUCGAGCUCGCCAUCGAGUGGGAAACGCAUGAGCCGAAAUGUGGGGUCCACACUUGUACAUCCCAUAAAAUGACAUUAUGCUUUUAUCUAGAAGUAUUUGAUUUUAAUGUCAAUAAUUUAAAACCAUCCUUAAUAAUUAAUAAUAAAAUAAUAUAUAAUUAUAAAAAAAAUAAAUUUUUUAAAUUAAAAUCAUUUAUUUUGUUUUUAACUUUUACUUUAUAUAUAAAAGAAAUAAAAAAAAUUGAAUUUGGUUUGUAUUGAUUAUACAAAAUAUAAAAAUAGAUUUAUCAUGUACAACCAUAACAUUGUUAGUCUUCUUAUGAAAGCCUAAAAAUAAAUCCAAAUUCUAAAUGCAUAAGAUUAAAAGAAAAAAAACAAAAAAACAAAAAAAAAGCAUGAAAACAUUUGAGAACCAUAGUAUAAGUCUUCAUCAUACAAAAACAUAAAAUUUAAUCCUAAUUGUAAAUGUAUAAGAUAAAAAAAAUAAAAAUCAUACUUUUUUAAUAAUAUUAUAUUUUACUUUUAAUAUGUAUAUGAAUUUAUAAUAUAAUAAUUAACAUUUUAAUAAUAAUUUUCUUCGAUUCUUCUUCUUUUUUCUUUUUGUUAAUUUUCUUCUUAAUAUUUUUUAGAGAUAUACAAAGGCUAUGGAUCACUUCAAAGAAAAUAUAUAUUUUCAUAAAUUAUAUUAGUAAUUAUUAUAAUUCUAAAUAUAAUCUAUUAUAACAUUUUUUUCUUUUUAAAACACCAUAUAUUUAUAAGACCAAAAGAGAUUGGUUUCUUUAUAUUUAUCUUAUUUAAAAUAUAAAAUAUUUAAUCAAGUAUUUUUUAAGUAAUCUUGAAAUUUUUUUAAAAGAAUAAAAUCUCAAAAUAAAAACUUGUCCUAAAACUUGUUGUUUUAUACUUGGAAACUUUAAACCAAUUAUCAAAGUUUUAAAUAAUUAAUCUUUUAUAACAUUUUUACUUCUUAUAUAAAACACUAGAUAUCUAUAAAACUAGAAGAAAUUGAUUUCUUUAUAUUUAUCUUAUUUAAAAUUAAAUAAUAUUUAAUUAAGCAUUUAUGAAGUAAUCUUCAAAAUUUUGAAAAUAAUAAAAAUUAAAAAUAAAAAACUAUCCCAAAAUUUUUUACUUCAGAAUUGGAAAAUAUUUAAAGAAUUGGUAAGUAAUAUUGUAAAAUAUUAAAUGGAAACAAAAAUAAAAAAAGAAAUCAAAAUAAAAAGUUUUCCUAAACUCUCCACAAAAAUCCUCUAUUCUGUUUCUCCUUAAAUAGCAUCUCCAUUAUUUCAAGCCCAUCACCAUAUUCAUUGUCCAUCACCACAGACUGCCAUCAACUACUGUUGUUGAGCAUGGACUACUGUUGUUGCUGACCAUGGACUGUUAUGGAAUACUACUAUUGCUGAUUGUGGACUGUUGUUGUUGCUGACCUUGGACUGCUUCUAUUGAUCGCUUGUUAUCGUGGUCCCAUGGUGCUUUACAACAUUGCAAAAAAAGCAAAUCAGGUAUGUUAUCACCACUUUAUAUUUUUAUUUUAUUUAUUUUUAGAAUUUCUUGCUUAUUAAUUAAUUAGAUACAGAAAAAUAUUCUAUGAGCUUUUGAUUUUUACCUUUUCUUGAAUAAAUACUUUGUUGUGUUUUGAGUUAUGUAAUAGGAGUUGUUUGUGGCCUAUUAUUAAUGAAUUCAUCAAUGCUGUUAUCAACUUACCACCAAUUAUUCAGCCCUAACCAAUAUUUAAGAGAGUGAGAUCUUGAUUAUACAUCAUAAUAUCUAUCAUUAAAGUUGUUACAUACACACAAAUUUAUAUAUUAUUCUUUUAAGGGAAUUCAAUUAGCGAAAAUGAAAUAAAGAAAAUUAAAUUAAUAUCAUGUGUGAAAUAUUUUUUUUUUAUAUGGUUAUAGAUGAAAUGAAAAAUAUAAAGUUUUGUUAUUUUAUUAUUGUAGUUAUAGUUCAAUAUAUAAGCUCAUAGAAAAAUAUUCUAUGAGCUUUUGAUUUUACCUUUUCUUGAACGAAUACUUUGUUGUGUUUUGAGUUAUGUAAUAAAAGUUGUUUGUGGCCUAUUAUAAAAGAAUUCAUAAAUGCUGUUAUCAACUUACCACCAAUUAUUCAACCCUAACCAAUAUUUAAGAGAGUGAGAUCUUGAUUAUACAUCAUAAUAUCUAUCAUUAAAGUUGUUACAUACACACAAAUUUAUAUAUUAUUCUUUUAAGGGAAUUCAAUUAGCGAAAAUGAAAUAAAGAAAAUUAAAUUAAUAUCAUUUGUGUGAUAUAUUUUUUUUAUAUGGUUAUAGAUGAAAUGAAAAAUAUAAAGUUUUGUUAUUUUAUUAUUGUAGUUACAGUUCAAUAUAUAAGUAUAUUUAGAAACCCACUUUAUAAGUUAUUUAAAACAUUAAACCAAUUUUCCAUUAGAAUUGGUAAUAAGCGUAAAGAAUGAAUAAAGUAAAAAGUGUAAAUAAGGAAUAGGGUUGUUCGAAAUAUGCAUAUAAAAACAUUAGUAGGUCAAAAUAUAUGACCAACCAUGACUAGCUAUCCUUUUAUGUAAGUUAAUUUAUUUAUCUUGGAUAUUGAGCCAAUUGUCAAGGAAAAUAUAAAAUAUUUAUAUUUAGUUAUAAAGUAGUAAAUAAUGAAAUUCAUAUUUUAAGAUUGGAGUAAAAUGAAAUUUGUAUCAUUUUUACCUCAACUAUAUUGUUUUGAUAUUUAUAUUAAAUAUUGACACUAAUUUUGAAAAUUGUGGAUUUGAGAAAAAAAACUUCACUUUUUCAAAGAGGUUAUUUGUAUCAAAUUACAAUAAAAAACUAUUUAAUUAUUAUUUAUAGGCAUAAAAAAAAAUAUUUAUUGAAUAAAAAUUAAUUUAUCACCAGCUUGUUUGGCAUUUUAAUGCUCCUAUAAUUUGGGCUUGACAAAAAUUUACCUUUUAUUCCUUGUUUUAUAUAUACGUUUUUUUAUUUAUGUAUUGAUUUUUAUGAGAAAAUAAUUCAUAGACAUAUUUCCUACUUAUAAAUUCAAGAUAUAUAACAUAGAUUCAUAGUAUAGUUUAGACAUUUCAAAAGUUAAGAUUGGGGUAAAAUAAAGUUUUGUAUCAUUUGUACCUCAACUAUAUUAUUUUGACAUUUAUAUUAAAUAUUGACACUAAUUUUGAAAAUUAUAGAUUUGAGGAAAAAACUUCACUUUUUCAAAUAGGUUAUUUGUAUCAAAUUACAAUAAGAAACUAUUUAAUUAUUAUUUAUUGGCAUAAAAAAAAUAUAUUUAUUGAAUAAAAAUUAAUUUAUCACUAGCUUGUUUGGCAUUUUAACACUCCUUUAAUUUGGGCUUGACAAAAAUUUACGUUUUACUCCUUAUUAUAUAUAUAUAUUUAUGUAUAUAUAUUUAUUUAUGUAUUGAUUUCUAUGAGAAAAUAAUUCAUAAAUAUAUUUAUUUAUUUAUGAUUUUAAUUUAAAAUUUUUAUUUCUUUUAUAAUUAUAUAUUAUUUUAUUAUUAAUUAUUAAGGAUAGUUUAAAAUAUUGACAUUAAAAUCAAAUACUUCUAGAUAAAAGCAUAAUGUCAUUUUAUGGGAUGUACAAGAUUACGUAAAUAAUAGAUGCUUAUACUAUUAUAGAAUUAACUAAAACUUUUAUAAAAAUCUUUAUAAAGGAUUAAUUUUAAAAAAUAUAAAUUUAUUGUCUUAUAUAGUUAACAUUAGAAUUUUCUCUCUCUAAAGAAUAACCAUAAGAAAUAUCUAUAAAAAAUUAAGUAAAUGAGAUGAUUUUAUAGAAAAGAUGAGAUUGGUAAAACAUUAUAUUGUUAAAUUAUUAAAAGAGAAAUGAGUUUUUUUUUUUAUUUUUAUUUUUAUCAACUUUAAGUCAUAUAUAAAUUUUUAUAUUUCUUUUAAAAAAAUCAAUUAGAAAAUUAAGAAAAAAGAAGAAGAAUUGAAAUAAAUUAUUAUUAAAAUGUCACUAUCUUAUAAAUUCAUAUAUGAAUUAUAAUAAAAAUAUAAUAUUAUGAAAAAAUCAAUGUAAGUUACUAUUAAAAUUUUAUUAUCUUUUACAUUUAGAGUUUGGAUUCAUUUUUUCACUUUAAUACGAAGAAGACUAAUAGAGUUAUGGUUGUCAAACCCCUUUUUAUAUUUUUGUAUAAUCAAUUUAAUCCAAAUUUGACUUUUAUAGAUAUAUAAAAUAAAAAUUUAUAUACAAAAUAAGUUAUUUUAAUGUAAUAUUUUUUUAAUUUUUUUUAUACUUUAAUUUAGAAUAUUGACAUUGAAAUAAAUUACUUACAAAUAAAGACAUGAGAUGAUUUUAUGGGAACAACAAAAGUAGGUAAGUAAUAAAUGUUUAUACUAUUAACUAAAAUUAUUUUAUUUGUACAUUCGCAAUUUGGAUUGAUUUUUAUCCUUAAAUAACAUAAGGAGGAAGACUAAUAAAACUAGGGUUAUCACGGUAACUAAAUUUUUUAUUUUUGCAUCAUAUAAUCAAUUUAACAUCGAUGGUAAGAGUGGUAGGAAUGAUGGCUUCAGCAUCAGCAUCAAUCCAGAAGUCUAAAUCUCAGUAAGAGUGACAGCGAUGAUGGCUUCAACAUCAAUAGUGGCAAUCUACCCUCCUACUAAAACUCCACCAUGACUCGAUUAGUAACACCAUCAAGAGUAGUAACAUGAUCUUCAGUAGCUAGCUACACAAGCAAUUUCCAUUGAUUGAGCCUUUUCACCCUUCAUCACUUCUGUCUUAUCAACUACCUGAUGAUCUUUAGGUCCAAGCAUUGACUCCCAAUGAGAAGAAUCUGAGUCUACCUCAAUAAUAAUAACUGAGUCAACUUCCUUUGCAUGCUGCUCUUGCUCUCUAGUCUAAUUAGUACCUUCUUGAUGCUCUUCCUCUUCUCAUCUUCUUCUUCAGCUUCUUCCUUAGCUUGCACCUCAUUAACAUCAGCAGUAACAACAUCUGGAAUUCCCCCCACCUGAAGGUCUAUAUCAAAUGAAGGAACCUCAUGUCCUUUCCUUUAGCGAUAAGAGCUUCACACAGUCAGUUAACAGCUCUAUGGCCUGUCCAUCCUUUGCAUAAAUUGGAGCUUUACUUACAUAAAAUAUGGAAUAUCUCCUGAAGAUAAAGUGGGGACAGUAGAAAUAGUCGAAGGACCUUGUGUAGAACUUGUGACUAAAGGUACAUGAGCAACUGCCUCUUCAACUAUUCUGACCAUCUGCCUCAUCCUUUUCUUUGUACUUCUUUCCAUGAAAAUUCUGUAAAAUUUCCAAGCUUCCACUUUGUAAAAUUUUGUAGCGUCAUAUUUUUCCUCAUUCCCACUGAAUUUAAAACUCUUUCUAAUUGAAUAGCCAGUGAAAAACUUGGACAAUGCCAAUGCAUACUUCUUGCUGUGAGAAGUCUUGUUUUCAUUCACUUUUUCCACAAUAUAUAAAAACGUAUCCACCAUCAAUACAUGAGAUCACCAUCCCCCCUUACAUAAACAAUACAAUUCCUCUAAAGGAAAACCUCUCCUUUCUGUGACAUGUCUAUAAGGAGAGAAAUUGGUUCUAUACACCUGAUCCACAAACCAUAGCUCCUGUGAUGCCUCUAGUCUUCUGGCAGUUGUGGGAGAGCUAAAACCACAAGGCACUGAAGUGGCCACCAUCCUCUGGGAAGUAGGGUUAGUGUAAGGUAGAAAAUUUCCUCCUUAAGAUGGCAUUGUAGGCAACCCAAAAGCCUAUGCCAAAGAUUUUUCAGUGAUCAUCCCCUCUCUUUCAUUAAUGGAAAAAUGUAACACAGAUUUUCCAGGGGCUCUCCUCUCAAAGAUAGCAUAAAAAUCUCUCACCACAAUAGGAUAAACAUAAUCUAUGGAAUACACCAUAGGCUCUAUCCCAUAUCUCCUCAUUAGCUCCAUUGAACUCAUUGUCUCUGGAAAAGUAAUGUAUUCAUCAGGCACCAAAUAAUCACUGUCUGCCAAUAAGAAUGCAUUCCGGUUUCCUUUAGACUGGUAACUACAGCUUUUCCCUUCUUUUUUUCUGUCAAUUUCUUUGGCUAAACUUUUUCUAUUUCUUUAUCCUUCUUCUCAUCUCUUUUAGCUUUCUUUAUAGCUUCCUCUGGAGUCAUUUCAGUUCCAGGCUCUUUCUUCUGUCUGUUCAUAGUCUCUUUAUUUGGCUUCUUACUUGGUGUGGUUACUGCCACAUUCUUCUCCAUAGGAGACUUCCCUUUCAAAGGAGAUUUAUCCUCAGAUUGCACCUCUUUUUCUUUCCACUUUUUAUUCUUCACAGCUUGUAGUGAUUGUUCACUAGCUAUCAUCAGUCUAGGUGAUCCAUCAAUAAUGAUUCUUCCUAUCUGCUCAAUGACAGGUUGUACAUCAAUCCUUUUCAUAGUUGGGGCAUCUAAAUCUGAAUCAGUGGAUUCAGAUUCGUAGACCAUUAGUGCCUAACCCUUAUCUUUAUCCUUUUUUUCAUUCUGCAUUUUCAGAGUGCAAACAAAAAUCCGAAAACAUAUUACAAACAAGCUUGACAUUUCCAAAAACAGUAUAUAUUCAUUCAGAGUCAACAGAUAUUCAUAGAAAAUAAUUAAGGCAUAUUAAUGAAGAAAGGAUACAAAUGGCAGAGUUCAUCCAAACAUUCAUUCAAAGACGCAAAAUCUAUCCAGAAGGAUCAUUGCACAUGCAUAUGUUAACUUUGAUAUAUCCAUGUACAGAUUCUCAAACAAACAUCUGUUAUAGUAAAUAUAAGGGGUGCAAGUUAAAAACACUCCAAAAUUCAAUUUUAAGCACUGCAAGAUGACAAGUAGGAAAAAGCGCGACUAUAAUAUUUAGGUACAAAUCAAGUAGACAGCAGCACAUAGUAACUAUAAGGGGUGCAAAUAAAUCCUAUAGUUGCAGCCACGUGUAAACAUGGGACUAGAGGGUGUGAAACUGUAGCUGCGACCAUGUAUUUUCUUCUACUAAAGGUUCUAUUAGCUGCAGCUUCUCGUGGCCAUGACUACAAGGGUGUGAUGAAUAGGAAACUUAAAAAUAUAUUGUUUAUACACACGUGAUUUGAAAUUCAUUUCUAUGGUGAAAAAAUUUAUUAAAAUAUAAUUAUGUGAAGAAAAGAAACAAUAGUAAUUGUGAACCCAUUUUUAUUUAUAAAUUUCUGUUAUUAAUUAGUUCACUAUUUGAGUUUCAAACUAUUAUUUAAAGAAUACUAGACUCGUUAAUAAAUUCAAUGCAUGAAGUUUUGUUUUAUUUAAAGUUUAUUUAUCUAGUGAAAAAAAAAAAUUUUAAAUUGGUUUUAUGUAUAAGAAAAAAAAUAGUCAUUUUUGACAAUUUUUUGUCAAAAAAUUUCUAAUAUUAAUUUGAUCACUAUUUGAGUUUCAAGUUAUUUAUAAAAAUUAUUAGUUAUUAGCAAAUCUAAGCAUCAAGUCUUGCUUGAUUUGGACUUUAUUUGGGUAGUGAAUUUUUUUUUUUUUGCAAAAAUAUGAUUAUAUGUAAAGAAGAAACUAGUCCAAGUCAUUCAAAAUAAAUCCUAAUUUAUGACUUUAUAAUGUUAUUGGGUUCCAUGAUUAGUAAUUAAAUUGGGUUUUAACUUUCAAAUUAUUUUUACAAAUUAAUAAAUUUUAUAUAUAAAGUGUAAUUUGAUUUUGAAUUUAUUUAUUUAAUGGAAAGUUUUUAUUAAGGUAAAGGAAAUGUUGAAGGAGUCAAUGUUUUUGUUAUGGAUCUGUUGGGUUGUCCUAGUCUCAAGGUUAUCUAUUUUUUUGUUCUUUUGAUUUGUUGCAAAACAUGGUUGAAUUUACGUAGUUUAUAGGAGUUAGUCUUUACAUGGUUCAUGGUCUUAGCUAGUGGUUAAAAGUAGUGGAUUAGAGGUCUUUAUUUUCUUAGCAAUUUCCCAUUGGUGUACUGCCUCUUUAAAAGGCUAUUUGGUUGAUGAGAGAAGAUCAUCAAAAGUAAUUUUCUCUUCCAACUUUUCUAUACAUUUUUUAGCUUAAUCAAUUUUUUGUACUCUUCCAAGAUUUUUCCUCUACUUGUAAUAGUGGUAUCAGAGCUGGUUGAAAAUUGAGAAAGUGAGAAAAGUUAAGAGCCAAAAUAAAAAGAAAGGACGUGAGAUAAAGAGAAUUUUAGUAGCAGUUCUUAUUUCACUUUAUUUUGUUUUUGCAACAGCAACAGUAAGGGAUAGCCUCUAAAAACUUUGUCUAACUUAUAAUCCCAUACUUUGAUGGUCACUAUAUAUGACCAUUGGAGCAUGUUGAUGGAGAAAUCCUUUAAGGUCUAAGGAGUAUUGGCAGGUUGUCUUUGACAGAGUAGCAGAAUCGACAAAUAAUUUGUAGAUAGAGUACACGGACUUUUCAAGGCUUGAGCACUUGUCCUAAGGGGGUCAUGGUAUGUUUGUCUUCAAACCCUAGUGCCCAUGACCAACUAAUUGGUACUCAUAUAUUGACAUUGUGCUUGUUAUAAAAGCUAAGAACCAGUUAGCACUCUGAGGAAAUAAAAAUCUAAGAAAUUGUACCUUGUUCUAAAGAGAUUGGGGAGAAACCUUAAAGGGUAAGUGGCCUUUCAUCAUCCUCAAUACCUAGUGUCUUGGGAAGAAUCUUAGGAGUUGUCAAUUGAUCUUUACUAAGCUACAUAGAAGGAGCUUUCCUAGGAUGGACAUGUGAAAUAAAAAAAGAAAAAAGAAAAUAGAUAUGAAAAACAAUGGAAUGAAAAAGCAGAAAAUGAGAUAAAAUGGCGCUCUUCCAAAACUAGUCAUGAACAGUUUAUCUUAGGUAGAGGAAGGAAAUUCUUAAAAUAGGUGCUCCAUGAGGAUGCUCUUAAGCUAACAUUUGAGUUUUGUUAGGAAAUCACUUGUGAAGUUGAUGUCGAAGAGACUAAUGGAUUCUAAACAUUGAGGCAUGCUUUUGUAUACAUUUAUAUGGUGAGUGAAUCUUUUUGGAGUUAUGCUAUUUGACUAUGAGCUUAUUCUUGAAGGGAUAAUAUGUUUUCAGUAACUGAAUUUAUUGAAGCUAAUUCAUGCUAUUUAGUAGUUGUUGUCUUAAUUGCUUAGGAGUUUUACUCUUUAUUUAUUUCUAGAGACCAACAAAAUUUAGGUUGGGGAGGAAAUGAUUUGUGCUUUAAGUCAUGGGUUUUUUCUAUUCCCUAAAUGGUAGAUUCUAUAAUGAAAAAGAACGUAAACUACUCUCUUCAGUUUAUAUAUAUGCUAGUACCUAACUGGUCUGAGUUCUUCAAUUUCAUGUCCAAUGGAGAAAUUAAAGUUAAGGUCAAUCUCAGGAGAUUAAUAAUUGGCUCUGGUUUCAGAGAUAUGAAUAUGCUCUAGCUUGACAUUCUUGAAGUGGAUUAGCAGAGUGGGAUUCUCUACUCAGCUGAUUGCCUUUUCACUGAGUUCCAAGGAUCAAUAGGAGAUCGUGGAUUUGUUGACAUUCUCAUUCUGAGAGCAACUGCAUCAGUAUCAUACAUGUUUGCCAGUUGGCAAUAUAAAAUUGGUAUUUUGGUUCAUAUUUUCUACAACCUGAAAGCCACUAUCACUACCACCAACUAUAUGAAUAGGCAUCAAUUCUUCAGGACGAUGAAGAAGGUAGAGCAUAUCACUAGCUCAAAUGGAGGAAUGUGGUCCCAUAAUUCUUUAGGAAAUAAGUAUCUAGAAACAGGUAAAAAGAACCAAGAAUCUUGAAAGACUUCUUUCAUCUUGUUCAUGUUGCCUAAAGGACAACCUGUGGGCCUUUGAAUUAUGUAUUGAAACUAUCAAGUCAACUGGAAUAGAUUCAUUUCUGAAGCUGCAGGGUUUAUGGUCAACCAUAUACCAAACCCAAAGUUCUUCAGUAGUCUAUUGAGAAAAUCCCAUUUGGAACCUAACCAUGAGAAAGUCCCAGGUUUGUUUAAGGCUGGGCUGAACCUAUGUGCAACCUUCUGUCUUCUGGGACCUUCUCUAACUAUAGUUUCAUCAACACAACACAGCUAGCCUUGUCCCAGCUACUAAGGCUGGGUAAAACUAUUCUGAAUUAUUGUUCCAUGCAUAUCUUGUUUGUGAAUGAUCUCCACUAGGAUCGACUCUUAAGUAUGUACCGAUCAAGAAUCAAAUCUUGUUUGUGAAUUAUUGCUCCAUACAUUCGCCUGACCGUUGGAUGGGUGAAGAGGCAAUGCAGAUACUUGUCCUAUAUUCCCAUAGGUAUCAAACUUCAGUGCAGUAGUUGACACAUUGACUACCUUUCUGAGGUUAGGACAAGAUAAACUCAUUAGUGGAUGGAGAAUAGAAGACCAUAUACUAAUUUAUGUGGUUCAGAAUUUGAAUAAAGAUCAUGAUAAUAAGUGCGAGAUUCGCGCAUCUUUGGAGUGUUUCAAGUUGCAGCUAGAUUGCCUAUAUAAAGAGCAUGGAGGUUUAUAAUUUCCAGUAUCAGCAACAAAGAGCAGGUGUGAAUUAUAGAGAGUAAAUAGGGAAGUUGUCAACCUCCCUCAAAGGCUUCCAAUUUUCCUGGCUAAUUAUCAAGGUAAGAAAGUUGGAAGCCGGUGGGGGACCUUGAAAGCUUACCCCAGAAUCAAUAUUACUCAUCUGGUUAUUUGGUAUCAGUUUCCCUGAUCAUUAGGAAGACAGUAAGAUUGAUUUCAGGUGAGAUGUUUCCCCUUCUUCUCAAAAAAACUGCAAACUUUUUAGAGAUUUAUGCUUAUGGUAUUUUAAGAUCCCGUUUGAUAGUAAUUUUAAGAAGUGUUUAUAAUAUUUUUAACACUUAAAAAUUAGUAUCAUUCAAGUGUGAGAAAGGUUAAAAACGUUUUCUAAAAUCACUAUCAAACGCAAUUAAUCUAAAUCAUUUAUUAGAAAAUAGAUUUGGGAUAAGGUGGAAAACUCUUAGUACCACAUUAUUACCAAUCUUAUUUCAUUGCUCCUUUCACCCACACCCUCAAGAGUGUCAUCACUAGUUAUAGGGCAUUUUUAUCCUAUCAACUAAUGAUCAGGGUUUAUGAAGCAUUUUAAACACUGCCUUAUUAUGCAAUUAUUUAGAACCAUACCUUCUAUGGAUGAUCCCACAAUUUUGAUAGGGUGUUGUUUGGUUUUUGGGGUAAGUGAGGAGAGAAAAAAAUAAAUUAAAUUUUGGAGUUUAUGUUCUUACAUUUGGCAUUAUGUUUUAAUUGGUAUUAUUAAUAGAAAAAUAUUUAAGGACAUAUAGUGGAAUUUGAUUAGUUGUUUGUUUGAUCUAUGGGAGAAACGAGGAGAUAAGAAAAUAAAAUUAGAUUUUGGGGUAUAUUCUUAUUCUUACAUUUCGCAUGAAAGUAUAAUUUUUUUUCUUCUCUAGUUUCUCCAUGUUUGAAAUUGGUGUUUUAUUAGAAAAAAUGAAUUUAAGUUGAGUUUUGACCAAUUGUUGUUUGAUUUCUAGGAAAGGGAGGGAGACUAGAAGAAAGAAGGAUUUUGAAGCUUUCAUUUUAAGUAAUGCUAAUUUUACAUUUUUUAGGCAAACAAAGAAUUUCUAUAGGUGAUAUAAAUUCCUUAUUUGGUUGCUGAGAAAACAGAGGGAAGGAAGAAACAACAUAUAUACAUUUUGGAGCUUAUUUUCUUGUCCUAUUCUUGUUCUUACAUUUUCCAAGCAAGCAAAAAGGGUGUAUUUUUAUCUGGGCAAUAGAAGUUCAUCCUUUUUGUUUUUUUUUUAAUGUUUAUUUUGUUGUAACAAGUUCAACUGGAGUUAAAAAGGAGGUGUUUUGUGUGCAAUCCUGCACAUGUUUUGAGCUCUCUAAGAAUUUUGUGGCCUCUUUGUGCGAUUAGUAUUGGAAAUGAGUUAAUUAUAUUAUGCUUUGUUUGGAUGGGGAAAACUACAAGAGAAACAAAGCAAAUAUUUUCCUGAGUUCUAGGGCUUGUUUGUUGUCUUAGUUUUCAAAAGAUGAGAAGUUUUUCCUUCCUUGACUAAGGUGUUUGUUUUGAUAAUCAUAAGUGUUGAACUUUUUUUCUUUUGUUUUUUUAUCAGGUUUUGCAAGUUGAGGGAUUUCUCAUUCUUUUCUUGUAAUCUCUUAUUUUUAAAGAAUAUGUUUUUGUUUUUGAUAAAAAGUUCAUAAUUGUUGAAAAAAAAUGUGAAAAUCCCUACAAUCCAUUUAGUGCAUUUGAUCUAUGUAAAUAGAUUUAAUAGCUCCUUUUUCCUUUGAAAGCUCAAACUCUAGUGUCUCUUCUUAAGAUUUUUCCUUUUUAUUAUUUAAACUUCUCUUUUUUAAAUUAUUUAUACAUUUACAAUAUCAAGUUAGUUGAACAAAACAUUCAAUUUUUCUAUAACUCAACCAAACAUGUUUUUGUUGUUUUCGAGAACAAAAACUAUUUUCCAUAAUUUAGUUCCUAAACACAACUUUUUUUUUUUUUUUUUUUCUGAAAACACAAAAAACUGUUCUUAAAAACUAUUUUUCAUAAUAGUUUUCAAAGACACCAAUCAAACAAACCCUAAUAUUUUGACUUUAAGCAAGAAGAGUACCAAUCUCCACAUUUUGUAAUUUAAUAUCUAGGAGUUGCUAGAAACUUUUGCUCUGAUAUUUACAAUCAACCCUUGAGAAAUUGAGAUCUAUUUGGUUACCACAUGACUCAGGAGGUUUAUUAGGAUUUGGAUUAAGGUUGUUAUGGUUGAUAGCAUUGACUUAUCCUCAUGCAUAAUUGGCUUUGCUUGCAUCUAUUGACUUAUUGUCAUACAUAAUUGCCUUUGUUUGCUAGAAAAUUUUGCUGUAAUAUUUAUAAUCAACCAGUGAGAAAUUGAGAUCUAUUUGGUUACAUGUCUCUGGAAGUUUAUUAGGAAUGGGAUUAAAGUUGCUAUAGUUAAUAACAUUGACUUAUCCUCAUGCAUAAUUGGCUUUGCUUGCUAAACACUUUUGCUCUGAUAUUUAUAAUUAAUCCUUGAGAAAUUGAGAUCUAUUUGGUUACCACAUGGCUCAGGAGGUUUAUUUGGAAUUGGAUUAAAGUUGCUAUAACUGAUAACAUUGACUUAUCCUCAUGCAUAAUUAGCUUUGCUUGCAUCUAAUUUUUGUAAGUUAAAUAUUUUUUCAUGUUGAAAAGUUGGGUGCAUAGUUGCCUUUCAAAUAUAUUUGAAUAAAUAAAAAAUUUGAUAAAGCUAGAAAGGGUAGGCAAAAGGAAAUAAGAGGUUAUAUAAUACACCAUGGAAUAAUUAAAAUAUUCAAUAAAAUAUUUUUUUAAAUCCCCAAAUUUAGGUUUCAUAUCCACAUGGAAAGUUGUCAGAAACAACUUUAAUGUAAAAAAAAUUUAAGAAAAAUUACAAAAAAUUAUGUAAAUGUGAAAUGGAAUAGUUAUUUUAAAAAUAUGUUUACUACAAAUGGAGUUAGAAAGAAAAAUUAUUGUAGUUACAACAAUAAAUUGCUAUCAGGUUUUUAAAAAACUCAAAUUAUUAGGAUAUAAAUCAAACAAAAACAUAGUGAAUGAGGACAAAAAUUACAUAUUUAGUUAUAUUCAUUAUACUCAAAUAUAUCAAUAAAUUGUUUAAUAUUAAAAAUUUCUAUUUAUUAUUUAAGAAUACAAAAUAAUAUUUGAGUUGAAAGAAGAUUUUUGUAUUUCUUUUCUUUUUAUCUCAUUUAUGUAGAAUAAAAAUGGUAAACCUUACAGUGGGGGCUACUUGUGGCAUGUCUCAUAAAGUUGUUAUCUAUAUUUUUUUUCUCUCUUGGUUUGUUGAGGAGAAAGGACUAUAUCUAGUAUUGCAUCCCUAUCUAAUAGGAAUAAUAAACUUCCUUUACCCAUAUUGAAAAUCAAUCAAAUUUGAUGACUGUUUGAGAAUCAUAUAUAUAUUAAACAAUAUGAAAAACCAUAAAUGUAGGUGAAAGUAGGCCAAGAAGGUGAUGACCUAUAUAUGACCACAAAGACAAUAUAAUUAUUUUGCAAUUUUUAAUAAUAACACAAUUCCACCACAACUUGAAAUUAUUAUACAAGAGAGACCAACUUUACUAUAAAAUUAUAGAGAAGCAAAUUGGAAAAUGUGUACACAGCCACAUCUAAUCAACAUGAAGCAUUUUUUUUAUUGGAAACUAAUAGUCAAUUAUGAGUAGAAAUUUUAAUUUAUUAACUUACUAGUUGUAACUACUUUUCUUGUUAAAAUUUAAGUUUGGGAUUAUGAGUGCUUGUGGGUUGUUAUAAUGUUGGCAUAUAAAUGCUAGAUUCUUGUUUGAAACUUAAUAUUAUUUGUUGUGUUGUGACAAAUUUGCAGAUGAAAGUUUCCUUACACUAAAACUAAAUUUGGUUAAAUUUGAAAUUCAAAAUUUAAAUUACUUAUAUAUUACAUUUAUAAUUUGAAAAAUGUCUUAAAAAUGUAAGAUAUCUUACGAAAAUGUUGAUAGAAAUUUUGAUUUACUAACUUAUUAGGUUUUAUUUAUUUUUUUUAAAAAAUGGUUUUGUUUUAUUGUUCUUUUUCAUUCAUAUAUAGAAGAAGAUACUAGAGCACCAACACAAACCAAUAGAAAAGGAAGUUGUGAUCAUGACUGAGUUAGAAAUUUGUGAGAAAAGUGACCAAUUGGAGACCGUCCGUACUACAACAGUAAGAUCUACAACAUCAACAACCUUGCAUCAUCUAUGAUUAGACUAAGGGCCUUGAUUAUGCAUAUAAUGGAUCUUCCUUACCUUUUCUGUCUAUGUUGAUAUGGUUAUUUUGGGAUGGCAUUUUAUUAACCUAAUAUUUUAUUUUAUUAACAUACACAUUCUAAUCUUAUAAUCAUUUAAUAUUGUUACAUAUAUUAUCAACGAAGGUAUACAAUACAUAUUUUGAUUUUUGUAAGCAUAUUUUUUAAUGAAAAUUUUCAUUACAAUGUAUUAAUUGGGUACAAAUAGUACUAAAAAUAUAUAUAAUUACACUAUUGAAAUGAAGUAAUCCAAGUAUUCCAACAACUCCCCACUAACUUGCAAGGGCAUGAUAUGAGAUUUUAUUGAAUCCUAUUUAAACCUAUUACUUGUGGCCUUAAAGUUUUCUCAUUAAUUGUUCUUCUAAUUUUUUUAAUUUCCUUUUAUCACAAGGAUAUUGUUUGAAUGCUGCCAAAGCGGGAUAUGAUGUCUUGUUUCCUUUUGUAUGGUGUUGACCUAAUGUGAUCUCUAUUUCACAAGAUUAGAAGAAUGAUUAAAAUGUAUGCUGUUUUUCUCUUGCUUCACUUUUAAUGUGUAGCCUAUAUUGUACUCAAUCUUAGGUGGUGUUUGUUUUUUUACUUAAUUCUAAAUAGAACCUUAAUGCUUAAUAGUGUUAAAUAUUAGGUUGUUUGUUUUUAUAGUAUUUUAUUUCUAUUAAGUAUUAAAAAGUAAAAAAAAAACCAAUAUGUUAUUUUUUCUAUUUAGAAAAAACUACAUAUUUUGGCUUUUUCUAUUUAGUAAAAAGUUUAUAUUAAGUCAUGAAAAAGUAGAAAAACAAAUAAUCUAAAUUCUGAAAACAAAUUGCUUUCAGCAAAAAGCCAAAAAAACAAACACCACCUUAAUGUAAAUCUCAACCAUCAAUACAUCAUUUUAAUUUGUUAGAUAGGUUCAUGAAAAUUUCAUACGAGUUGCUAAUACUAUCGAUAUCUCUUGUACUCAUUUCAAUAUUCUUCAAUUUCUUUAUAAUUGGAUUCCAUUAAUAUACUCAGUAAGUCAUCAUUGACAGUUUCACCCACCUUCAUAGCUUUCUCUCUUUGGUCAAUAAUACCCCUUAACAAUUCUUGUAUCUCUUCGUCAGCUUUCUUUAUUCUUUUGUUUCCUUUCUUUUCGUAAAAAUCUACAUGUAAACAGUCUUGGUUGUAAAUGUCAUGACAUUAAAUAAUAAGAAAAGAUAACUGGAAAGAAAAUUUAUGGUAGUUGUUUAUCCAUUGCUUUAAUUUCUUCUUUUUUUUUCCUCAAUUUUCUUGGAAAUUUCAGGAAGCUUUAAAUUUGUUGAAACAUUUUAUGCUCACCACAACCCUGGGAUGUAAACUAUCAAAAAAAUCUUGAUGGUAAGCUAUGCUAGUUCUUCUUGGAGUAGUAAUAUCCUUCUUCCUUCUUCAUAGCUACUACCAAAUGUUGUUCAAGAAAUGAUAUGACCUUCCAAAUUUUGAAUAUGGAGCCAUACAUUCAAUUAACUUACCUGAACCUUUUGUGGAGACAAUCUCCCAUUUUCUUAUCGUAUUGCUAAAGCUUAAAAGAAAUGUAGGUAAAUAACAGUAAAAAAAAUAUUUAGCACCCAUAUUUUCAUGGUUGGAGGACCAGUCACUGCACAUUUGAAAUAAACAUCUUUAUCUAUGCAAUAUAACUUCCAAACAAUUUUCUUUUUAAAUAGCAUAAAAUAUAAUGUAUAUGAUUAAAAUUAAGAUGGAUAAGAAAACUAAAGAUGAAACUAAAAAGAUUAUAUAAUUUGAACUCUAUCUAUUAGGAUCUCCUUACAAGUAGGCUAAAAGGAAAAAAAAAAAGAAAGAAUACUUCAGUGAUCUUAGGAUGAUUCACAAGCUAAGGUUAGCUAGACGAUCAUUGCAAAGAAAGGAGCAUAAAAAAGAAAAUCCCUAAAACACAUUUUGAAUACAAUUUCAAACACUAUAGAGAACAAAGGCAAAAAAAAAAAAAGUUAGGAUUUCAGAUCCAAAGCAAGGAAAGGAAGAAAAGAAGUUAUUUUUUUCUUUUUUCAGGGAAAACUUCAAGUUGAGAGUUUUAUUUCAACUUAUUUUCCUUUUCCUUAGAGUAUAAUCGUUAGUUUCAUUUCCCAAAGAAUAAAAAAGAAAUAAUUAAUAGAAAAGUAUAUAGAUAGAUAAAUCGGCGUUUUAAUAAAUAUAGAAUUCAUAAAUCUUAAACCUGGAGUUUUUUUGAGGUUUUGAUAAUAAGAAAUUAACACUAUGGUGAAAAUAUCCUAUGGAUUUGUAUUUUUUAUUUUAGAGUGUUUUAAAAAAAGUGUUAGCAAUAAAAGCAAAUCCCACAUUCAUUGAUGUUUUGUUAUUGUGAUUAAAGCCAUAAGGCACUACAAGUGGAGACUAAGAUCAAAUCUCAUACUCAUUGAUGUUUUGUCAUUGUAAAGAAAUCCAUAGGAACUGUAUAUGAAGAUUAUAGGGUUAUUGUGGGGAAACUUUGAGAAUAGUACAAUAUGGUUACGAAAAUUUUUGAAAGUAUAUUUUUGAGGUUGGAAAAUAAUAAGAUGUUUCUUGGGAAUAAUAUGUAUUUGUAAGCCUAGUAGGUUGCACAAGUGUUUUUGGUGUGGUUUUAAGGUAUAGAAGAAUUAAUCUUAAUAAAACGUUAAAUAAAUGAUUUGGAUAGUUGGAUGCAAAAAAAAUUAGGAAAGCAAGUUAAGUCAACCUAAGUACAUGAAAUUGGAUAUUUCCCUAGAUGAAUUAGGGUUAAUUAAUAAAUAAAUAUACACUUAGAGCAGUAUUUAUCAAAACUUUAAUUUGAAUUAUUCCUUUAAAUCUCUCAAUUGAUUCAUAAGAAUUUUCCACAACUCUAUUCCUUUGGAUUUAUCUAUCUUGAGUAUAGGGAUUUUUUGUAAAUAUGUUUUUUUUUGUUAUAAAUAUUCAAAUGUAUUUUUUUUUGUAAAUUCUGAAACUGUUUAAAUACGCUUGAAAUACUAAACUUGAGAAUUAUUUUUAUUUGACUAUAUUUUUUUUCCUUAUAUGUGCAUUCUAGUUAUCUAGCCUAGUUAACAAGGGAAAAAAUGUUGACCUUUGUUACCCUUGGUGGGGCUAAAGAUGAUGUUAAAACCAAGUCAAUAGGGUGUUUAUCAACUUAUGAUAUACCAUUAGAUUGGUUCUGGUUCCAUUCACCAACAUGUAAGGAAUGUCUGAGGUUAGCCACUUCUAUAAGUCCCACUAUGAUGGGCUUUGUUAGGAAAUCGAGUCUUGUUUAUAUGUUGACAAUUUUGUUCCUUUUUAAUUUUGACCAUAGAAGUCUCUUUAGAUAGUGACUUGCUCUCCAUUGAAGAUCAAGAGUUGUUGUUUGUCCAACUGGGAAGUCACAGAUACAUUUAAAAAGGUUUGACUUGUGACAAUUUAGGCUCCUUCGAGGUAGCUACUUGGAGUGAAACGGACUUUGAUGAUAGUGCUUCCAUAGCUUUUGAAGAUGCAAGGUACGAUCUUAAUGACUUCUUAGCUUUUAUUGCAUCUGUGGAAUCUGUGCAUGAUAGUGAUUAUAAUAGUGAUAGUGAUGAUGAGUUUAAUGAUGAACAAAAGGCUGAAUUCUUGAGCAAUCUUGUUAUUGAGCAUGAAAAACUAAUUAAGAAUUAUUUAAAAGAUCAUGAUAUUCUUGAAGCUCAUAAAAACAAGACUGACAUUCUUAAUCUAGAAAAAAUUAAUUUACUUGAGAAAAUUAGAUUUCUUAAGUCUAAGGAUCAUUCUCUUCUUAUGAAGAACAAUACUCUCACUCUAAAGAUCAAGAGUAAUAAGCCUUCUUCAUUUGUAAAUGAAAUAUUUCACCCUAGAACUAAAGUGCUUAAUGAAAUUCUUGAUAAAUGUAAAACCCAUGGUGAUAAAAGAGGUUUUGGGGUAUAUUAACAAAGAUGAAACUCCCUCUAGUGGAGAAACUAUGUUUGUCAAAGGUAAAGAUGAAACCCUUAACCAAACAACAUCUCCUAAAAAGCCAUCACUAUGCAUACACUGUAACAAAACUAGACACUCUCAGUUUAGAUGCUACACUAGGUUCCUAGAAAGGUUUGAAUCUCAAAUGAGUAUGCUAAUGAAUGAUUUUAACUCCCUUAAAAAUAAUAUAUUGAAUAAUGGGAAAGGGAAUAAAACUAAUCAAAAGCUUAGAAGUCAACCUAAUUCCUUUAAGCCACCACCUAGGACUAAACAAGUUUGAUCGAGAAAUGAUAGGGUUAAAUGUCAAGUUGUGUUCAAUGCUCUUAAAGCUAAAUCUUCUUAUGACUGGUACUUUAAUAGCGGCUACUCAAGACACAUGAUUAGAGAUAAAACCUUUUCACAUCUCUUGAGGAUUAUAAUGGUGGGACAGUUACUUUUGGAGAUGGGCACUUAUCAUGUGUGAAAGGCAAGGGAAGUUUAUCUAUCCUUGGUUGUCCUAAGUUAGAUGAAGUUCUCUAUGUUAAUGGACUUAAGGCAAAACUACUAAGCAUUAGUCAAAUUUGUGACAAGGAGCAUAAGGUGAAUUUUUUCCAAGACUUAUGCAAGAUAGUUAGCAAAGAGGGAAAGGUCAUUGUCACAAGACAUAGGAUAGUUGACAACUACUAUGCAAUAAAUCCUAUAUUUAGAACACCUCUUAUGUGCAGUAGGACAAAGGUAGAUCCUAUUGAACUUUGGCAUAGAAGGUUAGGUUGCAUAAACAAUAGGGACCUUGUGCACUUAGUGAACAGUGAAAAAGUUAGAGGCAUCCUUAGACUUAGUGAUGAACGUAAACCCAUUUGUGGUGAGUGUAUGAAAGGUAAACAAACUAAGAGUUCACAUAAAAAGGUUAACCAAAUUAGGAUCGGUAGGCCUUUAUACCUUCUAUAUAUGGAUCUUAUGGGUUUAAUGCGGACUAAGUAGAGGUGGUAAGAAAUAUGUCCUGGUUGUUGUGGAUGAUUUUUCAAGAUACUCCUUUGUGAGUUUUCCUAGGGAAAAGUCAGAGACCGUUGAACAUUUGAAGUCACUAUUCAAUAGAAUACAACGAAAAAUAGGUCAUCCAAUUAUAAGGAUUAGGAGUGAUAGGGGGAAGGAGUUUGACAAUGUGGAUGGCCUCUUUUGCGAGUCUAAAGGAAUUAAACAUGAGUUUUCAACCCCUAAAACUCCUCAAUAGAAUGGAGUGGUUAAAAGAAAGAAUAGAUUGUUACAAGAAAUGGCUAGGGUGAUGAUUCAUAUGCAUAACACCCCUAUGCAAUUUUGGGUAAAGGCAAUUAAUGAAUCCUGUUAUACUACUUAUAUGGUUUUUCUUAUAAUUAUGGACUAGGAGAAAACAUAACCUUAAGUAUUUUAGGACUUUUGGCAGUGAGUGUUAUAUACUCAUGGAUGGGAGAACCUUGGAAAGUUUGAUGCUAAAUCUGAUGUAGGUAUCUUCUUAGGCUAUUCUAUUACUAGUAAAGCCUAAAAGUUUAUAAUCAAAAUUCAUAGAUUAUCUAUGAAUCCUCUAAUGUGGUUAUAAAUAAUGCUAGGUAUGAUCAGGAUAUAAUUGAGAGUCAAAUUUUAACCUAGGAUUUAAUUGAGUAACCCUAAAUAUGUGAAGAUCACGAAAGACAACCCUAAUGAUAUCCCUAAAAGAGACAUUGAUCCUAAUAAGGAUGAAUAUGUACCUCUAAAUGACACGUCUAAUGAAAUGAGGAAUAAGCAUAGAUCUAAAGUACUCAAGAACCACCUAAUUUAAAAUGUUAUAAGUAAUGUAAAUGAACGUGUGACAAUUGAUUAGGUACACAUUUGAUGAACGUGUACCUCUAAAUGAACAUGUACCCAAGAGCUACAUAGGUCUAGCUCGUAUACCUACGGUCUCUACUAAGCGAAUGGAGGAAAUCAUGACAAUUGAUUAAUUAAUCAAGGAUACCAAUAAUAGGACAACAAGACACAUAUAAGUCUUGAGGUGAAAAAAGUGUACAUAAGAAUGUACACAAUUAAUGAAUGUGAAAUGCACAAAAUAGAAUUUAAUUAUUUGUUAAAGUUGCAACAUUUCAAAGGAAGUUCAAAAGAAAUUUAUUUAUAUUGGGAACAAUUUUGAAUUAAAUUUUUCAAACUUAUUUAUUCACAAAGUUUCAAUUUAUUUACAAAAGAUUAUAUUUUUAUUCACAUCCAAAAUUAAUUAAAAAAAAACUUUUCUUGAUUUUAUUAAAAGAAUUUUGAUUGAAUUUGAAUUUAUUAAAGGGAAAAGCUCAAUUUGACCUUCUAUUUAUAAAGAAAUGAUUUUGGCUUACACUUUAUUUAAAAAAAAAAGAAAAAGAUGCCAUAAUUAUAACGAAACAUCAAUUCUAUUUUUGGAAAAGUGAUUUUUACAAGGAAAAGGGGGUUUACUUAUUUUAAUUAUAAGAACCAAAUUUCAAUUUACUAAGAAAAUAAAUUUUUAUAACUUUUAUUUACGAAAAAUAUUUCCAAAUUAAAUUUAUUCAAAAAGAGAUAUUUUUACAACUUUUAUUUUCUUUAGAUUUUUAUUAAAACAAUUUUCAGGAUUUUUUAUUAAAUCAAAAUUUGGAACUUUAUUAAAACUAUUUUGGAAUUCUUUAUUAAAAGAAAAUUUUGAAACUCUUAUUAAGCAAACUUUUGGAAAAUUUUAUCAGACACAAACUUAGAGAACUUUAACUUAAAAUUUUAAGAACUUCAAUUUAAAACACAUUUUAGGGAUUUUGAUUAAAAAACCAACUUUUAGAAAAUUUAUUAAAACACUGAGGAUUUUGGAAACUAACUUUGGGGGUUUUUAUUAAACAACUUUUAGAAGUUAAUAAGACAAACUUUGGGAGUUUAUUAAAAACAAAUUUUGUGAAUUUUUAAGAUUUAUUUUGAGAGUUUAUUAAGACAUGUAUUAAAACUUUUAAGACUUUUAUGGAAACAAACUUUAAGUAAAUUUAAAAGACAUACUUUGAGAACAACUAUUAAAAUAUUUAUUUUGAAAUCUUUAAUUAAGCCGAAUUUGAGAACUUUUAUGAUUUUUACGACUUUUAUGAAAACAAACUUUAAGAAUAUUUGUUUAAACACUUAUUUUGAGAAUUUGCAUUAAACAAACUUAUGAAAAAAAAUGACUUCCUAAAGAACAUUUAUCAACAAAUAAUUUUCAAUUAACAAACUUAUUAAAAUAAAAUGACUUUCUAAAGAAAAUUUAUUAAAACACACUUUUCAAAUAACAAACUUAUUCAAAAAAAAAAAAAAAAAACAACUUUCUAAAGAACAUUUAUAAAAACACAAUUUUCAAUUAACAAACUUAUUAAAAAAAAUGAUUUUUUAAAGAACAUUUAUUAAAACACAAUUUUUAGAAUUUUCAUUAAACAAACUUUUUAAGGGAAUUUCUCAAAUUUUAUGCCUCUUUGUCUUUCAAAGAAGAAUGUUUGAAAUUUUAUGCUUCAUUGGCUUUCAAAGAAUACUUUCACAGUGAGAAAAAUUGUAGAUAUCUAACUUUAAAUUUUGAAAGAUUUGAAAAACAAAUUUAAAAGUUAAAAAAAGAAAAGAAUUUCCCAAAUUUUAUGCCUCUAUCGCUUUCAAAAAAUAGUUUCAGACUUUGUUACAUAAGAAAAUUAGAGUGUGUUCGGCAAUAUUUUCAUUUUUUUUAGUGAAAAUAUUUUAUCUAAAAGUGUUUUCAAGGGAAUUAUUUAUAAAAUACUACAAGUGACUUUUCAAUACUAUAAGUAAUUUGUCAAUGCUACAAAACUGUUUCUUAACUUUUGUCAAACACCUUAAUUUUUUAUUUUUUUAUAAACACUUCUUAGGUUAGAAGUGUUUUUCAAAAACACUGUUAAACAAACUAUCUAACUUUAAAUUUUCAAAUAUUUGAAAAGAAAAAAGUUCAAAGAAUAAAAUUUAAAAGUUUGGCAAACAAGUUAGAAAUGUAAUCAAUUUGAGAUCAAGUAUUAAAGUGCUUCUUGCUCAAGCAAAGGACUAAGUCCUAGAUCAAGGCUUAGGUCCAAAGGUAAGCUAAUGUCACAGACUUAGUCUUUUCCUAAGCCCAUGUGGCACUUAGACAAGUCAAGACACUUUAUCUUGCUAAGUCAGCCUUACUCCCAAUGCUUAGCUUGCUAGGCUAAGAUGCUCACGACUCAGAAGCGUUAGAAGGUGUAGUAGGCAACUCUUAAAGAAUGGAGCUUUUAUUGCUCAAAUGAAGCUUUACAAGUGCUUUUGGGAACUCACUUGCUUGGUUGGUUAAAUUCUUGGGUGGUGCCUUGGCCAAAUGAGGGUCUCACCCAUUUAUAAGCACCAAUGGUACUCUCUAGAACCUUGUAGGGUUCUUUACAACUCAAGAAUAAUCUAGAACUUCCUACACUAGUCUUAUGUAAGGGUAUGUACAAGAUGACUUUGGAAUAUUCUAGAACACCCUACACAAUUCCAAUUCUCUCUUAGCCAAGUGUAGAGAUGUGUGGACAUCUCUAGCCCUCUCCAGAAGCUUCCAUACUCUUCCACUUUGUAGCUAAGUGUAGAUGUCUCCAAGGGUCUCUAGAAGCUUCCCACCUCCUAUAUAAGACCAUGGGAAGGGUCAUUUGAAGCAUCUUGUGACACUCUCCCCCACCUAUUAUUGUGCGAGCAAAAGCUUUGAUGCCAACAAUCACACAUAUGGUACACAAGGUUUUAACGUGGUUCGGCCAACCAUGCCUACGUCCAUGGAUGAGAGAGAAUGAUUCCACUAUACAAUAGAGAAUAUUAUAGAGGACAGAAUCAGAUACAACUUUUGGGUUCCCGCAACAUCCCAUGUUUCCCCACUCCUUGUAUCCAUACCCUACUACGAGCUCUCUCGCUCUACCGAGUACCUCCCGUUCUUUCUCACAUCUCUAUCCAACUCGUAUAGUCUCUACAUGUCCAUCUCCAUCUCAUGACUUUUUCCCCUUAUGACCUAGAAUAUUUAUAAAGAUAUUUUCAACAACCUUCCUUAUUCUAUAUGGAAGUCUAAUAUUACAAUAAUAUAUCAACCUAGAAAUAUUCUAUAUAAUAUUCUUUACAAAAAAAGGAAUCUAUACUAAUUAGGAAUUUGGGACACUUCCUAACAAUCUCCACCUUGGACCAAAUUCCAUGAAGUUAAUCUUCAAUCUCUCCAUGAUACAAACCUUUUUGUAUCAUAUCACCACAAAAGAGCAAUUGACUCCACCUUCAGUGAAAAUUCCUUUUGUUUUCAUUUUGUGUGCUUUGUGAUCUUUUACUCUUCUAGAAAUCUUCAACCCAAGACCAUACUAAAAAACCCUAAUUACAAAAAGCGGUUCCACAAUGGGUUAAACGAGUCUAUCGGCCCAAGCCUUUGCUCCAUGGACUAAGCCUCAAUAAAUCUCCCAUUAAAAAACCAUGCAAUAUUAUUCGGGUCAGGUCGUCAAACCAGAUCAAACAAAACUAAGCUCCACAAAGCCUAACAAAUCUCCCACUUGGAGACUAGUUCAAUCACCAACAUCAAACCGCUAUCCUCCAAGAGACAAUCCCUCAUCCCUGCAACUCAUCCUCCUAUCCUCAAGCUAGAAGACCAAUUGAAGUUGUGCACAACUUCAACUUCUCAAUAGUGACACCCUUAGUCAACAUGUCUGUCGGGUUCUUAAAUCCACAAAUCUUCUCAAGUAUUACUAGUUUAUCUUCAACAAGGUAACGGAUAAAGUGGUAUUUUUUUGUAUAUGCUUCAACUUUGAAUGAAAAGUCGAAUUUUUGGCAAGAAAAAUUGCACUAUGACAGUCACUAUGUAGAAUGUCCAUCUUCUACUUCUUACCCAAUUCAUCUAAGAAACCAUGUAGUCAAAUCAUCUCCUUUCCAGCUUCAGUUGUUGCAACAUACUCAACUUCUGUAGUAGACAAAGUAACAAUCUUCUGUAGAUUUGAAGCUCAUAAUAUAGUUGUACCACUUAGAGUAAAAACAAAACCAGUAGUACUCUUUCUACUAUUAAUAUCACCAGCAAAAUCAACAUCUACAUAACCCUGCAGUUUCAAACUUGCACCUGUGAAGCGAAGACAUGUAUCCAAUGAACCCUUCAGAUAUCUUAAUAUCCACUUGACUGCCUCCCAAUGCUGCUUUCCAGGCUUACUUAUGAAUUUGCUCACAACUCCUACUGCAUGUGCAAUGUCUGGCCUUGUACACACCAUAACAUACAUCAAGCUGCCAAUAGCUGAGGCAUAGGGCACCUUGCUCAUAUGACCCCUUUCUUCUUCCGUCUUCGGUGACUAUUCUUUGCUUAGUUUGAAAUGACUCCUCAAGGGUGUGCUCACUGGUUUAGCUUCAUUCAUGUUGAACAUGCUGAGAACUUUCUUCACAUACUCUGACUGUGAAAGCUUCAAUGUACCAUUAGCCUUGUCUCUAAUGAUUCUCAUACCAAGGAUUUGCUUUGCAACUCCCAAAUCCUUCAUUGCAAACUGUUUGGACAAUUGCUUCUUCAGAUUAUUAAUCUUCUCAAUGCCAGACCCUGCAAUAAGCAUAUCAUCCACAUACAAUAGUAAUAUGAUGUAAGAGUUAUCAAAAAACUUAACAUAGCAACAGUGAUCAGCUUCACAUCUCUUGAACCCAAUUCUAUGCAUAAAACUGUCAAACUUCUUGUACCACUAUCUAGGAGCUUGUUUAAGGCCAUACAAGCUCUUUCUCAGUUUGCAAACUAGAUUCUCUUGUCCUUGAACAAUGAACCCUUCUGGUUGAAUCAUGUAAAGGCCUUCCUCCAAGUCACCAUGAAGGAAUGUUGUCUUCACAUCUAAUUGCUCAAGAUGUAAGUUUUCUGCAACCACCAUUCCCAGUACAAGUCUGAUUGUUGACAUCUUCACAACUGGAGAAAAUAUCUCUGUGUAAUCAAUGCCCUCAUUCUGCUGAAACCCUUUAACAACUAAUCUGGCCUUAUAACGUUUGCUACCAUCAUGCUCAUUCUUUAUUCUGUAUACCCACUUGUUAUGCAAAGCCUUCUUUCCUACUGACAAUUCAGUCAGUUCCCAUGUCUGAUUCCCCAACAAGGAAUCCAUCUCAUCCUUCAUGGCUAACUCCCACUUGCUUGAAUUCUCAUCUUGUAAAUCUUCAUCAUAACACUUUGGCUCACUACCAUCACUCAACAGGAGAUAAUUUAAAACAGGUGAAUAACGCUGUGGAGGUCUAAUGUUCCUGGAAAAUCUGCGAACUUCAGCUACAGGUGUACUCAAAUCUACCUGAGAAUUUACAUUCUCCUUAUCUUCUUCACCCCCUUUUUGGACAGUACUUUCAGUCAAUUCAUCUAAGUUGAUAAACUCAGAUUUCUUUUGAUCUAUCUCUGUAACAUCUGACACUACAAUUGACAUGUCCUUGUACAUAACCUGUUCAUUAAAUAUCACAUUUCUACUUCUGAUGAUUUUCCUGUUUUGUUCAUCCCAAAACCUAUAGCCAAAUUUCUCAUCACCAUAACCAAUGAAAAAGCAUAUUUUAGACUUUGCAUCAAGUUUACUACGAGCAUCAGAAUCAAUAUGAACAUAAGAAACACAACCAAAAACUUUUAAAUGUGAAAACUUUACCUCUUUAUCGCUCUAAACCUCCUUAAGAAGUCUGAACUCCAUGGGAACUGAUGGUCCUUGGUUUAUCAGGUAGGCUACAGUGCUAACAGCAUCAGCCCAAAAAGUUUUUGGUAGUCCAACAUGCAACCUCAUACUUCUAGCAAGCUCAUUGAGAGUUCUGUUCAUGCGCUCAGCCACACCAUUUUGCUGUGGUGUCCCAAGAAUGGUCUUCUCCAUCCUAAUUCCCUGUGCAACACAAUACUCACCGAACCCUCCAUCUAUGUACUCUCCUCCAUUAUUUGACCUCAAACAUUUUACUUUCAAACCUAUUUCUGUCUCAACCAUGGCCUUCCAUUUCUUAAAAUUUUCAAAUACAUUAGAUUUAUUUUUCAGAAAAUAAACUCAUACCUUUCUGCUUGAGUCAUCAAUAAAACUGAUGUAGUACCUUGAACCUCCAAGGGAUGCAACCGGAGAAGGCCCCCACAAAUCAAUGUGUACUAGUUCUAAUUUUUUAGCCUUCAGUGUCCUGCCAGUUUUCAAGAAGCUCACAUUUUUUUUGCUUUCCUAAGAUGCAACUUUCACACAUGUCAAAAUCAAUGGACUUUAAUUCUGGUAGUUUUCCUUUUGACAACAACAUCUUCAUCCAUUUCUCACUCAUGUGACCAAGUUUGCGGUGCCAUAGGCUUAUAUCAGUACUUGCAUUAGCAACUGCAAUUGUGUCUCUUGGACAUGAGGUCAUAUACAGAGUACAAGUCUUCUUUCCACAAGCCAAUACCCUAGCUUCCUUUGUAACCUUCUAAGUACCACCAACAAAUAGUAUUGCAUGUCCUUCAUCAUCAAGUUGUCCAACAGAAAUCGGAUUCCUCUUCAGGUUAGGAAUAUCUCAAACCUUCUCCAGUAACCAAAUAAACCUAUUGGGCAACAAUAUUCGGACGUUUCCCAGACCCACAACAUCCAAGGCUGAACCAUCAGCCAAAUACACCUUACCAAAAUCACCCGCAACAUAAUUCUGUAUGAUUUCUCGAUGUGGAGUGGUAUGAAAUGAAGCUUCUGAAUCCAAAACCCAAUAAUCAAGUAGACUGUCUACUGCAAGAAGUAAUGCAUCUUGUACCUCUUCUGUUACAGCAUUAGUAGAAUCAUCUUCAUUCUUCUUCUUAAGACUUUUGUAUUGCCUUCUAAAGUGACAUGUUUUCCCACAGUUCUAUCAUAGUACUUGUUGGCCUGAUCUAGAUUUGCUUUUAUUUCGAUUAGAAUUUUUGGAUUUUGAUCUACCCCGGUUUGAAUUUUUUUCAUUACCUCUGUCUCUUGUCUCAAGGUUUAGGACAUAACUAGAUCCUGAGGUUUCGCUUGCAUCUCUUCGACGAAUCUCCUCAACUAGAAUUAAAUCUCAUAUAUCAUUGUACUUGAGUUUUUCCUUUCCCGUAGAAUUGCUUACUGCCAUCCUCAUUGCCUCCCAACUGUUUGGCAAAGAAGCCAAGAUGAUCAGAGCACGAAUCUCAUCAUCAAAAUCAAUUUCUACAGACGACAAUUGAUUUGUGAUUGUAUUAAAUUCAUUUAGAUGUUGUGCUACUGAGAUAUUUUCUACCAUCUUCAAAUUGAAUAAUUUCUUCAUCAGAUGCACCUUAUUGUUUGUGGACAGCUUUUCAUACAUACCAGACAAAGCCUUCAUCAGAUCUACUGUGGUCUUCUCUUUUACAACGUUGUGUGCAAUAGACCUAGACAGAGUUAACCUAAUAACUCUUGGAACCUGUCUGUCAAGAAACGCCCAUUCCUCAACCUUCAUACUCUCAGGUUUUGUCCCCAAAAGAGGCAGAUGCAAUUUCCUCCCAUAGAGAUAAUCUUCAAUCUACAUCCUCCAAUAUGCAAAAUCUGUGCCAUCAAAAUUUCUAUUAUAGACGCCUUUCCUGCUUCCUCUGCCAUUGCUCCCACUCAAACCUAACCCUAGGCUCUGAUACCAGUUGUUGUGCCAGUGAAAGCUUUGAUGCCAACAAUGUUAGUUCAAGAACACAAAGAUAAAACAAUCACACAUAUGGUACACGAGGUUUUAACAUGGUUCGGCCAACCAUGUCUUGAUUCAUGCCCAGUCGAUGUAUCAGUUGACUUAUGUCCAGCUGGUGCUCCUUGAUUGACGUAGUAAUCAACAAAAUUUAUAACCUAUUACACCAUGAACUAGGGUAGCAGAGACAAAGCUACUAUAGUAUAGUGGCUCUAGGAUCGUUCACUGGGAAGGGUUUUCAACUCAUAACUGAUACCAAUUCAAAGCUGAGUUGGUGCUUUUUCAUUUCAAGGUUAGCUUUAAAAGAAAACAUAAAGUUGUUUGAGUGAAAAGGGUUUGGUUUUAAACUAACCAAAAAGAAAGUAAUGGAAAUUACUUAUGAAGAAAAACAUUCCUUGAAGGUUUAGGUUCACAGGGGAGAUUCCUUAUACAAAACAGAGCUCCGGUCAUUUGGUUUGUUUCCUCGCAUUAGAGAAUUAACAUAUAGUCAAUUCUCUAACCGGUGUUGUACAGAUGUAACCUUUAAAUAGAUUCCAGCUCUAAUUCCCUCUCACUGAUGCAACUUGCAAUAACUCGUGCCUCUCAUCUAGCAUUUGCCAUCAAGGUGAUCUUUAACUUUGGAUUUCCCUUCUCAAGCUCGCAAGAGAUAACUAAUGGAAGUCUCCUCGGAGUCCAAAAGCUUACUAAAUGUUGGCAAUUCUAGAAAAUCCUACCUCCAAGUCACUUCCCAAAAGCUUGCAAGAGAUAAACAAGUGCAUCUCCAUGGACGAAGAUCACGUGUCUUACCAAGUACUGGCUCAAGUGAUUUGAAGGUGUUUUAAGUUAACUAAAAACAUAGAAAUCAUUAAAGGAUCAUACUUUCUCUUCAUUAAUCACUGAAACCACAAAGCUACUAAUUCUUGCACUUAGAACCUUUCCCUACAACCUUAACUCCAAGGAAUUAAAAGUCUAGCCACUCAUUCUUUGAGGAAAUUUCCUCAGAGCUUGUUUGGCUAGUAAGAAAACUAACAAGAAAACAAAUAUAUGAUAGAAAACCAGAGCAAGUGCUCUGGAAAUAUAUUUCUUGCUUUUCUUGAUUACAAUAUAGAUCGAUACUCUUUCGAUUCGAUAUCCUCUGUAAAGGAAAUUACAAACUAUUUAUAUGGGUUUAUUCACCCUUUUUAUUUACUUAAAAACUAAGGAAUCCCAUGAUAGGUGGAUUACAAGGAGAGUUUGGGAAUUUAGACAACAAAUAUCUAAAGCAAAAUAUCCCAAAAUAUCGCUCGAAAAUGUCAGGAAGGUUCAGGAGAACACCAUUGCACUAUACUGAGAGAAAAACUUUGCAGGUAAGCGUUAUCAGAAGGUCCGGAUAUGUAUAUCCGGAGAAGUCGAAGCGUCCUCCUCUCCCAUCCGGCUAUAGGAUAUUCGGAUGUAAAAUGUUGGCGCACGGAACGUCCUCCUUUCCCAUCCGGAUGUGAGAUAUCCGGAUGAAAAAUGUCGGCGCACAGAACUCGUGAAAAUCACACCCGGCUGAUAGCAUAUCUUAUUUGAAUAUGUUGUCCGGAUGCCCUUCGAUGGUAUAUCCGGACGCCCUGUCCGGGUAUACUCCUUGUAUGGAUUCCAAAGAACUCUCCUCAAUCUCAGAUUUGCUUUGGUGAUAAAAAAGCUAUCAAAACACCAAAACUUAACACAAUUUGAUUAGAAUUGAUUGCAAGGGUCCUUACUAUGUUAAUUGGGUUAAAAGGUGAUAACUACUACUCAAAAGUAUUUAAAAGAGUUAAUUACUGGUUAUCAAAUAGCACUUUUUGAGUAGUAAUCACUCCCCCCAACCGACAUAUUGCUAGUCCCUUAGCAAUGAAGGAGAGAAAAAAAAACAGUACUAUAAUUUACAACAUCAUGCUGAACAAAAAACAAUUUCCUAGCGGCAUGAUGAUCUAACUCUCACAUGGAACAUUAAAGAAAUAAAACUCAAACUUCAACAAGAGUUAUCAAAUAACUUGUCUAAUCACAAUUCUUAAAGAGAAGGCUUUAUGCAAAUUUAAGCUUUAAAAGAGUUUCCACUCCCAAAGGGUCAAACCUUACUCUUCCACAAAAAUCUAAGUGUUAUUUAUUAGCUUCCGAAUAUAGUAUGUAGAACUAAUCUCUCCUCCCAAUCUAGUUUUUUUUUUUCAAAGCUUAGCAAACUGGUCAACCUCCAAUAUGCUAAGAACGCACCUCAUUUUUUUCACAACAAUUUUUUUUUCAUUGUAGGAGUACAAGGCUUAAAGGUAUUAUUUUCUAACUUGUCCAUGUAACGGGGGUCCAUCGAUGACUCCCAACCAAUUAAGGUUUAGGGCAUCAAGCUUUAAGGAUAUUUCAACCACUAGCUCCUCGGAUUUUACCCCGGACUUUUGAGAAUGAAUUUUAAUACCCCAGCACCUACAGUAUGUUAGACUCCACCUAUCCACCCUUGUUACGAGCAUUGAGGUCGGUGACUCCCAACCAAUGAAGGCUUAGGGCACCUGGUUUUAAAGAUUUUCACCAUAUAUCCCUCAGACCUUGCUCGGGUUUCAAGGCAAGCAAACAUUUUUUCUUUCUUUUUCCAAAGGCUCAUUGGCCUUUUACAAGGUGUCCCAACACUAUUAAAUGAGGUCAAAGGUACCAAGUCUAAAAUUUUCCUAAGUCAAGAGGGAAAUAGUUUUUCAUCUUAUACUCGGAACCUAUUGUGCACAGUGUGUGAAUAGCUUAAAGUGGAAGACAUAAGCUUGACUUCAAUAGAAGUUUCAACAAUUCAUCAACUUUAAUAAGCAUAAUACAAACUCUAAGUCAAGUGAAAAGAUAAAAAUUCAAUUUCUCCCAUUCCAUUUUGAAAAUUUUUCCUUAAUAACCAUGGAGAGUAGAAUAAAAACUUUUAAAAAUUUUAAAAUUUAAGCAAAAAGCAACUAAAUUACCAAAAUAACUUAGCAUUAUUAAUAAAAACUUCCUUCCUCAACUCUCCCCCCAACCAAGCUCAACAUUGUCCUUAAUGUGACAACAGCGAUUGAAAAAUAGGGAGGAAGUGGUACCUCCUAAGUGACGUGGAAUGAUGGCUCAGCGGCUUCUCCUGUACUCCCAUUCCAUUUUGAAAAUUUUUCCUUAAUAAUCAUGGAGAGUAGAAUAAAAACUUUUUAAAAUUUUAAAAUUUAAGCAAAAAGCAACUAAAUUACCAAAAUAACUUAGCAUUAUUAAUAAAAACUUCCUUCCUUAACUCUCCCCCCAACCAAGCUCAACAUUGUCCUCAAUGUGACAACAGUGAUUGAAAAAUAGGGAGGAAGUGGUACCUCUUGAGUGACGUGGAAUGAUGGCUCAGCGGCUUCUCCUGUAGGAGGCUCCGGAUGAGGUGGGAAUGGUAUGCUCAGGAGCUGAUGUACUGUCAAGAUGAUGCUGAAUCUGCCUCAGGACGGCAGUGUGCUGGGCCUGAGUGGCAAGAAUCUGCUCCUGCUGAUUCUAAUCAUUCAAAAAGCUAGUUACAAUUAACAUAAUUUAAAACCAAAAUUACAAUCCAAUAAUUUACAAAACUUAAAAAUUAACAUAUUUAACAAAAUUAUGGACUUUGGUGAAACCAAGUCCAUCUAACCCUUCUCUGUUCAGGAUUUCUAUGGCUCAAGGAGGUUGAUUUCCUCCUUUUCUGGCUUGAACGGCUCAAUGUAUGGCUUGAGACGAUGCCCAUUCACUUUGAAAGUUUGAGUGCUCUUGAAGUUGAGUAGUUCCACUACUCCAUUUGAUUGCACGUCAUGAAUUAUGAAAGGACCCGUCCAUCUUGAUUUCAAUUUUCCCGGAAAAAGAUGGAGUUUAGAGUCAUAAAGCAAGACUCUUUGUCUCUUGAUAAAAUUCUUCUGAUUUACCAACUGAUCAUGCCAUUUCUUCAACCUCUCUUUUGCAAUUUUUGAAUUGAGGUAAGCAUCAUUCCUCAUUUCCUCCAAUUCGUUCAAAUGCAAAUAUCUCUUUAACCCGGCACUUGUCAAAUCCAUGUUGAGCUUCUUGAUCGCCCACCAUGCUUUAUAUUCAACCUCCACUGGGAGAUGGCACGCUUUGCCAUAAACAAGGCGGUAAGGAGACAUUCCAAGAAUGGUCUUAUAAGCAGUCUAUAAGCCCAUAAUGAAUCCAGGAGCUUAGUAGACCAAUCCUUCCUAUUCACAUUCACCACCUUCAUCAGGAUAUUCUUGAUUUCCCGGUUGGCUAACUCAACUUGGCCACUUGUUUGAGGGUGAUAAGGUGUAGCUACCUUGUGCUUGACCCCAUAUUUGGCUAGAAGAGUCUCAAACGACUUAUUGCAAAAGUGGGUUCCUCCAUCACUGAUAAUGGCCUUAGGCACUCCAAACCUUGAAAAUAUGUUCUCCUUGAGAAAUUUGAGAACCACCUUAUGAUCAUUGCUCCUACAUGGGAUUGCAUCUACCCACUUAGAGACAUAAUCCACUCCCACCAAAAUGUAGGAGUGUCCAAAUGACAUUGGAAAUGGUCCCAUGAAGUCUAUCCCCCAAACAUCAAAGACAUCCACUAUCAAGAUGGGGUUCAAGGGCAUCAUAUUCCAGCGUGUUAGCUUCCCAAGCCUUUGACACCAAUCACAUCCCUUGCACAUAGAGUGGGCAUCCUUGAAAAGAAAGGGCCACCAAAAACCUGAUUAGACCACUCUCAUGGCUGUUUUCUGGGAGGCAAAAUGACCUCCACAUGCACUAUCAUGACAAUGGGAUAGAAUUCCUGAUUGCUCUUGUUCAGGAACACAUUUCCUUAUGAUUUGAUCCGCACAAUAUUUGAAGAGAAAAGGCUCCUCCCAAUAAUAGGCAUGGAUCUUAGCAAAGAAAUGCUUCUUGUCUUGGGCACUCCACUCACUUGGAACUUCUCCAGUAACCAAGUAAUUUACAAUGUGAGAAUACCAUGGAGUUACCUCUAUUGACAUGAGAGACUCCUCAGGGAAGUCAUCAUUAAUAGGUAGACCAUGUGAGUCAUGUGCUAUCACAAGUCUGGACAAGUGGUCAGCUACCACAUUUUCUACUCUCUUCUUAUCCCGGAUUUGGAUAUUGAAUUCUUGAAGCAGAAGGAUCCAUCUUUUCAAUCUUGCCUUGGCAUCUUGCUUGGUUAGCAAGUACUUUAGAGCAGAAUGGUCAGUGAACACCACUAUAAAGGACCCUACCAAAUAGGCACGAAACUUAUCCAAGGUAAAAACUACUGCCAACAACUCCUUCUCAGUAGUUGUGUAGUUCCUUUGAGCCUCAUUCAAAGUUUUGCUUGCAUAAUAAAUCACAUAGGGCUUUCCAUCUUCUCUUUGCCCCAAAACAGCCCCCAUAGCAAAAUCACUUGCAUCACACAUUACCUCAAAAGGUAAUUUCCAAUUUGGGGCUCUCACUAUUGGUGCAGUUGUAAGGAAUUGCUUCAGUUCCUCAAAACUCUUCUGGUAUUUCUCAUCCUACACAAACUUGACAUCCUUUACCAAUAGUUCACAAAGAGGUUUUAAGAUUUUUGAGAAAUCCUUAAUGAACCUCCUAUAGAACCCGACAUGUCCUAGGAAUUGCCUAAUUCCUUUAACAUUUGUGGGAGGUGGCAACUUAACAAUUAGCUCCACCUUUGCCUUAUCUACCUUAAUGUCAUUCUUGGAGAUUAUAUGUCCUAAGACAAUUCCUUUUUGUACCAUAAAAUGGCACUUCUCCCAAAUUAGCACUAGGUCUUUCUCAAUACAUCUUUGGAGAACAGCUUCUAAAUGCAACAAACACUCCUUAUAAGAACAUCCAUAAACAGUGAUGUCAUCCAUAAAGACUUCCAUGAUGCGUUCUACCAUAUCACUGAAGAUGCUUAGCAUACAUCUUUGGAAAGUUGCAGGUGCAUUACAUAGACCAAAGGGCAUCCUCCUAUAGGCAAAAGUACCAAAGGGGCAAGUGAAGGUUGUCUUUUCCUGAUCUUCCAAAUCAAUUUCUAUUUGGAAGUACCCCGAGUAACCAUCUAGAAAACAGUAGAAAGGAUGCCCUGAGAUUCUCUCAAGGACUUGGUCCAUGAAAGGCAAUGGGAAAUGGUCCUUCCUAGUCGCUGAAUUUAACCUCCUGUAGUCUAUACACACCCUCCAUCCGGAGGUAAGACGUGUAGAGACUUCCUCCCCUUUUUCAUUCUGGAUCACAGUAAUUCCAGAUUUCUUUGGAACUACUUGGGUUGGGCUCACCCACAAGCUGUCUGUAAUGGGAUAUAUGAUCCCUGCUUGAAGUAGCUUCAAAACUUCACCUCUUACUACCCCUUGCAUGUGAGGAUUCAACCUCCUCUGGGGCUGCCUCACUGGUUUUGCAUCUUCCUCCAUGUAGAUAUGGUGGGUGCAUACCAAAGGGCUAAUCCCUUUCAGAUCAGAAAUUUGCUAUCCAAUGGCCUUUUUGCAUUUUAUGAGGACUCCCAAAAGGCUAUCCUCUUGAUCAGUGGUGAGCUUUGAAGAAACCACCACUGCACAUUUCUCAUCUUUCUCCAGAUAUGCAUACUUCAAAUCAACAGGAAGUGGCUUCAAAACUGGUUUUGGAGGGUCCUCCGUAGCUGCUCCUUGUGAGUCCUCCUUAUUGAACAAGGGCAAGAUCUCUUCCCUUCUCCUCCAAGGAGACAUGAUGGCUAAUGGUUCAAAGGGUUCAGGUAACCCUGCUUCAAGCACUCCAAUGCUUUCAUUCAAGCUUUCUUCUAAAUUCUUGUCACAAUGCUCUUCAACCAACGUGUUGAUCAAGCACACCUUCUCCAAUCCUUCCUCCUCUUCGGGUUGAAGAUGCCUCUUGCAUAGGUGGAAUAUGUUUAGUUCCAAGGUCAUGUUCCCAAAUGUGAGCUGCAUAACCCCAUUCCUAUAAUUGAUGAUGGCAUUGGAGGUAGCUAGGAAAGGUCUCCCAAGGAUGAUUGGCACAUAAUUUGGUUCCUUAAUAGUGAGAUCAGUAUCAAGCACCAAAAAAUCCACGAGAUAGUAGAAUUUGUCCACUUGAACUAGAACAUUCUCAAUCACCCCCCUUGGGAUUUUGACCGACCUAUCAGCUAAGGAGAGAGUGAUGGCUGUGGGCUUCAAUUCUCCAAGUCCCAGUUGCUUAUACACAGAGUAUGGGAGCAAAUUCACACUUGCCCCCAAGUCUAAUAGAGCCUUCUCCACAUGUGUCCCUCCAAUGUUGGUUGAAAUGGUGGGACAUCCCGGAUCUUUACACUUAACUGGAGACUUACUCUGAAUGAUGGCACUUACUUGCUCAGUGAGGAAUGCCUUCUUUGUCACAUUUAACCCUCUCUUAACCGUGCACAAGUCCUUUAAAAUUUUUACAUAUGUGGGGACUUGCUUGAUCAUAUCAAGUAAGGGUAUAUUCACCUUCACUUGUCUCAAAACUUCAAGAAUUUCUGAUGAAUUCUUGAUUCCCUUCUUUCCAUGUAAAGCUUGAGGAAAAGGGGGAGGCAUAUGUUUCUUCAUCAUAUCCUCUUUAAUCACUAUCCUUGGCUCUUCUUCAAUGCUUGAUUUAGAUGCAUUUUUCUUCCCACUCUCCUCUUCUUGGUUAUUGCUCUCUUUAACCAAGGUUUUCCUUGACAUGAAUUCUUCGUCUUGUCUCACCUUAGGCAAGGGUUGAUCAACCUCCUUCCCACUUCUCAAGGUGAUCACAACUUUGACCUUCCUCAACUUUGAAGACUCUCCAUCUUGGGUUUCAACUUCAUGAACACCCUUAGGAUUUUGGCUUGGUUGAGAGGGGAACUUUCCCUUCUCAUUCACUGUGUUGAGGUUGGUAAGCCUAGAGAUGGAGUAUUGACUAUUAUCUAUCUUCUGAGAUAGAUCAUUCUGCAUCCCAUCCAUUCUCUUAAUUUGAGAACUCUCAACAUUUUCAAUCUUUUGGUGCAAUUGGGAGUUGAUUGCCUUUUGUUCACCCACAAAGUCACCCAUGACUUUACUUAGGUUUACAAUGGCUUGCUCCACUGAAGAGGUUUGUUGAGGUGCUUGGGUUUGGGCUUGUGGUUGGUAUGGAGGUGGCCUUGGUUUCCAAGAAAAAUUUGGAUGGUUUCUCCAGCUUGAAUUAUAGGUGUUUCCAUAAGGUGCAUUGUUGUUGGGCUUAAAUUGCCCCACAACAUUGGCUUGAUCACCUAAGAUCUCCCUCACAGCUGGGAUGGUUGGGUACUCAUCUACCACAUGAUCACAUGAUUGGCAAAUGGUGUAUGGCAUGACAUGGACUUGUGUCUUUGAAAUGGCUUGGACUUCAUGCAUUUUUUUCAACUCAAGUUCUUCCAACCUCCUUGCCAUUGUUGCCACCUUAGUUUUCAUGUCCACGUCUUCACUUAACAUGUACAUUCCACCCUUUGGAUUUACAGGAGCUUUCAUCCUUCCCACUUCUCCUCUAUGCGGUUCAUCCCAUCCCCUUGAGACUUCAGCUACAUAACUCAAGAAAUCCAUAGCUUCCUCAGGAUUCUUACUCAUGAAAUCCCCUCCACACAUUGUUUCGAGGAGCUGCUUCAUUGAGGAAGACAUCCCAUCAUAGAAAUAACUUACCAACAGCCAUGUAUCAAAGCCAUGGUGAGGACAAGCAUUAAUGGCUUCUAUGUAUCUUUCCCAACACUCAUAGAAUUUCUCAUUCUCUUUAGCUAAGAAGUUUGAAAUUUGUCUUUUCAAGCUGUUUGUUCUGUGAGUAGGAAAAAAUUUCUUGAGGAAUUCUACUUGUAAAUCAGUCCAAGUACGGAUACUCCUUGGCCUUAAAGAAUUAAGCCAAAUCUUGGCCUUAUCCUUUAAAGUAAAAGGAAAUAGUUUAAGCCUCAUCAGGUCAAUAGAAGCUCCUCCCUCUCGGAAUAUAUUACAAACAUCUUCAAAUUCCUUGAUAUGGGAAUAAGGAUUCUCACUUUCCAUUCCGUGGAAAGUUGGCAGAAGUGGCACAAUAUAGGGUCUGAUUACUAGCUGUUCUGUAGGAGGCACUAUACAUGACGGUGCACUCAUACGAGGUGGAUGCAUAUGGUCCCUCAUUGAUCUGAAUUCAUUGGGAUUGUCCUGAUGAUCAUGGUGACUAUGCUGAUCCUCAGGUGUAGUUUCCAUGAUGUUCAAGAUUACUUCCAACUCCUUGUUAUGAGGUGUUUCAAUUUUAACAAGCCUUCCUCCACAAUCUCGUAUCCACUUGGGCAUACACAACUAGUAUCAACUGUAACAAAGAAAGAAAAAGAAAAACAGAGGAAAACAAAAAAACAAAACUACCAAAAAGAGUUCAAUUAACUAAAACUAAAUUCAAAACUAUGCUAGAAUAUAUAAACUAGUAAAAGAGAAAAAAAAAAAACUAAAAGAGUUAGUAAAAUGAGAGAAAACUCACCAAACUUGUGAUGAAAACCACAAGUUCCAUGAAAUAAUAUCAAUAUGAAGUUGGCACCUUCCCCGACAACGAAGCCAUUUGAUUUGUGCCCAGUCGGUGUAUCAGCUGACUUAUGUCCAGCUGGUGCUCCUUGAUUGAGGUAGUAAUCAACAAAAUUUAUAACCUAUUACACCAUGAACUAGGGUAGCAGAGACAAAGCUACUAUAGUAUAGUGGCUCUAGGAUCAUUCACUGGGAAGGGUUUUCAACUCAUAAUUGAUACCAAUUCAAAGCUGAGUUGGUGCUUUUUCAUUUCAAGGUUAGCUUUAAAAGAAAACAUAAAGUUGUUUGAGUGAAAAGGGUUUGGUUUUAAACUAACCAAAAAGAAAGUAAUGGAAAUUACUUAUGAAGAAAAACAUUCCUUGAAGGUUUAGGUUCACAGGGGAGAUUCCUUAUACAAAAACAGAGCUCCGGUCAUUUGGUUUGUUUCCUCGCAUUAGAGAAUUAACAUAUAGUCAAUUCUCUAACCGGUGUUGUAUAGAUGUAACCUUUAAAUAGAUUCCAGCUCUAAUUCCCUCUCACUGAUGCAACUUGCAAUAACUCGUGCCUCUCAUCUAGCAUUUGCCAUUCAAGGUGAUCUUUAACUUUGGAUUUCCCUUCUCAAGCUCGCAAGAGAUAACUAAUGGAAGUCUCCUCGGAGUCCAAAAGCUUACUAAAUGUUGGUAAUUCUAGAAAAUCCUACCUCCAAGUCACUUCCCAAAAGCUUGCAAGAGAUAAACAAGUGCAUCUCCAUGGACGAAGAUCACGUGUCUUACCAAGUACUGGCUCAAGUGACUUGAAGGUGUUUUAAGUUAACUAAAAACAUAGAAAUCAUUAAAGGAUCAUACUUUCUCUUCAUUAAUCACUGAAACCACAAAGCUACUAAUUCUUGCACUUAGAACCUUUCCCUGCAACCUUAACUCCAAGGAAUUAAAAGUCUAGCCACUCAUUCUCUGAGGAAAUUUCCUCAGAGCUUGUUUGGCUAGUAAGAAAACUAACAAGAAAACAAAUAUAUGACAGAAAACCAAAGCAAGUGCUCUGGAAAUAUAUUUCUUGCUUUUCUUGAUUACAAUAUAGAUCGAUACUCUUUCGAUUCGAUAUCCUCUGUAAAGGAAAUUACAAACUAUUUAUAUGGGUUUAUUCACCCUUUUUACUUACUUAAAAACUAAGGAAUCCCAUGAUAGGUGGAUUACAAGGAGAGUUUGGGAAUUUAGACAACAAAUAUAUAAAGCAAAAUAUCCCAAAAUAUCUCAAAAAUAUCGGUCGAAAAUAUCAGGAAGGUUCAGGAGAACACCGCUGCACUGUACUGAGAUAAAAACUCUACAGGUAAGUGUUAUUAGAAGGUCCGAAUAUGUAUAUCCGGAGAAGUCGAAGCGUCCUCCUCUCCCAUCCGGCUAUAGGAUAUCCGGAUGUAAAAUUUCGGCGCACGGAACGUCCUCCUUUCCCAUCCGGAUGUGAGAUAUCCGGAUGAAAAAUGUCGGCGCACAGAACUCGUGAAAAUCACACUCGGCUGAUAGCAUGUCUUAUCCGAAUAUGUUGUCCGGAUGCCCUUCGAUGGUAUAUCCGGAUGCCCUUCGAUGGUAUAUCCGGACGCCCUGUCCGGGUAUACUCCUUGUAUGGAUUCCAAAGAACUCUCCUCAAUCUCAGAUUUGCUUUGGUGAUCAAAAAGCUAUCAAAACACCAAAACUUAACACAAUUUGAUUAGAAUUGAUUGCAAUGGUCCUUACUAUGUUAAUUGGGUUAAAAGGUGAUAACUACUACUCAAAAUUAUUUAAAAGAGUUAAUUACUGGCUAUCAAAUAACACUUUUUGAGUAGUAAUCAUGUCUACAUCCACGACUGAGAGAGAACGAUUCCACUAUACAAUAGAGAAUAUUAUAGAGGACAGAACUAGAUACAACUAUUGGGUUCCCGAAACAUCCCAUGUUUCCCCACUCCUUGUAUCCAUACCCUACUACGAGGUCUCUCGCUCCACCGAGUACCUCCCGUUCUUCCUCACAUCUCUAUCCACCUCGUAUAGUCUCUACAGGUCCAUCUCCAUCUCAUGACUUUUUCCUUUUCAUGACCUAGAAUACUUAUAGAGAUAUUUCCAACAACCUUCCUUAUUCUAUAAGGAAGUCUAAUAUUACAAUAAUAUAUCAACCUAGAAUUAUUCUAUAUAAUAUUCUUUAUAAAAAAAAGAAUCUAUACUAAUUAGGAAUUUGGGAUGCUUCCUAAUACCUAUGCCAUCGACGUCCCCAUUGUGGCCUCUUCUUGAAACUUCUUGAUGUGUUUCCAAAACCUUCUCAAGGCAUCUGCAUGUUCCCAGCUUACUUGCCUCUUAGGUAGUCUUUUCCAUCGAACUAGAUACUCUAUCACAGGAAGGACCCCUUAUCUCUUGGUAACUUGUUCAAAUAGGAUAUUCUUCACCUCUUUCUCUUGUGAGGCCUGAGAUGAAUGCAAACACUUGCAUUUUCGAUGCUUGGAGUGCUGCUUCCUAUUGCUUAUUGAGUUCACCUUUUCCUUAGUGACCUUGUCCAUGUGUGUGUGGGCUACCACAACUCGCUCCUCUUUUGCCUCUUUUACUUGCACCCUUGAUAGUAAGAAGGUCUUAGGAAUACUAGGCUUUGGGUUGGAGGGUACCUAGUAGCUGCAUCAAGCCCAUAUGUGCUUCGCCUUCCUAUUUCCUCUCUUCGAUCAUGGCCUGAGCGCCUUCCUCUUUGGGCAAUCCUAUGCCCAAUGUGGAUCGUCACACAGGAAGCAUUUGAUUCUAGGCGUAAACUCCUUCCUUUUCGCCUUACGUCUUCCUUCCCGGAUGCUAGGCAUCUUGCCUGAUCCCAUUUUAGGAGCAUUAUAGUCUCUUGAAACCCCGUCUCCCCCACCCGUGGCGUGGCUAUUCUCUAAAGACUCAACCUUGGAGGAGUCUUCCCUCUUGUAAUGCGUUAAAGACUCUGCUACUACCAUAGCAGUGGCUAAGUCUUGAACACCUUGGCACCUUAAUUCUUACUCGGCCCACCCUUGUAGGUUAUCCAUGAAGUUGAAUAGUAGAUCCUCUUUAGUCAUGUUAGGAAUCUCAAGCAUAAGCGAAGAGAAUUCCUUGGCAUAGUCGCGUAUCGAACCUGUGUGCUUGAGACACCUCAUGUUUUUCCUAGUCAAGUAAGCCACGACCUUGGGGUAGAAUUGCCUCUUGAUCUCCCUCUUAAAGUCCUCCCACGUCUCUAUGGUGCAAAUGUCUUUUUCCAUAUCGGCGAACCUCCGACUCUACCAUAGAGUAGCUGUGUUAGUAAGGUAGGGGGGUUACAGUCCUUACCUUAGUCGCCUCAUCAGAUAGUGCGAUGGCCUCGAAGUAUCGCUCCAUAUGCCAUAAGAAGUUGUCCAACUCCUUGACAUCCCGCUUGCCACUAAACCCUUGUGGCUUCGGCACCUCCACCCUAGAUGCCUCUUGGGUGGGCAUGACCCAUGCCGACACAACAGUCUUGUAGAUGGCCAACUCCUACCUAACCUCCUGGUCUUGGGACUCCAUUCGAGUGGCCAAAGCCUCCAUCCUUGACUCUAUACUAGCAAGCAUGCUCAAGACAUUUUCUUGGAAGGACACAAACUCCUCGUGCGACACUGUCUAAACCUAUGAGACUAGCAUCUCCUCACGAAGGUCUUGGAUCUGUUCCCUAAGAUCUUUCAUACCCUUCUCCAUGCCUUGCUCAAUCAAGUCCAACCCCUCCCGAGUGUCUGCCAUGGCUAGCUCCACCUUAGCUAACCUUGCCUCCAUGUUAGCAACGACAUCAUGAGAUUUAUCCUUCCUACCCCUGCCCCGUGCAGUAGGCUCGGUCUCCCUCCCACGGGUUUGUUCACUAGUCUCAUCCACGUUGGAGCCCGACAUGCUUCCUUUACUAUGCCCACUUCAUAGCUACGCUUUGAUACCACUUGUCACGGACUUAAUCUUUUCCUAAGCUCGUGUGGCACUUAGACAAGUCAAGACACUUUAUCUUGCUAAGUCAGCCUUACUCCCAAUGCUUAGCUUGCUAGGCUAAGAUGCUCACGACUCGGAACCUAUUUAUAGGCACCAAUGGAACUCUCUGGAACCUUGCAAGGUUCCUUAAAACUAAAGAAUAAUCUAGAAAUUCCUACACUAGUCUUAUGUACAAGGGUAUGUACAAGAUGACUUUGAAGUAUUCUAGAACACCCUACACAAUCCCAAUUCUCUCUUAGCCAAGUGUAGAGAUGUGUGGGCAUCUCUAGCCCUCUCCAAAAGCUUCCAUACUCUUCCACUUUGUAGCCAAGUGUAGUGUCUCCAAGGGUCUUUAGAAGCUUCCCACCUCCUAUAUAAGCCUAUGGGAAGGGUCAUUUGAAACAUCUUGUGACACUAAGCUCAACUUAUGUUGGGCCUAAGUCCAAGCCUAAUAGCAUGUUUUAUAAAACUUAAUAUUUAAUACUUAUUACUUAAUGACUUAUGUUGACUUUAAGUUAAAUUGUUUGAUAAAAUUAUUUUAAGUUAUUAAAUUAACAUAUUUACCCCAUUGGUUGUAAUUAAUAUUUAUUAUUAAAAUUUUAACUAAUAUUUAUUUUUAUUAAUUUUAAGUAAUAAAUUUUUUUAUUAAACAUCCAUACUUGAAAGUAUUGUAGAUUUAUGUAAUAACUUUAAAAUAUUUAUUAGAAAAAAUGUGUCAUGGAUUUGGUUGUUAAAUAUAUUUUCAUUAGAUAUGAGCAAAUAAGACAAUAAAAAUUUAGGAUUAAGAAUAAGUUAACUAUUUUAACUUAAUAUUUAAAUUUAUUUUUAAUUUUAGGUUGUGAUAUGAAGUUGUAUUUAAAAGACAUGUUUAAUCUACUUAAUAACUUAAAUUAAAUUAUUAUGUCACUUUAAGGCAUUAAGUUAAAUUACCAAUUAAACAUCCUAUAAGACCAAAAUAAGACUCUAAUCAAAUAUAUAUAUAUAUAUAUAUAUAUAUAUAUAUAGAGAGAGAGAGAGAGAGAGAGAGAGAGAUUAUCAUUUAUAUUUGAUUACUAUAUAUACAAUAAAAAAUCAAUUUAGUUAUAAUUUUGAGAAAUUCAUGCAUAGAUUAAGGUGAUGUUUGGUAAAACUUAAUACCUAUUACUUAAUCAUUUAAGUUGACUUUAACUUAAAUUAUACUUAAAUUGUUAACUUAAAACUUAUUAUUUAAGUUUUACUUUAAGUAUUAAGGUUAUUUGAUCAAAUUAACUUAAAACUUAUUCUAAAUUAUAAAAUUGACAUAUUUGUACUCAUAAAUUAAAACUAGGGCAAAAAAGAUCGAAUAAUAGCGGAUGUUGUAGAGUAGCAAAAGAGAUGGUCUAGUUAAUUAGGAUAAAUAAGAGUAAAAAAGCAAAAUAAAUAUACGAACUUAAUUAUUUUUACUUAUUACUUAAAGUUAUUUUUAACUUUAUAUCACACCAUUAAAUUAUUUUACUAAUAAAUAAGAGCAAAAAAGCAAAAUAAAGAUAUGAACUUAAGAAUAAGUUAAUUAUUUUUACUUAUUAUCUAAAACUGUUUUUUACUUUAUGUCACAUUAUUAAAUUAUUUUUCCAAAUAUAAUUAAUGUAGUUAAUGAAUUAAAUUAAGUUAUCAAGUUAUUUUAAGUUAUUAAAUUGAUUUAUGAAACACACACUAAAUAAAAAACUUAAAUUUAUUUAUUUAUUUUUUUGUUGUCUCUCAUGAAUAAUUAAAAGAAAAGAAAAAGUAAAAUAUCACAUUUCCCAAAAUAAAGAAAUAAACAUACACUCCAAUAUUUUUCUUUUCACUUCAAUAGGCCCUCAAUAUAUCUUAAUCAUAUUGUCCAUUGUCUACUCUCUUCAACCCUUUUGGGAUAAUAUGUGAUGUCGGACAAUUACAUGAGUUGGGUUUUCACCGGGCAAUCAACUAUUUUAUAAUGGCAAUAGACCUCUGUCUUAAUUGAGGACAAAGCCUUGCACUUGGGAUCUUUUCCAAGGGAUCCUUCUAAGAAUCCAAUGAUUUCUAAACCAUUAACUUUUAUUAUAAGGAUAACCCAGUUCAUGACAAUGGGAUAUGGGCUACUUGGAUGUCUAUUUUUUUUCCUAAUUUCCACAUGCAAACUGACAAAUAGAAUGUGAACAAAAUAAGGAUAACCCAGUCCACGACAAUGGGAUAUGGACCACAUGGAUGUCUAUUUUUUCCUAAUUUCCACAUGCAAACUGACAAAUAGAAUGUGAACAAAAUAAGGACAGCAUGGUAAUAAUGAUUGAAGAAUAACAAAUUUAGUAUUCGAUGGAAUAUAUUUUCUUUUUUUUUAAAAAAAUACAAUAAUUUCUAUGUAAAAUAUAAUAAUUUUUUUAUUUAUAAAAAGGUUUAAAUUGAAAAUGUAAUGAUUUUUAAAAAUUAAUUUAAAAAAGUGAAGUGUUAAAAGCUUUUUACUACUUUAAAUUUUGAAAAAAAUCAAGGAUAUAAAAGUUAAUAUUUUUUUAUUAGAGUUUUUAUUUUUUAAAAUAAAAAAUAAAAAAUUAUAUUUAAAGAAAGCUUUGCUUUAUAAAUUAUUAUAAAAAGCCUCAUUUUUUAAAUAAUAAGAUCAUCUGGUCAUUCCAAAGUGUAUAUGGAUUGUACGUUCUUGAUGGUUAUUCUUCUUGGAAGAUAUCAUCCAUACAAACCACUGCCAAUUUUUACAAUGGCUUCGAGUGAUAAAUGACAAAUACAAGAAUGACGAAUAAAACUAUGUUAUAUAUAUAUAUAUUAUUAUCAAAAUUUUGUUUUGUCAUUGCCAGCAUUUAUCUGCUGGUGGUAGAAACUAAGUAUACAAGUGCCUCUUUUCUUUGUCACGGCUUAAAAAUUUUUAAAAAUAUUUAAUUUUUUUUCGAAAACAUUUUUUUAAGUUAAAAACCUUUUCUAGAAUUACUAUUAAAUGACUCUUAAAGUCCAUUUAGUAAUGAUUUAAACAUUUGUAAUUAAAAAAUAAAAAUUUUCAAAUGUUAAAGGUAAUAAAAAUACUUUUUAAAAUUACUACUAAACGUAUUUUUGGAGUCUGUUUAACAGUAAUUUUAAAAAGUUUUUUUAUUUUAAAAAACAUUUUUGAAAAGAAAUUAAGUAUUUGAGAAAAUUUAGGAAACAAUUUUAAAAAUCUAAAAAAUUACUUAUAUUUCUAAUUUUAUAUUUACGGUUUCAAGAGAGCCUUAGGCAUCGUUUGUAGUAACCAAUGACAUAAGCAAAGAUGGUGGUGAUACUACGAAAUUUUUGGAAUACUGAGAAGUUGAAAAGCUAAUAUUGAUAGAGACCAUUUAAGACAUAGUGUACAGGCUUUGAAAUGAUAACACGUGUUCCUAUCGUGAGGCAAUAAAAAAGUGGUGUAUAUUUGCCGGCCAUUCCUCGCCAGUGCAUAGGAUAAGAAGUGAUGGGGCUACUCGUAUAAAUUGGUUCUCUCAACUAUGAAGUAAUUCAGAGGUCGCUCCUUGAAGUCUCUUCCAAAGCGGAAAUGAAGCUUAGCUCAGUUGCAAUCUCCUUUGUUUUUAUUACUCUCUUGAUAUAUGCAUGGAGGUUAUUGAAUUGGGUGUGGUUGAGACCAAAGAAGCUAGAGAGAUGCCUCAGGCAGCAAGGUCUGACUGGGAAUUCCUACAGCUGCUUGUAUGGGGACUUUAAAGAGAUGUCGAGAAUGAUUAACGAAGCAAAUUCCAGACCCAUCAGCUUCUCUGAUGAUAUUGUGCAGCGAGUUCUACCAUUUCACGAUCAUUCCAUCCAGAAAUAUGGUAUGAAAAUGAGCUACUCUUUAUCAUUGCACUAAAAUAUAUUUAUUUGUGGAAUUUUCCCCAAGGGAUUGUUGGUCUUUGGUUUUUUUUUUAUUAGUUAUUUUUCCUAUCCAUUUUUUUUCUUCUCUAAGAAGUUAUAGCCCAAUGGAAUUUCAAUGGUAUUUCAAAUUUCUUUUUUCUACGUCGGAGUGUAAUUUUUAAGGUUUAUUUGAUUAAAAAGAAUAAAAUAAUCCCAAGUUUAGAAAAAUAUCGUUAUGAUAAAAAAAAAAACUCAUUUUCUAAAAAUAAAAAUAAAAAUACUUAUUGUUUUUCUUUUCAACCUAAAAAAUGACCUUUUUUUUUUAAUAAAAUCAUACCCCAAAAAAAUGUGUUUUCAUAUGGUAAAAAAAAAAAAUUACAAAAUAGGAACUCAAAUUUAUAAAAUACAAAUUUCAAACAACUAUCUAAAAAUAAUUACCAUUUUAUGAACUUUUUUAUCUAAUGUGCUACCUUUGAUCAUCCUUAGUACUAUCUUUGAUAGGUAUAGAGGAUUCCUAUUUUAUAAUCAUUUUUGCCUGAGUGUGUAAAAACUCAUUUGUUCGAAUAUACUUAUUGUUUUUCUUAUAAAAAUAACAAUUUUUUUUUUAAAAAAAUGUACAAAUAAAUUAUCAAAAUAUUAAGAGAUGUUUAUAUAAAAAAUGAACUAAUUUUUAAGUUGAAAUAUGAGAGGUGUUAGAUUUACAAAUUUAGGAUUAUUUUAUCCCUUUUAAUUGUGUAAUUCAAUUUUUUUAUAAGCUAUAUGUAGGUAUAUAUAGAUGUCAACUUUGAUAAAUUGUUUAAUCAUUGGGAAAUGUGAAUAGUCUUUAAAUUUUUAUGCUAAUUGUUUCUCAUCUUUUCAAAUUUUGCAUGAACUUCUGACUUUUGAUAAUUAAUCACAUCAGUAUACUUUUCUUUAGAUAUUUGAGCUUCUUCAAUCAGAGAGCCUUGCAUUUGACUCCUUGAGUAUUCAGGUCCUUUAGAUCCUUUCUGACAUUUAUCCAACAAUGGGCAUUAAAAAUGCAGGUAAAAAUAGUUUUACAUGGUUGGGCCCAAAACCAGUGGUAAACAUUAUGGAGCCUGAGCUGAUAAGGGAUGUUUUCUUAAAGCACAAUGCCUUCCAAAAAGUACCGCCACACCCUCUCGGCAAGCUGCUGGCCACUGGUGUUGUUGCAUUGGAAGGUGAACAAUGGACUAAACGUAGAAAGAUCAUAAACCCAGCUUUCCAUCUAGAGAAGUUGAAGGUAGUUUUAAACUUUUGAGGCACUAUUUUUUUGGUUAUGCAGCCAGACCCCAACUUGUUGCCUGGUUUCUCUGCAUAGCCCUCUUCUUAUAGGAAAGAAAAUAAAUUUCUGAAUGUUCCAUAAUUUAGUAGACAUAUUCACAAUUUUACUGCCUCUUGUAAUCUUUUUUCUUAUGCAUGAUAAAUUUUUUCUAAAUUUAUUAUUUGUGUUUGAAUUUGUAUAGCACAUGGUAUCGGCAUUCCAAUUGAGUUGUAGUGAUAUGGUCAAUAAAUGGGAGAAGAAGCUCUCCCUGGACGGCUCAUGUGAAUUGGACGUUUGGCCCUAUCUUGAAAAUUUGGCGGGAGAUGUGAUUUCUAGAACUGCAUUUGGUAGUAGCUAUGAGGAAGGAAGAAGGAUAUUCCAACUUCAGAGAGAGCAAGCACAUCUUGCAAUCCAGGUUACUCGGUCAAUCUAUGUUCCCGGAUGGAGGUAGGCAUAAAAUAUUUCAAGGGAUUAAUCUGAACCUCAGUACUAAUACCCAAAUGCUAUAACUUUCACAGUAUCAUCAACAACAACAGUAAUAAUAAAAAUAAAAAUAAAAAAGAAGAAGAAGGAGGGUUUGAUCCAGCAUGGGACAAAAGCAAGAAUAAAAUUAAUAACUGUUAUAGCAUUUAAGAACUGUAUGAUGUUUCAUUUAUUUUGUUAAUAUGGCUCUCGACUAAUUUUUGUUUUCCUUUAAGAGCUUUCUUUUUGUACAAAUUAAAGAAUAUAGCUGUGUCUUCAAAACAAAAAUCAAGUUCAAGUAUCCCCUUUUCUUUUAUUGGCAGAACAUCUUAGCAAGAUGCAUGGUGAAAUACUACUAUAAAAUAUAUGUAGACUCAAUGAAGUCAUGGAUGAAAAUGCAUUAGUUGUUUCCUGUAUUUCAUUGAUCUUCAUUUACUUGGAUUACUUCCAAGCAGGUUUUUCCCAACAAAGACAAACAGGAGAAUGAGGCAAAUUAGCAAUGAAGUCAAUGCAUUGUUGAAGGGUAUCAUUGAGAAAAGAGAGAAGGCAAUGAAAGUUGGCGAAACUGCUAAUCAUGAUUUAUUAGGUCUACUAAUGGAAUCCAACUACAGAGAUAUGCAAGAAAAUGAUGAGAGGAAGAAUGUUGGAAUGAGCAUCAAAGAUGUCAUUGAGGAGUGUAAGCUAUUCUACCUUGCUGGCCAAGAGACUACCUCGGUUUUACUUCUGUGGACGAUGGUUCUAUUAAGCAAGCAUUCAAACUGGCAAACUCGCGCAAGGGAAGAGGUUUUACGGGUUUUUGGUAAUAAAAAACCAGAUGGUGAUGGCUUAAAUCACCUCAAAAUUGUGAGUAUCAAUCCAAAAUAUAUUCAAUUUAGUAACUCUUCUUGAAAAUAAUAUAUUACUCUUUUCUUUUUUUUUUCUUUUUUUUUCAAUCUUGAGGCAAAAUAUGUUUUGUUUCUGUAUCCUUUUUACUUUAAUUGAAAACUAUAUGCAGAUACUUGGUAUCCCCAAUGGAAUUUUUCUUUCCUUAUCUACGCGCACAAUGCAUCAGCACUGGCCAAUUGACUUUACUGAAGAAGGGGCGGACUAUUCUUUUCUUUGCGUGAAUUUUUUAUUUGCUUGUUAGGUUGUUUUGAGUGUGGUGAAAACUUUAUGCAAAUACUUAGUAUCAAUCAUUUACAAUACUUUAUGAUAAUCUUGAUAUUUCCUCUUGCCAAGCGUGUUUUCUUGAAAUUGGAACUCUGGGCUAUAAUAAAUUUUCCGGGGGUUCUUAGUUUGUAUUCACCAGUUACUGUAUGGCCCUAUAUGUACAUGAAAGUAUGUCAUGCAAAAAUUUAAACAAUCUCUCUCAUUACUAUAUUCGAAAAGUUCUUUCAUGGUUUGAUGUAUGCUUCUUAGUAAUCAUUUAGUGUAUUUCAGUAAUGAAUUUUCAUGAUAAAAAUAUUUUCUAUAUUGCAGGUUACUAUGAUUUUUCAUGAGGUCCUUAGGUUAUAUCCACCAGUGUCCAUGCUUCUUCGAACUGUUUUUGCCGACAGCCAAGUGGGAGGAUUGUAUUUACCAGAUGGAGUGCAGAUUGCUUUGCCAAUCCUCCUACUUCACCACGAUCAUGAAAUUUGGGGAGAGGAUGCAAAGGAAUUCAACCCGGGGAGAUUUUCAGAAGGAGUUUCUAAGGCAGCAAAGACCCAAGUUUCAUUUUUUCCAUUUGGUUAUGGUCCUCGGAUAUGCGUUGGACAAAAUUUUGCAAUGAUGGAAGCAAAAAUGGCUUUGGCAAUGAUCUUACAACGUUUCUCAUUUGAACUUUCCCCAUCCUAUGCUCAUGCACCUAUUAGUCUUAUAACUAUGCAACCCCAGUAUGGUGCACACCUGAUUUUACAUGGACUUUAGCAUCAGAGUUCUUGUUAUCAGUGAGAGUUAGCAAGACCUUUAAACCUAGAUAGUGUUGAAUUUAAAAUGCCCACACUUCCUUUCACUUGAAAUGAGUGCUCUUUAAAGCCAUUAUAUUAAUAAAAUUCUCUUUUGUAUGUUUGUAAGAGAUCAUAUAUAAAAAUGAUCACUUUACAAGGAGAUGCAUUUUUCUCUAUUCUUGUCCCCCCAAAAUGAAAAGAAAAGAAGAACUGCUGACAAUCUAUAUUUGGAGAAUGGACAUACAUUGAAAUUAUUUCUGAUGGGUGACCAUGCAUGUUGUGAUAUCUACAAGGAAACUACCAUUCCAAUAAUAGGAGAAAUAUUCUCAUUUGUUCUUAUCGUUAUAGAGUGGUGUCUCAUUCACUAUAAUUGGGUAGUAGACUCUUACGGAAUUUUAUGGCUAGGUAUCUGUAAAGAAGUUCGUACUAAAUUGGGUAGCAAGAUAAUACAAUUUUGGAGUUACUACCUCUAAGAAGUUGUCUGCGUACACUUGAUUCCAAUCCAUGUAAUGACAAAUUAUAAACCUCAGGGGCCCGGUCCACCCCCUAUUUUUAUUGGAUCUACAAUUUUGCCAUUCUCCAAGAGUUUUAGACAACUUCACAAUGUUCCACAACCUUAACGAACCUUUUGGAUGAGCUUGAUGUGGUUGCAGUAGCUUUACAUGAUUGCUAUAAUCCCAUAUUGGAAGCUUAAGAAAGAGGAACCUCUCCUAGUACCUAUAAAAAGAGGACCUUGUAAUUUAUUGUUGAUAAGAGAUCGUAUAGAGAAGUUUCUUAUUGUUAUUUCACUUGAUUUCUUCAAGUGUAGUAUUCUUAUUUUCUUCUAGUUUCACUUCUGCAGCAAGCCAAACUCACUGGGAUGCUCAGAGUUUUUAGGUGCUCAAACACUACAUGGAUUUUUAGGAGAGAUCUUGGUCUACCAAAAGUGGUGGACUUGUUAGAAAGCACUAGCAAAAUAAAAAUAAAAAUAGAAAGAAAGAAAGAAAAGCGAAGAAAUCAUUGAUAAUAAAAUAUUCACAACUGAUCUUGACAUGUGGAUAAAUGAUUUCAUAAUCAAGAAGUAUUCACAAUUGCAAAACCAUCCACAAGCUUACAUGCAUGCCCUUUUAGCUUUGUGCUAUAUAUUUAGAAUUUUGGGAGAAGCAAAGAAAGAAAAAUGAAGAAUAUUUUUUAACAAUUGAAUUUAAAAUCAUGAUGCACUUUCAUCUAUUUAUAGCUAGGCAUAACAAUAAAUUAUAACAUUUUAUAUAUUUUAACUUUACAAAGUCUACCAAUGACUUUACACCUAUUCUAACAUUACAAUUUAUUUGUGAAUUUAUAAUGUAACUUCACAAUUAAUUUGUAACUUUAGAACUUUUGUUUCUAACUUCAUAAUCGAUUAUAAAUUUACAACUUUUGCAACUUCACAAGUUAUUGGUGUCUAUCUACUACCUUUUGUAACUUUAUAAUUCAUUGUACAUUACAAUAUUUUAAUUUAUAAAGUAAAUGUCUAUGAUUAAUUAACUUAUUUGUAUGUUAUGAACCCUUUAUAUUUCAAAGUUAAUUGUCUCUUAUCAAUAAGUUAAGGUGAGGACAUAUGGUAUGGGACCUUUGUGGGAUCUUUAAUUACAUCCUUAGUAAGUUUGUUAUGUUUGUUCCAAAUAAAUUUAUUAAUUAUAAUUAUAUUUAAAACAUAUUAUAAUUUCACCCCAAGAAUAGGAGAUAUAUAAGUCAACUUCCCACUUAUAUAUAUACAUAUUAAUCCUUCCAUUAAUUAAUAUUCAUAACAAGUUUAUUAGGUUGAACCAAGAUGACUGUCAUUACCCAAAUUACAAGUGCAUCACCUCUUAUAAUUGGAUCUUUAAGAAAAACAAUUUAAAAAUUCCUAAUAAACAAUAUACUAUAUUAUAGAUAUGUACACUUGAUAGAAUACUUAUUCUAAAUUGACCAACUGAUAUUUUAAUAUAUUUUGUAAGUGACACAAUAUUGAAUAUUCUCUCAUAAUAUAGUCUAUUAUUAGACAUCAACAACUAACAACAUCAAAGCUAUAUUUACAUAACUUGAUGACAUCCUUAAGCCAAAGGACUUUAUGCAACACUAAACAAAACAAGUUUUUGUUGGAAUAUCUAGAUUACUCCAUUCCAAGCAUCGUCUCAUGGAGUGCAUACUACUACAAUCCUAAGGAUACUAGAUUUAAUGCAAUGGAAGCAACAAAAACAAAAAUGUUAGAUUUAGGUGCUCCAGAAAACAAUACUUAUGAUUUGAACAGUCCUAAAUCAACUCUAGUUGGUCAAUAGUAUGAUUUAGAUCUUGAAAACAUUGCAAUUUUUUUUCUAAUGGCUCUCUCCUAAACCUUACAUGUGAGAAUGGUGGAAUCCUUUCUAUGGAGAUGAAGGCUAAGGCUCUAUCUUGUUUAAAGGUUGAAUAAUUGAAGUUAUAAGCCUUAAACCCUCAAUAGGAUUUAUAUAGUCUUUGUCUAUGGGCUUAAGUGGCUUGUGCCCAUCUUGGGUUUAGGUCGGUUAAUCUAGCCUAUUGGUUCCUAAUUAAUUAAUUAGUCAUAUUGGGAUACAAUUAUGCAACCUUGUGUAUUUAUCAAAAUACCCUUAUACACACAUAUGAACAAAAAACACCCUAAUAUCCUUCAAAUAAUUAAUGUGCCACCAAGGAAUAUGAACUUGAGUAGGGACUAUAAGGACCUAUAGGAAAAUAAUGGCCUUUUCAUAAUCUAAUUAUGAAGUUAACUCAACACUGUCAUGCUUCCUUGCACCCUUCUAUACACAUAAGGUUCAUUCUUGUUUUGACCAAAAUCAAGGGUCUUAAUUUCAUGUUCUAAACAUUUGUUCCAUGAGCAAGAAGCUUGAAUUAAUCCAAAAAUAGACUUAUGCAAUUUGCAUACUAGAUGCUCUCUGCCCUUUGCUAUGAAAACAUCUGGUUGUAUCAUAUAAAUGCUCUCAUCAAGGUAGUCAUUUAAGAAUAUUGUCUUGACAUCCAUAUGACAUAUCUCAUAAUUGAGAUAAACUGCAAUGUAUAUGAGUACUUCGAUGGAUUUGAGUAUGGCUACCAUAGAAAAAGUUUCCCAUAGUCAAAACUAGGUUUCAAACUAUAAACCUUUAGCUAUAAGCUUAGCCACAAAAGUCUCAAUUGUUAGGAUAAAGCCUCAAAAGCAUGAGAAGAUGUCAUAAAAAAAGUUUCCAUUUCUAUCAUUGAUUGCAUUAAUUUUUACCCGAGCAUUCAAAGCUCGUAUGAUUACUAGUCAAAAAGUGUUAUUUCAUAGCUUGUAAUUAACUCUUUUAAACACUUUUGAGUAGUAGUUAUCACCUUUUAACCCAAUUAACAUAUUAAGGACCCUUGCAAUCAAUUCUAAUCAAAUUGUGUUAAGUUUUGGUGUUUUGAUAGCCUUUUGAUCACCAAAGCAAUCCAAGAUUGAGGAGAGUUCUUUAGGAAUCCAUGGCAAAAGAUGUCCGGACAGGGUGUCCGGACACACCAUUAGAGAGCGGCAGAACAUGGGCUGUAGCAAGGCUUGCUCACUUUAGUCAAUGUUUUCCAUCCGGACAACAUAUCCGGAUAGGAUAUGCUGUCAUCCGGGAGAGGGGUCCCUAUACCUUGCACACGCAGACGGUCCCCCUUGCGCAGCAUAGCUCAGUCCACCCGGGGAGGAAUUCCGUCCGUCGACAUUUCACAUUCGGAAUUCCAUGCGCCAACAUUUUACAUCCGGAUAUCUCACAGCCGGAUGGGAGAGGAGGACGUUUCAACUUCUCCGGUCAGACAUAUCCAGAUCCUCUGAUAGCGUUCACCCGGAGAGCAUCUGCGGUCGACAUUUCAGAUUACCCGGAUUUUGCACAAUGUUGCAGUGUUCUCCUGAAGCUUCCCGAUAUUUGCCACCGACUAAGAUUUUUUCUCUUAAGAUAUUUUGUGUAAAUUUCUAUUUUCUCCUUGUAAUCAGUCAAAGAUAUUAUUGGGAUAUUUCUUAGAAAAUAACUUCUCUAUAUAUAUCUUUGAACCAUUGUAAAGAGGAGAGAUAUUAUAUAUAUAUAUAUGAAACCGAUGAACAGAGCACUUGCUCUGUUUUUGUUCUUCAUAUUUUUGUUUUCUUGUUAGUUUUCUUUCUAGCCAAUCAAACUCUGAGGAUUUUUCCUUAGAGGAUGAGAGGCUAGGCUCUUUGUCUCUUGGAGUGAAGAAAGCCGGGUAAGUUUCCUCAUGCAUAAAUUGGAAGUUUUGUUGUUUUAGUUUUUAAUGAAGAGAAAGUGUGAUCCGUUAAUGGUUUUUAUCUUUUUAGUUAACUUAAAACGCCUUUAACUCACCUAGGCCAACACUUGAUAAGGCAAGUGAUCUCCAUCCAUUGAGAUGCACUUGUUUAUCUCUUGCGAGCCUUUGGGAGGUGGUUUAGAGGUAGGAUUUUCUAGAAUUGCCAACACUUGGUAAGCUUUUGGACUCUAAGGAGACAUCCAUUAGUUAUCUCUUGCGAGCUUGAGAAGGGAAGUCCAAAGUUAAAGAUCACCUUGAAUGGCAAAUGCUAGGUGAGAGGCAUGAGCCAUUGAAAGUUGCAUCAGUGAGAGGGAUUUAGUGUUUGAACCCAUUAAAGGGAAGCAUCUGUACCACACCGGUUAGAGAAUUAACUAUAUGUUAAUUCUCUAAUGCGAGGAAAAGAAACAAGUGACCGGAACUCUCCUUUUUGUAUGAGGAACCUGAGCCUAGUGAUCUAAACUCCAAGAAACACUUUUCUUUGUAGUUAAAAUUAGUUACUAUUUUUUGUUAGCUUAAAACCAAACCUUUUUCAUUCAAACAUCUUUAUGUUUUCUUUUAAAGCUGACUUUGAAAGGAAAAUGCACCAAUUCAUCUUUGAAAUAAUAUCAAUUGUGGAGUGAAAACCCAUCCCAGUGAACGACCCUAGAGCCACUAUGCUAUGCUAGCUAAGGCUAUCCUAGUAUGAUUCAUUCUCAAUUGGUGUCUCAGCUGAUUCAUGUCCAACUAGUGCUCCUUGACUGAGGAAGUGAUCAAUAAAAUUUAUAACCUAUAUCACCAUGCAUUAGGAUAGCUUUAGCUAAUAUAGCAUAGUGACUCUAGGAUCGUUCACUGGGAAGGGUUUUCAACUCACAACUGAUACCAAUUCAAAGCUGAGUUGGUGCUUUUUCAUUUCAAGGUUAGCUUUAAAAGAAAACAUAAAGAUGUUUGAGUGAAAAGGGUUUGGUCUUAAACUAACCAAAAAGAAAGUAAUGGAAAUUACUUAUGAAGAAAAACAUUCCUUGGAGGUUUAGGUUCACAGGGGAGGUUCCUUAUGCAAAAACAAAGCCCCGGUCAUUUGGUUCAUUUCCUCGCAUUAGAGAAUUAACAUAUAGUCAAUUCUCUAACCGGUGCUAUACAGAUAUAUCCUUUAAAUGGAUUUUAGCUCUAAUUCCCUCUCAUUGAUGCAACUUGCAAUGGCUCGUGCCUCUCACCUAGCAUUUGCCAUUCAAGGUGAUCAUUAACUUUGGACUUCCCUUCUUAAGCUCGCAAGAGAGAACUAAUGGAUGUCUCCUUGGAGUCCAAAAGCUUACCAAGUGUUGGCAAUUCUAGAAAAUCCUACCUUCAAGUCACUUCCCAAAAGCUCGCAAGAGAUAAACAAGUGCAUCUCCAUGAACGGAGAUCACUUGCUUUACCAAGUGUUGGCUCAAGUGAAUUGAAAGUGUUUUAAGCUAACUAAAAACAUAGAAAUCAUUAAAGGAUCACACUUUCUCUUCAUUAAUGAUUGAAACCACAAAGCUACUAAUUCUUGCACUUGGAACCUUUCCCGGCAACCUUAACUCCAAGGAACUAAAAGUCUAGCCACUCAUUCUCUAAGGAAACUUCCUCAGAGCUUGUUUGGCUAGUAAGAAAACUAACGAGAAAACAAUUAUAUGAAGGAAAAACAGAGCAAGUGCUCUGUGAAAUAUAUUUCUUUCUUCCGUCGAUUACAUAAUAGAUUGUAAAGAAAAUUACAAACUAUAUAUCAGGUUAUUCACCCUUUGUUCUUACUUAAAGACUAAGGAAUCCUAUGAUAGGUGGGUUACAAGGAGACUUUGGGGAUUUAGAAAACAAAUAUCUAAAGCAAAAUAUCUCAAGAUGUCGGUCGGAAAUAUCAAGAAGCUUCAAGAGAACACCGCGGCACUGUAUACUGAGAGAAAAACUCUCUUAGUAAGCGCUAUCAGAGGAUCCGGAUAAGUCUGACCGGAGAAGUUGAAACGUCCUCCUUUCUCAUCCGGCUGUGAGAUAUCCGGAUGUAAAAUGUCGGCGCACGGAAUUCCGGAUGUGAAAUGUCNNNNNNNNNNNNNNNNNNNNNNNNNNNNNNNNNNNNNNNNNNNNNNNNNNNNNNNNNNNNNNNNNNNNNNNNNNNNNNNNNNNNNNNNNNNNNNNNNNNNAAAGCUGAGUUGGUGCUUUUUCAUUUCAAGGUUAGCUUUAAAAGAAAACAUAAAGAUGUUUGAGUGAAAAGGGUUUGGUCUUAAACUAACCAAAAAGAAAGUAAUGGAAAUUACUUAUGAAGAAAAACAUUCCUUGGAGGUUUAGGUUCACAGGGGAGGUUCCUUAUGCAAAAACAAAGCCCCGGUCAUUUGGUUCAUUUCCUCGCAUUAGAGAAUUAACAUAUAGUCAAUUCUCUAACCGGUGCUAUACAGAUAUAUCCUUUAAAUGGAUUUUAGCUCUAAUUCCCUCUCAUUGAUGCAACUUGCAAUGGCUCGUGCCUCUCACCUAGCAUUUGCCAUUCAAGGUGAUCUUUAACUUUGGACUUCCCUUCUUAAGCUCGCAAGAGAUAACUAAUGGAUGUCUCCUUGGAGUCCAAAAGCUUACCAAGUGUUGGCAAUUCUAGAAAAUCCUACCUUCAAGUCACUUCCCAAAAGCUCGCAAGAGAUAAACAAGUGCAUCUCCAUGAACGGAGAUCACUUGCUUUACCAAGUGUUGGCUCAAGUGAAUUGAAAGUGUUUUAAGCUAACUAAAAACAUAGAAAUCAUUAAAGGAUCACACUUUCUCUUCAUUAAUGAUUGAAACCACAAAGCUACUAAUUCUUGCACUUGGAACCUUUCCCGGCAACCUUAACUCCAAGGAACUAAAAGUCUAGCCACUCAUUCUCUAAGGAAACUUCCUCAGAGCUUGUUUGGCUAGUAAGAAAACUAACGAGAAAACAAUUAUAUGAAGGAAAAACAGAGCAAGUGCUCUGUGAAAUAUAUUUCUUUCUUCCGUCGAUUACAUAAUAGAUUGUAAAGAAAAUUACAAACUAUAUAUCAGGUUAUUCACCCUUUGUUCUUACUUAAAGACUAAGGAAUCCUAUGAUAGGUGGGUUACAAGGAGACUUUGGGGAUUUAGAAAACAAAUAUCUAAAGCAAAAUAUCUCAAGAUGUCGGUCGGAAAUAUCAAGAAGCUUCAAGAGAACACCGCGGCACUGUAUACUGAGAGAAAAACUCUCUUAGUAAGCGCUAUCAGAGGAUCCGGAUAAGUCUGACCGGAGAAGUUGAAACGUCCUCCUUUCUCAUCCGGCUGUGAGAUAUCCGGAUGUAAAAUGUCGGCGCACGGAAUUCCGGAUGUGAAAUGUCGGAGCACGGAUUUCCAGAUGUGAAAUGUCGGCGCACGAAAUUCCUCCCGUGUUGGACUGAGCUAUGUUGCGCAAGGGGGACCGUCUGCGUGUGCAAGGUGUAGGGACUCCUUUCCCGGAUGACACAGAGUGCGCAAGGCUAUCCGGAUCAACUCCAUCUGGAUUCCCCAAGAAGACAUGUGGUGCGCUCCCCUAUCCGGACUCCCUCAGGGAGAAGCACACGACACUCAUGAAUAUCACACCCAGACGAUAGCAUAUCCUAUCCGGAUAUGUUGUCCGGAUGGAAAACAUUGACUAAAGUGAGCAUGCCUUGCUACAGCCCAUGUUCCGCCGCCCUCCGAUGGUGUGUCCGAACGCCCUAUCUGGACAUCUUUGCCAUGGAUUCCAAAGAACUCUCCUCAAUCUCUGAUUGCUUUGGUGAUCAAAAAGCUAUCAAAACACCAAAACUUAACACAAUUUGAUUAGAAUUGAUUGCAAGGGUCCUUAAUAUGUUAAUUGGGUUAAAAGGUGAUAACUACUACUCAAAAGUGUUUAAAAGAGUUUAUUUCAAGCUAUCAAAUAGCACUUUUUGAGUAGUAAUCAUAGUACAUGGUGUAAUAGGUUAUAAAUUUUGUUGAUUGCUCCCAUCUGAGGACUGAAAUCAAGACACCAGUUGGACACGAAUCAAAUGGCACCACUGUCAGGGACCAUUGAGAGGACACGAAUCAGCUGAGACACUAAUUGGGAAUGAAUCAAAUGGCGCCAUUGCCGGGGAUGGUGCCACUUUACAGUGAUAUCACCUUUCCAUAGUACUUGUGAUCUUCAUCACAAGUGUGGUGACUUUUCUUUUCUUUUUACUAACUCUUUUUAUUUGUUUUUGUUUUUUUUCUUUGUUCAUAUUUUAGUAUAUCUUUUAUUUAGUUUUUGGUUAAUAUUAAUAAUUUUCUUUUUUCUUUAGAUUUUUUUUUCUUUUAUUUUCUUUUGUUUUCUCUAUUUUUAAUUCACAAAUUGCUAGUUGUGCAUGUCAUAUUGAAUAUGAGAUAGCAGAGGAAGCCAUGAACUUCAUGAGUUAUGUGGCUGAAGUUUCAAGAGGAUGGGAUGAACCAAAUGCUCGAGAUAUGGGGAGAAUGACGUCUCAACCUAAUGCUAAGGGUGAGAUGUAUAUUUUGAAUGACGACAUACACAUGAAAGCAAAGAUUGCAGCUAUGGCAAGGAGAUUGGAAGAGCUAGAAAUGAAGAAGAUGCAAAAAGUGCAAGCCAUCUCUCAGACACCAUUGCAAGCUAUGCCUUGUGCCAUUUGUCUAUCUUAUGAGAACUUGGUGGAAGAGUGUCCUACCAUUCCAACGGUGAGAGAAAUGUUUGGUGAUUGCAACACCUAUAAUUCCAAUUGGAGGAAUCAUCCAAAUUUUUCAUGGAAGCCAAGAGCACCUCAGUACCAACAGCCGACUCAACCAUCUCAACCAUCCCAACAAGCUUCAAGUCUUGAACAAGAAAUAGUGAAUCUCAGCAAGGUUGUGGGAGAUUUUAUUAAAGAACAAAAAUCCAUCAACUCUCAACUCAGUCAAAGAAUUGACAGUGUAGAGAAUAGGAUGGAUGGGAUUCAAAAUGAUUUAUCUCAGAAGAUAGAUAAUCUCCAAUAUUCAAUCUCAAGGUUUGCCAACCUCAACAAAGUGCAAGAAAAAGGAAACUCUCCUUCUCAACCUCAUCAAAAUUCAAAGGGUAUCCAUGAAAUAGAGGCUAAGGAGAGAGAUAAAAAGGUUGAUCUGCCCACAUCCAAGCUAGAGCAUGAGGUAGAGAGUGAAACAGAGAAAGAAAAGAGGGAGGAAAUCAAAGGAAAGAGAGAGGGGAAAAGCAUAGAGAAAGAUGACUAUAUAGAUGAAGAACCACAGAGGAUAGUCAUCAAGGAAGAAAUAAAGAAACACAUGCCUCCACCUUUCCCCCAAGCUUUGUAUGGGAAAAACAUACAAACCAAGUCUCAAGUGAGAGACACAAACUUCAUAUGGGAUCCGGGCAAGCUAAAUCAGGAUCAAAUUUUUUGAUGGACUUAGUCUUUCUAAAGACUAGCUAGUCCAUACCUUUUUGUUUUACUUAUUACUUGUUUUAAUUUUGAUUUCAAUGCUUUAAUUCUAAUUUGUUUUGAUGUAAUAUAGGUUUUUGGAUGAUCAAAAUCAGAACGGAAAUGUUGCAUUUUGCUACUGUUGGACACAUUUUUGAAGGCCUUCAUGGAGCUCAAAUUAUGCAUACUAUAUCUCUUUUUUAAUCUUGGGAAGUCAGGAGUCCAUAGCUUCAAACGGUGCUCGAUUUGGAGUUGAAACGAAGAAGUUAUGGCCGUUUGAAGACGAUCGCGCAAAGCACCAACGGGAAUUUCGCAGCUGCAAAAUGGGCUACAAAAUUCCCAUUUUGUUGCAGGAAAGCCCUCUCACUGAGAUCACACACACAAAGCCUCUUAAUCCAUUUCUUACCUCCUUAAAACCAUCAGAGCCCAUAGCUCCAGUUGAGGAGACUACCAAAGCAGAGGCCAAAGUCCUGAUCCAACCCACUCAAGAGGCCACCACAGAUGCAUCAGCUCCACAAGACCUUACCAUUACUUGAUCAUCUCUUUACUUUUUGUCUUUACAUAUUAUAUUAAUAUAAAUAAUUCCAUAUUUUGAUGUCUUAUAUUCUGGGAUUGGAUGUAUUACUGAUGAUACAUCAUAUAUAGACAUCAUUUUUUGUUUAAACUUGGCAUUUGUCUAUUUCCUCUACUCACUAACUCUUUUGUUUUUUUUGAAACAUGUGGUUUCUCCUAUACGACUCAGACUCCAUGUCACUAAGGAGGUACCACUUCCUCCCUAUUUUUCAAUCGCUUUUGUCACAUUGAGGACAAUGUUCAACUUAGUUGGGGGGAGAGUUGAGGAAGGAAGUUUUUGUUAUUAAUGCUAAGUUAUUUUGGUAAUUUAGUUGCUUUUUGCUUAAUUUUAAAAUUUUUUAAGUUUUUAUUCUACUCUCCAUGGUUAUUAAGGAAAAAUUUUCAAAAUGAAAAGAGAGAAAUUGAAUUUUUGUCUUUUUCACUUGACUUAGAUUUUGUAUUAUGCUUACUAAAGUUGAUAAAUUGUUGAAACUUCUAUUGAAUUCAACCUUAGUUCUUCCACUUUAAACUAUUCACACAAUGUGCACAAUAGGUUCCGAUUAUAAGAUGAAAAACUAUUUCCCUCUUGACUUAGGAAAAUUUUAGACUUGGUACCUUUGACCUCAUUUUAAUAGUGUUGGGACACCUUAUAAAAGGCCAAUGAGCCUGUGAAAAAAAAAAAAGAAUAGAGAAAGAAAGAAAAAAAUGCUUGCUUGCCUUGAAACCCGAGCAAGGUCCGAGGGGUAUAUGGUGAAAAUCUUUAAAACCUGGUGCCCUAAGCCUUCAUUGGUUGGGAGUCACCGACCUCAAUGCUCGUUACAAGGGUGGAUAGGUGGAGUUUAACAUACUGUAGGUGCUUAGGUAUUAAAAUUCAUUCUCAAAAGUCCGGGUUAAAAUCCGAGGAGUUAGUGGUUGAAAGAUCCUUAAAACUUGAUGCCCUAAACCUUAAUUGGUUGGGAGUCAUCGAUGGACCCCCGUUACAUGGACAAUUUAGAAAAGAAUACCUUUAGCCUUGUACUCCUACAAGAAAAAAAUUGUGAAAUGAGAGGUGCGUUCUUAACCUAUUGGAGGUUGAUCAGUUUGCUAAGCUUUGAAAAAGAACUAGGUUUGGGGGAGAGAUUAGUUCAACAUACUUGUAAACUCCCAUUUGGGGCUCAUUCCUUUGCAUCUCUACAGGUUAUAAUUUUUUGCAAGUGGAGGGCUCUCAAGGAGCCACGUGCCCAUUCAUGGUUGGUUGCUGUGGAAUCAGCUUAGUGGAGUUGAUGGACGAAUGGGAAAGCAACACGUAUGAAAGGAUAUGCUGGGGAUUUUGCAAGCCGUUAGAGGGAGCAGGCCAGCGGUAGGAGAGGGGAGGCGUUUCUGUUGAGGGGCAGCAGGCCAGCUGCAGGUGGUGCGUUUUUCUGGAGGUGGAGUGCUUUUCAGGUGGGGCUUUUCCAUUAGAGGGAGGCUGCAGAGAUCUUUGAGAGGGAGCUUUUGGUUUGGUUGUUUCGGGGAAGAAAGCUGGUGGGAGAGAGGGGAGGCCUCCAUUGACGAUUGCGAGAGAUAUUUUUGGGGCCUCAGGGAAAUCUUGACAGGAGGGAGCUUUUUUUUAUUUGGUGGUUUUUGAGCUUAGGCUGCCGGAGAGAUAUUAGAGGGAGAGUGUUUUCCUUCUGCAGAAGGAGGAGUUUUUUUUUUAGAGAGGAGAACGAGAGAGAGAGAACAGGGAGGUUUAAGGUUGGAGCAGAGAGGUGAGUUUUGGAGAGCUUAGAGGAGAGUAGAGAGAAACCCAGAGCAAAAAGGAAAUGACAUUUUGGUGGUUGUUGUAGUACAAGGAUGUUUUUGAGGGUGUUCAUUGGGCUUGAGGGGCAAGUUUGAGGGGAAGAGAUGAAAGAAGAUGCUGGAGGCAAGUCUUGCUGAGGGUUAUUUUUGUGAGAGGAAAAAGUUUUGAGGUUAAGGAAGGAGCCAUAGUCUGGAGCAGAGAUCUUGAGGAAAGUAAAUGAGCAGAGGAAGGAUAUCUUCAGCUGUUUAGAGAGAGUUCAUGAAAGCUGUUUGAAGAAAGACACAUAGGAAUAGCCUUGGAAGAGGGUGAUACAGGUAUUGUUCUUGUAAUAUGAGGAUUCUUUUGUGUUCAUGGCAUUUUAUUAUGUUUACUGGUUAUCAUGAGAUUCUAUCUUGACAUAUGAAUGCAAGCAGGUGAAACUCCUACCUAUGUUCUCUCAAUAUUUGUGUUCGCUCACCCUCAUCCUGCGUUUGGUUUCUAACUUGUCAUCUGGACUCUGUUUUAUGAGUUGUCGGUCAUUUUGAUUUAAUUUCUCUUUGCAAACUAUUUGAAACCUAUUUUUUUUCUUUAUCCACCUCUGCGUCGUGAGCUCGUUAAUUGAAAUAUGAAACGCAGCUUUCAUGAGCCCCUUUUUGUUCCUGCUCUGUGCUCUGUUUUUGCCACCCUCCUCUGUUCUUGGUAUUUGAUCAUGGGAGGUUGCCCCUUAUGUGUGAAGAAGAGAGUAUUGGCUUGAUAGGUCUGGAUUCUCAAGUCGUCCAUAGUGGUAGAGGACGUAUUCUGGGGAUCAGAUCCAUGACUUUGUUGCGUUUUUGUUGAUUGGAGGAGUGACAAUUUCCCAAGGGCAUGUAACGCAUGUGCUGGUGACUAUGGCAGAUGACAAUGAUGACAUUAACGGACUAUGACCACUAUUUUGGAGCCAUGGCUUGACACAUGGCAUCGCGUAGUGGAUUGGUUGAUACUAUUGAGUGGCCCAUUAAUAUCGAUUAUCCUGAUCAAUAACAAAGGGAAACUGAGCAUAUCAACCAGCUUAUCUCUUCUCUGUCUGAUGAGAUACCUCAUAUACAGACCUUCAAAGGGAAAUGGGCAGUUAUCAGAGGCAAGCUGAGUGAUCUCAGGACCCAAGUGGCUGAUUUUGGUGACUUUCCUGGGUUCAAGUCCAAUCCUCUUUCUAUGGAACUCAUGCAGUCCAUUUCGCAGACCCUACAAGACGCCGUUUUGGUGGCUUCGAGGUGUAGAGAGUCUGAGUUGUCUCAGGGGAAGCUCAAGACCCAAAGCGAUAUAGACUCGAUUUCCGCGAAGCUGGACCGUUUGAUCAAAGAUGGUGAGAUCUUGAUAGGGAGUGGAGUGCUUCAAGAUGGGGUAUUAGUGGGUUCGAAGAAAGAAGUAGUGCGUCACUUACAUGAAGACAUGCCUCAAAUUGUUGACAUCUAGCUCAUUGGGGAGACUAUCCGAGUUUUUGAGACUUACCUAGCUGAGUAUUGAUGUUGAAACGGAGAUGCGGUUUAGUAGGAGCGGCAGUCAUGAUUAGCAAGAAGGUGUGGUAUUGUCAUGCAAGUUCCCUGGGUUUGAGUUUAUGCUUUCUGAAAGGUGGUUGUUUAAUUAUGAUACUGUUCCACCAUGGACUCUUAGAUCUGGUGCAGUGAUAUCUGCUGCUUUUCUUUGGUUGAGCUUUUAGCUCAAUUAUUCAAGGAGUGAGAUGGGAUUGGACUUUAAAUUCUGAUUUGACCUUCUAUCCAUCCCAAUCAUGCAUGCAUAUAGGGCCAUCCUCCAUAAUACCCGCAUUCCCAUUCUUCAAAUAUCCAUUAUUCCACCCUUCCCACUACCUAUUCCACCCAUGACGCCCAUUUCCUCCAUUCAUUACACCCAUCUGCUAUAACCCAUUCCACAUAGCCAUAUCCUUUAUGCCCACCUUCUCACUACCCGUAUAUAUGCUUCAUAGCCUUCAUCCCUAUUCCCAUGCAAAUGCCUCACUAACUCUCUAAUGCCCAUCUCACUCAUUCUUUUCAUCACCACCCCACCUUCAUUAUUUCAUACCCAUUUCUAUUAUCACCAUUCUCUCUCUACACCACCAUGCACCAUGUCAUUCCUCAUCUGCUCAUCAUAUCCAUGUACCAUAGCUAACCCUACAACCAUAUUCACGUCAAAUUUUCUUCCAUGCAAACCCAUUUUCUAUAAAUCCCAUGCGUGUUGCUACCCUUACUCACCUACAUCAAUCUCUCCCCCUCAUUGUCAACACUGGUCAUCUGGAGUCUGUUGGUCCAUGUUCUUAGGCAGCCUUUCAUCACCGGAGUGUCACGGGUCUGGAAGUUGUUUCCCUUAUCACUCACAUUUGGAAAGGUAUAUGUAUUGGGCUACUUCCAUCUUUGUUGCAUUGGGCCUGUGUUGCUUCUUCUAUAUUUUGGGCGCAUGGCAACGAUGUGGUUUCGGGAAGGGAGACAGCAUGGACAUUGAAGUCACCAAACAAGCGGACUGCCGUUUCUCUCCAAUUUGAAUUUUGAGACUCGUCAUGAAGAUGAAGCAGGAGAAUGAUUGCUGUCGUACAGGGUGAAGUAAGCUCCUAAAAUGAAUCCAGUGUUUUAGGAUAGAUAUUGUUGUUGACGGGGUGGCAAUUAGAUGUAGUUGCGGAACUAGCUGCUCCCAAAGAAGAUAUGAAUCUGACUUGUUUGUUGAAUCAGCAGCUUGUGUAGCAACAGAACAACCCCUUGCUUGCUCUAUUAGGUCCAACUGGAAACAAAUUGAAGAGUAAGGGUGCUACUUUAAUCCUCAAAGCAUUGGAAGGAUACCAAGCACAGUUCGGCAAGAUCAGUUGCAAGCAAUCAUGGAUUUGACCUACUAAACAUCAAUGGUGAUUCCGCCAAAGUGUCAUUGUGUGAAAUAUAGGGGGAUGACUUGAGUCAAUACCUGGGCAACCUAUUGUUAAUCCACCCUCACCCCAUGCAAGUCUGGGCUCGUCUUUUAAUCCUGAAUAUAUUUGGGUCAAUGGACGCCUCCAGGGUAUUUUGAUGUACCCAUUAAUGCGAGCUGAUCAUCCACUCAAAGUCUCGAGAUGGCGGGUCAAUUUCUGGAAAGGGUAAUUGAAGAGGAAACUUGUGCAUAUAUAGACAGAAUGGGACUCUGUUGCAAGGAAAUUUAAUGAGGACGUGAACGUUAAGUUCCUAGGCUUCAAAGGAUUUGGAAACUUAAGUUGUGCAGAGAUGACACCCCCUAUUUGCCAGCAUUUUGAGACCAGAGGCACAAAAUCAAGGCGGAAUUGGAAAGUCUUUUAUUAGUGCCCAAGUCAAGGACAGUUGACAGUUAUUUGAUAUUCCGAGAAGCUUGGGAUAGGAUUCUUCCCUCAUGAUCUUGAAUGGGUACAUGACAAUAGUACCAGUCUUCAACCCCAGGGUAUUCUUACCCUGGACCCACUCUUUAAGCUUCUUAGUUGCAUGGCCACCUUUGGCAUGCAAUUUUGGACCACUUGUCCUUGCUCCAUUUUUUCUCUUUUUGAUUUUAAAAAUAAUCUUCCUGGAAUCAAAUACCAUCUUGUAAAUAUUUUUUUCAAAUUCUGAUUUUCAAAUGAUCCAAAAUUUCCCAUUUUCCAUCCUUAGAAUUUUUGGAUACCGAAACCUCAUUUUCAAUAAAAAUUCGGUUGCCAUUUUUUCUUCCGGCAAGCCACUUUUGCAUUUUCUUUAUUUUUAAAAUAAGUAAGAAUUAAAUUCCGUAAUUCCAAGUGAUGGAAGUUAUGGAAUUGAUUCAUGCAAAAUAGAUCGGGCUUUGGUGGGGGCCCAACAUCAAAUAAUUUUUCUUUAAAAUAAAAAUGAAUUUUGAGUGAAGUGUUAUGCGUGCCUUUGAUGAUUUUGUGCUUGAUUUUGUGACAUGUGAGUUAUGUUUAUACUCUUUGUUUUGCACUAACCCUUUCUCUUGAUAGCGCAUAGUGGCUCGCUGCACAAGUACACACUCAUUCCCACUCUGAUUAGUUUAUAUGCAUUUUCUGACUCUCGUAUGUGCAUGUUUCGCUCUGAGUAUUCAUUGAUUUCCUCAUCAUCGCCAUGUUAGCUUCAUUCUAUUAGUAGAGACCCGACUUUAGGGACUUAGAGGGGUGCUACGGUCUUUACCGUACCUUCCCGAUAAGUAACCUGACCCCCGAACCCGAUCCGGUUUUCACAGACCCCCUUUUCCAAAAUAAGGAGUCGCACUUAGGGUUUUUCUUUCUUAUUUUGUUUACCCUUUAAAAAUAAAACAAAAAUAAGUGGCGACUCCAAGUCAUUUUUGAAUAAAUAAAAUCAAUUUUUUCAAAUAAAAAUCGAGCUCGCCAUUCGAGUGGGAAACGCAUUCGAGCGAUCUAAAUGCGGGGUCCACAAUACUAUAUUUGGAAACUAAUAAAUAACACUUAGAUUUUUGUGGAAGAGUAAGGUUUGACCCUUUGGGAGUGGAAACUCUUUUAAAGCUUAAAUUUGCAUAAUGCCUUCUCUUUAAGAAUUGUGAUUAGACAAGUUAUUUGAUAACUCUUGUUGAAGUUUGAGUUUUAUUUCUUUAAUGUUCCAUGUGAGAGUUAGAUCAUCAUGGCACUUGAAAAUUAUUUUUUGAUCAACAUGAUGUUGUAAAUUAUAGUACUGUUUAUUUUUAUUUUUCUAUCCUUCAUUGCUAAGGGAAUAGCAAUAUGUCGGUUGGGGGGAGUGACUACUACUCAAAAAGUGCUAUUUCAUAGCUUGUAAUUAACUUUUUUAAAUACUUUUGAGUAGUAGUUAUCACCUUUUAACCCAAUUAACAUAUUAAGGACCCUUGCAAUCAAUUCUAAUCAAAUUGUGUUAAGUUUUGGUGUUUUGAUAGCCUUUUGAUCACCAAAGCAAUCCGAGAUUGAGGAGAGUUUUUUAGGAAUCCAUGGCAAAAGAUGUCCGGACAGGGCGUCCGGACACACCAUUGGAGAGCGGCGGAACGUGGGCUGUAGCAAGGCUUGCUCACUUUAGUCAAUGUUUUCCAUCCGGACAACAUAUCCGGAUAGGAUAUGCUAUCAUCCGGGAGAGGGGUCCUUACACCUUGCACACGCAGACGGUCCCCCUUGCGUAGCAUAGCUCAGUCCAUCCGGGGAGGAAUUCCGUGCGCCGACAUUUUACAUCCGGAUAUCUCACAGCCGGAUAGGAGAGGAGGACGUUUCAACUUCUCCGGUCAGACAUAUCUAGAUCCUGUGAUAGCGUUCACCCAGAGAGCAUCCACGACCGACAUUUCAGAUUACCCGGAUUUUGCAUAGUGCCGCGGUGUUCUCUUGAAGCUUCCCAAUAUUUGCCACCAACUAAGUUAGAUUUUUUCUCUUAAGAUAUUUUGUGUAAAUUUCUAUUUUCUCCUUGUAAUCAGUCAAAGAUAUUAUUGGGAUAUUUCUUAGAAAAUAUCUUCUCUAUAUAUAUCUUUGAACCAUUGUAAAGAGGAGAGAUAUAUUAUAUAUAUAUGAAACCAACGAGCAGAGCACUUGCUCUAUUUUUGUUCUUCAUAUUUUUGUUUUCUCGUUAGUUUUCUUUCUAGCCAAUCAAACUCUGAGGAUUUUUCCUUAGAGGAUGAGAGGCUAGGCUCUUUGUCUCUUGGAGUGAAGAAAGCCGGGUAAGUUUCUUCAUGCAUAAAAUGAAAGUUUUGUUGUUUUAGUUUUUAAUGAAGAGAAAGUGUGACCCGUUAAUGGUUUUUAUCUUUUUAGUUAACUUAAAACGCCUUUAACUCACCUAGGCCAACACUUGAUAAGGCAAGUGAUCUCCAUCCAUUGAGAUGCACUUGUUUAUCUCUCGCGAGCCUUGGGGAGGUGGUUUAGAGGUAGGAUUUUCUAGAAUUGCCAACACUUGGUAAGCUUUUGGACUCUAAGGAGACAUCCAUUAGUUAUCUCUUGCGAGCUUGAGAAGGGAAGUCCAAAGUUAAAGAUCACCUUGAAUGGCAAAUGUUAGGUGAGAGACACGAGCCAUUGCAAGUUGCAUCAGUGAGAGGGAUUUAAUGUUUGAACCCAUUAAAGGGAAGCAUCUGUACCACACCGGUUAGAGAAUUAACUAUAUGUUAAUUCUCUAAUGCGAGGAAAAGAAACAAGUGACCAGAACUCUCCUUUUUGUAUGAGGAACCUGAGCCUAGUGAUCUAAAUUCUAAGAAACACUUUUGUUUGUAGUUAAAAUUAGUUACUAUUUUUGGUUAGCUUAAAACCAAACCUUUUUCAUUCAAACAUCUUUAUGUUUUCUUUUAAAGCUAACUUUGAAAUGAAAAGGCACCAAUUCAUCUUUGAAAUAAUAUCAAUUGUGGAGUGAAAACCCAUCCCAGUGAACGACCCUAGAGCCACUACGCUAUGCUAGCUAAGUGUCACAAGAUGCUUCAAAUGACCCUCCCCAUGGCUUAUAUAGGAGGUGAGAAGCUUCUAGAGACCCUUGGAGACAUCCACACGUAGCCACUAGUGGGAAGAGUGUGGAAGGUUCUAGAAAUGCCUAGAGAAGUCCACACAACUCUACACUAUGGUAGAAGGCAUGAGAAGGGUCCAAAGCUUUCUAGAGAAAUCUAGAAGUCUCUUGAAUAUUCUAGAAUAGUGUAGGACAUUCUAGAAGUCUCUUGAAUAUUCUAGAAUAGUGUAGGACAUUCUAGAAUAUUCAUGAAUUGUAAGGAACCCUCCAAGGUUCUAGAGAGUUCCAUUGGUGCCUAUAAAUAGGUGAGGGCCUCAUUUGGCCAAGGCACCAAGCAAGUGAGCAUCCAAGCACUUGUAAAGGCUUUCUUGAGAUAAUAAAGCUUCCAUUCUUUAAGGAGUUGCCUACUAAGCUCUUAAGCUUUCGAGUCGCUAGUGUCUUAGCCGAGCAAGCUAAGCAUUGGGGAUCAAGGCUGACUUAGCAAGAUCAAGCGUCUUGACUUGCCUAAGUGCCGCACGAGCUUAGUGAACGACUAAGUCCGUGACAAGUGGUAUCAGAGCACGGUUACAAGGUGGGCAUAGCAAAGGAAGCAUGUCGGGUUCCAACGUGGAGGAGACUAGCGAGCAAACCCGUUGGAGGGAGACCGAGCCUACUGCACGGGGCAGGGGCAGAGGUAAGAAGGAUACAUCUCGUGAUGUUGUUGCCAACAUGGAGGCAAGGUUAGCCAAGGUGGAGCUAGCCAUGGCAGACACCCGGGAAGGGGUGGACUUGAUCGAGCAAGGCAUGGAGAAGGGCUUAGAGGAUCUAAGGGAGCAGAUCCAAGACCUUCGCGAGGGGGUGCUGGUCUCGCAAGUUCAGUCGGUGUCACACAAGGAGUUCAUGUCCUUCCAAGACAAGGUCAUGAGCAUGUUCGCUAGUGUGGAGUCAAGGAUGGAGGCCUUGACUGCACGAGUGGAGGCCCGAGACCAAGAGAUUCGACAAGAGUUGGCCAUCUAUAAGACCGUUGUAUCAGCUCGGGUCAUGGCCACACAGGAGGCAUCUAGGGUGGAGGUGCCGAAGCCACAUAGGUUUAGUGGCAAGCGGGAUGCCAAGGAGUUGGAUAACUUCUUAUGGCAUAUGGAGCGAUACUUCGAAGCUAUCGCAUUGACGGAUGAGGCGGCUAAGGUGAGAACUGCGACCCUCUACCUUACUGACACAGCUACUCUAUGGUGGCGUCGAAGGUUUGCCGAUAUGGAGAAAGGCAUUUGCACCAUAGAGACGUGGGAGGACUUCAGGAGGGAGAUCAAGAGGUAGUUCUACCCGGAGGACGUGGCUUACCUGGCUAGGAAAAACAUGCGGCGUCUUAAGCACACAGGCUCAAUACGCGACUAUGUCAAGGAAUUCUCUUCGCUCAUGCUUGAGAUUCCUAACAUGACUCAGGAGGAGUUGCUAUUCAACUUCAUGGACAACCUGCAAGGGUGGGUCGAGCAGGAAUUAAGGCGCCGAGGCGUUCAAGACUUAGCCACUGCUAUGGCAAUAGCAGAAUCUUUAACGGAUUAUAAGAGGGGAGACUCCUCCAAGGAUGAGUCUUUAGAGGAUAGCCACGCCAUGGGUGGGGGAGACGAGGUUCCAAGGGACCACAAUGCUCCUAAAAAGGGAUCAAGCAAGACGUCUAACGUCUGAGAAGGAAGGGAUAAGGCGGAAAGGAGGGAGUUUACGCCUAAAAUCAAAUGCUUCCUGUGUGACGGUCCACAUUGGGCACGGGAUUAUCCAAAGCGGAAGGCGCUCAGUGCCAUGAUCGAGGAGAGGGAGCAGGAGGACGAAGCACAUAUGGGCUCAAUGCAGCUACUAGGUGCCCUCCAAUUCAACUCGAAGCCUAGUACGCCUGAGACCUCCUUAUUAGCAGGGGUGCAAGUAAAGGAGAGCGAGCUGAGGUAGCCCUUACACACAUGGAAGAGGUCACUAAGGGAAAGGUGAACUCAAUGGGUAAGAGGAAGCAACACUCUAAGCAUCGGAAACGCACGGGUCUGCAUCCAUCUGAAGCCUCACUGGAGAAGGAGGUGAAGAAUAUCCUGGCUGAACGGGUCACCAGGAGACAAGGGGUCCCUCUUGUGAUAGAGUAUCUAGUCCGAUGGAAAGAACUACCUAAGAGGCAGGUAAGCUGGGAACAUGCGGAUGCCUUGAGAAAAUUCUGGAAACACAUCGAGAAGUUUCAGAAUGAGGCAACGACGAGGAUGUCGACGGCUUAGGUGGGGGAGAGUGUCACAAGAUGCUUCAAAUGACCCUCCCCAUGGCUUAUAUAGGAGGUGAGAAGCUUCUAGAGACCCUUGGAGACAUCCACACGUAGCCACUAGUGGGAAGAGUGUGGAAGGUUCUAGAAAUGCCUAGAGAAGUCCACACAACUCUACACUAUGGUAGAAGGCAUGAGAAGGGUCCAAAGCUUUCUAGAGAAAUCUAGAAGUCUCUUGAAUAUUCUAGAAUAGUGUAGGACAUUCUAGAAUAUUCAUGAAUUGUAAGGAACCCUUCAAGGUUAAUAACCUAAACAUCUUACCUCAAUAUUCUUUUAUGAAAAUUUUCAACUAUUGCAGGGUGUCCUUCAUGUCAUUGGUCAUGUUCAGGUCUGAAUAAGUAUGAGUAGUGGUGACAUACUUAAGAUAAUGACCUAUGUAUUUCAAUACAACUUGAAGAAUAUACAAUAAACAAUUUAGCAACAAAUUAGAUUCUUACAAGUUUUAACACAUUAAAUUCAAUAAGCAUAUUAAUUUCAAAGAAGGUUGGUAGCCAAAGGUAGUAAAAUAAUUGAGAUAAAGAAACGAAGAAUGAAGAGAAAUUAAUUUCAACUAAAACAUUAUAAUUAAAUUGAUCUUUUAACUUGACAUGUUAUGAAUCCAUGAAAAAUAAUACAUUGGUAAUACUUUAUUGAUUAAAAGAGUAAAAUAACACCAAAGAUAGAAAAAACUACGUGAUAUGGACAAAGGGUUUAUUUUUGUAACAAUGACCAACAGACUAAAAGUAAAAGGGCCUUGGUGGAGGAAAAAACUAUUAUGUCAAAAUGACUAGUUUCUUUCCUUACAAUUGUAUUUAGAUUAAGGAGCUAGCAUUCAAGUUGAUACCCUGUUUUAGAAAAGGAGGCUUUAGAGGCCUAUAUUAGGGAGAAUGAGGUGCUAUUUUUUUUUCCGUAGGCUUAUUUGUAAGAAGUCUUAAUCUAACUUCCUAUUUUUUAAUGUCAAAGAAAAUACAAGUAUAAGAUAUUUUAAACUUUAAGCCCAUUAGUUUAGGAGGAGGCCUCUACAAAUUUAGAUUGAAAAAAGUUAUAAAGCAAGUGAUCUUAAGGGUCCAAAAUGGUUUUUUUGAGGAUAAACAUAUUCCUAAUGCAUGCACAUGUAACAAGACUAAAGACUUUACAAAAAAGAGUUCGAAAAUGCAUGAAUUUUCAUACCAUUACAACACUAGGAUUUCUACCAAUCUAACUAAUAAGGAUGUGUACAGGAAAUACACAAAGGUUGUGACACCUACCAUGUCUAAUAGUCUUCACCUCUCAAUUUUCCAAUUACACAUCCAUCAAAAUAGAGCAACCAUUGCAUGAUCCAUAUUGAAAACACUACCAACUAGAAGUACCAAGAUAUACAUUAACAAAUCAUGACUAAGAAUAAAUUAUACAAUUAACAUUAACAAAAUAUUCACUAGAUAUUUAGAAUAAUAUGAAGUUAUAUUAGACUACAAGUCAUACAAGGUACCGUCAAGCAUGAGUAAUGAUUAAUUGACUGUUAAUUAAGAUGAGAUUGUCAAUUUGUAAUAAAUAAUAUUUAUGAUUCAAUAAUGUCACUCUUCCUAAAUUAUAGACUAAUAAAUUUUAUUCAUAAUUAAUUUAUUAUUUUCCAAAUAAAAACAAUAUGAAAUAGAAUAAAGACAAAAAGAAAAUUAGGAUUGUUGUUUAAUGUAUAAUCUAGGUUAUUUUGUCAUUUAUAAUCAUUUUAGGAAAUAAGAAAUUUUUAGAAAAAAUAAUAUUUUUUUCAAAUUCGAUAUGAUGGUGACUUCACAAAGAAAGUCAUUCUAUAAAUUAAGGGAUGACUUUAAUAGCUAUUAAUUAUCCUAUUGAUGGCUGUCAUUUCAUCACGUUUUACUAAUGAUGAUCCUUGUAGGUUUAUUUUGUCUAACAUUAAGUAUAUUUUGACAAGUUGAAAACAAAACAUAUAUAUAUAUAUAUAUAUAUAUAUAUUUAAGAAUGUAGGCAGCAUAUUAAUUACCAUGAAAAAUUAAAACCUCCAGCUCACAUCACACUAAUACCUUCACCCAUAUCUUUUCACAUUAGUAAAUACAGUUCAAAUACAAUACCAAAAAACAUGUACAUGCAUGUACUUAGCCAAUAUAAGUCAAUCCCAUUAUUUUAUAUUUUGAUCUCAUUACUUAUAUUUGAUCUUAAUUUCAUUUUGAUUAUUUUAAUCUUAUUACCUAUACCAUCAUCCAACUGUUUACAUUUUAUCCAAAAUUUUUAAUGGUUGGGAUGUAAAAUUCAAUAUGUAUUUCUUUAAGAUUUUCCUAAUAAACGCAUAAUUUCAUAAUAGUAUAGUGGAACUAUAUAGGGAUAUAAACAGGUGGCUCAUUUAGGCUCACUUAGGCCCACUUAGGCACACUCAGCCCAUUUGGACACCCCUAGGCCCUAUAGGCACAUUUGGCUCAUCUAGACUCACUUAGGUCCAUUUAGGUACACUUGGCCUAUCUAGGCUCACUUAGGCCCACUUAAGCCCACUUAGGCCCACUUAGGUUUACUUAGGCCCACUUAAGCUCACUUAGGCCCACUUCGGCCCACUUAGGCUCACUUAGGCCCACUUAGGCACACUAAGCUCAUUUGGACACUCCUAGGCCCUUUUAGGCACAUUUGGCCCAUCUAAACUCACUUAGGCCCACUUAGGCACACUAAGCCCAUUUGGGCACCCCUAGCUUUAGGCACAUUUUUUAAAUGGAGAAAUUAAGUUUUAAAUCAAAAAAUCAGGAUAUUUUUUAAACAAAGGAGUUGACACUUGAAUGUUUAAAAAUAAAAAUAAAAGAUUAAGUUUUUAGAUUGGAAAAUCAUUUUUUUUUAAUAAUGGAAAGGAUAAAUUUCAAAAUAUGAAAAUGAAAUUUUGGAAAUUUGGGAGACUUUUUUGUGGAGGGGAUAUGGAAUUCUAAGAGAGGAGGACUCCUCCAAAGAUACAGGGUUGCCAAUUGCCAUAGAAAAUGGGGGUUGGUGGUUUUGGAGAGUGGAGGAAUUUCUUUUAAAAGGGACUUUCAACACGCACGGGAGGGGGGAAUAGAAAAAAAAGGAAAGAAAAGGAGUGAGAAGACACAGCCGGGAAGAAGGACAUCUUUAAGGGUGGAGAAAACACACAGCCUACCUUGGGAACUUUCCACUACUAGCCGCCACAAGAAAAAUAAAAAAAAGAUCAGAACAUAAGACUCUACAAAAUAAAUCUAAAACAAAUAUCUAGAAGUUAAUUUUUAUCCUGAAAAUUUUCAAAGAACAUCUCCUAUAUAUCUAGUUUACCAUCUAAGUGACCAAAUCAAUUAACCAACCCUCAUUUAGUACCAGAUUUCAUAAUAAUGAUAAAUAGGUCCAGAACUGGGCAUCUUUUUAAGGUGUUCAACAAUUGAUUUUUCUAACUAAAUUCAAGAUGUCCUAAAAUCAUAAAAAAAUUUACAUAGCUAUCUUAAUAUAUAUAUAUUGUAUGAAAAAUAAUCACAGGGCAAUAUCACAUUCAUAACAUACUUAAAAAUAAAUAAACAUCUCUCCACUCCAGAAGAGCAUAUGUGUAGUGGGUGCAAGAAGAAAGAAAUUAUAUCUCUCAUUUUAGAAAUUAUUUAUUGAUAUUUUAGGCAUAAACAAUUAAAUUAAGAAGUCUAGAUUAAAAUAAAAAUAUUCAAAUAAAUCAAAUAAACCAUUUAUUAAUUUAAUUUUUCAGAACAAUACUAAGUGUAAAAAAUAGAGUGAAAAUUGAACCUUCCGAAAGAUUGAUUUAUAUCUUCUAAUUGGAAAACCAUAUUUGACCCAAGAAAUAUUCAAAAAUCAAGCUCAAGGAUUCUAGAAUGUCAUAGAAUAAUUAUACAAAUUUUAAAGGGUUUUUAAGUUACCAAAUUCCAAUUUACGAAUGCAAAAGUACAGUGAAUUAUCCAUAAUUUCAAUAAAUAAAUACAAACUUUGUUUUGAAAAAGACUUAGUAUGUAGGGAUCUAUUAAAUCCCAUUUUAAUUUCCAUGAAUUUAUCCAUGAAGACUCCAUUGAUUGGAGUUAUGAAAUUUAAUUCACGUAUAUUCAAAACCAAAAUUCAUUUUAAAUUUUCUUUUUCAAACUAUGCAUACCAAAUAAAAUUGGUUGCAUGAAUUUUUAGAAAAUUGAAUUUUCAUAACCUAAGAAUGUCCAAGACAAAUUUGGAAAAUUGAGAAUUAAUUUUUAGAAAGGUAGCUUGAUAAGAAUUUUGAAAUUACUAGCAAACACAAAUAAUCACAUAAAGUCCCACAACCAAAAGAAGAAAAUUCUUAAGGAGACAAAGUGGUGUGUGCCAAGGGUGAGUGAAGCAUGUUGACUUGUGUGUGAUGACAAUGAAAGUGUGGCUGUUGUGUGUGUGUUCAUAGUAACAACCUGGUGGUCUACUUUUCUAUGCAGCUAUGCAUGCCUUUCUUUAUCAAUUUAGCUAACGUUUGUUCUCCAAAAUUCAACUAGCGGUGUUGGUCUUCACAAGCUUAUGCAAAUUCUCAAAAUUCAGCAAUCUGAUGUGUGCUUGGGCUAGCAAUCUGGUGGUUUCAAAAUCUAAUAGUGUGAUCAUGUGUGAUACGUUCCCAAUUGGUGUCUCAGCUGAUUCAUGUCCUCUUAAUGGUCCCUAACAAUGGAACCAUUUGAUUCGUGUCCACCUGGUGCUCCUUGAUUGUGGUCCUCAGAAGGGAGUAAUCAACAAAAUUUAUAACCUAUUACACCAUGUACUAGGAUAGCCUUAGCUAGCAUAGCAUAGUGGCUCUAGGGUUGUUCACUGGGAUGGAUUUUCACUCCACAAUUGAUAUUACUUCAAAGAUGAAUUGGUGCUUUUUCAUUUCAAGGUUAGCUUUAAAAGAAAACAUAAAGAUGUUUGAAUGAAAAAGGUUUGGAUUUAAACUAACCAAAAAUAGUAACUGAUUUUACUUACAAAGAAAAGUGUUUCUUGGAGUUUAGAUCACUAGGCUCAGGUUCCUCAUACAAAAAGGAGAGUUCCGGUCACUUGUUUCUUUUCCUCGCAUUAGAGAAUUAACAUAUAGUUAAUUCUCUAACCGGUGUGGUACAAAUGUUUCCUCUUAAUGGGUUCAAACACUAAUUCCCUCUCAUUGAUGCACCUUGCAAUGACUCAUGCCUCUCACCUAGCAUUUGCCAUUCAAGGUGAUCUUUAACCUUGGAUUACCUGUCAAAAGCUCGCAAGAGAUAACUAAUGGAUGUCUCCUUGGAGUCCAAAAGCUUACCAAGUGUUGGCUAUUCUAGAAAAUCCUACCUUCAAACCACCUCCUAAAGGCUCGCAAGAGAUAAACUAGUGCAUCUCAAUGGAUGGAGAUCACUUGCCUUACUAAGUGUUGGCCCAGGUGAUUUAAAGGUGUUUUAAGUUAACUAAAAACAUAAAAACCAUUAAUGGGUCACACUUUCUAUUCAUUAAUAAUUGAAACAACAAAACUUCAAAUUCUUGCAUUUGGAAACUUACCCGGCUUUCUUCACUCCAAGAGAUGAAGAGCCUAGCCUCUCAUCCUCUGAGGAAAAAUCCUCAGAGUUUGAUUGGCUAGAAAGAAAACUAACGAGAAAGCAAAAAUAUGAAGGAAAAAUAGAGCAAGUGCUCUGUAAAAUAUAUUUCUUCCUUCUGCCGAUUACAUGAUUUUUGUCUCUGAGAAAAAACUCCUGAGAUUCGAUUAUAUAUAAGGGGUUAUUCACCCUUUGUUCUUACUUAAAGACUAAGGAAUCCUAUGAUAAGUGGGUUACAAGGAGAUUUUGGGGAUUUAGACAUCAAAUAUCUAAAGCAAAAUAUCUCAAAAUGUCGGUCGCAAAUAUCAGGAAGCUUCAGGAGAACACCGUAGUUGUGCGUGCAAGAGGGCUGUGAAAUUUCGCAGCAAAAGGACAACAUUUUCGCAGCCCAAGGCUGAUUUCACAGUCGUGCAAAAUCUGCCUUCAGCUUGGAGUGAUUGGCUUCCAAUGGCUGUAACUCCUUCAUUUCAACUCCGAAUCAUGUACCAUUUGAAGUAUUAGAUUUUUGACUUCCUGAGAUUCGAAACGACAUAUAGCAUGCAUAAAUUGAACUCCAAGAAGUGCUCCAAAAGUGGCUGACAUGACUGUCAUCUAGAAUGCUUCAUGUUAUAUUUCUCUUUGCUUCCCCUCCUUGCAUUCUGGAUUUGCUUAUGGCAAAGGACUUCAAAGCUUCGGUUCUUCAUGUUUCUGAGUUCUUCAUUGCUUUGCCAUGGAUUCUAAAGAACUCUCCUCAAUCUUGGAUUGCUUUGGUUAUCAAAUUACUAACAAAAACACCAAAACUUACACAAUUUGAUUAGAAAUGAUUGCAAAGGUGCUUAAUAUGUUAAUUGGGUUAAAAGGUAAUAACUGCUACUCAAAAUUGUUUAAAAGAGUUAAUUACAAGAUAUAAAAUAGCACUUUUUGAGUAGUAAUCAAUGUGCUUGUUGCUUUUCUCCUCACAACCAUGCACUAUCAACUUACCUUUCUACCAUUAACAAUUCGUACACAAUCAGUUUGCCUUCCCAAAGUUCUAAAGACUUCCCUUUAAAAUUUCUAAUAAUUAUUUUAUUCCCAUCAAAUUUCAAAUAUGCCACUAACUGCUACCUCUCUAAUACCUUCUCAUCUUCUUCGCUUCAAGCCAAAACCAUGCACUAAAUUUAUGUGACUCUCUAGAACCUUUUGUCAAUUUUUUUUUUUUUACAAACUGUGCACCAAACGAUCUUCAUUCUAGAAAAAACCGGUGCUAACACCAAUCCCCACCAUGUCCACAAUCAACUCGGGCGUUCCCUAUGGUGUGUGUUUGGAGCCCUUUUCAAAGGUACAAAAUUGUUUCUCUUUUAUGGCAGUAUGCUAGCGUGAAUAGAGAUGCCCUCUAACAAUCAACAAGAGAAUAGUUCCUAAGCCUUCCUAUCAAGAGUUUUCUCAAUCUACAUAAAUGGUAAUUGUCUACACUAAUUUCUAAAUACUUAGCCCCUCUGAUUAUGGGUUGAUGAACACCCAUUUGAACAUAACGACCACUUUCCCUACCUUACGUACAAUUUUGCAGUUUCCUUUCUCUAUAAAUACUAGAUUUGGACCAGAUGUGACAUUUGGCAUGCCCAAGGGCAUGGACUAGAAGCAAAGGAAAGCAACAAAAAAUAGGGCAUGAAUGGGUAAAACAAAAUGAACUAACAAAAGCCACAUUUCAUACCUAAUCAACAAAUCAAGAAUAGGUAAUAAAAACUGAGAGAAGUAAUAUGAUUAUCAAAUACUAAACCUAAAGGUAAAUUUAUCGAUUUACAAAGGGAAAUCAAAGAAUCCAAAAUGUGACCAAAACAGAGCAUGUAUGUAGACAAUUAGAUUCAGUCAAACCAACCAAAUAACUUUUGAUGUCCACACCAAAUCAACAAGACAACACUCAUAAAUCUGCAUAAAAUAAAAUAAAAUAGUAUUGAAAAUGAGGAAGAAAUGAAGAUCUUACUUGGAAGGCUCCCUCCUUGAAGUUGUUGCAUGUUGAAGAUCUUAGAGUGAGCAGUGUUUCUUCUCCACUAUAGCCCCUAUAAUUAGGGCAUGAUUUUCAAGGGGAAACUCAACCAACAUCAAAGCACUUGCAAUAAAUGAGGAAUAUGGAGUUGAAAGAGUGGAGAAUCACUUGAUUUUUUGCUCAAUGGUGGAAUUUGUAAGAGAAGAAAGGAGUUUUAGUGCUUAUUCUCUAUUAUGAGAGUCACAAAAUGGAGAUUCAAAAAUGAUUUCCAGAUUUUUAUACUCAAGAUCUCACACUAGGGCUUGGAAACGCACCGUGUGACAAGAUUUCCAGUGUCAAGAGCCUCAUCUAGAGUCAUUGAUCGAUAUUGAUUGUAGUUAACUAGGCUCCAAGGGUUUGUCGGGGUUUUGAAAAAAUGGAGGGAAUGUUUGGCGUACUAUGAAGUCGUGGGUGAGAAUGGGAAAUAUGUGAGCCAUAUAUAAAGGUGUUAUUUUGAUGUCACUUUUAUAGAGCACCAAGGUAAAAAUAAAUAAUAAAGACACUUAUAGAAAACCUCGUGCUAUAGGAAGCAUCAUUAUCCCUCAGCAUAAAGCGCCAUGGUCUAACAUUUUCCUUUUAAGCGUCAACUUCGACCACUUAUUUACUCAAUUGCCCCUCUAAAAGCCAAGUGACGACAUUUUUUUUGAAGCGCCACAAAUUGUGUUUUUUGUAGUAGUGUGGAGGUCUUCCUAUACCCUAUUUAACAUAAUAUAACCUUGCGUACAUGCUUUAGAAAAAUAAGUAAAAGUUUAGAAAAGUAUUUACAUUUGAUUUGAGUUGAAUCAUUCCCUUAUUCGACCUAUUUUGGGUCUAAACUUUAACUUAUGUAAGCCUCGUGAUGCUUUCCUAAACCUUAUUUAGCAUGGUAGAACCCUAGAUACAUCAUUUACAAAAAUAAGUACAUUCUUAAGAAAAAGUACAUCAUUUACAAUAAUAAGUAUAUUCUUAAAAUAUCUAUAUAUACAUACAUUCAUAAGGAAAAUACAUACAUUUGAUUUGAGGUUAAUCAUGACCUAAUUCAACCUAAUUUGGAUCUAAGAUUUGACUUAUGAUGCCUCAGAAUGUAUUUUAUGCCUUCCAAAACUCCGUUCAACAUGAUAGAAGUAUAGGUACAUUCUUUAGAAAAAUAUGUUCGAAAUCUGAAUUUUCCUAUUUGAGGUCUCUUAUAUAUAUUUAUGUAAUAUAUAGUUGUAAAUUAGAUUAGAAAAAUGUGUAUAACUGUAAAUUAUAUUAGGAAGAACAAUCUUUGAUUUAUAAGGAUUUACUUGAUUUAUAAGGAUUAUUAGUUUUCUUUUCCUUUAAUUUUUUUUGUAAAUAUAAGAUAUAAAUUAAGAUCGUAACAAGUAAUUGAAUAAGAAUCUUUUACCAUUUUCUCUCACAUGGUAUUAGAGCCACUUUGACAUCCUUCAUUAGCCUUCAUUGUUGAUUUUAGUUCAAGUUUUUUAGCCUUCACUGUUGAAGAUUUCAAGCCUAAUUCUUUCAACCUUCAUUGUGUGUUUUGUUUAUUUCUUUUUACAUAUUUCAUCCAUUCUACCUGCAAUUUCUGGGAUUUCACCAUGUCUAAGAUGUAUGAUAUUUCUUUUAAAACUAAUUUCAUAAUUUAAAUUAAUGAUUUAAAAAAAUAAAAAUGUUACGAAAAUAAUUUUUAUUUAUUUUUAAUUCCAUUUAAAUAUGAUUUUUUUAAUCUCUACUAUUAUGUUUAUAAGAGCAAAAUAGUAAAAAUAUAUAUUCCAUUUAGUUUACUUGUAAUGAACAAUUCAAACAUGAUUAAUUUUAAUUUUAUUUCCUAUGAGUUAAUUUAGGUAGGGAAGGUCUUAAUGGCAUAGUUUGGUUUUUUUUUUUUUUUUUUUUUUUAAAAAUGUCAAGUUCAAGUUGUUUAAAAAUUGUACAAAACCUAUUAGGAGCCUUGUACACCCUUGUACACUUAACACAUUUCCUUUAUAAAAUUAGUGUAAUACCCUUGUACAGUAAUGCAAAUUCCAUAUCCCUCCUAAGUUAUGUGUCCAUAUAGGUGUGUUAACCAUAUUUUCAAUGGUUUGGUUGAGAAAAUGAUGGAUGACUUAGGGUCAAACAUCAUUAUUGGGGAAAACAUUGGAAUUCCAUGUGGGAUUUAAAUAAAGUACAUGACAUGGGUAUACAAUCCUUCGGCGACAAGGAAAAUAAAGGAGUGGCUCAAAAUUGAUUGAAAUCUUUCAUAAAGGGUAAUCUUGUACACCUUGUACACUUAGUAUAUUUCCCUUGUAUAGUUAGUGUAACACCCUUGUACAAUGACACAAAUUCCAUAUCUCUCCUAAUUUAUCUGUCAAAGUAGGUGUGUUAACCAUGUUUCCAAUGGUUUGAUUGAGAAAAUGUUGGAUGACUUAGGAUCAAAUUUUUUUCCCUAAACAUCAUUACUAGGGAAAGUAUUGAAAUUUCCAUGUGAAAGUUAAAUAAAGUGUAUGAUAUGAGUGUACAAUUCGUGGGUGAUAAGGAAAAUAAAAUGAGUGGUUCAGAAUUGAUUGAAAUCUUUUACAAAGGGUAGCCUUGUACACCCUUGUACACUUAGUGUAAUACCCUUGUACAGUUCGUGUAAUACCCUUGUACAGUAGCACAAGUUUCACAUCCCUCCUCUUAAGUUACACAUAAGUGUGUUAGCCAUGUUUCCAAUGGUUUGGUUGACAAAAUGGUGGAUGGCUUAGGGUCAAAAUCUUUAUCCCAAACAUCAUUAUUGGGGAAAGUACUAGAAUUUCCAUGUGGGAGUUAAAUAAAGUGCAUGACAUGGGUGCACAAUCCGUAAGUGAUAAAGAAAAUAAAUAAGUGGUUCAUAAUCGAUUAAAAUCUUCCACAAAGAGUAGCCUUGUGCACCCCUUAUACAGUUAGUGAAUGCCCUUAUAUAGUGACACAAAUUCCAUAUCCUUAUAGUGAAUGUGUGCUUAUAGGUGAAUUAAACAUGACUCUAGUAGUUUGGUUAAGAAAAUGGCAGAAAACUUAAAUUCAACUUUUUGUGUGAAUAUAUUAUAUUUUUGUGAAAAAAAAAAAUACACAAUUGGCCAAUUCCUUUGUUUAAUUGUGAACAAAUUAUAUUUUUAUUUUAUUAUUAAAAUAACUAAUAAAAAAAUAAAAAAGAAUAAUUAAUAAAUGAAAUUUAAUUCUUUUUAUUGUUUUCAUAUAAAAAUAGUACUAUACAAGGUUUUCAAUUUUCAAAUUUAAAAAUAGUUUUUGUUUUUUUAAUUAAAUGUAUUUUCAAAAAGAGACAAUAUAGAAAAUAAAAAAUUGUUUUAAAAAUAAAAAUUAGAAAAAUAUUUUAAAACCAAACUCAAACAUAAUCUAUAUAAUUUUUAACUACUUGUUUUCAUCUAAAAUGAGUAAAUAUAUCAUUCAACCCUUUUAUAUAAGAAAAAAAAUCAAUCUCUACUAUACUAUAUAUUGAUAUAAUUCACUUCUAAAAUUAGGUCAUAUGAAAACAUUUUAAUUAGAUAUUUAAAAUAAAAACUCUCCAUCCAUCCUCUUUCUUUCUUUUUCUUUUUCUUAUUUUGAUAAAUUUUCAAUUAAUUCAAAUUAUUAAAAAAAAAAUCCUUAGUAAACAAAUUUGCAACAUUUCAUAUAACUUAUUACCAAAAGUCAUCUUCAAAAAGUUAUUAAAAUAAGGAAGGAAGAAGAUUAAAAGAAAAUUUAAACUUUUUAUUUUAUAAUAGUAAAAAAUAAAUUUUAAAAUACUUUUUAGUAUAAAGGGAAAGAAAAUAGUGAAUAUUUUUAUUUUAAAUAGUAUUUUAAUCAUUAAAUUAUUUACUUCUAAAAUGUAAAAGAUAUUUUUUAUUUAUUUAAAUUAACAUUUUUUGAGAAAGUAUUUUCCAAAAUAGUUUUUGAAUCAUUAAUAUAAUUUUGGUUUAUUUAUAAUUUUAAAAUAGAAAAUAAUGUUGAUUUUUCAAUUAUUUAUAAAAGAGUUUAAAAAAAUAAUGAAAAAUAAAAAAAAUGGUUAAAUAAAGAUGAAUUUGUUAAUAGUAGCAUAUGGAGAGUUGUGGAAUGAAGACAAAAAUGAGUUAAAAUGAUAUUUUUGUCAAUUACUAUUUCAUAUCCUUGUAAUCAAUUAUAGGUGAGAGGAAUACCUUACAUCAAUUAUCAAACACCAGCACAAUUCUCCCCUAGAUCUAUAUUGCCCAUAGAUUUGUAUGCUAAUACUAAAUAAAAUGAAAAUAUAUUUAUCACAUAAUUUUUAUGUUUAUGUUAUAUUCUGUUUUAAAUUUUUGUUAAAAGAAAUCAUAUUAUGACAAUAGUAAUAGAUGAGAAAAAAACCAAACAUAAUACAUAUGGUUCACUCUCAAAUGUGGGAGACUUGUCACUUUGUUGUUCCAAAAUUUCCACUAUCAUAAAAAAAAAUAAAAAAUAAAAAAUGUGUGAUCUCACCUCUUACAUGCCUCCUCUAUCAUAAAAUCAAAAUAAUUGAAUGUGGUUCUGGCUUCACCAUGGUUCUAGUUUUUUUGCUUGAUUAAAAUUUUAAGUUUUCUGUUUAUAUCAAAAUAAAAUAGAAAUAUAUUUUUUCAUAAAAAAUUGUAUUAAAUAUUUUAUAUUAAUUUUCUUUUAGUUUUAAAAUAUUAUUACAACUCUCUACUCUUAAAAAAAUAAAAGACAAAAGAUUUAGUUUCAAUUUGGUAACUAUUUUAAAAAAUAAUUGUUUUUUUAAAAGAAAAACCAAGAAAACAUGUUUGACAACUAAAAAAAAUAUGAAACAAUUUUUUUUUUUUUAUCUUAAAAACAAAAAUAUGGUAUUUUUUGAAAACGUCUUUUAGUCGUUUUCACUUGGGUUUUUAGGGCUAUUUUUUUUAAAAUAAGUAUACAAAUAUGGAGAAUGAUUAAAAAUAAAACACUACAUAUAAAAUUUAUUGUUAAAAUGUAUUUAAAAACAUAGAAAACAAGUUAAAAAUAUUUCAGGUUUCAAAACAAGCUUUUAGUCUACAAAAUAUCAAAGACCAAAUUUCAAUAACUGUUCUUAAAAACUAUUUUUUAAAUUUUUUAAAAAAAAACACUUCCUAAACAAAGCUAAUAUAACUCAAUUUUGCUUCACCAAAAUUUGAAAAAAUAAAAUAAAAAUUUUAUAUUUCAUUAAUUUUAGUUCAAAAAAUAAAUAAUUGAUUUAUUAUUAAGGAAAAAGGUUUACUAGUAAUAUUAAAUGUUUAUAAAAUGUCAACCAUUAUAAGAUAAUGAAAUUAAUUAAAAAAAAAUAUACAUCUAAUAUGUAAUUCUAAUUUGUAGAAAAUAUUUUUUAAUCAACCCCCUCUCUAUUAUUAAUUUAAAUUUUUUAAAAUUGUGUAAAAUUAUUUUUAUAAAUAAUUUUUUUCUUUAACGUAAGGGUAAGGCCACCAAGUGUUUGUUUUUUUUAUUUAUUUAAUAUUUUAUGAUUUUUUUUUUCCUUUUAAAUUAAUGGUAAAUCUUUUUUUUUUUUUUUUUUUUUGAGGUGUUAUACUUUUUUAGGGUGAGUAGUAUGAGAAAAGAAGGUUGAUCUUAAUUAGGAAAACAUUUAAGAUGGGGGGAGCAAGGUUGAAUUGAGUUUUUAAAAUAUCCUUAUUUAAACACAACAAAUUCAAGAAAAGGAAGCACAAAUAUAAAGAGAUAAAGUUAGAGGAAGCAAACAUAGAUUUUAUAGUGGUUCGACACUCCUUGCCUACGUCCACUCCCCUCAAGCUCCUAACUGAGUGAGGGUUCCACUAUCCUUGAAGCUUCAACCAAGCUUCCAACGUCUUUACACUUGAUUCCGAUUCCAAUGGCUCUUACACAAUCCUUCAAGUAUUCACUAACUUGAAGCUUUCUAUUCACACAAUCUCACUUUAAAAUAAUGAAGGAAACUCUUAACCUAGCUUAAUAAAGGCUCAAAUACAAUCGAAAUGCUAGGAAGAAUGACAAGAGUGCACUAAAGAGUAUAAAAGUAAGGAUUUAAUGCAUCAAGGAGAGAAUGAGAUCUUUUAAGAGAAGAACAUGUAGUUAAACAAUUGAAUGCAGGUGUUCUCAUGUUCAUAAAUGAAGUAAAACUCUCAAUUUAUAAGUUUCUAACCACGGGAGCCAAAACUGCCAAAAUGUUAACCUCGACUGGUCAAGUUAGGGGUCAACUGGUUGACUAGUCGUUGGGCAAUAAAUGUAUGGUAGGUGACCGACAGGCCUCGACCACACCUUAACCAGACCUCAACUAGGAAAACCUAUCAUCGAUCGGGAAUGCAUAGCUACUGGAAGAGAGAGAAUACUUUUUGCAUCCCUCAAUCAAUCCUUAACUAGGAAGGCUUAAUCGAUUGACUGGUACCCUAACCAAUUGAGCCGGUUGGAUAGUCCCUUGAUUGAUACACCUAUUUUGGUCCGAAAACCUAUUUUUUUCUAUUCCUUUCAUUUUUAACACUUAGGCAAAGUCUUUAGGAGUAUUAAUAGAUUAAAUUUAAAGCAAUUUGCAUAAGGUUUGUAUAAGAAAACUCAAGGUUUAAUGGAAAUUUAAUUUUAAUUAAUAAACCAAGUUUUUAAAGAUGCAUAAAAAGAUAUGAAAAUCCUAAGUGUACAAAUGCAUUCAUCUUACAUAUGUUUCUUAAGAUUAGAAGGCCUUCUAUAUGUUUCAAUGAUUACUACUCAAAAAGUGCUAUUUGAUAGCUUGUAAUUAACUCUUUUAAACACUUUUGAGUAGUAGUUAUUACCUUUUAACCCAAUUAGCAUAUUAAGUACCUUUGCAAUCGUUUCUAAUCAAAUUGUGUAAGUUUUGGUGCUUUUGAUAGUAAUUUGAUCACCAAAGCAAUCCAAGAUUAAGGAGAGCUCUAUGGAAUCCAUGGCAAAGUAAUUGGAAACUCAUUUACAUGAAGAACCUAACCUUUGAAGCUUUAUAGUCCUUUGCCAUAAACAAAUCAUGAAUGCAAGGAUGAAAGCAAAGAGAGAAAUCUAACAUGAAGAAUUCAAGAGGACAUCAACUGUUUAACACUUUUGGAGAACUUUUUGGAGUCCAUUUGAUGUAUACUAUAUGUCGUUUCGAAGCAUGGGAAGUUAGCAAUCCAAUGCUUCAAACGGUGUGCGAAUCGAAGUUGAAAUGAAGAAGUUAGAGCCAUUGGAAUCCGAUCACACCAAGUUGAAGGCCAAUUUCGCAGGCUACGAAAUAAUUUUGCAGCCAUCUUGUACGUCUGCCAAAUUUCGCAGCCAUUUUGUGCGCCUGCGAAAUUCUCCUGAGUGCUUCCAGAUAUUUGUGACCGAUAUUUUUUGAUAUUUUGCUUCAGAUAUUUGAUGUCUAAAUCCCCAUUUUCUCCUUGUAAUCCACCAAUUAUAGGAUUCCUUAGUUAUUAAGCAAGAAAAAAGGGUGAAUAACCUGAUAUAUAUUGUUUUUGUAAUUUUCAUUGCAGACAUCUCGGGAGCUUGUUCUCAGAGACAACUUUUUGUAUAGUUUUUGAAAGGAAGUAAAAUAUAGAGCUUUGCUCUGCCUUACCUACUCAAUUUGAUUGUAUUUUUCAUUACUAGCCAAACAAGCUCUGAGGAUGUUUCCUCAGAGAAUGGGUUGCUAGACUUUUUGUCUCUUGGAGCUAAGGUAGCCGAGGGAGGUGCCGAAUGCAAGAAUUGAGAGUUUUGUUGUUUCAGCUGUUAAUGAAGAGAAAGUGUAACCCGUUUAUGGUUUCUAUGUUUUUAGUUAACUUAAAACGCCUUCAAUUCACCUGGGCCAACACUUGGUAAUGCAAGUGAUCUCCGUCCAUUGAGAUGCACUAGUUUACCUCUUGCGAGCCUUUGGGAGGUGACUUGAAGGUAGGAUUUUCUAGAAUUGCCAACACUUAGUAAGCUUUUGGACUCUAAGGAGACAUCCAUUAGUUAUCUCUUGCGAGCUUGAGAAGGGAAGUCCAAGGUUAAUGAUCACCUUGAAUGGCAAAUGCUAAGUGAGAGGCACGAGCCAUUGCAAGAUGCAUCAGUGAGAGGGAAUUAGUGUUGAAAUCCAUAAAAGGGGAGCAUUUGUACCACACCGGUUGGAGAAUGAACUAUAUGUUAAUUCUCCAAUGCGAGGAAAAGAACCAAAGUGACCGGAACUCUGUUUUUGCAUGAGGAGCCUGACCCCAGUGAUCCAAAAACUCCAAGAAACGUUUUUCUUUAUAAGUAAUUCCCAUUACUUUCUUUUUAGUUAGCUUGAAACCAAACCUUUUUCAACUAAAGUUUAUGUUUUCUUUUGAAGCUAACCUUGAAAUGAAAAGGCACCAAUUCAACUUUGAAUUGGUAUCAGUUGUAAGUUGAAAACCCUUCCCAGUGAACAAUCCUAGAGCCACUAUGCUAUACUAGCUUAUGCUAUCCUAGUGCAUGGUGAUAUAGGUUAUAAAUUUUGUUGAUUACUCCCAUCAGGGGACCAAAAUCAAGGUACACCAGCUGGGCACGAAUCAAAUGGCGUCAUUGCCAGGGAAGGUGACAACUUCACAGUGAUAUUAUUUCAGAGUACUUGUGAUUUUCAUCACAAGUUUAGUGACUUUUCUUUCAUUUUACUAAUUUUUAAUUAUUUCUUUUACUUGUUCAUAUUCUAAAUAUCUUUUAAUUAAGUUUUAUUUCAUUUUAGUCUUUUUUGUAGUCUUUUUUUUCUUUUGUUUUCUUUUGUUUUUGUUUUAGUUACAAUUGAAACUGGUUGUGUAUGCCAAAUUGGAUACGAGAUAGUGGAGGAAGGCUUGUUAAACGUGAUACACCUCAUAACAAGGAAUUGGAAUUGAGCUUGAAAAUCAUGGAAGCUACGCCUGAAGAUCAGCAUAGUCACCAUGGUCACCAGGACAAUCCCAAUGCUUUCAGAUCAAUGAGGGACCGUAUGCAUCCACCUCAUAUGAGUGCACCAUCAUGCAUAGUGCCCCCUACAGAGUAGCUAGUGAUCAGACCGCAUAUUGUUCCACUUCUACCAACUUUCCAUGGGAUGGAAAGUGAGAAUCCCUAUGCACAUAGAAUUUGAAGAUGUUUGUAAUACAUUCCAAGAAGGAGGAGCUUCAAUCAACUUGAUGAGGCUUAAGUUAUUUCCUUUCACUUUAAAGGAUAAGGCCAAGAUUUGGCUUAAUUCUUUAAGGCCAAGAAGUAUCCGUACUUGGACUGAUUUACAAGCUGAAUUCCUCAAAAAGUUUUUUCCAACUCACAGAACAAAUGGCUUGAAAAGGCAAAUUUCAAACUUCUUAGCUAAAGAGAAUGAGAAAUUCUAUGAGUGUUGGGAAAGAUACAUGGAAGCCAUCAAUGCUUGUCUUCACCAUGGUUUUGAUACAUGGCUAUUGGUGAGUUAUUUCUAUGAUGGGAUGUCUUCCUCAAUGAAGCAACUCCUCGAGACAAUGUGUGGAGGAGAUUUCAUGAGUAAGAAUCCGGAGGAAGCUAUGAAUUUCUUGAGUUAUGUGGCUGAAGUUUCAAGAGGAUGGGAUGAACCAAACAAAGGAGAAGUGGGGAAGAUGAAGUCUCAACCGAGUGCUUUUAAUGCUAAGGUUAGGAUGUACAUCUUGAAUGAAGAUGUUGAUAUGAAAGCAAAGUUUGCAGCUAUGACAAGAACAUUGGAGGAGCUAGAAUUGAAAAAGAUGCAUGAAGUACAAGCUGUUGUUGAAACACCAGUGCAAAUACAGUCGUGUCCUAUUUGUCACUCUUAUGAACACUUGGUGGAGGAGUGCCCUACAAUUCCAGCUGUAAAGGAAAUGUUUAGAGAUCAAGCAAAUGUUGUUGGACAAUUCAAGCCCAAUAACAAUGCUCCAUAUGGAAAUACUUACAACUCAAGUUGGAGGAAUCAUCCAAAUUUCUCAUGGAAGCCAAGAGCACCUCAGUACCAACAGCCGGCUCAACCAUCUCAACAAGCUUCAAGCCUUGAACAAGCAAUAGUGAAUCUCAGCAAGGUUGUGGGAGAUUUUGUUGGAGACCAAAAAGCCAUCAAUGCUCAACUCAGUCCAAGAAUUGACAGUGUAGAAAAUACUUUGAAUAAAAGGAUGGAUGGGAUGAAAAAUGAUUUAUCUCAAAAGAUAGAUAAUCUCCAAUACUCAAUCUCAAGGCUCACUAACUUGAACAUAGUGCAAGAGAAGGGUAGAUUUUCUUCUCAACCUCACCAAAACCCCAAGGGUAUCCAUGAAGUGGAAACUCAUGAGGGAGAAUCUUCACAGGUGAGAGAUGUUAAAGCCUUAAUCACUCUAAGGAGUGGUAAAAAAGUUGAGUUGCCAACACCCAAGCCACAUGUUGAAGAGGAAGAAGAAAAAGAGACAAAGAAGAGGGAGGAAAUCAAAGGAAAGAAGAAAGAUAUCAGUGAAGGGAAAGAGGACCAUGAUUCAAUAGUGAAUGCAAAUCCGGAGAAAAUACUUAUUAAGGAAGAAAUUGAAGAAACACACCUCUCCACCUUUUUCUCAAGCUUUGCAUGGGAAAAAGAGGAUAAAAAAUGCAUAAAAAAUUCUUGAAGUAUUGAGACAAGUGAAAGUCAAUAUUCCAUUGCUGGAUAUGAUUAAACAAGUUCCAACACAUGCAAAAUUCCUAAAGGACUUGUGUACUAUCAAAAGAGGGUUGAAUGUAAACAACAAAGCCUUCUUGACUGAGCAAGUAAGUGCUAUCAUACAAUGCAAGUCUCAUUUGAAGUACAAAGGUCCGGGAUGUCCUACCAUUUCAGUCAUGAUUGGAGGAAAGGUAGUGGAGAAAGCUUUGUUAGACUUGGGAGCAAGUGUGAAUUUGCUACCAUACUCUGUCUACAAGCAAUUGGGACUUGGUGAAUUGAAGCCAACAUCAAUCACUCUAUUUCUAGUAAAUAGAUCAGUGAAAUUUCCAAGGGAGGUAAUUGAAGAUGUCUUAGUUCAAGUUGAUAAUUUCUACUAUCCAGUAGAUUUUGUUGUUCUUGAUAUGGACCCUACUGUCAAGGAAGCUAAUUAUGUUCCUAUAAUCCUUAGAAGGCCAUUCCUUGCUACCUCAAAUGCAAUCAUCAACUAUAGGAAUGGACUCAUGCAACUCACUUUUGGCAACAUGACACUUGAGCUCAAUAUCUUUUAUAUGUCUAAAAAGCAAAUCACUCCGGAAGAAGAAGAAGGUUCAGAGGAGGUAUGCAUUAUUGACACUCUAGUGGAGGAGCACUGUAAUCAGAAUAUGCAAGACAAGUUGAAUGAAAGUCAUGGGGAUCUUGAAGAAGGGUUGCCUAAACCCUCUAAUGUGCUUGCUACUCUACAAGGUUGGAGGAGGAGAGAAGAGAUUCUACCUUUGUUCAAUAAAGAGGAGGCACAAGAAGUUUCUAAAGAAGAGAUCCCAAAGCUCAAUUUGAAGCCUUUGCCCAUGGAGUUGAAAUAAACAUACCUGGAAGAGAAUAAAAAAUGCCCUAUUGUUAUAUCUUCAUCUCUUACUAGUCCUCAGGAAAAGUGUCUACUUGAAGUUCUCAAGAGGUGUAAGAAAGCAAUAGGAUGACAAAUAUCUGACUUGAAAGGCAUUAGUCCUUGAUUCGACUCAUGGUAGCUUAGCUUUAAAGGCGUAUCAACAAAAUUUAUACCUUAAAUACUAUUACUAAAGUAGCCAAGCUACUAUAGCAUAGUGGUUCUAGGAUCGUUCACUGGGAAGGGUUUUCGCAAACACAAGUGAUAUUCAAAUUAGGAAAAUAAGUGAUUUUCUUAUGGAUGUUAGCUUUAAAAGAAGAUGUAAAUGUUUUAGAAAGAUUUAAACUAAUCUAAGCUAACAUUAAAGACUAAAAUGAAAGGGUGUAAAAACAAGUUUCUCAAAGAUAGGAUAGCUAUGCUCUGGCUCUUAUGCAAAUUGGAAAUCUCAGGAUAGGCUCCUCGCGUUGGGGUUGCAACUAUGGUGAUGCUUGCUUCCCGAACCGGUAUGGAUUUAGCAAAUCAAGUUUUAAUCCUUUAAAAUGACAAAACAGAUGGUAGUGAAUUUCAUCAAUGGUUAUUCACCUUAGACUUCCUUUGAAUGGCUCGUAAGAGAUAACUAAUGGUCUAAAGCCAAAAGCUUACCAAAUAUUGGCAACUCAAAGUCAUUCCAGGUGAUAAACUCACCUUUCAAUGGCCAUUGAAAUUGGUUCUAACGGAUUAAUGCAAAACUUGGAAUUGAAAACCUCACCUUCCAAUAGCUCGUAGGAGAUAACUAAUGGAUAGAAAUCCAAAAGCUUAUCAAGUAUUGGCCGUUGGAAGUUGUCCAAAGGAAAUAAAAACCAAACUUUGCAUUAAUGAACCUUUAAUGAAAAACGUCUACCUUACCUUCCAGGUGCGAGAAAUUUCCAUGGGAUUGCAUCCAAGCCAUCACAUAACCUCCAUACUUUGAGAAACUAAAAGUUUUAGCCAAUCAUCCUUUGAGGAAAAGCCCUCAGAGGCUGUUUGGCUACUAAGAAAAUAGAAAUAGUAAAGAGAAAAGAGAGACGAGAGAGCUCUGUAUAUCCCUCAGUGUAAAACGUAACACGCAUGUUCUUUAUCUUCCAAGAGGUGAUUUCCACCCCUUAUAUAGUCUUUACAAAAGCAAAAGCUUGUGAUUGGUUAGUUACAAGGAUAAGAAAGGAAAUUACAUCACAAAAUACAAAGGAAAAUAUCUAAAGUGGAGUCGGCAAAAACAGAGGAAAAUUCGCACCACGCAUGGGUUAUGCGAAUUUUGAAGGUGUUAUGCGAAUUUCGCAUAACACCUUGUGUUGUGCGAAAUUUUCGCACAACCUGGAGCAGUUGGCUUCCGAAGGCCAUAUCUUCCUUAUUUCAGCUCCAAAUCAUACACGGUUUAAAGCGUUGGAUUCUUGACUUCCUGAGCUUUGAAAUGGUAUAUAGUAUGUAGAAAAUGGACUUCGGAAAGUGCUCCAAAAGUGCGAAAGAAGACUGAAGAUGCUGUCCUCUUUGCUUCUCUUCAAUUUGCUUCACUCCUUGCAUACUUUGAACGACUUUGGCAAAGGGCUAUGGAGCUCCAAAGCUUGGUUCUUCAUGAAUUUGAUCUUCCAAAAGCUUUUCCAUAACUUGUCCAAGUAACUCCUCCAUCAUUUGGCAUGCUUGAAUUGAUUCAUAAGCUGAUAAAAACAUGUAAACUUGCCACAAAAUGGUUAAAACCAAUUACUAAGGACCUUAAUAAAUUAAUUGGGUUAAAUGAAUAUGAUUACUACUCAAAGGUGCUUAAAACCAUUAUAAUUAAGUCUACAAAAUAGCACUUUUUGGUAGUAAUCAGUCCUUUGGUUUGUACACAUCAUAUAUACAUGGAGGAAGAAGCUAAACCAAUUCGUCAGCCUCAAAGAAGAUUGAAUCCUCAUUUGCAAGAGGUGGUGCGAGUUGAAGUGCUGAAGCUACUUCAAGUAGGUAUUAUCUACCCCAUAUCUGACAGCCCUUGGGUGAGUCCUACUCAAGUGGUACCAAAGAAUUCAGGGAUUACUAUGGUUCAAAAUGAAAAAAGAGAAGAAAUUACUACACGCCUCACUUCAGGUUGGAGGGUGUGUAUAGAUUAUAGAAAAUUGAAUGUUGUGACAAGGAAAGAUCAUUUUCCAUUGCCAUUUAUUGAUCAAGUCUUGGAGAGAGUCUCUGGCCAUCCUUUCUAUUGUUUCUUGGACGGAUACUCCGGAUAUUUCCAAAUUGAAAUUGAUGUUGAAGAUCAAGAGAAGACCAUUUUCACAUGUCCACUUGGAGCAUAUGCCUAUAGAAGAAUGCCUUUUGGUUUAUGCAAUGCACCUGCAACAUUCCAAAGAUGUAUGCUAAGUAUCUUUAGUGAUAUGGUGGAGCGAAUUAUGGAGGUUUUCAUGGAUGACAUCACCAUAUAUGGAGGUACAUUUGAAAAAUGCUUAGUCAACUUGGAAGCGGUUCUUAAUAGAUGCAUUGAGAAGGACUUGGUGCUUAAUUGGGAGAAAUGUCAUUUUAUGGUACAUCAAGGAAUUGUCCUUGGCCAUAUCAUCUUCGAGAAAGGCAUUGAAGUUGAUAAAGCAAAGGUGGAACUUAUUGUCAAAUUGCCAUCCCCAACAACUGUAAAAGGAGUAAGGCAAUUCCUUGGCCAUGCAGGGUUCUAUAGGAGAUUUAUAAAAGAUUUCUCUAAGCUUUCAAAGCCUCUUUGUGAACUUUUAGCUAAAGAUGUUGAGUUUAUAUGGGAUGAAAGAUGUCAAAAGAGUUUUGAUCAACUGAAGCAAUUCUUGACAACAACUCCAAUAGUGAGGGCUCCUAACUGGCAACUGCCCUUUGAAGUAAUGUGUGAUGCCAGUGACUUUUCUAUAGGAUUUGUGCUUGGCCAAAGAGAAGAUGGAAAGCCCUAUGUGAUCUACUAUGCAAGCAAGACAUUGAACGAAGCUCAAAGGAACUACACAACUACAGAGAAAGAAUUGUUAGUUGUAGUGUUUGCCUUAGACAAGUUUUGUGCUUAUCUAGUAGGGUCUUUCAUCAUUGUUUUCACUGACCAUUCAGCCUUGAAGUAUUUAUUGACAAAACAAGAUGCAAAAGCAAGGUUGAUUAGAUGGAUUCUCUUAUUACAAGAGUUCGAUCUCCAAAUCAGAGAUAAGAAAGGAGUGGAGAAUGUGGUAGCUGACCACCUUUCAAGGUUAGUUAUAGCACACAAUUCCCAUGUCCUACCUAUUAAUGAUGAUUUUCCUGAGGAAUCACUCAUGUUGCUAGAAAAAACUCCUUGGUAUGCUCAUAUUGCUAACUAUUUAGUUACUGGUGAAGUUCCAAGUGAGUAGAAAGUACAAGACAGGAAGCACUUCUUUGCAAAGAUUCAUGCUUAUUAUUGGGAAGAGUCUUUCCUUUUCAAGUAUUGUGCAGAUCAAAUAAUAAGGAAGUGUGUCCCUGAAGAAGAGCAACAAGGAAUCCUCAGCCAUUGCCAUGAAAGUGCAUGUGGAGGCCACUUUGCCUCUCAAAAAACAGCCAUGAAGGUGUUGCAAUUAGGGUUUACUUGGCCAUCACUCUUCAAAGAUGCCCACAUCAUGUGUAGGAGCUGUGAUAGAUACCAAAGGCUCAGGAAGCUAACAAAAAGAAAUCAAAUGCCUAUGAACCCCAUUCUAAUAGUUGAUUUCUUUGAUGUUUGGGGCAUUGACUUCAUGGGACCUUUCCCAAUGUCUUUUGGUAACUCUUAUAUCUUGGUGGGGGUGGACUAUGUUUCUAAAUGGGUUGAGGCAAUCCCCUGUAAACACAAUGAUCACAAGGUGGUUCUCAAGUUUCUCAAAGAGAACAUCUUCUCAAGAUUUGGGGUGCCCAAGGCCAUAAUCAGUGAUAGAGGUACUCAUUUUUGCAAUAGACCCUUUGAAACCCUAUUAGCCAAGUAUGGAGUGAAGCAUAAGGUAGCUACACCUUAUCACCCUCAGACUUCCGGGUAAGUUGAGCUAGCAAACAGGGAAAUCAAGAAUAUAUUGAUAAAGCUGGUGAUUACGAGCAAAAGAGAUUGGUCUAUUAAGCUUUAUGAUUCACUAUGGGCAUAUAAAACAGCUUACAAGACUAUUCUUGGCAUGUCUCCAUAUCGCCUAGUCUAUGGCAAAGCAUGACAUCUCCCUGUGGAAGUUGAAUAUAAGGCUUGGUGGGUAAUCAAGAAGUUAAACAUGGACUUGAUCAGAGCCAGGGCAAAGAGGUGCUUAGACCUUAAUGAGAUGGAGGAAUUAAGAAAUGAUGCUUACAUCAAUUCCAAAGUUGCAAAACAGAGGAUGAAGAGGUGGCAUGAUCAAUUAAUCUCCAAUAAAGAAUUCCGGAAAGGACAAAGAGUCUUACUCUAUGAUUCAAGGCUCCAUAUCUUUCCUGGGAAGCUUAAGUCAAGGUGGAUAGGCCCUUUCAUUAUUCACCUAGUGCAUCCCAAUGGAGUGGUGGAAUUACUGAAUUCCAAUAGCACUGACACUUUUAAAGUCAAUGGUCAUCGUCUCAAGCCAUUCAUUGAGCCAUACAAGCAAGAAAAUGAGGAAAUCAACCUCCUUGAGCCAUAGAAAGCCUAAUCAGAAAAGGGUUAGAUGGGCUUGGUUUCACCAAAGUCCAUAUUUUUGUUAAAUUUUGUUAAUUUAAAAGCUUUAUUAAUUCUUUUGAUUUUAAUUUUGGUCUUAAGUUUUGUUAUUUAUAUGUAACUUAAUUUUUUUGAAUGAUCUAAUGUAGGAGGAAUUGCAAAGAAAAUGAAGAAAGGUCUCUUGGAGCUAAAAAGGAGUUCAAAACCAAGGGAAAAUUCAUGGCCUGCGAGAUUUCGCAGAAAAAUGAGGCCUCUGUGAAAAUGGCCCUUGCUGCGAAAUCAUUUCGCAGCCCCAUGCCCCCUUCUGCGAAAAUUUUCGCAGUUGCGAAACCCCCUCUUGGCACACGAGUGCCAUUUCGCAACACAGUACCCCCAUUUCGUAGCUGUGAAAUGGCUGCUGAUUCGACUCAUGGUAGCUUAGCUUUAAAGGCGUAUCAACAAAAUUUAUACCUUGAAUACUAUUACUAAAGUAGCCAAGCUACUAUAGCAUAGUGGUUCUAGGAUCGUUCACUGGGAAGGGUUUUCGCAAACACAAGUGAUAUUCAAAUUAGGAAAAUAGGUGAUUUUCUUAUGGAUGUUAGCUUUAAAAGAAGAUGUAAAUAUUUCAGAAAGAUUUAAACUAAUCUAAGCUAACAUUAAAGACUAAAAUGAAAAGGUGUAAAAACAAGUUUCUCAAAGAUAGGAUAGCUAUGCUCUGGCUCUUAUGCAAAUUGGAAAUCUCAGGAUAGGCUCCUCGCGUUGGGGUUGCAACUAUGGUGAUGCUUGCUUCCCGAACCGGUAUGGAUUUAGCAAAUCAAGUUUUAAUCCUUUAAAAUGGCAAAACAGAUGGUAGUGAAUUUCAUCAAUGGUUAUUCACCUUAGACUUCCUUUGAAUGGCUCGUAAGAGAUAACUAAUGGUCUAAAGCCAAAAGCUUACCAAAUAUUGGCAACUCAAAGUCAUUCCAAGUGAUAAACUCACCUUUCAAUGGCCAUUGAAAUUGGUUCUAAUGGAUUAAUGCAAAACUUGGAAUUGAAAACCUCACCUUCCAAUAGCUCGUAGGAGAUAACUAAUGGAUAGAAAUCCAAAAGCUUAUCAAGUAUUGGCCAUUGGAAGUUGUCCAAAGGAAAUAAAAACCAAACUUUGCCUUAAUGAACCUUUAAUGAAAAACGUAUACCUUACCUUCCGGGUGCAAGAAAUUUCCAUGGGAUUGCAUCCAAGCCAUCACAUAACAUCCAUACUUUGAGAAACUAAAAGUUUUAGCCAAUCAUCCUCUAAGGAAAAGCCCUUAGAGGCUGUUUGGCUACUAAGAAAAUAGAAACGGGAGAACAGGAGAAGAGAGAAAAACAGAGCAAGGCUCCGUCUGUAUAUAUGCGUCUAUGUCUUCAAGAGGUGAUUUCCACCCCUAAUAUAGUCUUUACAAAAGCAAAAGCUUGUGAUUGGUUAGUUACAAGGAUAAGAAAGGAAAUUACAUCACAAAAUACAAAGGAAAAUAUCUAAAGUGGAGUCGGAAAAGGCAGAGCAAAAUUCGCAACACGCAUGGGUUAUGCGAAUGUUAUGCGAAUUUCGCAUAACACCUUGUGGAAUGCGAAAUUUUCGCAUAACCUGGAGCAGUUGGAUUCCGAAGGCCAUAUCUUCCUCAUUUCAGCUCCAAAUCGUGCAUGGUUUGAAGCGUUAGAUUCUUGACUUCCAGAGAUUUGAAAUGGUAUAUAGUAUGCAAAAAAUGGACUUCGGGAAGUGCUCCAAAAGUGCGAAAGAAGACUGAAGCUGCUGUCCUCUUUGCUUCUCUUCACUUUGCUUGCUUUUCCUCUUUGCUUCUCUUUGCUUGUGCUCGUGUUUCCACUUGAAAUUCAAGCCUGUAAAUGUCCAAAAUCCUUGCUUUAACUUGUCCAAGUAGCUCCUCCAUCAUUUGGCAUGCUUGAAUCAAUUCAUAAGCUGAUAAAAACAUGUAAACUUGCCACAAAAUGGUUAAAACCAAUUACUAAGGACCUUAAUGAAUUAAUUGGGUUGAAUGAAUAUGAUUGCUACUUAAAGGUGCUUAAAACCAUUAUAAUUAGGUCUACAAAAUAGCACUUUUUGGUAGUAAUCAGCUGCAAAAUCCCCAAAGCGUGAAAUCUCCAAUUUUCGUAGCCAAAGCCCCAUUUCGCAAGGUGUUUCGCAGUUGCGAAAGACCCCCUUGGCACACGAGUGCCAUUUCGUAGCACAGUAGCCUCAUUUUGCAGUUGCGAAAUGGGCUGCGAAAAGGGCCCUCCGCUGCGAAAUCCACCCUCCUCUGCAAAAAUUAAAACGACCCUUGGCAUCCAAUUUUUUAACGGUAUAAAUUCCACAUUUCUAAUAAACCGGUCAUUUGAACUUCAAACAGGUGCCAGAGAAGAGCCAAAACAGAGCAACCUUCCAUUUUCUCCCUCCUAUAUGAGCCUAAGCUACGCGUGCCUCCGCCCAUCUCCUUCGGUCAGCCAUGGCAAGAACCCGAGGAGCUAAGUCUUCGUCUCUGUCAAGCCGCAAGAGAGCCGCAAAUGAGACCCCUGUUCAAGGCUCCAUGUUCGAGCCUCCGCGACCACGAGUCGUCCCACCUCCAGUUGAGGACGCACCGAUGAGUCCUCCGGUAAGGCGCUAUCAAACCAGGUCAAGUAGCCAUCCCCCGAAGAAGAAAGCUAGGGUAUCCGAGCCAAAGCUAAUUGACUUAUCAAAGCCGUCUUCAGAGCCUCUACAAGAGCCUCACCGUUCUCAGCCACCAUCCAAAGAGCCUCAACUGUCUCAGCCACCAGCUACAAAUUCUCAGAUUCCCUCAGGCAUGACUCCUGAGAUGCUUAUUAGGCGUCCCAUGCUCACUCAGCCGCCCAUUGAGGGUAAUUUGGAUUGCAGGGCUAAGCCAUUCCACUCUGAGAUCUGCUUCGACACAGCCACUUUCAGACUUCAGCUCGAGCUCAGGGACUCCUUCCAUCUGCUACAGAGGUACCAUAUGGAGCAUUUGCUAACUCCCAAGGAUUUUUUCUGUCCCCGUGUAGCAAUGGACUUCUAUCAGUCCAUGACCACACACCAGGUCUGAGAUCUUACUGUUAUCCACUUCACCAUAGACGGACAUCAUGGCAUUCUGGGAGCUAGUACAUAGUAGAGGCAUUGCGUAUUCCCUACGAGCCAGCCCAUCCAGAGGAUUAUCGAGUCUGGACUCAUCCUGCCCAGAGCGACAUAGUUCAUAUUCUGUCCAGAGGAGCAUCCUCGCGCCAGUAUCUAUUGAGGAAGGAGCUCCCUCAUAGCAUGUUUUUCAUAGAUGCACUCCUGCGCCAUAACAUCUUUCCACUUCUGCAUUGGGUGCAGAGGAGAGGAGUUUUGCUAGAGGCAUUGUUCAAGAUAUCUAAGGGAUUCUUCUUUGGCCCUCAUCAUCUCAUUAUGGCCGCUCUUCUGUACUUCGAAGAGAAAGUCCAUAGGAAGAAGCUGCUCAGAGCGGAUGCUAUUCCACUUCUCUUCCACAGAUUGCUAUGUCAGAUUCUGGAGCACUUGGGGUAUCCAUCUGACCCUCAGCUUGAGUGCAAACGUAUUUGCCGAGAGAUAUUCACUCUCAAAAAAUGGAUGAAUAUGACAGCCUAUAGUGCAGACCAGGGAGCCCCAACUGGAGCAGAGCAUCCAGAGCAGCCAGAGGAGCCACAGCCGGUUGAGAUACCAGCUGACAUGAGAGCACCUACCCUUGCAGUGCCCUCUACAAAGCCUAUACCAGAGGUUGCACCCUCUGCUCCUCCUACCACACCACGGACUCCCCCUGUUAUUCCAGCUACAUCAGAGCCCUCUCCUUCAUCUGAGCCUAGGAUUGCUAUAUUCAUUUCCGAGUACAGAGGUCUAUGUCACACUUUACAGGCAUUGACCACUUCUCAGAGCAUCCUUACUUAGGAGAUGACAGCUCUUCGUGCUCACCAAGAGCACAUUAUCGCCACUCAGACUAAGCAUACUACCAUCUUGAGGCAGAUUCAGCACCACCUGGGUAUUCCAUCAGCUCCUGAGCACCCCAUUCCUAUCUUCUCAAAGCCCACAAAGCCAUCACAGGCCCCUCUUUUCGUAAAGCAGGCUUUUCCCUCUGAGGAGCCGACUACAGGAGAUGCAGAGACAUCCACCUGAGCCAUCAUCAUCUUCCCUCUAUCUGAUCAUUUCCAUACUUUUCUUUAUGUAUUUGCAUUUGUAAUCCCAUGCUUUUGAUAUUUUAUAUAUUGGGAUUGGUUGUAUUACUUGUUUACCUUUAUAUUGUACUUUCAUGAAGUAAUACAAAUCUAUCAAUUUUUUAGCACUCUUAGCAUUGUUUUAUUUUAAUUCCUCUACUCAUAUCUUUUGUUGUUUUUGAAACAUGUGGUUUCUCCUAAUCUAAUCGAACUUCAUAUCACUCAGGAGCUACCACUUCCUCCCUGUAAUUUCAAUCGCUCAUGUCACAUUGAGGACAAUGUUCAGCUUGGUUGGGGGGAGAGUUGAGGAAGGAAGUUUUUUGUUGUUAAUACUAAGUAUUUUCGUAAUUUAUUUUAUUUUUGUUUAAUUUAAAAAUUUUUUUGUAAGUUUUUAUUCCACUCUCCAUGGUUAUUAAGGACAAAUUCUCAAAUUAAAAUAAGAGAAAUCGAAUUUUUGUUUUUACUUGACUUAGACUUUGUAUUAUGCUUAUUAAAGUUGAUGAAUUGUUGAAACUUCUAUUGAAUUCAACUUUAGUUCUUCCACUUUAAGCUAUUCACACACUGUGCAAAAUAGGUUCCGAGUAUAAGAUGAAAAACUAUUUCCCUCUUGACUUAGGAAAAUUUAGACUUGGUACCUUUGACCUCAUUUAAUAGUGUUGGGACACCUUAUAAAAGGCCAAUGAGCCUUUGAAAAAAAAAGAGAAAGAAAGAAAAAUGUUUGCUUGCCUUGAAACCCGAGCAAGGUCUGAGGGGUAUAUGGUGAAAAUCUUUAAAACCUGGUGCCCUAAGCCUUCAUUGGUUGGGAGUCACCGACCUCAAUGCUCGUUACAAGGGUGAAUAGGUGGAGUUUAACAUACUGUAGGUGCUUGGGUAUUAAAAUUCAUUCUCAAAAGUCCGAGGUAAAAUCCGAGGAGUUAGUGGUUGAAAGAUCCUUAAAGCUUGAUGCCCUAAACCUUAAUUGGUUGGGAGUCAUCGAUGGACCCCCGUUUCAUGGACAAUUUAGAAAAGAAUACCUUUAAGCCUUGUACUCCUACAAUGAAAAAAAAAUGUGAAAUAAAAGGGUGCAUUCUUAGCCUAUUGAAUUUGGUCAGUUUGCUAAGUGUUGAAAAAUAACUAGGUUAGGGGGAGAGACUAGUUUAGCAUACUAUAUUCGGAAGCUAUCAAGUAACACUUAGAUUUUUGUGGAAGAGUAAGGUUUGGUCCUUUGGAAGUGGAAAUGAUUUUAAAGCUUCAAUUUGCAUAAUACCUUCUCUUUAUGAAUUGUGAUUAAGUAAAGUAUUUGAUAACUCUUGCUGAAAUUUGAGUUUUAUAUCUUUAAUGUCCCAUGUGAGAGUUUGAUCAUCAUGCCACUUAAAAAUUUUUGAAGUGAUCAGCAUGAUUUUGUAAAGUAUAUUACUGUUUAGUUUAUUUUUUUCUCUCCUUUAUUGCUAAGAGACUAGCAAUAUGUCGGUUGGGGGGAGUGAUUACUACUCAAAAAGUGCUAUUCAAUAGCUUGUAAUUAACUCUUUUAAACACUUUUGAGUAGUAGUUAUUACCUUUUAACCCAAUUAGCAUAUUAAGUACCUUUGCAAUCGUUUCUAAUCAAAUUGUGUAAGUUUUGGUGCUUUUGAUAGUAAUUUGAUCACCAAAGCAAUCCAAGAUUAAGGAGAGCUCUAUGGAAUCCAUGGCAAAGCAAUUGGAAUCUCAUUUACAUGAAGAACCUAAGCUUUGAAGCUUUAUAGUCCUUUGUCAUAAACAAAUCAUGAAUGCAAGGAUGAAAGCGAAGAGAGAAAUCUAACAUGAAGAAUUCAAGAGGACAUCAACUAUUUGACACUUUUGGAGCACUUUUUGAAGUCCAUUUGAUGCAUACUAUAUGUCGUUUCGAAUCUCGGGAAGUCAGAAAUCCAAUGCUUUAAACAGUGUACAAAUCGGAGUUGAAAUGAAGAAGUUAGAGCCAUUGGAAGCCGAUCACACCAAGUUGAAGGCCAAUUUCGCAGGCUGUGAAAUAAUUUCGCAGCCAUCUUAUACGUCUGCGAAAUUUCGUAGCCAUUUUGUGCGCCUGCAAAAUUCUCCUGAGUGCUUCUAGAUAUUUGCGACCGACAUUUUUUGAUAUUUUGCAUCAGACAUUUGAUGUCUAAAUCCCCAUUUUCUCCUUGUAAUCCACCAAUUAUAGGAUUCCUUAGUUAUUAAGCAAGAAAAAAAGGUGAAUAACCUGAUAUAUAUUGUUUUUGUAAUUUUCAUUACAGACAUCUCGGGAGCUUGUUCUCAGAGACAACUUUUUGUAUAGUUUUUGAAAGGAAUUAAAAUAUAGAGCUUUGCUCUGCCUUACCUACUCAAUUUGAUUGUAUUUUUCAUUACUAGCCAAACAAGCUCUGAGGAUGUUUUCUCAGAGAAUGGGUUGCUAGACUUUUUGUCUCUUGGAGCUAAGGUAGCCGAGGGAGGUGUCAAAUGCAAGAAUUGAGAGUUUUGUUGUUUCAGCUGUUAAUGAAGAGAAAGUGUAACCUGUUUAUGGUUUCUAUAUUUUUAGUUAACUUAAAACGCCUUCAAUUCACCUGGGCCAACACUUGGUAAUGCAAGUGAUCUCCGUCCACUGAGAUGCACUAGUUUACCUCUUGUGAGCCUUUGGGAGGUGACUUGAAGGUAGGAUUUUCUAGAAUUGCCAACACUUGGUAAGCUUUUGGACUCUAAGGAGACAUCCAUUAGUUAUCUCUUGCGAGCUUGAGAAGGGAAGUCCAAGGUUAAUGAUCACCUUGAAUGGGAAAUGCUAAGUGAGAGGCACGAGCCAUUGCAAGAUGCAUCAGUGAGAGGGAAUUAGUACUGAAAUCCAUAAAAGGGGAGCAUCUGUACCACACCGGUUGGAGAAUGAACUAUAUGUUAAUUCUCCAAUGCGAGGAAAAGAACCAAAGUGACCGGAACUCUGUUUUUGCAUGAGGAGCCUGACCCCAGUGAUCCUAAAACUCCAAGAAACGUUUUUCUUUAUAAGUAAUUCCCAUUACUUUCUUUUUAGUUAGCUUGAAACCAAACCUUUUUCAACUAAAGUUUAUGUUUUCUUUUGAAGCUAACCUUGAAAUGAAAAGGCACCAAUUCAACUUUGAAUUGGUAUCAGUUGUAACUUGAAAACCCUUCCCAGUGAACGAUCCUAGAGCCACUAUGCUAUACUAGCUUAUGCUAUCCUAGUGCAUGUUGAUAUAGGUUAUAAAUUUUGUUGAUUACUCCCAUCAGGGGACCAAAAUCAAGGUACACCAGCUGGGCACGAAUCAUUUAAUCUUGUAUCCAUUGGGUCCUUUGAUAAGUUUCUUGGAUAUCCUUUUGAAUUUCCAAACUAAAACUUGAAAUUCUUUUAAUUUAAAAUAAUUAGCAACUUAACCAUGGUUUGUUAUCAUUAAAACACGAUUAGGAGAACCUUUGGGCUAACAUAGUAUGUUAAUGAGCCUAUUUAUUUUUCAAAUUUUUUAUAUGAUUAUUUAAUAAGAUUAUUGUUAAAUUACUAUGGAUGCAAUUUAGGGAAGACAAAGACCCUAAUUGUUUUUUUUAUUUUUAUUGUUUGCAAACUUAAUGAAUUAUUUUGAGUUAUGUUAUUUAAAUUGUUGGAUUAAUUUUACAUAAUAUAUUAUUGUGACAUUAUAAUAUAAAAAUAAGUAAUAUCAUUUAGUUACCUUCAAUUCUAUUACUAUAGCUAUUUGAUAGACAGUAUUAAUUUAGUAAUGUUAUUUUAAUAGUUUAAACCAUAGGAAAUAUAAUCUAAGCUUAAAAUAUUAAUAUUUAUGUUUUUUAAAUGAUAUAUAAUGUACUUAUUUUUCUAAGGAAUGUAUUUAUUUUUAAGUUAAGAUGUACUUAUUUUCAAAUAGGAUGCACUUAUUUUUUCCAAUGACGUACCUAGUAUCAAAGCAUGAUAGAUGAGAUGUGCGAACAUCAUAAAUGCAUGCCUAGACCUAUAAAAAUGGAUGAUCUUGUCCAAUAUCUUGUUCAAUAUGCUUUGAUAAAAGGUACAUCAUUGGCAAAAAUAAAUGUAUCCUAUUUGAAAAUAAGUACAUCUUGUUUAAAAAUAGGUACACCAUAUGUAUAUCAUGCAUGUGACUCAUUUGCUCUAAUUUGGACAUGAUCUUCCAUUUUUGUAGGCCUAGGCAUGCAUUUAUUGACAUAAGCUAUAUUGGACAAGGGCUUUCACUUUUAUGGGCCUUGGAAUGCAUUUGAAGCUUUUAGCCAUCCCAUUUUGCAUCCUAGAACCCUAGGUACAUCAAUUGGAAAAAUAGAUACAUGGCAUUGAAAAAUAAGCACAUCUUCACAAAAAAUAAGUACAUCUCAUUUAAACUAUAUACCUAACGCAUUUGUCCUAUUUUGGACAUGAGCUUUUACUUUUAUAGGCCUCAAAAUGUAUUUAGGGUCUUCCCACAUCCCAUUUUGUAUCCUAGAACCUUAGGUACAUCCCUUGGAAAAAUAGGUACAUUGUGUUAAAAAAUAUGUACAUCUUUUGAAAAAUAAGUACUUUGCAUUUAAAUUGUAUAACUGACUUAUUUGGCCAAUUCUAAGUAUGAUUUUUCACUUUUAUAGGUCUUGAGAUGCAUUUGAGGCCUUCACACAUCCCAUUUCACAUCGUAGAACUUUGGGUAUAUCCUUAGGAAAAAUAAAUACAUCAUAUUGCAAAAUAGUACAUUCCCUUAAAAAAUAAGUACAUAUUAUUUUCAUUCUAUGGGUGACUUGUUUGGCUUAUUCCUAUCAUGCACUUUCACUUUUAUAGGUCUCAUAAUGCUUUUGAGGCCCUCACACAUCUCAUUUCUCAUUCUAAAACCUUGGGUACAUCCCUUGAAAAAGUAGGUUCAUCUUGUUGAAAAAUAAGUAUAUCAUCUUAAAGCAUAAGCACAUCGAAUUUACAUUGUAUAACUGAUUCAUUUCACUUCUUAUACACAUUCAUUAUUUAUUUGAGUUAUAGGUUCAAGUGACUAAUUCUGGAACAAGCAUAAAGCAUAAUCAAGUUGCUUAACUUUACUUAUGUACUACUAGUUAAGCAUGACACAUUAUGGUAUAUCAUUCAUGAAUAUGAAUAGGUAUAAGACUCAUCAUUCAUUCUAUAGGAAAAAGGGAACAUUUUAUGAACACUAUGUACACAAGUCAUUUGAUAGUAAUUAAGACAACAUGUAUGUUCUUUGUCCUAUCACGCAUUAAAAAAAAAUUAGUUUAGUUUUUAAGAUCAAUUUCAUUAUUAUUUGGUUUCGAUGUUAUGUAGCUAUUUUUUUCCUAUGGAUGCACAAAAGGUUCCAUGAUAUACUAAUUUUUCCUUGUCCAAAAUAGGCCAAAUGAGUAUUUUAAUUUAAUGUAAAUGCAAUGUACUUAUUUUUUAAGUGAAUGUACUUAUUUUUUAACAUGAUGUACCUAAUUUUCCAAUGGAUGUAACUAUGGGUUCUAGGAUGUGGAACAAGAUAUGGGAAGACCUCAAAUGUAUCUUGAGGCCUGUAAAAGUACAAGCUCAUGUCCAAAAUAGACAAAUGAGUCACCUAUACAAUUUAAAUAUUUAAGAGGGUGUAAUUAAUUUUCAACACAACGUACCUAUUUUUCCAAGGGAUGUACCUAGGUUCUAGGAUGCAUAAUGAGAUAUGGGAAGACCUUAAAUGCAUCUUAAGGCCUAUAAAAAUAAAAGCCCAUGUCCAAAAUAAGCAGAAUGUCACCUUUACAAUGUAAAUGCAAUGUACUUAUUUUUUAAGUGGAUUCACUCAUUUUUCAAUGGGAUUUUUUAACUUUUGUAGCAAUUUUUAAAAAUAAUUAUUAAAAAAUGGUAGUUGGGAAAAUAUUAAUAGAUCUACGGCGGUUUUGGCCACGUGGAAGGUGUCUUUUGAAGAGACACCUUCCACAAUUUUCAAAAUCAUGAUACUAAUUUAAAAGAAUUGAAUUUAAGCUAAAGGUGUCUCUUCAAGAGACACCUUCUACAAUCCCAGAAAAUUGGAUUUAUAUUAAAGGUGUCUCUUGAAAAGACACUUUCCACGUGGCAAAAAAUCCAAUAUGAAUUAAAGGUGUCUCUUCAAGAGACACCUUCUACAAUUCCAAAAAAUUUUAAUUUAUACAAAAUGUGUCACUUAAAGAGACACUUUCCACAAUUCCACAAUUCCAUAAAUUCCAAUAUAUAUUAAAGGUGUCUCUUCAAGAUACACCUUCUACAAUUCCAAAAAAUUGGAUUUAUACUAAAGGUGUCUCUUGAAAAGACACUUUCCAUAAUUCCAUAAAAUCCAAUAUGUAUUAAAAAUUGUGGAAAUGAUUUUAAAGCUAAAGAUGUCUCUCUUCAACAUAAAUUCGAAAUUUUCCACUGUGUAUGGAAAUUGUGGACAAUGUCUCUUCAAAAGACACCUUUAGUAUAAUUCCAUUUUUUGAGAAUUGUGAAAGGUGUCUCUUCCACAAAUUUAAAAAAAAUUGGGUUUAUACUGAAGAGACACUUUCCAUAAUUUCAAUUCAAACAAUGGAAAAUUUUGAAUUUAUGCUAAAGGUGUCUCUUCAAGAGAUACCUUCCACAAUUCCCAAAAAAAUGGAAUUAUACUCAGACGCCUUUCAUAAUUUUUAAAAAAUUGGGUUUAUACUGAAAGUGUCUCUUCAGAAGAGACACUUUCCACAAUUUUCAUACACAGUGGAAAAUUUCGAAUUUUGAAAAGACAUAUUUUACAAUUCCCAAAAAAUGGAAUUAUACUAAAGGUGUCUCUUGAAGAGACACCUUCCAUAAUUUUAAAAAAAUUGGGUUUAUACUGAAAGUGUCUCUUCAAGAGACACUUUCCACAAUUUCAUACACAAUAGAAUAUUUCAAAUUUAUGCUAAAGGUGUUUCUUCAAGAGACACCUUCCACAAAAGGAAAAAAAAAUUAUAUCUCUUAAUUAGUAUUACCUGCUAUACAACCAAAUGUUUAAAGUUUAUCCCCUGUAUACAUUAUAAUCAAUAUUUUGACAUUCAAUCCAAAACCAAUGAAAAUAAGUAAACCAAAUGUCAAUUAAGUCAACACAUUUCCAAAAUAGUAACAAUACUAUUUUGUGUAAAAUAAAUCCAAAAUAGAUAGAAUACUAGAGAACUUACGUUAAUAAAAAGUUAGUUUAUCCAAAAUAUAACAAGUAUAAAUAUACAUCUUGAGUAUUUGUCAAAAAUAAUGAUAUGCAAAAUACUAACAGUAUCCAAAAUACAAGUCAUAUGUAGUAACAUCCUCAAUGUGUACCGCAUGAAGGAGCCUUCCUCUUCCAUUGUGGACAUCCAUGAUAUGCAUGCUCCACUAUUGGCUCUAUGGGGCUAACAUGUACCCCUCUAUGAGCUCGACAACCACGUCUCCUACCACGUCCUCAACCAUGUCCUCGACCAUGAUCAUUCUUUUGUCCUUGUUGAUCAUCAUUUGCUAUAUGAACUAACUUCUCAUCAACCAAUGUAACCUCUAUCGAUUGUGGUGAUGAUGCAACAAGUAGUACUAUAGGUGGGUUAGAUGGCACCUCCAUAUGUGUAAUACGAGUCUCCUCAACAGGUGGCGGGCUAAUGUCAGUCGAUGGUGCAUUUCUAAGAACAAAUGUAUGCUUAGUCACUCUCGUAUAAGCCCCUCUCCCUCUAGUCCGUACACCUCAUGAUCAAGUAAUGGAUGAUAUCAGUUGCUGAUGAGGUGGUGGAUUACAAUAAAGUGGACGUACCAUUAUGGGAAAUAGCACAUCUCAUUUGAAGAAGAGAGUCCUUUUGAUAUAAUCUAGGCAUUAAAGUUUAUCAUCGAGAUCAACUCAAAUGAAUCGCUACAUGAUUUGUACGCUCCCUUAAUUUUAUUUUCCUUAUAUUUUUUUCCUUCAUAUUAAUUCCACCACCAAAUCUGAUAAAAUCAAAAUUAAGUUUUAUAAGCCUCUAAGUGAUAAAUAAAAAAAAAAAAAAAAGCCUUCUAUCGAGAAAGGGGGUUAUUUCUGAACAUGGAGAGUCGGCAUAGAAGACCUUUAUUGAAAAUGGUGUUGAUGCUUUGAAAAGUUUGAAUGGACGAGACUCUAAGUUGAGUUGAUGGGAAGAGCAAGAGACGCAGUUUAUUGGGACUUUAAGAGAAAUAUUUUUCUCUUCCACACCAUCCUUUGACAUCAGUCACUUGUAACUCAUCAAUUGACCAACUUCGUUUAUAUGAUUUAUUAUUAUUUUUUUCCAGUUUUCUAAUGAAAAUAUUUCUUUGGUUUGAAGAAAUAUUCAUGUUAAUGGUUCGGAUAGAGAAAGAUAAGAUUGAAUCAAAUCAAAUUUAUUUUAAUUAAUCAAAUUCAAUUUAAUGUAUUCAUUUUAUACAAGAUAAACUAUUUAAUUUUAACAAAUAAAAAGAUAGUAUAUCCAUUUUUAUAUAUGAUAACUUGAUUUGAAUAUAUAUAAUUUUUUUUUUUGUAACCCCUGUUUGAUUCCAAAGAAAAUCCAUCCCCCAUUCGAUUUCCAAAAAAAUUCAUCCUCAUUUGAUUUAUGAGAAAAUCCAUGCAAAACCCCCAAGGAAAACCAAAAAAAUUGCUUUUUUUAUUUAUUUUUUUGCUCUCUAUGCUUUAUGGAUUUAUUCUAGGGGUCUCUGUGGAUGUACUCAACGUCUUAUGCAAUCAUGAAAUAACAUGAAUUGAGUGGAUGUUAUUGCAUAAUAACAUUGAUAGACAAGACUAUUAGAAAAGAGAGCACCACUUUUAUAUAUAUAAAGUAACAGUUAAGUGUGCUAAAAGUACCACCAUGCUAAAAGUGUAUUACACUUUUUAUGUACUACUUUUUCAUAAAAUAAAAUAAAUGGUACCCUCUUUUCUAAGGAUUGUGUCAAUUGGUGUUAUUGUGCAAAACACCCACUCAAUUCACAUUAUUUUAUCAUCACAUAUGACGUCGAGUAUGUAACAAGCGAUAAUAGAUCUUACCCUAAACCAAAUAAGAGAAGUACAUUCUUCCCACCACAAUGAAACUAAAAAAAGAGUGACAUAUUCUUCCCACCACAGUACUACUUUUAACAUAGUACAUUUUUCAUUCAUGAGUGGUACCAUUUUUUUUCAAAGGUUGUGUUGACUGUUGUUAUUGCACAAUAACAUCCACCCAAUUCAUGUUAUUCAAUCAUUACAUAAUACAUUAAGCAUGUAACGGGUGGUAACAUACCUUAAACCAAAGAAGAGUGAUACACUAUUUCCACCAUAGUGGUACAUUUAUCACACUUCAGUGGUAUUUUCUUUUUAUAAAUAAAUGGUAUGCACUUUUCCAAAGGUUGUAUUGAUCAAUGUUAUUAUGAAAUAACACUCAUUGAAUUCAUGUUAUUUCACCAUUAAUAAGACAUCUAGCAUGCAACGAAUGGUAACAUACCUUUGCUUAAACUAAAAAAGAGAGAUACAUCCUUCUUACCACAAUAUUACUUUUAGCAUUUUUAGCAGUACUUUUUUUCAUAAAGGAGUGGUACUAGGGAAAUGCAACUUAAGUUGCGCAAUGGUUUGAGGUGCACCAACUUAGUGUUUUAGGAGGGUACACUAUUUUUUUCUUAACACAUUUAAAAGGUAUGCAACUUCAAUAUACAAAAAUUUUAAUUUUUAAUAAAAUUAAGAGAAAAUCAAUAUAAACAAUUGAAUACAAACUUUUUAUGAAAAUACAUAUUUUUAUUUUAUAUAACUAAAAAUUAAAAAUUUGAACAAAACAAAACUUUAGAAUCACAACCAUGUUUUUAUUUUAUAUAAAUUAAAAAUAUUAAACAUUUCAACCAAGAAGAAAAUUAAAACUAUGGUCAAGUUACAUCCAUAAGAAAAAAGCUAAAACCAUGAUCAUCAAUUUUGAUUUUCACAUGAAAAUUUAAAAAUUUUUAAAAAUAUAAAAAAAUUAAAUAAUAUGACAAUAUAAGAAGAUUUAUAAAAUAAAUAAAUAUUUUAUUUAGGAGGAAUAUAAAAAGUCUUAUAUCCUAAACUUCUAAAUUUGUUAUUAUGUAUUUAUUUUUAUAUUAAAUUUGUUCUUAUUAAUUAUUUAUUAUAUAUUAUUAAUUUUUAUUUAAAUAUCUAUAAAUAAUUAAAAUCAAUAAAUAUGAACAAAUGAAAUAGUGAAAAAAAAUUAAAUUAUAAAAUUUUCAUGAAGCCAAUACAUUAAAAAUAAAUAAAAAAUAAAAAUAAAAAUAAAAAUAAAAGCAAAAAUGUGGAGAUAUUAUGGAGGGAAAAAAAAUCAUGUGACAUAGUAGAUUGUUACAUAUCAAAGUUUUUUUUUUUUUUUUAAACCAACCACGAUUAGCACUUUGACUUAUCAUGUCAAAGUAUAAAAAUAAAAAUUGUGAUAAUUAAUGUCAUGAUGAGAAAAGGGUUAGUCGUUUUGAAAAUACAUGUUUUCAAGACAUAUAUAUAUAUAUAUAUAUAUAUAUAUAUAUUGUGAAAAUAAAAAACCAAUCUCCCUUUUGAAACAGCAGAAACCUUUUGGCAAAAAACCGUGUCUUUCAUUCAUAUUUGCACGAGUAUAAAUACACACAUAUAGACUAGAUUCAAGAAGGAAUUACGACUAUAAUUGUGGGUCUGACUUUUUAUAUAUAGUAGGUACAAAUAUUAUAUGGUAUAACUGCAACUAUUAUAGGAUUGAAUCAGAGGAUGAGUUGGUCAAAGGAUACGAUAUAACUGCAACAAUCACGGGCUUGUCUCAAAGUAUGAGUUGGUCAACUAUUUUCCACAAAGACCACAUGCCGAGAAAUGAACAUUUUUGAGGUGGAUGGGUCAUAACAUCUAUAGGAAUUAUGUGAGAGAAUAGCCAAGGAAAACACAGGGUCGAGACUUGGGAUCCAAUUUAUGGCAUGUGUAGGGUUUUAGCUAGGGGUAACAAAGGCAACCAAAGAUUUUAAGUUCGAGAUAGUAGGGGGAAGGGUGAAAGAGGGUCUCAAAAGGAGAUUUGUUAUCUAAAAGUGGGAUUGGCAUCUGAUUAAUGAGGUAAAUUAUCGUUUGACAGGCAACAGGCCAAAAUUGAAGACGAAUGGAGGCUUGAUGAAGAAGAGUCAAUGUCAUCUCAAGAUUAUGUCUAUGUUGUCUUUCAGCAAUCCCUACAAUUUGUGAAGUGUAUGGAGGAGAAUAGGGGUGUUAAAUUCCAUGUUUUGGAGAGUGUGGGAUGAAGACCUGCAUAUUCCCAGGAUUGGGGUUUUGAAAUAUUUUUCUACUAGUUGCUUGAAGUUUUCAAAAAUACAAGUGGUAUCUGAUUUGUUUUUUAGAGGAUAAAGCCAUAUGUAUUUGGUGAAAUGGCCAACAAAAAUCACAUAAUAUAAAAAAUUAUCAAGGAUGUGAUAGGAGCAAGUCCCCAAAUAUAAUUAUAAAUAAGUUUAAGGGGUUUAGAGCUUAUAAGAGAAGAUGCACCAAAGGAAAGUCAAUGACUUUUAUUACAUAAGCAUGAGUUACAAGAGUCUAGAGACGACUUGGACAUUGAAAGUGAAUGACUUGAGAUGACAUGUCAGAGAAUACGUCGAUUGGGAUGAUCAAGACAACGAUAACAUUUAUUUAAGGAUGUUGGACUGGUGGUGGUGUUGUAGGCCUGAGGUGUGGAGCUUGAGUAGGGAAAAGAAGUCGGACACUCAUACAGAUUUCCCUUAAACGAGUGUUGCCCCCGUGCUCAAAUCCUUCACCAAAAAGUAAGUAGGGAAAAAUUCAAUUGAUGUACAAUUAUGUUUGCAAAACUGAGAAACAAAAAUUAAGUUUUUAUGAAUAGCUGGAGCACACAAAACAUUACCAAACAUAAAAUUUGAAUUUUUAAUAAUUAAAUUAGUAGAAUCGGUAUGAGUGAUAGAAAUACCAUUACCAUCACCAAUAAUUACAUGUCUGUACCACCAUAUUCAGAAUGAAUGGAAAGAUUCUGAAGAUCUGAAGUAAUGUGGUGUGAGGCUCCGGAGUCUAUUACCUAAUUGGCAUUAUGAGUUGGUGGUUCUCGAGCCAUGAAAUUUGCUUGUGGUGUGGAAUAGGAGGAUGGGCGAGACCUGCAGACCCUGGCAGUAUGUCUAGCUUUGUCACAUAGUUGACAAACAACACAGAUUUGAGGGGGAUUGAAUGGAGGACGCCCUUGUGGACCAAGAAAUCUAUUCCCUUGGUUAGGGAACAUGUGUCCAUGAUGAUUCUUGUUGCCUUGAUAAUUAUUUCCAAAUUGAGAACUUUGUCCUUUCUUAUUGUUUGAGUUGUUCCCCUUUUUGCCAAAGUUGUUUGAGCCCUUUUGAUUAAACUGAGUUGUAACAGUAACACUAUCCUUCUUGAAUUCUUCACGUUUUAGGAACAUUUCAUGAUCUGCUAGUUUGUCAUGUAGUUCUUCAAAGGAUAUGGAAGAAUCUCAAGCUCUUAUUGUUGCACUCAAUUCCUUGAACUCAGAUCCUAAACCUUUGAGAACACUUAUCACCAUUUCUUCUGCACCAAGAGGGGAUCCAACAAUAGCCAAUUCAUCAUCGCUCAUAGUUUUGAUUACUGUCAUAUAUUCAACAACAGAUUUAUUUUCUUUGAUGAGUUGGCUCAGCAUCUCUCGGAGUCCUAAGAUCCUAGUCUUCAAUUUGCUGGCAUAUGUGGUGUAUAGACGAGCCCAAGCCUCUUGAGCAAAUGUAGUGGAUGCAACAAGAGGGGCAAUGGUGGAAUCAACUGAUUCCAUGAUAGCAUGCAGAAGUAGGCUCUCUUGGCGUUUCCAAAUUUUGUGCUCCGGAUUGGGUGUGAAAGUGUCACCCAUUUUUAUCAUUUCUAGUGGACUUGGAUAUGUUCCAUCAACAUACCCAAUCAGAUCAUAGCCAUAAAGUAGUGUUGAGAACAUUGUUCUCCAAGAGGGAUAAAUGCUGCUACCGAUGAGUUUCAAGGGGAAGUUGUGUUGCUGCAUUAAUAGACACCAGUGCGGUUGAAGGAGUGUUUCCACAUGACAUGAUGACUCUGUGAUAUGGGAAGGGCCCGGAGGAGUAGGAGUCUUCAGCCAUAGGGAUAGGAAUAAAAGGUGGUUUCAAUGAAGAGACUACAAGAUUUGGGUGGCUGCUGGAAUAGUGACUGUGGAGUUUAUGGCUUUGAUACCAUGAAACAGCAGAAAGAUUUUGGCAAGAAACAAUAUCUUUCAUUCAUAUUUGCAUGAGUUUAUAUACACACAUAUUGACUAGAUUCAAGAGGGAAUUACAGUUAUAAUUGUGGGUCUGCCUUUUUAUAUACAGUCGGUACAAAUAUUAUAUGGUAUAACUGCAACUAUUGUGGGAUUGAGUCAGAGGAUGAGCUGAUCAAUGGAUAUGAUAUAACUGCAACAAUCACGGGGUUUUCUCAAAGUAUGAGUUGGUCACGUGAGCUGUCUAUCACCUUCUUGUUAGAAUAACUAGGGACUCACAUAAAUUAAUAAUUGUUUAUGACUGACUCAUGCCCAAUUGGUGUCUCAGCUGAUUUGUGUUCAGCUGGUGCUCCUUGAUUGAGGAAGUGAUCAACAAAAUUUAUACCUAUAACACCAUACACUAGGGUAGCAAAUACAAAGCUACUAUAGUAUAGUGGCUCUAAGGAUCGUUCACUGGGAAUGAUUUGCAAGCAAUCAAGGAUACCAAUUCCAAGUGAAUUGGUUUUGUUUCAUUUCACGGUUAGCUUAAGGAAUAAAACACAAACUUUGAUUUGUAAAGGUUGAGACUUAAACUAACUAACUUAACAGAAGUUUGGAAUAAUUUAGGAAGAAAAGCAUUCCUUGGAGAUUUAGGUUCACUGGGGUGGUUCCUCAUGCAAAAGACAUAGCUCCGGUCAGAUGGUUCAUUUCCUCGCAUUAGAGAUUCAACUUAUAGUCAAUUCUCUAACCGGUGAUGUACAGAGACUCCUUCAAUUAGAUUUCACUUUAAUUCUCUCACUGAUGUAACUUACAAUGGUUCAUGCCUCUCACGAGCACUUACCAUUCAAGGUGAUCUUUAACCUUGGAUUCCCCUUCACAAACUCGCAAGAGAUAACUAAUGGAUGCCUCCUAAGAGUCCAAAAGCUUACCAAGUGUUGGUAAUUCCAGAAAAUCCUACCUUGAAGUCACCUACCAAAGGCUCGCAAGGGGUAAACUAGUGCAUUUCCACGGUUGGAAAUCACUUGCCUUACCAAGUGUUGGCCCAGGUGACUCCAAAGUGUUUUAAGUUAACUAAAAACAUUGAAAUCACUAAAGGAUUUCACUUCCUCUUCAUUACUAGCUAAAACCACAGAGCUUUGCAUUCUUGCACUUGGAACCUUCCCCGGCAACCUUAGCUCCAAGGAAUUGGAGGUUUAGUUACUCAUUCUCUGGGGAAAACUCCUCAGAGAAUUCAUAACUUAGAAAUAAAAUGAAAAUACAAAGUGAUAAGGUAAGGCAGUAGAAAGAAAAGACCUUUACUUCCUUACCAAAUGGUUACAGAAGGAACUCCUCUCUGAGGACAGGCUCCCGAGAGGUAUUUAUAGCAAACUAAUAUAAAACUAAUUCUUACAAAGAUAUUUGGUCUUUUUACUAACUUAAAAACUAAGGAAUCAUGUAAUUGGUGGUUUACAAGGAGUAUUUUGGAAUUUAGACAACAAAAAUCUAAUGGAAAAUAUCUCCCAAUGUCGGUAGCAAGCUUCGGGAGGCUUCCGGAGCCAUUUCGCAGGAGAAAAGUGAGGUCUGCGAAAUUUCGCAGACACCCAAGAGGGCUGCGAAAUUAUUUCGCAAGACCAAGCUGUCUUCAUAGGGCUACGAAGUUGGCUUCCAUCUUGAAGUUUCCAGCUCCCUUCUCGCGGCAUGGUUCGUGCAUCGUCAGAAGGAGAAACACCUUGCUGUACAAAAGUGCUGCGAAAUUCUCGCAACAAAAGGCCGAUUCCGCAACACUUUAGAGUGACUGGCUUGUAAUGGCUGCAACUUCUUCGUUUCAACUCCAAAUUGCACACCGUUUGAAGCAUUGGAUUGUUGACUUCCUGAGCUUUGAAAUGGUAUAUAGCUUGCAUCAUUUGGACUUCAGAAAGUGCUCCAAAAGUGGCUGCUACGACUGUCAUCAAGAAUAUGCUCCAUGACUGAUCCUCUUUGCUUUUUCUCCUUGCAAUCCGGAUUCACUCUUGGCAAUUGAAUUCUAAGCUUUGCCCAUGAUUCCUCAUAGUUCUCCUCAUUCUUGACUUGCUUUGGUGAUCAAAAUACUAACAAAAACACCAAAACUUGCACAAAGUGAUCAAAAUUGCUUUAAAGGAUCCUUAACAUGCCAAUUGAGUUAAAAGGCCUAAACUACUACUCAAAAGUGUUAAAAAGGAUUAAUUAAAGGCUAUCAAAUAGCACUUUUUGAGUAGUAAUCACUCCCCCCAACCGACAUAUUGCUAGUCCCUUAGCAAUAUAGGAGAGAAAAAUGAAAAUAAAUAGCUAAUUAUACUAAAAUUUACAACAUCAUGCUAAACAAAAUCAAUUCUCAAGUGGCAUGAUGAUCUAUUUCUCACAUGAAUCAUUAAAGAAAUACAAACCCAAAUCUCAACAAGAGUCAUAACACCUAUGCUAACCACUGUCAAUCAAGGGAGUGCAUUAUGCAAACUGAAGUUUUAAAAUCAUUUCACUUUCUGAGAACUAAACUUCGAUCUUCCACAAAAAUCUAUGUGUAUUGGUUCCUUAGGUUCCGAGAAUAAUAUGCUACUAAUCUCACCCCCCAACCUAUCUCUUUUCAACACUUUAGCAAACUGACCAAAAUCAAUAAGAAAAGAACACACUUUCAUCCUUUUUUUUUUUUUUUUUUUUUUUUUUUUUUUUUUUUUUUCAAGGUAGCUUUAUGGGGUACUCUUUCUGACUUGUCCAUGUAAUGGGGGUCCAUCGAUGACUCCCAACCAAUUAAGGUUUAGGGCACCAAGUUUUAAGGAUCUUUCAACCACUAACUCCUCGGAUUUUUCCCCGGACUUUUAAGAAUGAGUUUCUAAUACCCAAGCAUCUACCAUAUGCUAGCUCUACUAUUCACCCUUGUAACGAGCAUUGAGGUCGGUGUCUCCCAACCAAUUAAGGCUUAGGGCACCAGGCUUUAAAGGCUUUCACCAUAUGCCCCUCAGACCUUGCUCGGGUUUCAAGGCAAGCAAACAACUUUCUUUAUUUCAAAGGCUCAUUGGCCUUUUGCAGGGUGUUUCAAUUUUUAUCAAAUGAGGUCAAAUAUACCAAGUCUCAAAAUUAUUCUAAGUCAAGAGGGAAAUAGUUUUUCAUCUUAUAAUCGGAAACUAAUGUGCACAGUGUGUGGAUAGCUUAAAGUAGAAGAACUCAAUUCAAUUUCAGUAGAAGUUUCAACAAUUGAACCACUUUAGUAAGCAUAAUCCAUACUCUAAGUCAAGUGAAAAACAACAGUUCAAUUUCUCUUGGUUUAAUUUGAAAAUUUUUCCUCAAAAUUCAUGGAGAAUAGAGUAACACUAGUAAAAAGUAAAAACUACAACUAAUUAACCAAUAUAAUUGCAAUACCAAAAAGGUUUAGAAUACUUCCUUCCUCAUACCCCCCAACCGAACUGAACAUUGUCCUCAAUGUGAUUUGAGUGACUGUAAUAAAAGGGAGGAAGUGGUACCUCCAUGCUGAUAUCAAAUUCGAAUAUUGAUUGGGGAAAACCACAUGUUUCAAAAAGAAUAGAAUAUGUGAGAAAAGGAAAUAAUAAUAACUUAAUGUUAACUUUUAACAAGAAAUAGUCAACUUGUAUUACUUUGAGUUCAUUUGAUUACAAUACUAAAGACAAGUAACACAAGGAAUCCCAUAUAUAGUACCAAAAUAUUGGGAUUUCAUUGCAACUAAAACAAAAUAAACAUGCAUAAAAACAUAAACAGCAAAUAUAUAUAAUGUCUGAUAAGUGGGGUGAUAGUUGCUAGGCAGAAGGAUCUGCCUCCUCAGUAGGUGGAUCAGCUGGUGCUUCGGGUUCUGGAGGAUGAGACUCUGAAGGCUGAGAGUGUGGCUCUGGUGGAGUAGGAAUGAAGGGCUCUACAGCUUGUGGCAGAUCGAAAUGGACUUGAAGCUGCCUUAGGAUGGCAGCUUGUUGAGCCUGAGAGGCUAACAUCUGCUCCUGGCAUGCUUUGAUGGCUGCCAACUCCUGAGCAAGAUUGCUCUGGGAAGCUGUAAGAGUCUCCAAUGCAUGGCACAGCUCUCGAUAUUCAGAUAUAGGGAUGGCCAUCCUAGGCUCAGCUGAUGUGGAUGGUUGUGAUGGAGCAGGUGCAGCUGGUGGAGCUCGAGGGAUGGCAGGAGUAGCAAGUGUGAUAUCUUCAGGUGCAUGUCUUGGGGAGGCUCUCCUUGCUGCUGGCUGAGGCUGCCCAGGCUGAUCAAUUUUGUAGGCCGUCAUAUUAUUCCAUUUAUCAAGGGUAAAUGGCUCACGGCAUAUUCUCUUUCUUUCCUGCUGAGGCUCAGAGGGGUAUCCGAGAUGUUCCAAAACUUGGCAUAGCAGCCGUGGGAAGAGGAGUGGAAUGCAAUCUGCUCUUUGAAGCUUCUUCUUAUGAACCUUCUCCUCAAAGUAAAGAAGGGCUGCCAUGAUCAGAUGAUGAGGCCCAAAGAAGAAUCCUUCAGACAUCUUGUAUAGAGCUUCCAAGAGAACUCCCCUUCUUUGGGUCCAAUGCUGCAAGGGAUAGAUAUUAUGCCUCAAAAAGGCAUCAAUCAAAAACAUCACUGGAGGUAGCUCCCCCCUCAGCAGGUGUGAUCGAUUUGCAGCUCCUCCAGUUAGGGUGCUAACCAUCUCUAACUCAGUAGGAUUUACCCAAGCUUUAAAAUUGUCAAAUUGGGUUGGCUCAAACGGAAUUUGCAGGGCUUCAGCAAUAUGUCUUGCUCCCAAAAUACCAUGUCUUCCAUCAAUUAUGAAAUGGAUCAGAGUUGGAUUUCUUACCUCUUUGGUUGUCAUGGUCUGGUAGAAGUCUGUGACUACCCGGGGAUAGAAAAAAUCCCUUGGAGCUAGCAGAUGCUCCAUAUGAUAUCUCCUCAGCAGUUGGAAUGAUUGGGCAAGCUCUGGCCUCACUCUAAAUGCUGCUAAAUCGAAGCACAAUUCAGAAUGGAAUGCCCGAGUUCGGCAAUCCAGGUUUCCUUCGAUUGGGGGCUGGGGCAGCAUUGGCCUUCGGAUCACUUCUUCCAGAGGUGCUUCAGCUGCAAUUUGGGGCUCUGGAAUUGGCGCUUGAGGCUCCUGAGCUUUUUCUUGGGGGGCCGGAGAUGGUACCGGCGAUGGAAUUGGAGUUGCUUCUGGUGAGGGAAUUGGCGAGGGAACCGGUGACGGCACUGGAAUUUGUACCGGUGAAGGAUUUGGUGAUUUCUCAGGGGAUUGCUCAGUCAAAUCAAUUGGUUCAGAGCUCUCAACCCUGGCUUUCUUCUUCAAUGGCUGACCACCUGACCUGGUUAAAUAUCGCCUUGCCGGCGGCUUUGGUGGCGCCGGCUUCACUGGAGAAGGUUGUGGUCUCGACGGCGAAGGCUUUGGAGCAGGUUCUGGAACAGAGCCUGAACUUGGCUCCUUUCGCAGACUCCUUUUGCGGUUCGAAGGGGAUGAAGACUUUGCCCCUCGCGUUCGUGCCAUUUUGGAAUAUCGAUCUUUGGCCGGCGCUGCUAAACGGAGAAGACGACCGGAGGUUCGGACGGCGUGGCUUGGCGAAGAAGAUGAAGGGGCUGCGAGAAUGGUGCUCUGAUUUUUGAAACCCUUUUCGCAGCACUUUUGACCGGUAUAAAUAGGAAAAACGGAAGCCCAGGGGUCAGAUUACGUUUCGCAACAAAACGCCAAUUUCGCAGCAACUUGCCAUUUUCGCAGCAACUUCGCAGUGAGUUUCGCAGCUGCGAAAUUGAUGUCACUGUGCUGCGAAGUGGCACUCGUGUGCCAAAUCCACUUUCACAAUUGCGAAAUGCCCUGCGGAAUGGGACUUUUGGUGCGAAAUCACGCUUUUUCAUUUCGCAACGCGUUUCGCAGCUGCGAAAUGGAUGCUACUGUUCUGCGAAGUGGCACUCGUGUGCCAAAUCCACUUUCGCAAUUGCGAAAUACACUCGCAGAGGCUUCUACAGUGCUGCGGAGCGGUUUGGCAACAAAAAUCACAUUUCGCAGAAGUUUCCUUCACUCUGCGAAAUUUCGCAGAGCUCUGUUUUUCCCCUGUUUUUGCUCUGUUUCGGCUCCAAUUUCGACCCGAUUUUUUUUCUUUUCAAUCCCCUUGAAAUUUCUUCCACCUGGGAUCAUAUAACAUGAUUAAAACACACCUAAAAACAUGAUUUAAGAUCAAAAACUAAGAUCAAAAGUAUGAAAACAACUUGAAAAUUUACAAAAUUUACAAAAAUUUUGGACUGUGGUAAAACCACGCCCAGCAAACCCUUUUCACUUAAGCUUUUUGAGGUUCAAGGAGGUUGAUUGCCUCCUUUUCUGAUUUGAAUGACUCCAUGAACGGCUUAAGACGAUAUCCAUUGACUCUAAAGCUAUCCUUGCCAUUGGAAUUCAAUAAGUCCACCACUCCAUUGGAAUAUACUCGGUGAAUAACAAAUGGACCAAUCCACCUUGACUUGAGCUUCCCAGGAAAGAUAUGGAGUCUUGUGUCAUACAUCAAAACUUUUUGCCCUUCCUGAUUCAGUUUGCCUGGAUCCCAUUUGAAGCUUGCAUCCUUCACUUGAGACUUGGUUUGAGAUGAAGAUAUUACGACAGGACAUUGAUUAUUUUCUUCAAGAUAUGUAUAAUUCAGCUCCACAGGUAAAGGCUUCAGAUUGAGUUUUGGAAUUUCUUUUUCAACAGCUGCCUCCUCUUCCUUAUUGAACAAAGGUAAAAUUCCUUCUAUCUUUCUCCAACUUUGUAGAGUAGCAAGCCUAAUAGGAGAUUCAGAAAAACCUUCCUCAAUAUCCUCAAGACUUUCAUUCAACUUGUCUUGCAUAUGUUGAUUGCAGUGCUCCUCCACCAAAGUAUCAAUUAUACAUAGCUCUUCUGGACCUUCUUCUUCUUCCGGAGUGAUUUGCUUUUUAGACAUAUAGAAAAUAUUUAGAUCCAGUGUCAUAUUACCAAAAGUGAGUUGCAUCAGCCCAUUUCUACAAUUGAUGAUUGCAUUUGAAGUUGCAAGAAAUGGCCUUCCAAGGAUGAUAGGAACUAAAUUAGCUUCCUUUACAGUUGGAUCAGUAUCAAGAACAACAAAAUCUACAGGAUAGUAGAAAUUAUCUACUUGAACCAAUACAUCCUCAAUUACUCCUCUUGGAAUUUUCACUGAUCUAUCUGCCAAAGAUAAAGUGAUUGCUGUUGGCUUCAACUCUCCAAGGCCCAGUUGCUUGUAGACAGAGUAUGGAAGCAAAUUCACACUUGCUCCCAAGUCUAGCAAGGCUUUCUCCACUACCUUUCCUCCAAUCAUGACUGAAAUGGUAGGACUUCCAGGGUCUUUAUACUUCAAAGGAGACUUACACUGUAAGAUUGCACUUACUUGCUCAGUCAAGAAGGCUUUCUUGUUUACAGUCAACCCUCUUUUGAUAGUACACAAGUCCUUUAGGAAUUUUGCAUAUGUUGGAACUUGUUUGAUCAUAUCCAGUAGUGGAAUAUUAACUUUCACUUGCCUCAAUACUUCUAGGAUUUCAGCUGCAUUUCUAACCCCCUUUUUCCCCUGUAAUGCUUGAGGAAAAGGUGGAAAAGUUGAUUUAUUCAGCAUUUCUUCCUUCAGAAGCUCCUUCUCUGGAAUUACUUCCCUUGUUGCAUCAGAGUCCUUCUUCUCUUCACUGAUCUCACUGCCUUUAUCUUCCAUUUCCUUCCCUUUCUUCAUCUCUUCUUCUUUCUCAACAUGUGGCUUGGGUGUUGGAUGCUCAAUUUUUUUACCACUCCUUAGAGUGAUCAAAGCUUUCACAUCUUUCACCUGUGAUGAUUCUCCCUCAUGGCUUUCCACUUCAUGGACACCUUUGGGAUUUUGGUUAGGUUGAGAAGGAAAUCUUCCUUUUUCUUGCAGUGUAUUCAAAUUUGUAAGCCUGGAGAUUGAAUAUUGGAUGUUAUCAAACUUUUGAUUCAUGUCAUUUUGCAUUCCAUCCAUUCUUUUGUUCAACAUACUCUCCAUUCUGUCCAUUCUUUGAUCCACUCGAGCAUUGGUGGCUUCUUGCUUUCCCACAAAAUCUCCCACUACCUUGUUGAGAUUGGCUAUUAUUUGUUCAAUACUUGAAGAUUGCUGAGAUGGUGGAUCCGGCUGUUGGUAUUGAGUUGCUCUGGCCUUCCAUGAGAAAUUUGGAUGAUUCCUCCAACUAGAAUUGUAGGUAUUUCCAUAAGGAGCAUUGUUAUUGGGCCUGAAUUGUCCAACAACAUUUGCUUGAUCUCUAUACAUUUCCCUUUCAACUGAAAUUGCAGGGCACUCCUCCACCAAAUGUUCAAAUGAUUGACAAUUGGGACACAGCUUCACUUGCACUGGUGCUUCAGCAACAGCUUGCACUUCAUGCAUUCUUUUCAGCUCCAGCUCCUCCAAUCUUCUUGUCAUAGCUGCCAACUUUGCUUUCAUGUCAUCAUCUUCUUUCAAAUUAUACAUCCCAGCCUUUGCAUUGUAAGCAUUCAACUGAGACUUCAUCUUUCCCACUUCUCCUUUGGUUGGUUCAUCCCAUCCCCUUGAAACAUCAGCUACAUAGCUCAAGAAAUCCAUAGCUUCCUCUGGAUUUUUGCUCAUGAAAUCUCCUCCACACAUUGUCUCGAGGAGUUNNNNNNNNNNNNNNNNNNNNNNNNNNNNNNNNNNNNNNNNNNNNNNNNNNNNNNNNNNNNNNNNNNNNNNNNNNNNNNNNNNNNNNNNNNNNNNNNNNNNAACUUAUAGUCAAUUCUCUAACCGGUGAUGUACAGAGACUCCUUCAAUUAGAUUUCACUUUAAUUCUCUCACUGAUGCAACUUACAAUGGUUCAUGCCUCUCACGAGCACUUAUCAUUCAAGGUGAUCUUUAACCUUGGAUUCCCCUUCACAAACUCGCAAGAGAUAACUAAUGGAUGCCUCCUAAGAGUCCAAAAGCUUACCAAGUGUUGGUAAUUCCAGAAAAUCCUACCUUGAAGUCACCUACCAAAGGCUCGCAAGGGGUAAACUAGUGCAUUUCCACGGUUGGAAAUCACUUGCCUUACCAAGUGUUGGCCCAGGUGACUCCAAAGUGUUUUAAGUUAACUAAAAACAUUGAAAUCACUAAAGGAUUUCACUUCCUCUUCAUUACUAGCUAAAACCACAGAGCUUUGCAUUCUUGCACUUGGAACCUUCCCCGGCAACCUUAGCUCCAAGGAAUUGGAGGUUUAGUUACUCAUUCUCUGGGGAAAACUCCUCAGAGAAUUCAUAACUUAGAAAUAAAAUGAAAAUACAAAGUGAUAAGGUAAGGCAGUAGAAAGAAAAGACCUUUACUUCCUUACCAAAUGGUUACAGAAGGAACUCCUCUCUGAGGACAGGCUCCCGAGAGGUAUUUAUAGCAAACUAAUAUAAAACUAAUUCUUACAAAGAUAUUUGGUCUUUUUACUAACUUAAAAACUAAGGAAUCAUGUAAUUGGUGGUUUACAAGGAGUAUUUUGGAAUUUAGACAACAAAAAUCUAAUGGAAAAUAUCUCCCAAUGUCGGUAGCAAGCUUCGGGAGGCUUCCGGAGCCAUUUCGCAGGAGAAAAGUGAGGUCUGCGAAAUUUCGCAGACACCCAAGAGGGCUGCGAAAUUAUUUCGCAAGACCAAGCUGUCUUCAUAGGGCUACGAAGUUGGCUUCCAUCUUGAAGUUUCCAGCUCCCUUCUCGCGGCAUGGUUCGUGCAUCGUCAGAAGGAGAAACACCUUGCUGUACAAAAGUGCUGCGAAAUUCUCGCAACAAAAGGCCGAUUCCGCAACACUUUAGAGUGACUGGCUUGUAAUGGCUGCAACUUCUUCGUUUCAACUCCAAAUUGCACACCGUUUGAAGCAUUGGAUUGUUGACUUCCUGAGCUUUGAAAUGGUAUAUAGCUUGCAUCAUUUGGACUUCAGAAAGUGCUCCAAAAGUGGCUGCUACGACUGUCAUCAAGAAUAUGCUCCAUGACUGAUCCUCUUUGCUUUUUCUCCUUGCAAUCCGGAUUCACUCUUGGCAAUUGAAUUCUAAGCUUUGCCCAUGAUUCCUCAUAGUUCUCCUCAUUCUUGACUUGCUUUGGUGAUCAAAAUACUAACAAAAACACCAAAACUUGCACAAAGUGAUCAAAAUUGCUUUAAAGGAUCCUUAACAUGCCAAUUGAGUUAAAAGGCCUAAACUACUACUCAAAAGUGUUAAAAAGGAUUAAUUAAAGGCUAUCAAAUAGCACUUUUUGAGUAGUAAUCAAUGACUAGGCUAUCUAUACAUAUUUCAAUUUAUAUUUAUUAAGUACGAGUCACCUUGUGAGUAGAGCCCAAGUCACAUGUCUUACAUGAUGGGCCUAAAACACAUGAUGGGCCUAAGACACAUGUGGCCCAACAGCCCAAUGGGUAUGCUCUCCAACCUCCCAUCACAAGAGAGAAAACAGAAAAGUGGUUUCCUCCUCUAUUGCCUUAGAAGAACCAUAUUUCUUCAAAAUCAACAAUGGAUUCGCGUUUGUCUACAUUCUCUAAUCUAAUCGACAUGUUUUUUUUAUUAUUUAACAUGAGAUUUCUGGUUUUGGGUUGAUAAAGAAUUUGGUAAUCUUUAAAAAUGUUUUACAACACUUCUAUCUAUGGGGCAUGAUAUCUUUAUAGACUACGCAUCUGAUCAACUUUGUGGCAUGUCUCAUCCAACUUAUUUUAAUGCUUGUUUAUGUGACAUGAUACAAUGGAAUGGUAGUUAAAAACUCUUUUAUUUCUUUAAUACAAGAACACGUCUCUAGUCCAAAACAAAAGAAAACAAAUUGGAAACAUGUCUUUCCAGCCCUCAGGAAGGGAUUUAAACCGGAAAUAUUAACGAUACAUUUUCAAAGCAUACUUAAAGCAAACACUCCUCUCAUAUUACCAAUGCAACACGAUUCAAAAGCCCUUUUAUUCUACACGAAACUUCUUUCUGAUCCACAAGACAAAGCCAUGGACCUUCUGUGGGUCUUCGAUGGGAAGACCCCCACACAUGAUGUUCCCCUUUUACUCUAUACCAAGCUUCUUCCUCAUCUCCAUGACAAAGCCAUGGACCUUCUGUGGGUCUUUCAGAGAAGACGACACACUCUCCUUUUCCUUGCACCUCUUGGUCCAAGCGAUCAACUUGGGGCACUCCACCUCUAUGCUGAAGUUACCAAAGCUCUCAUACGCAUAAAACAAGGUUGAGAAAGUCACCAGAGCCACAUCCACAAACCCAAAUUUCUCACCACCAAAGUAAGGCUUCUCUCCAAGCUCUCCUUCCAAAAUCUUAAGGUACUCUAUGAAUUCAUUCUUGGCUGUUUCCUGCUCUUCUCCUUUGGUUGACCAUAUCCUCCUUCCAAGUUCAUAGAGCUGUGGAAAGUAAUGGAGUCAAAGAGAGAAAAGGCUUGUUUUUUUUGGAGCAUUUCAUCAAGUUUCAAACUUUCUGUAUAGUUGGACAAGUUUAUUAACGACCCUUCAGCAUAGAAAUCUCGUAUCCUAGGAAAAAUAUCAGAAUCAGCUGAAAGAAUGUAUCAUUUGCUAAAGUUUUUCCCCUCAAUUUGGGUUAAAGAAAUGAGAAGAAAGAGAUCAAAAAGACAGAACACAUAUUAAAACAACUGUUGUGCAAAAUGUUGAACAGAAGGAUAACAAAAAACCAAAAUCUGUUCUUUAAAAUCUGGUUUAUGUAUCCCCUUUCUUGGGGGAAAACGUAUUCUUGAGAUCUGCUUUUUUGGAUGGAACGAACAGACUUCGGAUUCAACAGAACAAAGAAAUAAAAACCCAUAUCAGAAAUGCAGAGUGGAGUCUUGUUGAAGAAACAGCAAAGAGAAUCAGUAAAGUUCUAGUUUGGGACACCAAAGCCAACAAAACUAAAUAUCAGAAGAGAAUAUGUGAAGAACCAGAAUUUUGGAUAAAUCCCUCACCAUAAUCAAAAUGUGAGUCAAUCGCCAUGAAUCAAUGGAAAAGAAUGCUUUAAAUCAACAGAAAAGGCAUACCUUCUUGUCUAUGUAGUCCGCCCAGAACCUGGCCUGAGCUCUCUGGUAUGGGUCACUAGGCAACAAGGGAGAUUUUUCGUUCCAAACCUCAUCAAUAUACUGAACUAUUAUCAUAGACUCACAAAUGGGCUUUCCAUUGUGGAUCAGAACUGGGAUUUUCUUAUGAAUCGGGUUCAUCUCAAGAAGCAGAGGACUCUUGUUGCUCGUGUCCUCCUCUCUAUAUUCAUACUUGAGACCCUUCUCUGCCAGGGCAACUCUGACCCUCAUACCAAACGAGCUAGGCCAGAAAUCCAACAAGAUAAUCUCGUCUGCCAUUGCUACUACUGUGAUUGAUAAGAUUCAAACUCAAGCAUUGAUGAACUCAAGGGAAAUUGUUAAGUAUUUAUAGCAAACUUCAGAGACGUGGGUUAGAUACUUCUAGGAGGUGAUGAUGCUCAUUCCCUAGCUUUCAUUUUCAUUUUCCUUAAUUAUAUUCUUAUCUCCGAUUCGUAGCUCUCCAGGAUUCCCAUAUUUUGAGUUUAUUUAUUUAUAAGCCAAGUGUUUUUAAUUAAAUAUAAUGCUUUCGAAAUUCUUUGAAAAUUAGAAAAAAUAGUCAUAUUUGAUCAUUUUAAUUUUACUACUUACUUUUAAAUCCAAAAUAGAAAGAAAUUUAGUGUUAUUUUGAAAAUUUAGUGUCAUUGUUACAUUUUUUAUUGCCAUUUUAUGAUUCAAAUUAUCCAUUUCUUUGAUGUUGCUUCUCCCUAUCCAUUUUCGACAUUGGGAUUAAAACUAUUCACUAAAAAAUUGAUUGAUAUAAAAUUACAUUAAAUUUAAAUUAAAUUCAGAUUGACGGAUUAUUUGUCACUAUGCAUGUCAUGUUGCUUGCAAAAACUAUCCAUUCGAUCUCCUUUGCGGUGGUGAUCGCGACAACAAAAACAUGGAAGGAAAGGAAAAACCUUAAUGUUGUUAGCAAGAAAUGAAAGAAUUGGGAGGUUGUGAAGUCUACUUAUGAUCUUAUGAUCUUGUCAAAUAUGAUCAUCAUACAAUACUUGGUAACAUUUAAUUAAAAUAUAUAGUAUUUUUGAGUGACAUUCCCUGCUUAUUACCAACAUAUGGUAGUCACUAAAACCAAUGUCUUUAGUAUAUUUCUUAAUUUAAAACAAUAAAAAGUUAUAAAAAAAUAAUAAAAUGAAAAAUAAAUUUAAAUUCAAUUAACAUUUCUUACAUGUUUCAACAAGACUAUCUCUUUUCUUUUCUUUUUUUUCUAUUCUACAUAAAGAUUGAAAUUUUUUUAUUAUAUUUGAUUUUAUUUUAUACCUUUGAACUAAAGAGAAUUUAGAUUUCUUUCCAUCUCUAUUUUUUUUCUUCAUUUAGUACUUUUUGUAAUCCAAUGGGCUAAAUAUAUUUGUUGCUAGAAAAUUUUACAUUCUCCGUAUUAAAAUUAUGAUCAUCACUACUAGCACUCAAGUAAAAUCUCUCACAAGAAAUAUGUGUAUUAUAAGAAACUAUCGGUUGUAGGAAUUACUCACUAAUUGGUUAAUAAGUAUGGCAAUCUUAUCUUAACACUCAUGGUAGGAUUUUACAUUCCAGUAUGGAAAAAAAACAAGUGACAAGAAAGGAUCACGUACGGAAGAUGCCCAAGCAAGUUCUUGUUGUUUGGUCUAUAUUUUUGGAAUUUUCUUUUUUCUUCUUUCAUGAUUGUGGGCUGUAGUAUAAAAACAUUACUUCUCAACCCCUUUUUCUUCUUUCAUGAUUGUAGCAUAGUUAGAAUCUUAAGAAUCCUUGCUUUGUUGCCUUCUCAUUUGUGAAAAUUUUCAAUAGUAUUAAAAACGAAAGUCAAUGGGUAUUAACGGUGUUACGAUAUUCUUUCCUUUUUUUAAUGGGUAUUGAUUUUGUCCUAAAUCAAACUUCCAAUUCAGACCAUUCAAAUGCAUAAUGAAAUCUAGGUCAUUGGGUCGGGCCGCCCAUUCCGUGGCUCGACACGCCACAAGGUCAGGCGGGGCCAUUACAGGCCAACACUGUAGCAAGCUGGGCUAGCAUGACCCAAAGGAGCAGGCCAUGCUAGGCCUAAAGAAAUAGCCCAUCGGCCCAUCGUGUUGGCCCACUUGGCCCUUUUAAAUUUCACUUUUUACUUUUAACUUUUUAUUACAUGUCAAAUGUCUAUAAUACCCAUCUCAACAACUAUAUUACGACUAGUUUGAGGGGUAAAAAAAGUAAAUCAAUAACUAUUUUUACUUUUUUUAUGUCAAACUUUAGAGGAUGAACUUAAAGAAGCCUUCAAGAAAUUGCAUCUCAAUGCAAACAAUGAUGUUCAAGAGAUUUAUGAUGAUUGAAGAUGAAAAAAUAAGAAUGAAGAUUGAAUAAGAAGACAAAAGUGAAUAUGAUAAUUGAAAAAUUAUAUGUUGUUCGUUUCUUUUAAAUCUAUUAAAUGUAGUUAAUUUUUAAAGGUUAAGUAAUGCAUAUGAUUGAUAGUUGGGUGGGUGUCAACCUGGAUGGGAUGUACUCAAACUAUAAUGACGCAAUUCUCACUUUUGUUUUUUUUUUCUCCUUAUUUUUUCAUGUAAUUUGUUGAAAUAUAGAAUAAAAGAAUUAUUUUUUUAUAUUUCAUUUCCUUUUAUAUUCCAUUAUUUUAAAUUUAUUGUUAUUUUGAUUUUAAAAAAAAUAAACAAAUUCAAAUAUAAUUUUUUUACUAUUUUUAAAAACAAAAAACUAACAUUUCUAUAAAUUUUACAAUUACAAACUCAAUAAAUAUAAAUGUAAAAAAUAAAAAGUAUAAUUAUUAGAAGUGUAUAAAAAAUAAUAUAUAUAAUUAUUAGAGGUGUUUCAAGUAACAAAAAGAAAUUUUAUUUAAUAUUAAGGAAAAAACUUAAGAAAAAAUGACUUAAAAAAUUAAAUUAAAAUUUUUAACAAAGUGAGUGGCCCAUGGGCCAUGGCCCACCGGCACAGCACGGCCUGACCCAGCACGACACGAUUAGCCCACGGACUUAUGGGUCAUGCCAAGCCACCUAUUUGGCUUGCAUGGGUCGGCCCAACCCAACACAUUGGCCCGUAAUGGCCCGAUCAAUAUUAGGCCAUGUCGGCCCAACACGACCCAUUGGGCAUCUCUAUAUACAAGAUUGAAAACCCUUCUUAUCAUGAGAUUUUUCAAAUCCGUUAUUUAUCUUUCAAAGUAAGACUUGUUUGCUAAAAAAAUUGCUCUCUUAGUCUUUAUUUUUGAACUAUCCAUAUCCAAAUAGGGGUUUCCUCCUUAUCUAAGGAGGAGAGAGCCUGAAGGACCAUCCUAGGUAUGGUGUAGUAGCUUGGAGAAGCAUCUAUACCAAAAUCAAAAUGAUAGUUCCAAAUGAAUAAGAUUCUCAUUAGCAACAACCAAUUCAAAUAUAUAAUCUUGGAAAAAUCUUUUCAUGAAAAUUUACUAAGAAUACCAAAACAUUUUUCUUUAGGUUUGAAUACUUAUUUUGGUAACCUUCUUAAUUAUAAAUUAUCUAUUAUGAAUUUUCAAAAUUAACUUAUUUUCUUUAAAUCCAAACCUUGUGCAAAAUAAGAAAAAUAUUAUUUUAUAAAGAUUUGGAAAAACAAGAGUUUUUUUAUUAAAAGAAAGAUUUUAUUCUUAGAGAUCUCGAAGAUCUAAGAAAAUUUUAAAUAAAAUUAAAAUCAUUAAGAAUUAAUUUUUAAAAGGAAUGGAAACUCUUAAUUCUUUUCUAACUUAUCUUUUCUUAAAAUAAAUUUCCUAACAAUACACAUUCCAAUUUAAAUAAGUUUUCCUAUUUUGAAAAACUCCAUCAAAAUUUAUAUCUAAUUAAGAAUACCAAAUUAUCCUAUUUUAGGUCACAUAUGCAAGUAAUAAAGAUAACAUAAAAUAAAAACAAGGAAAUAAUUAAAUAAAUAUUUCUCAUGAACUUUAGGGAUCCUAUUGCAUAUUUGGUAAUUAAAAAUUGGAUAAAAUUCAAAUUAUCAAAAUAUUCUUGCAACCAAAGAUUAGUUAGUAAAAAUUGAAAAAACUCUAAAAAGUUGAAUUUCCACAAAAAAAAAAAAAAAAAAAAAAACCUAAAAAAGAAGCCCAAAAUCAAGCCCAAAUAACCGAAAACAAUUUGGCCUGAACUCAAUUCAGAAAUAGCAUGCUCUUUGCACAACCUUACUACAAUUGACUAUAUAUUCCUCAUUUCAACUCCGAAUAGAAAAUUGUUUGAAGCAUUGGAUUCCUGACUUCCUAAGCUUCAAAAUCAUAUAUGAUUUGUUCCAAUUUUGAGUCAAAUUAGGAUCUAAAUCAAGAACUUCCAAGAAUCUUUCUUUUUUCUUAAGUCACCAUAGGAUCUCAAAAAUGAAAAUUUAAGAAUUUUUCCUUUCCUUUUGGGUCACCAUAGAUGGAUGAAAAAAAACAAAUUUUUUUACAACCAAAAAAAUAAAAAUAAAAAUCUUAUACCCCUCAUGGGGUGUACAACCCAACCUAGAGAAUAAAAUAGCAAAGAUCAUAUCCAUUCAUAUUCAUUCAUUCAAUUGAAUUAAUAAAAGCAUUUCAUUGAUUCAUCCUUAGGGUCUAUGAGAUGAAUAAAAAAACAACCCUGCAAAAUAGAUGUGAGCGCAACUUAGAAUAAAUCUAGCAUGCAAGUGUAGACCUUCCAUUUGUUCCAUUAGCACAUGCCCUAUUAAGUGCUCUUUUCAUACUUUGCAAUAGUCUCCUUUGGUGGCCCAUUUUCUACUCACACAACUUACCUUUUUUAGCCAUCUCAAAGACUCUAGUUGAGAGAUUUAUCUAGCCCCUCAUUGUGAGUGACCCUUGGCAACCCCAAGUUAGAUCUAGGAUUUUCUUUUUCUCUUUUUAUAAUAGCUCCUUUUUAAGUGCUCCUUUAGGACAACAUACUUAGACAUAUUCAAGUACACUUCUUAGGUCACUUAAACACACCCUAGGUCACCUAAGCACCUUCUACCUUAUAUAGACUCACUCUAGGUCACUUAGGCACUUUAUAAACUCACAUUAGGUCAAUUAGGCACUUUUAUGAUCACCUUAGGCCACUUAGGCACUUUUCUUAUCACUUUGGGUCACUUAGCACUUUUUUUUAUCACCUUAGGUCACUUAGGCAUUUUUUUUUAUUAUCUUAGGUCACUCAAGCGCAUUUUUGAUCACCCUAAUCCACUUAAACACAUCCUAGGUUACUUAAGCACUUUUCUUAUCAUCCUAGGUCACUUAAGCCCAUCUAGACACAUCUAGCCCAUUAAGACACACUCUGACUUAUUUAGACAUGCCUUAGUUAAUCUAGGCACAUCUAACCUAUUUAGACAUACCUUGAUCCAUAUAAGCCUAUUUGGUUCAUCUAGGCACACUUAGCCCAUCUAGGCACACCUGACCCACUUAGGUACAUACAUACUCGUCUAAGCACACACCGGUCCAUCUAGGCACACACCAGCCCAUCUAGGCACACCUUGACCCAUCUAGACACACCCUGGCCCACCUAGGGUUACUUGAGCCCACCUAGGUCACCUUUUAGGUAAUUUUUGCUUGCAAGACAUCUUUUUCUAUUUAGUAAUUUAUUUUAUUUAUUAUUUUGUGUAUUUUCUUUCUUUGUUUUUUAGUUUUUUUUUUUUUUUUAUAUUAACAUUGUAACACCUUUUUAUUCAUUUAUUAAAUCUAAUAUUUUUUGUGCUUUUGUAGGGAAAAGUUUGGAUAGGAAAGGAUCCUCUUUUGGAGAGAGAGAACUAGCCAUCUUUGAAGAUCACAAACAACCUCCUGAUAAGAUGAAAAGUUUUAGCUAUAUAUAGGGACUAGUUUUGAAAACUUGAAGAUAUACAAAUAAUGAAAGAGGUGCAUCACAUUAAGAGUCUAGAGAAGAAAGGUUUUUUUACAUAAGAAUGUAAAAAGAUAUGGAGGUAAGAGGGAUUUGGAAUAUAGUUGGUUGCUACCUUGGUUUUGGAAAGAGAUACUCAGCCAUAAUGGGCUCUUAGAAAGUCCUUGAAAGGUUAGAAUUCCGCAUAGGGAUUUUGAGGUUUUUUUUAUUUUUUAUUUUUAGGGGAUUAUGCUGGUUUUCUAGAGGGAAUAUCCAACAAUGUAAAAAAGAGGAAUCAUGUAGCGGUUUUUUUGGGAAGGAAGAUUUUAACAUGCAAAAGGGAGGUUCAGUUGCGGUCUUUGAAAUAAAAUCAUUCAGAGCGUGUGACGAACGAAAAAAGGAGAUUCGGUCCGUGGUGAGGAUGAGAGAUACAGUCCGCGUUUUGAAGACGUUUCGGGAGGGUUUUGAAAGAAUAUGGAGAUAGAGAGAUAUUCAACUCAUUUUGGGAGCACAUUCAGGCCGUGUUCUGGGGAUAUUCAGAGCGUGUUUUGGAGUCACAUUCAAGCCGUGUCUGAGAGUAAGAGGGAGCGUGUUUUCGAGGGUCACAUUCAGUCUGUGUUUUGGGAUCAUUGAGAACACGUUUUGGUUCCCAUUAGUAUGCAUCUAGUACAAAUUGAACCUACCAAUUCGCCAAUUAUGAGUUGGGCGCUUUAACCAUUCAGCCAUGGAUGCUUAGUGGGGAUCCUCGUACAUGGUGAAUAACCAAAUUCUAAUUGAAAUGAAAUCUUUAGGAUAAAUCAAUGUAAUUUAGGAGGAAUAAUGAAAGGACAUCAAUUCAAAUCUUGGAUUUUCAAAUUGAGAGAUAUUGAGAGAGAUCAAUAAUUCUCACUAUUUCUUAGAUUCAUGGACCCAAUUCACUUCAGUGGGAUAUUUCAUUCAUAUUUUUUUCCACCAAGAGAGCACAUUCAGGCUGUGGUCUGAGGGGAAGAUAAGAGAAGGUAAGAAAGGUAUCAUUUGGACAUUGUUUCAUUUUGAAAAUUUGUUUUGACUUUGUUAGUUUUUUGCGGAAUUUUGGAAUUAGGAUUAGAGAUAAGGGUGAUUUCUUUGAAAGUUUGAAUGAUUUUAAUAUCUGGACCUUUUGCUUUUAUUCAUGUUAUUUCAUUAAAAGCUUCAUCUUGAAAAUUUUGGUUAUGCUUUAAAUUUUUUUGGUUCUGAUUCAUGUUAUUAGAAUGUUAUUUCAUUAAAAGUUUCAUCUUGAAAAUUUUGGUCAUGCUUUAAAAUUUUCUGUUUAUGAUUUAUGUUAUUAGAAUGUUAUUUUAUUAAAAAGUCCCAUCUUGAAAAGUUGGUUAUAUAAAAAUUUGGUUAGGUUUUAAAUUUUUCGGAACAUAUUUCAUGAUAUUAGAAUGCUAUUUCAUUGAAAGUCUCAUCUUGAACAUUUUGAUUAGGUUUUAAUUUUUCUAGUUACUAUUCAUCUUAUCAAAAUGCUAUUUUCUUAAAAGUCUUAUCUUGAAAAUUUUGGUUUGGUUUUAAAUUUUCUAGCUAUCAUUCAUGGUGUUAGAAUGCUAUUUUAUUAAAAAUCUUACCUUGCAAAGUUUGAUAAUUUUAACGUUUAUAGGUUAUUCCCAUACUAUCAAAAUUUUCAUGUUUCAAUGAUUAGUUCUUAGGGUUUUUUUAUAUUCUCUAUUUAUUAUGCAUGUUAGUUGAUUGGGUUAUUGGAUUAAAUUGGCAAUGGUAGUUUUUAGGGGUUUUAGAUUCUCUUGUUACUAUGCAUGUUAUUUGAUGGGUUUAUUAGAUUAAAAGUUCUUAUCUUUGGAAACGGUAGUUCUUAGGUUUUUAGAUUUUUCUUGUUAUUAUGCAUGAUUAUUUGAUUGGGUUGUUGAAUUAAAAGUUGUCAUAUUUAGAAAUGGUAGUUCUCAAGUUUCUAGAUUUUGAUGUUAUUAUGCAUAUAAUUUGAUUGGGUCGUUGAGUUAAAAGUUCUCAUCUUUGGAAGAACCAAAUGAAUCAACCCAAGCUCUAAAGAAAAAUCUAAUAAAAAAUUCUUUUGAACUUUAAAAUGGGUUGGAGUUUCCUAGGAAACAAACACACCCACUCUUUGAAUGGAAGAGGAACUCAAUGGAGUUUGUCUGACUGUUGUAGGGGAGGUGUUCCCCUAACCCUAAAAAUCAAUUUUUGGUUCAAAUAGGUAAGAAAACCCUUAGGAAAUGUAAAUUUACAACCACAUGAAGUAUCAUUCUUAAUGCUACUUCAAUUUUGAGUCAAAUAAAUUUGAGUAAAAAUAAGACCAAAAUACCUACCAUGUCCUUGACUAAUUCAAAGGUCAACCUAUUCCAUAUAUUAAUGAACAACAAAUAAAGAAUGCUUGCGAUUUCUCAAAUAAUUCAAAGGCAAGACUUGACUCAAAGGAGUCAAAUGACACAUUAUUUUCUCAUAUGCAUCAUGACAAUAUUUGACACACAGAGUCAAUUGGCAUGUCUAUAUCAAUUUUUUUUUUAGUGCAAAAUGGAAUGGUGGUUAAGAACUUUUUUACCUCUUUAAUACAACUAAUACAAACAAAGCAUAUAUCAAAGUCUCACAAGAAAAAGCAAGGUAAAGCUCAUAAGCUUAUUGUGUGAACAAGUUGACAAAACAUGAAGGCCAAAAGUUUUGGCAUUACGAGGUCCAUUGGGAGGGCCCUACAAAUGCACAUUACAUUUGACCCAAAUUCUUCAAAUUUGCUUUUGAAAAGUUUAUCCAGUUAAAAUGACUACUAGCAUUGAAUAUAAAUUAAAUCAUUUAAGAUUAUCUUUUGCCAAACAUAUUAAUUAUAAAAUAAAAAAUCGUUAUAAAAGUGAUUUAAAAACCAUGCCCUAUCACAUUCUAUUCAUGGAGAAUGAUGUAAUCAUGCAACAACUAAAAAAUCCAAAAAAAAAUUUAAAGUUUUAAAUUUAAAAUUUUAAAGUACAUAGAAAAAUUAAUUCUAGAAACAUGUAUUUCAAUAGUGAAAUUAUCAAAAUUUUAAAAUUACACUGUAACCCUCGAUCUCAUUUCGCAAUUAAUUACUGCAAAAAAAUUUUAUUUUUUUCUUUUUACUUUAAUGUGACAAGUUAAAGAGCAAGUCAUUGUUGUCUUUUAAAAAACGAAAAGAAAAAAAAAUUGACUCAUGGUAACCAACCAUGUCAUAUGAUUUUUCUUUUUUCUUUUUCCUCUCCUUCGUAAUAUCUUUACCUUUCUGUUUCUUAAUUUCUAAUGUGUUGACUUCAUGAAAUCUUUUUAAUUUCAUUUUUCAUUAUUUCAUCUUCUACAUUUAUCGAUUUCAAUUAUUUAUGGAUAUUCUAGACACAAAAUAAAAAUAUAUAAUAAAUAAUUAAUGAAAACAAAUUUAAUAUACAAAUAAAUUCAUAAUGAACAAAUUUAGAAGCUUAGGACAUAAGAUUUUCUAUAUUCCUCCUAAAUAAAAUAUCUAUUUAUUUUAUAAUCUUAUUGCAUUGUCAUAUUAUUUUAUUGUUUAUAUUUUUAAAAAAAUUGUUAAAUUUUUAUGUGAAAGCACCUUUGAGUAGUAAUCAUAUUCAUUUAACCCAAUUAAUUCAUUAAGGUCCUUGGUAAUUGGUUUUAACCAUUUUGUGGCAAGUUUACAUGUUUUUAUCAGCUUAUGAAUCAAUUCAAGCAUGCCAAAUGAUGGAGGAGCUACUUGGACAAGUUAUGGCAAAGCCUUUGGAAGCUCAAAUUCAUGAAGAACCAAGCUUUGGAGCUCCAUAGCCCUUUGCCAAAGUCGUUCAAAGUAUGCAAGGAAAGAACAAUGGAAAAGAGGAAAAGCAAGCAAAGUGAAGAGAAGUAAAGAGGACAGCAGCUGCAAUCUUCUUUCGCACUUUUGGAGUACUUCCCGAAGUCCAUUUUUUACAUAAUAUAUACCAUUUCAAAGCUCUGGAAGUCAAGAAUCCAACGCUUCAAACCGUGUACGAUUUGGAGCUGAAAUGAGGAAGAUAUGGCCUUCGAAAGCCAACUGCUCCAGGUUAUGCGAAAAUUUCGCAUAACACCUUCAAAAUUCGCAUAACCCAUGCGUGUUACGUUUUACACUGAGAAUAUAUACAGAGCUCUCUCGUUUCUCUUUUCUCUUUGCUAUUUUAUUUUCUUGGAAGCCAAACAGCCUCUGAGGGCUUUUCCUCAGAGGAUGAUUGGCUAAAACUUUUAGUUUCUCAAAGUAUGGAUGUUAUGUGAUGACUUGGAUGCAAUCACAUGGAAAUUUCUCGCACCCGGAAGGUAAGGUAGUCGUUUUUCAUUAAAGGUUAAUUAAUGCAAAGUUUGGUUUUUAUUUCCUUUGGACAACUUCCAACGGCCAAUACUUGAUAAGCUUUUGGAUUUCUAUCCAUUAGUUAUCUCCUACGAGCUAUUGGAAGGUGAGGUUUUCAAUUCCAAGUUUUGCAUUAAUCCGUUAGAACCAAUUUCAAUGGCCAUUGAAAGGUGAGUUUAUCACUUGGAAUGACUUUGAGUUGCCAAUAUUUGGUAAGCUUUUGGCUUUAGACCAUUAGUUAUCUCUUACGAGCCAUUCAAAGGAAGUCUAAGGUGAAUAACAAUUGAUGAAAUUCACUACCAUCUGUUUUGCCAUUUUAAAGGAUUAAAACUUGAUUUGCUAAAUCCAUACCGGUUCGGGAAGCAAGCAUCACCAUAGUUGCAACCCCAACUCGAGGAGCCUAUCCUAAGAUUUCCAAUUUGCAUAAGAGCCAGAGCAUAGCUCUCCUAUCUUUGAGAAACUUGUUUUUACACCCUUUCAUUUUAGUCUUUAAUGUUAGCUUAGAUUAGUUUAAAUCUUUCUAAAACAUUUACAUCUUCUUUUAAAGCUAACAUCCAUAAGAAAAUCACCUAUUUUCCUAAUUUGAAUAUCACUAGUGUUUGCGAAAACCCUUCCCAGUGAACGAUCCUAGAACCACUAUGCUAUAGUAGCUUGGCUACUUUAGUAAUAGUAUUCAAGGUAUAAAUUUUGUUGAUACGCCUUUAAAGCUAAGCUACCAUGAGUCGCAUCACAAAGCCCACAAAACUCAAUAUCAGAAGGGAACGUGUGAAGAAACCCAGCAUUUUGGACAACUCCCUCGCCAUAAUCAAAAUCUGAGUCAAUCGCCAUGAAUAAAUGGAAAAGAAUGCUUUCAAUCAACAGCAAAGGCAUACCUUCUUGUCUAUGUAGUCCGCCCAGAACCUGGCCUGAGCUCUCUGGUAUGGGUCACUAGGCAAAAGCGGAGAUUUAUCGCACCAAACCUCAUCAAUAUACUGAACUAUUAUCAGAGACUCACAAAUGGGCUUUCCAUUGUGGAUCAGAACUGGGAUUUUCUUAUGAACUGGGUUCAUCUCAAGAAGCAAAGGGCUCUUCUUCCACAGGUCCUCCUCUCUAUAUUCAUACUUGAGACCCUUCUCUGCCAGGGCAAGUCUGACCCUCAUACCAAACAUGCUAGGCCAGAAAUCCAACAAGAUAAUCUCGUCUGCCAUUGCUACUAAUGUGAUUGAUAAGAUUCAAACUCUUUAAGUAUUGAUGAACAGCACGGGAAAUUGCUGAGUAUUUAUAGCAAAUUUCAGAGAGUGGGUUAAACCCUUGGAUACUUCUAGGAGGUGGUGAUGCUCAUUCCUUAUCUCAGCUUUCAUUUUCAUUUUCCAUUCUAUCUCGGUUUCGUAUCUCUCCAGAAUUUGUGAAUUAUGGAAACGUUUGUUAUGGCAUGGUAAAAUAUAGAAGCGUCCCGAUAGUUGGUUGCUUCCACGUCAUCUCAUUGCUUUGAUCAUUCCACAUCAUCGCUUUCGCCAGCCCUGUCAAUUAAGUACACUGGUCCUCUGCAUAAUUUCCACCACAAAAAUGAUGUUGCAAGGAAAAGAAAUGAUAUUGUAGGGAAAAGAAAAUAGAACUUGUAUAUUUUUAGAUCGACAAGUCACUAUUGGUCCCUUCCUUAGUUCUUAGAUUCCUGAAAUUAAAUAAAUAUUUAAACUUUAUGUGUAUUAUAAAUAUUUAAAAUUUCAGUGGUGAUUGUAUUUUUAUCUAAGAUCUAUUUUUUUUUAAUUUGAAUAAAUUAAGUAUUGUUAAAUAUUUAAAUUUUUUAUAUUUUAAUUAUUAGUAAAUGUUAAUAAAUAUUAAAUAACUGAUCUUUUACAUUACAAAAAUAUUUAUAAAAUAUAAUAUUUUAUUUCUUGUUAAAUUAGUUUGCAAUCCAACACAUUUUUGAAUAUUUAAAUAUCAUAAUUCAUUAACAUAUUAAAAUUUUAUAAUAAAUAAUUAUGUAAUUGAUAAGAAAUUGGUAGUUUGAUAAUAAGUAUAAUUAUGGGGUAUUUGGUAAAACUCAAUAAUUAUUACUUAAUGACUUAAGUUGAUUUUAAGUAAAAUUAUAUUUAAGUUAUUGACUUAAAACUUAUUACUUAAUUUUUAAUUUAAAUAUUAAGGUUGUUUAAUAAAAUUAAUUUAAAAUUUAUUCUAAAUCAUCAAAUUGAUAUACUUACCCCCAUAAAUUAUAAUGAGGAUAAAUGAGAUCGAGUAACAAUGGAAGUUGUAUAAUAACAAAAAAAAUCGUGGAACUAAGAUAAAUGAGGGUAAAAAGAUAAAAUGAAAACAUGGAUUUAAGAAUAAAUUAAUUAUUUUUACUUAUUAGUUAAAGUUGUUUUUUACUUUAAGUCAUACCAUUAAAUUAUUUUACCAAUUAUAUUUAAUUUAUUUAAUAACUUGAAUUAAGUUAUUAAGUUGAUUUACCAAUACCCACUUAGACUUGUUAGAAACUAUUAGAACUUUUCUAAGUUAGUAUAUGUUUAGAUUUGAAGAUUUGUGAUUGAAAUAUGUAUUCUUUUUAAAAUUAAUUCAUUGAUUUUUGGAAUUUUAUCUCCAAAGGAGUAUCAACUUUUAAUUUAUAUUUUUUAAAAUUAUUAAUUCUAAUAAAUAUUUAGAUGAAUGUGAAUUAUGCUUUAGAAUUUUGAUUAAAAAAAAUCUUAUUAGAAUUGCUAACUAUUUUUAUUUUUUAUAAAGCUGAAUUUUUAUUAAAUAUUUUUCGAAUUUAAAUUUUAUGAUUUUUAGUAUAAUUUAUUUUUAUUUUUGAAUGAGUAAUCAAUAAUAAUUUGUGGAAUUCAAUUUUAUUGAGAAUGGGAUAAAUUAUGGGGUAAAAAUAAUGGAAACAUGUGGGGAUUUGAAAUUUUGUAAAUUUAUCUUUUAGCUAUCAAUUUAUGAGAAAAUUUUAAAUCUGAUUUUUCUUUAAAAAAAUGAAAAAUGAAAAUGAAAAAAAAAAACAAACAAAAAAUCAAAUAUAUUUGAUGCUUUUUGUAAAUGACAACUUUGUUAAUUUAUAAUAAAUUUAUUUCUCACUCAAAUUAUAUAAAAUUAACAUAGUUUAACUAUUUUUUAAAACAAGUUAUCUAUUCUUUUUUAAAGGAAUUUAGUUUAAAUUUUUGUGAAAAUUUGUAUUUAAGCAAGUACUCUUAAUUAAUGAUUAAAAGCUUUUUUAUUUUUUACUUUUUCCCCAUAAAUAAUUAAAUAUUAUAAUUAAUCCUAGUUUUUUCAAACUCUUAUAAAUAGGAGACUUGGGUCAAUGAAAUGGAUACCUCAAAGUUAUUUUAGAACUCUAUCUCUUCUCUAAUUCUAGUCUCUCCAAAAGAAAACUCUUAUUAUAAGUUUUUGUAUAAGAUUCAAACACUAAAAGGACAAACUUAUUCUCAUAAAAUAUCUUUUUUAUCAUCUAAAAGGUAUGUGAUAAACUUCUACUUUUAUAUUAUUUUCUAUUUAAUUUAUCCUUUCGAUGAAGAAACUAGAAAAUAUUUUUUUUUAUAGACAAAAAUUAUGAAAAAAAAAUUGCAACUAGAAGUUAUAAAAAAAAAAUGUAAAAUAUGUACAAUUGUAUAGCCAAAGGUUAUAUGAGAAAUUAUAAAGUUAUAAAAAUAUAAAGAAUGACUUACAUGUAAUUUCUAAUUUCUUUUAAUCAUAAUGAUAUAACCAAAUGUUACACAAAACAAAAUUGUAUUGUCAAAAGUUAAAUAAUGAAUAUUUCAUAGCCUAAAGAUGUAUACAAAUUUGCACAUUUUUGUUAUGAUAAAAAUAAUCCAUAGCCAAAAACUAUGUAAGCAAUCAAUUCGUACUUUUUAUUUUGUUAAUGCUACAUGAUGUUCAUGCAUUUUUUUUUUACCAUAUUUAUAAUAAUCCUUUAGCAAUAAAAUAUAACAAAAUCUUAAAUCAUUAUGCUUUUAUUAAUGAAUAUUAACCUGAUAAAAUAUUGUUAGAUAAUUUUAUUCAUUUAUUUUGGUAAAUUGAAAUAUUAUUCUAAUUAAAUUAUUUCAAAUAUAGUUUUCAAAUAAUGUCAAAUCUUACCAAGUUUGAGUUUGUUACAUUCCCUAUUUCGGGCAAAACUAUUUAUCUAGAUUCUAAAUGCUAAAAUUCACCUAAACGAUAUGAAUCUUGAAUAGACCAUUAAAGAAUAAAAUGAGGCAUCCUCACAAGAUCGCACUAGAGCAUUAAUAUUCCUUCAUUAUCACAUUGAUGAAGGAAUAAAAGGUGAAUUCCUUACAAUCAAAGAAUUUUCAUUCUUUGAAAUAAUCUAACGGAAUGAUACUUUGAUCCUUUGGAAUAAUAUAACAAAAUGAUAUGGCCACCACGAGAUUAUAAUCCUUCCAAAAGAACAUCAUGAUUGGAUGCACUUGAGAUUACAAAAUUUCAAGUUUGUCAAUGACCACAACUCGACUUUAUUCAAAAGUUGUUCACAAUUUAUAUGGAGAAAAAAUCAUUAAAGAAUAUAUCCUUGAAAAGACAUUUACUAUUUUCCAUGCCUCGAAUGUACUCCUAUGGCAACAAUAUCAAGAGCAUAAUUUCACUAAAUAGUUUGAAUUAGUUUAAUGUCUUCUUAUGGCUAAACAAAAUAAUGAACUUCUACUAAAGAAUCAUCAAUCUCAUACUAUUAGGUCUAUGUCAUUGCUUGAAGAAAAUGUCACAUCCGUCCAAGCUCCUAGACAUUGAGUUGGACUUGGACAUGAACAAGGCUAAGGACACAGUCAUGGUCGUGGUAAACAUAAUUCUUGGUACCAUGGUAAUUAUAGUCAUUAGAAUAGAAAAAACAAUUCAAACCAUUAGAAGUGGAAUAAUUCAAAGGUACAACCUAAAAAGGAUAUAUAUAUAUAUAUAUAUAUAUAUAUAUAUAUAUAAUCACAAAACAAACAUGAUAGUAAGAAUGAAUGCUAUAGAUAUGGUAUGAAAAGACACUAGUCAUGUACCUAUCAUAUUUCCAUAUGUUAAAAAAAUUGUACAUAGGUUUUAGAAAUGCCCAAUCGGGUAAGGGAAAGCCUCAAACAUUCCAACACUUCCUUAUGUUAAUAUUUAAAUCCUAAUAAGGAUGUAUAUUGUCAUGGUUCACCUUAAAAAAAUUGCAUGUAUGUUUCUUAAGGAUGUAUGUAGGAUUUAGAAAUGACCUACGACGAACAGGAAGGCCUCAAAUUCAUUAUGAGGCUUCUAUAAUUUAAUAUUUAGACCCAAAUAAGAAUGACUGGAACUAUGGUCCACCUUAAAAGAAAAGGUUUUUUUUUUUUUUUUUUUUAAGAAUUUACAUACUUUUCUUAAGAAUGUAUGUAUUUUUCUUAAGGAUGUACGUAGACUUUGAAAAUAACCAACGAGGAAUGGGCAGCCUCAAAAUUAUUACAAGGCUUCCAUAAAUUAAUAUUAAAACCUAAAUAAGGUGAAAUAAGGUCACAAUCUGCUUUUAAAAAAACGCACAUAUUUUGUUUUUUUAAGAAUGUACAUGUUUUCCAUAAAAAUAUAUGUAUUUUUUCUUAAGAAUGUUCUUAAGGUUUAGAAAAACCUAACAAGGUAAGGAAAGACCUCUAAUUCAUUCUCAGGCUUCCAUAAGUGAAUACCUAGACCUAAAUAAGGUCAAAUAGGAUUAUAGUCUUAAGAUAGAGUUCUUAAAAGCAUAACAUGGUGUAUUAAAUUUGAAAUUCAUUAUUUAUUUAAUGAUGUUCCCAUUUCACUUUUAUCUAUCUUUAUUCCAUGUAUUAUAUUUUAUGAGAAGUCUUGUCAGCAUCUUUUGCAUUGUACAUGACUUAGGUGCAUUAAGAGUUGCACAGAAGAUCUUUAAGCCAUGGGUUCCUUGCAAAUAAUUGACUUGUUCACAACCAGUUUAUGGGUCUAGGCAACCCAUUAGAAGUUGUAGUGCACCACCUCUUAAUUAGAGGGAUGGUUGGUCUCCGUUAUCGGGAUGAGUUUCCCAUGGUGAGUACACUACUGUGUAUGAUUUACACAUUAGACAAGACCUACGAUGAGUCAUGACUUAAUACUAUCAAGUAGUCAUGACCUCACCAAGCUACUUCAUUGUGUUAUCUCUCAACCUUGAGAGAAUAUCGAGAAAAUUAGCAAUGAAUUUUACCUAUGAGUGAGAUUGUAAGUUGAUCAUAUAUUCCCUAUGGAUUGGGUCACUGUUGAUGGAAGUCAGUAACAAUAGGUAUUCUUAAUAGACACCAUGAUAUCUCAUGGGAUUGAGACAACAUGUCCCCUUGGGUGAUCCUAAGGGGAUGUGUUCAUGGAAACUAUGGCCAUAAUAGUUCCUUAAGUAGAACUUGACAUAGGCUCUUUGAGAGCUAAGACAUGUCAAUUGAAUAUACAAUAGGAGGAUUCGUAACUCAAGGAUAGUAGAGGUAGUCUUGAAAGGUUGAUAGCUUUCACCUUGUUAGGCUAGAACACCAGUUCAUGGGGAGACUGAACACAAUGGAUACUAGGUCACAGACCCGAGCACGUAGUGUCUCGUUGUUAUUUACAUAAGAUAUUGGAGUUUAGUUUAUUCUUUGUAAUAAGAUGUUGAAUCAACUUCAUAAUUGGAUCCUGAGGGAGUUAGUACUCUUAUAGAUCCUAAUGGUCCCUGCUCUGAGCUUAUAUAUCUUUUUGGCAUAGUUAUGAGUGUCGAAUUGACUCUAGGUUCACUUUUGUGCAUAAGGGCAUUUUGGUAAUUAUGCAAGAUUGCAUAAGGGUAAGUGAACAAAGUCUCUAGAUUGAGCUAAUUAAUUAAUUAGUAGGCCCUAUUGGGUUAAUUAAUCAAUUAGGAUCCAUUUUGGGCUAAAUUAAGUUACCCAAACCCAUGUGGGCUCAAGUCACUUAAGCCUAGUUAGGAACCCUAUAAAUACCCCCUAGGGGUUAGAGUCUUCAUCACUUUUGUCUUCCACCAUUUAGAGAGAAAGAGGGCAAUAGCCUCCACCUUUCUUUCUUCCCUAUCGAAAGUGUGCCAAGAAUAAAGUUGAGUCAUUAGGCAAAAGACCAUGGGUUUACAAGACUUCCAACAACUUCAAUGUCAUCUUCAACACUUGGAAUUUAAGGUUUGAAAUAUCCAAACCUAAAGGUUGCACUUUAACCCUAAAGAUCAAUUUUAAAAAAUAAAUAAAUAAAUUGGUAUUGUUUCCAUUCCUUAGAUCUACUAUGCCAAUACACAAUUCGCUUGAAAAAAAUGUAAGUAUUUUCUUCAAAAUAUAUAUAUUUGUUAAGAAUGUAUGUAUUUUUGUAAAAGAUGUACCUUAGGUAGGGUUCCACCAUGUUAAAUGAGGUUUGGGAAGCUCUCAAAUACAUUUCGUAGAGUACAUAAGCCAAAUCUUAGACCCAAAUGAGUGUGAAUCUAUCAUGUUAAGUUGAAAUCAAAUGUACAUAUUUUUCUUAAGGUGUUAUAUUUUUCUAAAAAAUGAACUUGUGAGUGUUUAGCUAGGUUGGAAAUUCCAAAAAAAAUUCCAAAGGGUCCCCUAACUUGGUUUACCAAUCCCUCUUUGGACUACUUGACCUUUGAAGAUUAAGACUUUGCUAAGAGGUCGAGGUAUGUAGCUGAAUCUAUGGUGAUUGAAUGUGAAUCAACCCUAUUUUUUCAUUUUUAAAUGAGUAAAGAAAGCUAAGAGAAAUAUUGUUGGUGCAAGGCUUUUGUUCCCUUGUUUCUGGAUCGAUCCAGGUAUAGGGGCAAAUCGAUCCAACUAACCUGUUUUUCAGAUCAAUUUUCAACAUUUGGAUUAAGGUUUCACUCUCAUUUAAAAUCAAAUCUCCCCCAUUUUUGGAAGUGGUGACUGUAGUAUCCGUGAGAGAGUUUUUUCUUUCCUCACUAUUUAGAGGGUGUUUACCUAUGAAGAAAAUCCAUCCAAGUUUUCCAAGAAUUUUUUUUUAAAAUGGAUUUUCUGAAAAUGAACAUGGGUUGAUUUCUAAAACAUUCAUAUCUCGUUCUCUUGGUUUUGUGCAAAAACCCAUUUUCUUCUUGUCUAAAUUCAAGAGGAAAUCGAGCUUGGUGCCAAACUCCAAGUGUGCCCCGAAAGAAGAAGCUAAGAAGCUGAAAAUGAAUGUACUAGUCAAGUGGUUUGGGAAAGAUUGGUUGGUUUGAGCAAGGUAAAACUUUGUAUUCAGAUUUUAUUUUUCAUAGUGGAUGUUUUCAAUCAGUAAUAGGCCCAUGGUUUUUUAUCUCUUCGGAGAUUUUUCAUGUAAAUUUAUGGUGUCUCAUUGUCUCUCUUUCUCUUCUUAGCAUCAGUUUUCAGUUUCAACAAUUUAUUAUAAUUUUGAUUGUCUACUAUUUGAUUGAAUGAUGAAGAGAAAUGACUAUGAAUCAUCUUUGAAGCUGUUUCUAAUUGUUAAUCAUUGAUAUUUUGAGGUAUAUUGAUCUUGCUUUUAUCAGAAUUUAGUUUAAGUUGAUUUGGGUUUGGGAGCGUUAGAUCAUGUGCAUGUGAAUUACAUUUGAAUAUUGUUGGGGAGUGUUGUUGCAUUCAUAUAUGCAUGUGAUUUAUAAUUUGUGUUUUUGAGAUUGUGUGAAGAGAAGAAAAAUAUUAAAAAAGUUUUAAGGUUUUCUAAUUUGAGUUGAGAUUUUGUUUAAUUAGUCAAAACACCUAUUCAACCUCCCUUAGGUGUAUUCUAUUGAGAUUCACCUUUUCAAUUGGUAUGAGAGAGGGUUUUUAAAGCAAAAAUCAUUUUCAAUCCUUAAAUCUCAAUCAUGGAAUCUCAUUAAGAGGGAGCUUCCAUUAGGAGACCACCAUUCUUAACCAGUGAAAAUUAUUCUCAUUGAAAAGUGAGAAUGCAAUAUUUUCUCAAAAUGCAAAGUGACAAAAUUUGGAAUGUCGUUGAAUUUGGUUAGUCUCCACCUAAGGUGUUAGAUAGAGAAGGUAAACUAACAAAUGUUAUCAAGCCAAAAUUGGAAUGUGAUAGAAGUGAAAAUGAAGCAAGUGAGAAUAAAGCUAGAGCCAUGUACUCCAUCUUCAAUGCCAUUAGUACGAAUGAAUUUUGUAGGAUUGCCACAUGCACUUUGGUUAAAGAAGGCUUAGGAUAUCCUCCAACUGACUCAUGAAGGAACUAAUGUUGUGAAAAUGUCCAAGCUUCAAAUGUUGACAUCUAGGUUUGAGACCAUUAGGAUGAAUGAUCAUGAAACUUUUGGAGAAUUUCAUGCAAAAUUGAUGGAUAUAGUGAAUUCUAACUUCAAUCUAGGUGAAUCCAUCUCUAACUGUAAGGUGGUUAGAAAAAUUUUAAGAUCUCUUCCAGAUAGAUUUAGAGCUAAGGUUACCGCCAUUGAAGAGUCUAAGGAUGUGGAUUCCUUGAAGAUAGAUGAACUUGUAGGUUCUCUCCAAACCUUUGAGAUGAUGCUUGUAUCACCUAGAAAAGCUAAGGGAAUUGCUUUAAAAGCUAUUAAAGAAGAGUCCCUAAGUUCCGAAAGUGAGGAUGAUGAGAAAAUGUCAAAGGGUGAGCUUACUAAGUUUACUAAAAAAAUUAAGAAGUACAUGAAAUUCAAAAAAUUCAAGAAAGAAUCAAAUGAUGGUAAAAAUGGAGGAACUCUAUUAGAAAAAAAAAAAAGAAUAUGGAGAAAUGUGUGAAAAAAGAGUUGGAGAUUGAGUGCUUUAAAUGUGGAGGAAAUGGGCAUUAUGCCGCCAAAUGUCCCUCAAAGAAAAAAAAAAUGAAAGAAGGUCAUGCAAGUCACUAGAAGCAACAUAGAAUCUUGGCAAUCAAGUGAAAAAGAAUCCAAUGGAAGUGAAGAAUACACUAACUUCAUAGCCUUUGCUGCAAGUGUCAAUGAGAAACCACUUAAGAAAGAGGUCUUAAGUGAGUCGUGAGUCAAGUGACUCCAAUGAUGAUGACAUGAAUUUUGACACAGCAUAUGAGACUUUGUAUAAGGAGUGCUUGAGCCUUAAACAAGACCAAGUCAAGUGGAAGGCUUCUAAGAAUAUUCUAAUCAAUGAGAUUGAUGUCUUGAAGGGAGAAAAGAAGGCUUUGCUUGACAAAAUUGGAUUUCUUGCAAAUGAACACUUGGAAGUGAAAAAAAAAAUAUUAUGUAUUGAAAAGUGAAUCAAAUGUUCAAGGAUGAGUUUAAGUCUUAAGAAGGAAGAAUCACAUCCUAGCUCUAAGAGACUUAAUGAGUUUAUCAAUUUAGGGCGUAAAUCUUUUGAUAAACAAGGCUUAGGAUUUGUUGAUGCAAAUACUACUCCAAGUAGUGGUAAAACAAUUUUUGUUAAGCCUUGUGAAAAAUAAUAUCCUAAGAAAACUCAUUCUCAAAUCAAGUUUCAUUGCAAUCAUUGUGGCAAAAUGGGGCACACUUUUGAUAGAUGUUGUGCAAGAUUGUUUGAUAAUUUUCAAAGGAAGUUGACCAACCUAAUGAAUGAAUGUUAUUCUUUGAAGAAUAGGUUAUUGAAUGAGAACAAGAGAGUGUCCAAGAAGUGCUCAAAGAUCCCUCAUAAUGGUGAGUUGAAAGGAAGCACUUUGAAUGAAAAGACAAGUCUCAAAUGUUAAACAAAUUUGGGUGUGAAUGAAUGAGUUGAAGUGUUUUGUUGUCCAUACCGCACUUAGAGCUAGUGAGUCACACUCAUGGCAUCUUGAUAGUAGAUGUUCACAUCAUAUGACUAGAAAUAAAUCUUUGUUCACUUCAUUCAUUGAAUUUCAUGGAGGAAAUGUGACAUUUAGAGAUGGUAAUGUGGCUAGGGUGAAAGACAAAGGUACCAUUUGUGCCCCUAACAUUCCUAAUCUUGAAGAGGUCUUAUAUGAAGGUUUAAAGGCUAACUUAAUUAGCACAAGCCAAAUGUGUGGGAAUGAGUUCAAUGUAAAAUUUUCACAAACUUUUUGCAAGGUGUUUGACUUGAAUGAUGUAUGUGUGAUAAUUGGCUUGAGAACUUGUGAUAAUUGCUAUGUUGUUAGUAAAAAAUCUCCUUCAUCCUCUUCUCUCGUGUGUAGAAGUUCUAAAAUUGCAUAUGUUAAUCACUUGUUGCAACAUAGAUUGUUGCAAAAUGAAAAAGAGCAUCCCAUUGUAAAAGUUAGGAUUGGUGGGGGGGAUUUGAUGAUGCCAAUGUUAUUGAUAGGCUAAAGAACCAUGUUCUUCAUUAUAGACAAAAAUAUGUGGACAUUAAGCAUCACUGCAUUCAAGACUUGGUAGAAGACAAGGUUGUUUACAAGAGGUUUACCCUAUAGAGAGUCAAAUUGCUAACAAUGUUACUAAACCUUUGGACAUUUCUAGGUUUGAAUCACUUAGGAACCCCAUAGGUUUAUAUACUCUCUGUUUAACUACCUCUAGAACUUGUCUAGGACUCCUCUUGCAUAUCCUUGAGUCCUAGUUGUCUUCCUAAGUUCCCAAAUAUCAUCAACUUGAUGUUCUUUUUGUUUUGGUUCAAUAUUUUCUCCAUUUUUCAUAAAUUUUCAACAAUUGUUGAGUUCAUGAGAGUGAUAUGCUUAUUCAUUUUGUUUAAAAGUUAAAUUAAAUCAUAAUGAUCUUAAAAGCUUCAAGAUGUAUUUAUCUUCAUGGCUUGUUUGAUAAACAUGAUAUUGAAUCCUUGCUAUUUUGAUUUGGUUAGAUAAACUACAAAUGAUUAGCUUCAUUUCUAUUAAGUGAGUAAGAGCUCAUUGUUGGACCUUGUGUUUGCAUAAUGGUGAAUAAUGCACUUUAAAGUCUAAAUGUAAACUUAUACCCAUUUAAUGAGCUUUAAAGAGUGAGUAAAGACACCUGGAAUAUCCUUGAGAGGUUGAGAUGAUCAAUCCUUGAUUGUUUGUCCUCUCUUUGAAAUUAAAUUUGUUUAAAAAUGAAAAAGAAAAGAAAAAGAAAAUAUGAAGUUUCCCGAAAUGGAUAUGGCUAUGUGGAAAUGUUUCAAGAAUUAAAAAGCCUCAAUUGCAAGAGUGGGACAUCCCUUAUGUUGUUAUGUUGUAAAGGCAUCCUUCGAGAUCCUCAAGUCAAAAAUUGAUCUUAAGGGUAAAACAUAAAGCUUUGUAUUACUUUCAAUGCUAAAUGUGAAAAGCAAAUAGUGUAUGAAUUUUAUUAAAGGGAUGUGAUUAGGUCAUGUUAAACAGAAAUCUAGCCAAGAGAGAUGCAAAUUGACUUUGAUUACUAAUCAAAAAGUACUCUUUUAUAGCUUGAAACUAACUGUUUUAAACACUUUUUGAGUAGUAGUUAAUACCGUUUAACUCAAUUGGCACAUUAAGGAACCUAGCAAGGGUUACUAAUAAGUUUUUCGCAAGUUUUGGUGUUUUUUGUAGCUAUUUGAUCAUUGAAACAAGCCAAGAAUGAGGAAGAAUUUUGUGAAAUCCAUGGCAAUGUAAGUUAAAGCUCAAAUACAUGAGGAAUCCAAGCUUUAGAGCACUUCAUAGCCCUUUGCCAAGCCAAUCAAAGAUGUAAAGAAGAAAACCAGAGGAAGAAAUCCAACAACCAGCAUUUCCGCAUGGUUGUGCGAAAUUUCGCACACCAUGCAAAACCACUUGAGGCAGCCAAAGAAUUUCGCACAACAUGCGAAAUUUCGCAUGGUAUGCGAAAUCUUCCUGUGCACCGACUCCGUUAGAUUUUUAUCUCUAGAUAUUUUGUGUAAUUUCCUAUUUUCUCCUUGUAAUCAACUUCGAUAUUUUCAUAUAUAUUUUUUUAUAUAUUUGGUGUGUGUAACAUCUUUUGAUAUAGACACACAGGGAUGUAAUCAGAGAACACUUGUAAAUUCCCCUUUAUAAGAAAUAUACAGAGCUUUUGCUCUACCUUUUCAUCUCAUUUUGUUUUCACUCUUCUUUCUAGCCAAACAACCUCUGAGGAUGAUUUAUCAAGGGAUGAGUGGCUAGGUUUUACGUUUCUUGGAGUGAUGGAAGCUAGGUGAAGGACCCGAAUGCAAAGAUGGGAGUUGUCCUUGCUUUAAAUGAAAGUAGUUGUUAACCAUUAAUGGUUUUUAUUUUAAGAUUUAGCUUUAAAUCCCUUAAAAGCACCUUGAAUGGCCAAUACUUGGUAAGCUUUUUGGAUUCUAUGGAUGCUUAUUGCUAGAUCCAUGGAUGUCUAUUAGUUAUCAUUUAUGAGCCAUUGGAAGGUGGUUCAAAGUGAGAGUCUUUAGUGUUUCAAGCCAUUAAUGGGAAGCAACUAUUAUUUUUCAUGAACCCUUUGGAUCAAAUCUUAAUAUCUAAAUAUAAAACCGGUUCGGGAAAUAACCAUCCUUUAUAUUAUUGUCCCCAAUGUGAUGAGAAGAUCCGGAAUCUCCCCCUUUGUCUAAGGAACCCGAUCCUAGUGACCUAAAGCUCUAAGAGACCUUUUCUUUGUAGUUAACUUCACUUAUUAUUUUUGCUUAACUUAAAAUCGAUCUUUGCAAUCACAAUUCCAUUUUCUUUAAAAGCUAAUUUUCAUAACGAAAAAUAUUAUUUUAUUUCCUUCACUAAAGUCAAUUGUACAAUGAAAACCCAUCCCUGUGGACGAUCCUAGAGCCACUAUACUAUGUUAGUUAUGCUACCCCAGUGUGAGGUGAUUUAGGUUUUAUAAAUUUUGUUGAUAACACCUAUCUGAGCCAGAGUCAAAUGGCAUGACUACAAUGGGGAUGAAUCAAAUGGCACCGUUGCCAGGGAGAUGAUGCCAAAGUACAUUGACAUGACUUUUGGUGAACACUUGUGAUCUUCAUCACAAGUUUGGUGAUUUUUCUUUUACUAAUUCUUUUUCUUUAUCUCUAUUUUAGCUUAUCUUUUAUUUAGUUUUCAGCUAACCUUAACUUUUUCCUACAAUUGUAUUUCUUUUGUUUUCUGUGUUUUUGUUUCAGUAAUUUUUAGUUGUGCAUGCCUUAUUGGAUAAGAGAUAUUGAGGGAAGACUUGUGAAGAUUGAAACUCCUCAAGAAACUGAGUUGGAAGUGUGCUUGAACAUCAUGAAUGUUCCACCUAAAGACCAAAAUAGCCAACAUGGUCAAGAGGAUAAUUUCAACGCAUACCGAUCCAUGAGGGAUCACAUGCAUCCACCUCGUAUGAGUGCACCAUCAUGCAUAGUGCCUCCCAUUGAGCGACUAGUAGUCCGACCUCACAUUGUGCCACUCUUACCUCCUUUCCAUGGGAUGGAAAGUGAGAAUCCCUACUCGCAUAUUAAGGAAUUCGAGGAGGUUUGUAAUACAUUCCAAGAAGGAAGAGCUUCAAUUAACUUGAUGAGGCUCAAGCUAUUUCCUUUCACCUUGAAGGAUCAGGCCAAGAUUUGGCUUAAUUCUCUAAGGCCAAGGAGUAUCCAAACUUGGACUGAUUUGCAAGCCGAGUUUCUCAAGAAGUUCUUCCCUACUCAUAGGACUAAUGGUUUGAAAAGGAAAAUUUCAAAUUUCUCGACUAAGGAGAAUGAGAAAUUCUAUGAGUGUUGGGAGAGGUACAUAGAACCUAUUAAUGCUUGUUCUCACCAUGGCUUUGACACAUGGCUCUUAGUGAGCUAUUUUUACGAUGGUAUGUCUUCUUCAAUGAAGCAACUCCUAGAAACUAUGUGUGGAGGAGACUUCAUGAGUAAGAAUCCGGAGGAAGCCAUGGACUUUUUGAGUUAUGUGGCUGAAGUUUCAAGAUGAUGGGAUAACCAAACGCUAGAGAAGUGGGAAGAAUGAAGUCUCAACCUAAUGCUAAGGGUGGGAUGUAUGUUUUGAAUGAAGACAUUGACAUGAAGGCAAAGGUUGCAGCUAUGGCAAGGAGAUUGGAAGAGCUAGAAAUGAAGAAGAUAUAAGAAGUGCAAGCUAUUUCUGAGACACCAGUGCAAGCUAUGCCUUGUUCCAUUUUUCAAUCUUAUGAGCACUUGUUGGAGGAGUGUCCUACAAUUCCAGCAAUGAGAGAAAUGUUUGGAGAUCAAUCAAAUGUUAUUGGUCAAUUCAAGCCCAAUAACAAUACUUCAUAUGGCAACACCUACAAUUCAAAUUGGAAGAACCAUCCAAAUUUCUCUUGGAAACCAAAGCCACCGCAGUACACACAACCUGCUCAAGCACCUCGGCAAGCCUCGAAUCUUGAACAAGUUAUUGUGAACCUUUGCAAGGUUGUGGGAGACUUUGUGGAAGAUCAGAAGUCCAUCAAUGCUCAACUAAAUCAGAGAAUUGACAGUGUGGAGAGUACAUUGAACAAAAUGAUGGAUGGGAUGCAAAAUGAUCUGUCUCAGAAGAUAGACAAUGUCUAAUACGCAAUCUCAAGGCUUACCAACCUCAACACAGUGCAAGAGAAAUUAAAGUUUCCUUCUCAACCUCAUCAAAAUCCCAAGGAUAUCCAUGAUGUGGAGGCUCAAGAGGGAGAAUCUUCAAAGGUAAGGGAAGUCAAAGCAGUUAUCACCUUAAGAAGUGGUAAAGAGGUUGAUCUGCCCACAUCCAAGCCAAAGCAUGACGAAGAGAGUGUAGCAGAAAAAGAAAAGAGUGGAGAAAAUAAAGGAAAGAGAAAAGGGAAAAGUACAAAGAAAGAUGACCAUGAGUCUAGUGUGGAUGAAGAACUCGAGAAGAAAGUGAUCAAGGAAGAUAUGAUGAAGAAACACAUGCCUCCAUCUUUCUCCUAAGCUUUGCAUGGCAUAAAGGGAACCAAUAAUGCAUCAGAAAUUUUUGAAGUGGUGAGGCAAGUGAAGGUCAAUAUCCCUUUGCUAGACAUGAUCAAACAAGUGCCGACAUAUGCAAAAUUCUUGAAGGACUUGUGCACUAUAAAGAGAGGGUUAAAUGUGAACAAGAAGCCUUCUUGAUUGAGCAAGUGCCAUCAUACAGUGCAAGUCUCCAGUGAAGUACAAAGAUCCGGGCUGCCCUACCAUCUCAGUGAGUAUUGGAGGGACUUGCGUGCAGAAAGCUUUGUUGGACUUAGGAGCAAGUGUAAAUUUGCUACCCUACUCUGUCUAUAAGAAGUUGGGACUUGGAAAGUUGAAGCCAACAUCCAUCGCUCUAUCUCUAGCAAAUAGAUCAAUGAAGAUUCCAAGAGGGAUGAUCGAAGAUGUCUUGGUUCAAGUUGACAAAUUCUACUAUCCAGUGGAUUUUGUUGUUCUUGAUAUGGAUCCAAUUGUCAAAGAAACUAAUUAUGUUCCUAUCAUACUUGGAAAACCAUUCCUAGCUACAUCAAAUGCAAUCAUCAAUUGUAGGAAUGGAGUCAUGCAACUCACGUUUGGCAACAUGACAUUGGAGCUCAACAUCUUCCAUUUGUGCCAGAAACAUAUCCAUCCGAAAGAAGAAGAAGGGUUAGAGGAAGUAUGCAUGAUUGACGCUUUAGUGGAGGAGCAUUAUGAUCAGAGAAUGCAGGAGGAUUUGAUUGAGAGUUUUAGGGAUCUUGAUGAAGGGUUACCUGAACCCUUAGAUUUGCUUGCUACCCUGCUCCCUUAGAGGAGAAGAGAAGAAAUUCUACCCUUAUUCAAUGAGGAGGAAACGCAAAGAACUGCUAAGGAGGAGUUCUCAAAGCUUAUUCUUAAGCCACUACCCACAGAGUUGAAGUAUGCAUACUUGGAAGAAGACAAGCAGUGUCUUGUUGUUAUAUCUUCAGAUCUUACCAUUCAUCAAGAGGAUUGUCUACUUGAAGUCCUUAGAAGAUGUAAGAAAGCAAUAGGCUGGCAAAUUUUUUAUUUGAAAUGGAUCAUCCCUUUAGUCUGCACCCAUCAUAUUUACAUGGAGAAUGAAGCUAAGCCAAUUUGUCAACCUCAGAGAAGGUUGAACCCUCACAUGCAAGAGGUGGUGCGAGUUGAAGUCUUAAGCUACUUUAGGCCAGUAUUAUUUACCCUAUAUCAGAUAGCCCAUGGGUGAUUCCUACUCAAGUUGUGCCAAAGAAGUCUGGGAUCACGGUGGUGCAAAAUGAUAAGAGAGAAGAUGUCUCUACGCGCCUCACUAUAGGUUGAAGGGUGUGUAUCGAUUACAGGAGGUUGAAUGUAGUGACAAGAAAGGACCAUUUCCCAUUGCCCUUUAUUGAUCAGGUACUUGAAAGGGUCUCUGGGCAUCCUUUUUAUUGUUUCUUGGAUGGCUACUCCAAGUACUUUAAGAUAGAAAUUGAUGUUGAAGACCAAGAGAAGACCACUUUCACGUGCCCAUUUGGCACCUAUGCAUAUAGGAGAAUGCCUUUCGGCCUAUGCAAUGCACCUGCAACUUUCCAAUGAUGCAUGUUAAGCAUUUUCAGUGAUAUGGUGGAGCAUAUUAUGGAAGUCUUUAUGGAUGACAUCUUCAUAUAUGGAAGUGCAUUUGAUUAAUGCUUAGUCAACUUAGAAGUUGUUAUGAACCGAUGCAUUGAGAAAGACUUAGUGCUUAACUGGGAGAAGUGUCAUUUCAUAGUACAAUAAGGGAUUGUCCUUGGGCACAUCAUCUCCAAGCAAGGCAUUGAAGUUGACAAAGCAAAGGUUGAACUCAUUGUCAAGUUGCCAUCCCUAACAAAUGUCAAAGGAGUAAGGCAAUUCCUUGACCAUGUCGGGUUCUAUAGGAGGUUUAUCAAGGAUUUCUCUAAGCUUGCAAGGCCUCUUUGUGAAGUAUUGGUGAAGGAUGCUAAAUUCAUAUGGGAUGAUAGAUGCCAAAGGAGUUUUGAAGAAUUGAAGUUAUUUCUAACAACCGCACCAAUAGUGAGGGCUCCCAACUGGAAACUGCCCUUUGAGGUAAUGUGUGAUGCCAGUGACUUUGGAAUAGGAGCUGUUCUUGGGCAAAGAGAAGAUGGAAAACCCUAUGUGAUCUACUACGCGAGCAAGACAUUGAAUGAGGCGCAAAGAAACUACACAACCACCAAGAAAGAAUUGUUAGCUGUAGUUUUUGCUUUGGAUAAGUUUCGUGCUUACUUGGUGGGGUCCUUCAUUGUGGUUUUCACUGAUCACUCUGCUUUGAAGUAUUUGUUGACUAAGCAAGAUGCUAAAGCAAGGCCAAUUAGAUGGAUCCUCUUGCUUCAAGAGUUCAAUCUCCAUAUCAAAGACAAGAAAUGAGUGGAGAAUGUGGUAGUAGACCACCUUUCAAGGCUAGCUAUCGCACAUAAUUCCCAUGGUUUGCCCAUCAAUGAUGAUUUUCCAAAGGAGUCUCUCAUGUUGGUGGAAGUUGCUCCUUGGUAUGCUCACAUUGCUAACUACCUAGUCAUAGGAAAAGUUCCAAGUGAGUGGAAAACACAAGAUAAGAAGCACUUCUUUGCAAAAAUUCAUGCCUACUAUUGAAAAUAGUCAUUUCUAUUCAAGUAUUGUUUCGAUCAAAUAAUAAGAAAGUGUGUUCUUGAAAAAGAGCAACAAGGGAUCCUCAGUCAUUGCCAUGAAAAUGCAUGUGGAGGCCACUUUGCUUCUCAGAAGACAACCAUGAGAGUAUUGCAAUCGGGUUUCUGUUGGCCAUCACUUUUCAAAGAUGCCCACACCAUGUGCAAGAGUUGUAAUCGAUGUCAGAGGCUUGGGAAGUUGACACGCAAGAACAUGAUGCCUUUGAACCCCUUUUUGAUAGUUGAUCUUUUUUAUGUUUGGGGCAUUGACUUCAUGAAACCUUUCCCUAUGCCUUUUGGCUACUCUUACAUCUUGGUGGGAGUAGAUUAUGUUUCUAAGUGGGUUGAGGCAGUCCCAUGCAAACACAAUGACCAUAGAGUGGUUCUCAAGUUUCUCAAGGAGAACAUCUCCUCAAGAUUUGGGGUGCCCAAAGCCAUAAUUAGUGAUGGGAGUACUCAUUUUUGCAACAAGUCUUGUGAAACUCUCCUAGCCAAGUAUGGGGUGAAGCAUAAGGUAGCUACACCUUACCACCCUCAAACUAGUGGGCAAGUUGAGUUAGCAAACAGGGAGAUUAAAAACAUAUUGAUAAAGGUGGUGAACACAAAUAUAAAAGAUUGGUUAGUCAAGCUCCUCGAUUCACUAUAGGUAUAUAGAACAACUUACAAGACCAUUCUCGGGAUGUCUCCUUAUCGCCUAGUCUAUGGUAAAACAUGUCAUCUCCCUGUGGAAUUGGAAUACAAGGCUUGGUGGGCAAUCAAGAAGCUCAACAUGGAUUUAAGCAGUGUUGGGUUGAAAAGGUUCUUAGACCUUAAUGAGAUGGAGGAAUUGAGAAAUGAUGCCUACAUCAAUUCAACAAUUGUAAAAGAGAAAUUAAAGAGGUGGCAUGAUCAGUUGAUUUCCCGCAAGGAUUUUAAAAAGGGAAAAAGAGUCUUGCUCUAUGACUCUAAGCUCCCCAUCUUUCCAAGCAAGCUAAAAUCAAAGUGGAUAGGUCCUUUUACCAUUCACCAAGUUCAUUCAAAUGGAGUAGUGGAACUACUCAACUCCAAUGGCACCAGGAGCUUUAAAGUGAAUGGCCAUCAUCUCAACCCCUUUGUGGAGCCUUUUUCUCGCGACAAGGAGGAAUUCAUCCUCCUUGAUGCACAUCAAGCUUGACAAGACCAGUUUUCUUAACGGACUUAGUCUUUCUAAAGACUAUUGAGUCCAUAUCUUUUUAUUUUAUUUUUUAUUUAAGAGUUUUCCUAUAUUAUUACUUGUUUUGAUUUUGAUUUCUCGUUUUAAUUUUAUUUUAGUUUGAUUUAACUUAGGUUUUUGAUGAUCAAUUGCAAAAGGGGCCUCAAAGCAGUUGGGUGUGUCCUUAAAGACUUCAAACAGAGGAAAAACCAAGAUAAUUCAAGCACCCUGCGAAAUUUUUGCAGGGCAUGCGAAAUUAAUGAAUCAUUUUGCAUGGGGUGAGAAAAUUUCGCACACCCUGCGAAUCAAUUUCACACACUAUACGAAAAUGAAAAGACCUUGCUAAAUCAUUUCAAACACUUUGCGAAAUUUUCGCAGAGCAUGCGAAAAAUUUUGCACACCCAACACCGUUUCGAAUGCUGUGCGAAACCCUAAGGGGUCUACAAAACCAUUUCGCACCUCCAAAGCCAUUUCGCACGCUGUGCAAAAAUCAAGAGGCGUUGUGCGAAAACGAAAAGUAGCCUUACUAUCCCUUUUUAAACCCCGAGCUCUAACUUCUCCAUUUCGCAAACACCAAACACCCUGCAAAUCCCUCAUUUUCCUCUACCACCUUGUGACCUCGUCCCUCUCCAUUCAACACCCCGUCCCGCACAUCUCAUUUUGAAGACUCGCACUCUGCGGCCCCUUCGAGCACGGCUCACUUUCCAUUUUCUACAUGGCGCUAACUCGAGGAGCCCUUCCCGCCCCUUCACCGAGACACACUCCGAGGCAGAGAGCCUCCUCUACUUAAGUGCCUAGUGAUUCUCCAUCUUAGGCCGCAGAGGCCUCGUGGAUUCCACCUCCUGAGAAUGGAGUAGCCAUUGGUCCUUCCUCUCCUGCUCCUCAGCGCAAAUAUGAGACAAAGAGACCACCUAUUACACCAAGGGCAACUACUUCGCUCCUUGAGAGUUCAGUAUGAUGUCCUCCUGCCAAGAGAGCCAAGACUUCAGGCCCAAGCGAGUCAUCCAGAGUUUCAUAGCCUAAGGCUCUUGCAGAUUCUGAGGUUCCUUCUGACUUAUCACCGGAGUCUAUUAUCUGACGCCCGAUGCUCACAGCACCACCCAUUAAGGGCAACUCAGAUUGCAGAGCAAGACCUUUCCUCUUGAAGCUAUAUUUUGAUCAAGAGGCCAUGCAACAGCAGCUUGAGCUCCGAGACUCUUACGGCCUACUGUAGAGGUACCACCUUGAGCACCUUAUAACUCUUUGUGAGUUCUUUUAUCCUAGAGUAGCACUAGACUUCUACCAGUCCAUGACUACUCUUGGCGUCCCGAGUCUUACUGUGAUUUACUUCACCAUUGAUGGACAUCAUGGUAUCCUCAAGGCUAGACAUAUUGUAGAGGCUUUACAAAUUCCUUUCAAGCCAGUGGAUCCAUCUGCUUUCCGCCAGUGGUCCUAGUAUCUCAGAGGGACAUGGUCCGCAUUUUAUCCAGGAAGACCUCUACAGAUUCGAUCCUUCUACGGAAGGAGCUUCCACCUAGGAUGCUCCUUGUAGAUAUGGUGCUACGCUCCAACCUCUUUCCCUUACAGCAUUUAGUACAGAGGCGAUGAGCUAUUUUGGACGCUUUAUUCUGUAUAUCGGAGGGCUUCUACUUUGGCCUGUUCCACUUGAUCAUGGCCUCCCUCAUCCACUUUGAGGAGAAGGUCCAUAGGAAGAAGCUUCAAAGGGCGGACACCAUUCCAUUACUAUUCCCGAGGUUGUUGUGCCAAAUCUUGGAGUAUAUGAGCUUUUCUAUUGAGCCUCGGCUCGAGCGUCACCGCCUUUGUCGAGAGUGAUUCACUCUGGACAAAUGGAAUCAAUUGACGGGCUAUUAUGCACCUCUAGGAGCCUUUCCUAUGGUAGCACCUCCAGUGCUCCUAGAACCAGAGCAAGGCGAGCUCCCGACAAAGACUGCACCACCAGUGCCCACACCUGAGGCUACUUCUACUGCUCCGCCUACGACUCUUACUGUUACACCAGUCGCGCCUACUACAUCCGAGCCUUCCAUCACCAUAUCGGCUUUAGAGUUUCGCUCCCGUGUGCAUACUUUUUAGACACUUACCACCACACAUGCUACUCUCUUUCAGCAAAUGGCUGAGAUGCGUGCCCAUCAGGACCAGCAGACUGCUAUACUUCGCCAGAUUCAGCAGCACUUGGGACAUCUACCUCUGCCUCAACCUGACCUUUCUGCAUCAUUAGAGCCUUUAGCUCCAGCUAAGGAUACUAUUCCACCUGAGGACACUACCACAGUAGAGGUCCGGAUUUCGCCACCUCAGAAGGCCACCACAGCUACACCAGAGGAUUCUUCAUUUCUACCUGAGGCUCCCACUACUUGAUCAUAAGAAAUCUCUUUAUCUUAUUGUAUUUACAUAUUAUAUUACUAAAGAUUUGUCCUUGUUUUGAUGCUUUAUAUUCAGGGUUGGAUGUAUUACCUGAUCAUAUCUCAUAUUGUACUUUCUCAUAUUAAUAUAUAGACAUCACAUUUUUUUAUUAUAUUUAAAAUUUUUCUAUUUAUUCUACUUGUCACUCUUUUGUUUUUUGACUCAUGUGGUUUCUCCUAUACGAAUCAGACUCCAUUUCAUUCAGGAGGUACCACUUCCUCCUUUUAUUUUCAAUUGCUCUUGAAACAUUGAGGGCAAUGUUGAUCUCAGUUGGGGGGAGAGUUAAGGAAGGAAUUUUUGUUAAUAAUGCUAGAUUAAUUUGUUAAUUUAGUUACUUUUUGCUUAAUUUUAAAAGUUUUUUACCCUACUCUUCAUGGUUAUUAAGGAAAAGUUCUCAAAAUGAAAUGGGAGAAAUCGAAUUCUUGCAUUUUUACUUGAAUCUUAGAGUUUGUAUUAUGCUUAUUAAAGUUGAUGAAUUAUUGAAACUCCUAUGGAAUUCAACCUUAUUUCUUCCACUUUAAUCUUAUCACACUAUGCACAUUAAGUUCCGAUUAUAAGACGAAAAACUAUCUCACCCCCUAAACUUAGGAAAAUUUCAACUUGGUACAUUUGACUUCAUUUUAAUAGUGUUGGGACACCUUAUAAAAGGCCAAUGAGCCUUCGAAAAAAAAAAAAAGAACAAAGUGUUUCGCUUGCCUUGAAACCCGAGCAAAGUCCGAGGGGUAUACGACGAAAGUCUUUAAAACCCGGUGCCCUAAGCCUUUAUUGGUUGGGAGUCACUGGCCUCAAUGCUCGUUACAAGAGUGAAUAGGUAGAGUUUAACAUAUUGUAGGUGCUUGGGUAUUGAAUUUCAAUCUCAAAAAUCCGGGGAAAAAUAUGAGGAGUUAGAGGUUGAAAAAUCCUUAAAGCUUGAUGCCCUAAACCUUGAUUGGUUGGGAGUCAUCAAUGGAUCCCCAUUACAUGGACACUUUAGAAAACAAUACCUUUAGCAUUGCACUCCUACAAUGAAAAAAAUUGUGAAAUAAAAGAGGUGUGUUCUUAGCCUAUUGGAGGUUGGUCAAGUUGCUAAGGUUUGAGAAAAAACUAGGUUGGGGGAGAGAAUAGUUUGACAUACUAUAAUCAGAAGCUAAUAAGCUUAACACUUAGAUUUUUGUGAAAAAAUAAGGUUUGAAUCUUUGGGAGUGGAAAUUCUUUUGUUGCUUAAAUUUGCAUAAUGCCUACUCUUUAUAAAUUGUAAUUUGGCAGGAGAUUUGAUAACUCUUGUUGAAGGUUGGGUUUUGCAUCUUUGAUGUUCCAUGAGAGAGUAUAAUCUGCAUCAUGCCACUUGAAAAUUUUUUGGAGUGAUUAGCAUGAUUUUGUAAAUUAUUUUACUAUUUAUUUUUCUUUAUCUCUCCUUCAUUGCUAAGGAACUAGCAAUAUGUUGGUUGGGGGGAGUGAUUACUGCUCAAAAAGUACUCUUUUAUAGUUUGAAACUAACUGUUUUAAACACUUUUGAGUAGUAGUUAAUACAUUUUAAUUCAAUUGGCACAUUAAGGAACCUAGCAAGGGUUACUAAUCAAUUUUUCGCAAGUUUUGGUGUUUUUGGUAGCUAUUUGAUCAUUGAAACAAGCCAAGAAUGAGGGAGGAUUUUGUGAAAUCCAUGGCAAUGUAAGUUAAAGCUUAAAUACAUGAAUAAUCCAAGCUUUUGAGCACUUCAUAGCCCUUUGCCAAGCCAAUCAAAGAUGCAAGGAAGAAAACCAGAGGAAGAAAUCCAACAUCCAGCAUUUCCGCAUGGCUGUGCGAAAUUUCGCACACCAUGCAAAACCACUUGAGGCAGCUAAAGAAUUUCGCACAACAUGCGAAAUUUCGCAGGGUAUGAGAAAUCUUCCUGUGCACUGACUCCGUUAGAUUUUUAUCUCUAGAUAUUUUGUGUAAUUUCCUAUUUUCUCCUUGUAAUCAACUUAGAUAUUUUCAUAUAUAUUUUUGUAUAUAUUUGGUGUGUGUAACAUCUUUUGAUAUAGACACACAGGGAUGUAAUCAGAGAACACUUGUAAAUUCCCUGUAGUAAAAAAUAUACAGAGUUUUUGCUCUGCCUUUUCUUCUCAUUUUGUUUUCACUCUUCUUUCUAGUCAAACAACCUCUAAGGAUGAUUUAUCAAGGGAUGGGUGGCUAGGUUUUACGUUUCUUGGAGUGAUGGAAGCUAGGUGAAGGACCCGAAUGCAAAUAUGGGAGUUGUCCUUGCUUUAAAUGAAAGUAGUUGUUAACCAUUAAUGGUUUUUAUUUUAAGAUUUAGCUUUAAAUCCUUAAAAGCACCUUGAAUGGCCAAUACUUGGUAAGCUUUUCAGAUUCUAUGGAUGCUUAUUGCUAGAUCCAUGGAUGUCUAUUAGUUAUCAUUUAUGAGCCAGUGGAAGGUGGUUCAAGGUGAGAGUCUUUAGUAUUUCAAGCCAUUAAUGGGAAGCAACUAUUAUUUUUCAUGAACCCUUUGGAUCAAAUCUUAAUUGCUAAAUAUAAAACCGGUUCAGGAGAUAACCAUCCUUUAUGUUAUUGUCCCCAAAGCGAGGAGAAGAUCCGGAAUCUCCCCCUUUGUCUAAGGAACCUGAUCCUAGUGACCUAAAGCUCUAAGAGACCUUUUCUUUGUAGUUAACUUCACUUAUUAUUUAUGCUUAACUUAAAAUCAAUCUUUGCAACCACAAUUCCAUUUUCUUUAAAAGCUAAUUUUCAUAAGGAGAAACACCAUUUUAUUUCAUUCACUAAAGUCAACUAUACGAUGAAAACCCAUCCCUGUGGACGAUCCUAGAGCCACUAUACUAUGUUAGCUAUGCUACCCUAGUGUGAGGUGAUUUAGGUUUUAUAAAUUUUGUUGAUAACACCCGUCUGAGACAGAAUCAAAUGGCAUGACUGCAAUGGGGAUGAAUCAGACUUAUUGGAACAUUAUCUUGAAUUUCUUUAGGAAGGAAGAGUAUCUUGAAAAUGAUUUUUGGCUCAUAAAUGAAUAUAGGUUUCUAAGUGGAAAUUAUUUAACAUUCUCACCGUUUUAUGGUGUCAUGAGUGAGUUUUUUUUAGCUUAAGCUUCCUUGUUAGAGUGUUGAUAAUCAUUUGUUUUUUACCUAUUCAUUUGAUAAAUUUGGAAAGUACUUCAAUCUCUAUGUUUAUUAAUUUUGUCUAUUGUUAAGUUCUUGGAAGCAUUUUUGUUCAAUGUGAAUCAAUUCUAACUCAUUAAUUGAAAGAUAAGUAUGUCAUCCUAUUGUAUCUCAUCUUUGGUCGAUCAAUUUUCAGUUUUUGGAAAGCUUAUUGGUGUAUUUCUUGUGAUUUUUCGAUAGUUUUUGCCUAAGUCAUUUUUCAAUUGGGUGUCGAUCGAUCUACUGAAUUUGUGGAUCGAUCCAUUGUGUGCACAAUGUAGUGACCGAGAGCCCUUGAAUGAAUCUUGGAUCGAUCCACCAAGAUCGAUACCACCUAGUCCUUGUCUCUCACACACUUAGCCAUUUUUUUCAAAUUUGGUCUAUUCAAACCUAUGUGACUAUGUAUCAUCGAGAGCACAAUUGAAAGCUGGAUCGAUCCACCCAGAUCGAUACCACUUAUGCAUUUGUGAAAAAUUCCAUUUUUGCCCCCAACUAGUUAUACUCAUAUGGUUUAAUGGAUAAGGGGUAUUUUCAUAAUUAAAAGUAAAAAAUUGAAAAUUUGAAAAAGUCAAAAUCCCUAAAUCAGUUUUUCCCAAUUCAUUUCUUUCAAAAACCCUAGGUUUUUUGUUCCAAAGAAGAGAACUUCUCUACUCUAAGCUUCUCUUUAGCCAUCAUUGUCAGUCCAUCAUUCCUACCACUACCAUCAAAAGUCUCUACCACUGGAAACCUUUAUCGUUAGACUUCCCUAUCUGGUGAGCGUUUCAAGUCUGGCCAAUCCCACUAGACAGCCUCGUCAAAUAGCCUAGAAUUGUUGUGUUGCUCAGCUCAUGUCGUCGGCCUGUGUGUCUUUUCUUAAUGCGUCGAUGUUUUAGAAAAUUGUCUUCUACAUAGUAUGUGUUGGCUAGGACCUCCUGUGUGCAUCACUAGAUUGUAUCUUGUGCAAUUAGGAUUUUGUUCCAACAGUUGGAAAUUCCAAUCUGCCCUUAGGACUGUGUUUUUCACCGCACAAUCAACACAACGCAAUCUACACUUCUGGAAAUUGUGUUCUACAUAGCCCAUUUCUCUUGUUUUUUGCUCUACUAUUUUCCAAUGUUCGUGUCUUUAAUGCAACUUAUUUGCAAGAGUUCUCAUUUUUGGCAACCAUUAUUGUUUGAUUUAUCCAUUCUUCUCUCUUCUAUUAGUCUCAUUUGGAUUUUUUAUUUUUUAUUUUUUUAUUUUUUUUAUAGAGUCCUCUCACAAUAGUUUUAAUAGUUUGAGAUUUCAUUUUUGCCUUGGAGUGUUCCUAGUUUCUAGGAAUGCUAAUCCUAGGCUUUGGUUAUUCAUUUUGAGUGGUCUUCAUACAUUUUCAUGCUUGAAAUCUAUUUUCAUGGUGAUAAAGCAUUUUUUGAAAGUUUUUAAUUGAAACCAUGUGAUAGGAUUUAGGAGGAGAUUCUUAUAUCCUGUGAUGGGAGUCAAGGGGAGAUUCUUGUAUCCUAUAUUUUUUUUUUCUAGAAUGUUGAUAUGGAUACUUGGUGAUAUGUGAAUAUUUGAUUUUUGGGUAUUUGACAUUUUUGUUGAAAAGUAGAUGUUUGUUGAUUUGGAUGUGAGAUAUUCUGCUAUUGAAUUCUCAUCCAUUUAUCUUUUUUAUUGGAUAGAAAAUGGGAGAUUAUGACUUUUUGUCUCCUAUUGGGACAAAAAGGAGAAAACAUUUUACAUGGAUGUUGAUAUGACAUGUAGUUGAUCAUGACGGUUUCUUUGUGUUUUGUUGCUUUGGAUAUUUGAUAUGUUGAUCAUGAUCACCUUUUUUGUAUAUCGAUGGAUAUUUGACACGUUUUUGAACUCAUGAAUGCAUAUUAACUAUCUUUAGACAAGUUAUUUUUGUGGAUAUAUGUGGAUAUUUGUGUGUCAAUUCAUUUGAAACUUAUGGAAUUGUCUUGGUAAUAUGUGCAAGUGCUACUAAUGUUUUUUCUUGAGAUUUAUUUACAGGAUUGGUAGUACCUUUGGUUAGGUUUUGAGUGAGUGAGUGAGUGGCCUUGUAUGAGAGUUGGGUGGGACUUACUUGUAUUCAUUCGUGUUGUAAAGGGUUUUGUCCCAGAAUUUCCAAAUGGGGAGAUUGUGAGUGUUUAGCUACGUUGGUAAUUCCAAACAAAAUUCCUAAGUGUCCCUUAACUCGGUUUACAAAUCCCUCUUCAAACUACUUGACCUUUGAAGAUUAAAACUUUGCUAAGAGACCGAGGUAUGUAGCCGAGUGUGUGGUGAUUGAAUGUGAAUCAACCCUAUUUUUUCAUCUUUAAAUGAGUUAAGAAAAUAGGGAGAAAUAUUGUUAGUGCAAGGCUUUUGUUCCCCUUAUUAUGGAUUGAUCUAGGUGCAGGGGCAAAUUGAUCCAACUAACCCACUUUUAAGAUCAAUUUUCAACCCUUAGAUUAAGGGUUUCUUUCUCAUUUAAAAUCAAAUCUCUCCCAUCUCUAGAAGUGGUGACUACAACAACUGUGAGAGAGUUUUUUCUUUCUUCACCAUUUUAAGGGUGUUUACCUACGAAGAAAAUCUAUUCAAGUUUUCUAAGAAAAAAUUUUUAAAAUGGAUUUUCUGAAAAAGAGCAUAGGUUGAUUUUUGAAACAUUCAUAUCUAAUUCUCUUGGUUUUGCGCAAAAACCCAUUUUUUUUCUUAUGUGAAUUCAAGAAGAGGCCGAGAUCGACCUUGGUGUAAACUCCAAGCGUGCUCUAAAAUAAGAAUGUGAGAAAGUGAAAGUGAAGGUACUAGUCAAGUGGUCUGGGAAGGAUUGGUUGGUUUGAGCUAGGUAAAACCUUGUAUUUAGUUUUUAUUCUUCAUAGUGGAUGUUUUCAAUUGGUAGUAGGGCCAUGGUUUUUGAUCUCUUCGAAAAAAUUUCAUGUAAAUUUAUGGUGUCUCAUUGUCUCAUUUUCUCUUCUUAGCAUCAUUUUUUAGUUUCAACAAUUUAUUAUAAUUUUGAUUGUAUAGUAUUUGAUUGAAUGAUAAGGAGAAAUGGCUAUGAAUCAUCUUUGAAGUUGUUUCUAAUUGUUAAUCACUGAUAUUUUGAGGUAUAUUGAUCUUGUUUUUAUCAUAAUUUAGUUUAAGUUGAUUUGGGUUUGGGAGUAUUAGAUCAUGUGCAUGUGAAUUUCAUUUGAGUAUUGUUGGGGAGUGUUGUUGCAUUCAUAUAUUCAUGUGAUUUAUAAUUUGUUUUUGAGACUGUGUGAAGAGAAGAAAAUAUUCAAGAAGUUUUAAGGUUUACUAAUUUGAGUUGAGAUUUUGUUUAAUUGGUCAAAACACCUAUUCAACCCCCCCUUUAGGUGUAUAUUCCACUAUUGAGAUUCACUUUUUCAGAACCUAUACUUCUACCGAGCUACAUGAAGUUUUGUAAGGCAUAAAAUACAUUUUGAGGCAUAUAUAAGUCAAAUCUUAUAUCCAAAUUAGGUUGAAUUGGGUCAUGGUUAACCUCAAAUCAAAUAUAUGCAUUUUUCUUACAAAUGUUUAUAUAUAUAUAUGCAUUUAAGAAUAUAGUUAUUAUUGUAAAGGAUGUACUUUUUCUUAAGAAUAUACUUAUUUUUGUAACAGAUGUACCUAGGGUUCUACCAUGCCAAAUUGGGUUUGGGAAUGCAUCAUGAGGUAUAUAGAAGUUAAAAUUUAGACUCAAAAUGAAUAAGGGAAUGAUUCAACUCAAAUCAGAUGUAAAUACUUUUCUAAACUUUUAUGCAUUUUUUUAAAGCAUGUACGCAAAGUUAUAUCAUGUUGAAUAGGGUAUAAGAAGACCUCAAAUGCAUUCCGAGACCUACAUAAGUGAAAUCCCACACCCGAAUUAGGUUGAAUGAGGAUAAGAAUCCCCAAUGAAAUGAAAUGUACAUGUUUUUAUACUAGAUGUACCUAUUUUUCUAAAUGAUGUACUUAUUUUUUUUAAAAGAUAUAUGUAUUUUAAGAAAUAUAAAAAUUAAUUAAAGAAAUGUUAAUACAAUUUUUAUGAAAAUAAUUUUUUUUCUAUUUUAUGUUUAUAAAAAAGUUAAAGAUUUUAACCUAGUAAAAAGUUAGAACCAUGAUCAAUUUUAAAUCAUAUGAAAAAUUAAAACAAAUGUUAAUAUGAAAGUUCAAAUUUUUACAUGCCCUUAUCAAUGUCUCAUCAAAUUUUUUUAGUACAAAAUGGAAUAGUAAGUGAAUACUCUUUUAUUUCUUUAAUACAAAAAAUACAAACCAAGCAUCUCUCAAAAUCUUGUUCCUUGCUCUUGAAUAUAAAGUAAGAUAAGCUCGUGAACUUAUUCACAGUAAAAGUUUUGCUAACCUACAGUCACGCAACACAUGAAGGCAUUAUUCGACUUUAUUUAGGCAUCGAACACAAUUCGGUGAAGCUACUAUAUGCCUUUUGAAGUGAUUUUCAUUUGUCAGCAACUUGUUGUGCAAAGCCAGCCACAAAAAGGAUCUAAUCCUUUGGGGACCCCUUCAUUUCCACAAGGCCAUCCAAUUCUUAUUCAGCUUUGUCCAGCAACUCUCUUCAAUCAGUUCGUAAGCCGACUUGGUAGUUGACAACGUUGACAUAAAGGCCAAAAAUAGUGGAGGAUUGUACAAGAGCACAUAGCACUAACCCAAAUUCUCAAAAUUUGCUAUUGAAAAGUUUUUAGCCUAUUUGGCCAUUUCAUUAAAAAAUAAUUUUUGUUUUUAAAAAUUAAAAAAAAACUAUUUUUAAAAAUUCAUAAAAUUGUUUGUUAGUUGUUUUCUAUUUGUAAUUUUUAAAAAUAAAGUGAAAUAAAAAACAUAUUUUAUAAAACAAAUAAAAAUUGUUUUCACCAAUUUUAAAAACAAAAGAAAAAUAUAGAGGAAUUAAAAAACUAUAAAAAGAAAAUUGAAGAUGAUAUCAUUCUUCUUUACCUCUUUCUACGAUCUAAUAUCGAUACUGAAAAUCUUCAAAUAUAAUAUUCUUUUAAAUUACAUGUGUUUUUAUCAAUUUCAUUUAAUUUAAGAAAAUUUUCAUUGAUAAAAUAAAUUCUAAAUCAAAUUAUACUUUAUACAUAAAAUUUACUAAUUUUUAAAAAUAACUUAAAAGUUAAAAACUGAUUUAGUUAGUACUAUAAAGUCAUGAAACUCACUAACAUUAGAAUGACAUACACCAAAAUUCAUUUGAAUGUCUUGGCUAGUUUUUUCUUUGCAUAUAAUCAUAUUUUUACAAUUUUUUUCACUUAGUAAAUAAUCACCAAAUCAAGUAUGACUUAAUGCGUUGAAUUUAUUAACAAGUCUAAGUAAUUCUAAAAAAUAAAUUGAAAUGCAAAUAGUGAUCCAAUUAAUACCAUAAAUUUAUGGACAAAAAUUGAACUUGAAUGACUUUAUUGUUUCCAAUUUUGUUUCAUUGGACAAAUAAACUUAAAAUUAAACCAAACUUAAUGUGUUGAAUUCAUUAAUAAAUUUAGUAAUUUCUAAAAAUAACUUAAAACUCAAAUAAUGAUGUAAUUAAUAUUAAAAAAUUUAUGGAUGAAAAUUGGUCUAAAACAACUUUAUUAUUUUUCUUCUACAUGGAAUCAUAUAUUCCCAAUUUUAUUUUACUAUAUAAAUAAACUCAAAAUUAAACAAGACUUAACAGUCUAGUAAUUUUUAAAUUAGAAUAAUAUUUGAAAUAAUUUAAUUAGAAUAAUAUUUUAAUUUAUUAAAAUAAAUCAUAAAUAAAUGAAUAAAAUUAUCUAACAAUAUUUUAUCAAGUUAAUAUUUGUUAAUAAUAAGGAUUUAAGAUUUUGUUAGAUUUUAUCGCUAUAGGAUUAUUAUAAAUAUGGUUUUAAAAAAAUGCAUGAACAUCAUGUAAUAUUAACAAAAUAAAAAUUACGAAUUGAUCGCUUUCAUAGUUUUUGACUAUGGAUUAUUUUUAUCAUAACAAAAAUGCGUAAAAUUGUAUACACCUUUUAGGCUAUGAAAUAUUCAUUAUUUAACUUAUGAGUGUACAAUUUUGUUUUGUCCAAUAGUAGUGCAAUUAAUAUUAAAAAUUUAUGGAUAAAAAUUGGGUUUUAAUGAGUCUACUUUUUUUCUAUACAUACUUAUUUAUUUAUAAAUUUUUUUAUUAAAGAAUGAACUUCAAAUCAAGUAAUUGAAUUUACUAAUAGGUUAAUUUUUUAGUUUUUUUAAAGUUACAACCUAGUAAAUAGAUCUAAUCACUAUAAGAAAUAAUAUAUGAAAACUAAUUGUAGACCCCAAAAUUUGUCAUAAUUUUAUUUUUACAUUGAUAUUGAGUUCAAUUUUAUCCUUAGAUUUAAAUUUCGAUUACAUCUUAAUUGUUUAACCCACUUACACUAUUUUUUUAUUUUUUUUAUUUUUUCUCUCCUCUCUCCUCUCUCUUCUCUCUUCCUCUUUCUCCUCAUUCUACCUAUUCCACCUACUUCCCUUACCCAUUUCCUUCUCGUCUAAGCCACUCCCCAUACCCCCUCCAAGUUUUUUUUUUUAAAUUUUUUAUCAUCUUUCUCUACUCUCCUCUCUUCACUUUUUUUUUCUCUCCAUCAUUUCUUCUUCGGGUUCCCUUCCAACACCACAACCACUCCACAACCCACAUACCAGACACGGUCGACUCCCCCAUCUCCUCUUUUUUUUUUUUUUCCUUUCCCCCAACUCUCACACACGACGGUCCCCAUUUUCUCUUCCAUUUUUUUUCUCUUUCCCACAGUCCUUCCCUCUACACUGCCAUUUUCCAAAGACUCCCAUUAUCACACGCUCCCCAUCUUCCUUCAUUUUCUUUUUUUUCUUUUUUUUUUCUCUUCCUUUUUCUUUUCUUUUCCCCUCCCCACACUCCAUAGCCACUACCGGCCCUCCACUGCCCGCCACUACCAGCAGCCACUGCCAACAACCACCACCCGCUACUAUCUGCCAGUCAUUGCCGGCUAGCAAUCCUACCAUCCAUAGUUCUAAAAAAAAUGGGUAAAUUUCCUUUUUACUUUAUUUUAUUUUCAUUUUUUUUAUCUUUAUAUUUUUAUUUUCAUUUGCAUAGUAAUUUAUUUAGACUUGGAUCUAUUGCUUAUUGGUUAUUUAUUUGGACUUAUUGGAUUGGGUUUGAGACAUUAUUUUCUUUGGUCAUGUAUAUUAUUAAUGUGGGUUUGUUAAUUGAUAUGAAUUUUUGACCCAUAAUGUGAGUAUGAAUUUUGGGCCCACAAUGUUGGUGGAAUUUGAUUGAUGACUUGAAUAUUUGAUAUGAGUUUGACCAAUUUGAACUAUUUAAUUUGGAUAUGGGACAAUUAUGAUGUAUAUUAAAUUAGGCUUGGAUUAUGAGAUAUUAAAUUUAGGCCUAAUUGAAUUUAUUUUAUUUUGUGAUAUUUUGGGCUUGGCUAAUUGUGUUGUAUUUUGGUUAUUAAUUUGAAAAUUUUGGAUUAAGAUUUAUAGCAUGUGAGAUGUUUUUGUUAGGUUAUAUUUGUUAAUUUAUGCCCAUUUUGAUUGACAAAAUUUAUCAGACUAAUUUGAAAUUUGAAUUUGAGUUUGAAUAUUUGUUUGGGAUUUUGUACAUCUUUGGAUAUUUACAUUUGAGCUAUUUUGUUUUUGCAUGGGUUUAUUUUGCAAAUUCUGUUGGCUGAAUACAAAUUUAUGACACGUGGAGCACGAAAUUUUAUGGAAGAAAGUGAGAAUCAAAAGGUUGUAGGAACACAUUAAACUUGUUAUAAGCUUAUUUUGGUACACAUUUUAUUUCCCACUUUUAUUUGAUUUUAUUUCUAUUAGUUCUUGUAAAUAUUCAUUUGUAUAUAUUUAUUGAGUGUGUACAGAAUUGAAUAUUUAACAAAUCAAAAUUUUCAUUUAAAUAAGAGGAAUAAUUCAGUAAAUAUGUUCUAAUAAAAUAAUAAUUUUAAAAUAUUCUUCUUCAUAAAAGAAAGUUUUUUUAUUAAUAAAAAUUCAUAAAAAUGCUUUUAAAAAAAUUCAAAAAAAAUUGUUUUUAAUAGAAUUUGAUAAAUUAUUUUUAAUAAUAAUUGUCCAAAAAUGUCUUUGUUUAAUAAAAAUUGUCCAAAAAUUGUUUUGUAAAUAAAGUUGUCCCAAAAAUUCUUUUGCAAAUAAAGUUAUAUUCUUUUUAAUAAUUUGUACAAGUCACUUUUCUUAAAUGAAAACAAAUUGAAAUACUUUUGUAAAUAAAAUUGUAAUUUUUUUGUAAAAGCGAGUAAAAAUCAUUUUUGUUACCAAAUUGAAAUUUUGUAAUAAAUUAUUUUGAUAUAAUAAGUGAAAAUAACUUUUUUGGAAAAUUAACUACAAAUUAAAUUGAAUUAAAUCAUUAAUUAAAAAUAAAUUGAAACUUCUUUUCUGUAAAUAAAAAAAAUUAAAAUCAUUAAUUUAAAAUCAUUUUUAAUAAAAUCCUUUGAAAUUUCUUGAAAAUUAUUUUUUUAAUAUUUUUUUAUUUAGUUCAAUAAAUCAUUUUGCAUAAUUCUCUUGUUAUUUAUUUUGUAUAUUCUUGUAAUUAGAUUUCAUCAUUAUUUUUAUGUAUAUUGAUUUUCAUCAUGACUUGCACAUACUCAUUUGCAUAAUUAUUUUUCUUGGUAUCCAUAAUUAAUUAAUUAAUCAUCGCAAUUUCCUUAAUUCAUUUAGUAGAGGUCGUAUGUAUACGAGCUUAGAGGGGUGUUACAACUCAUUACCAUACCUUCCCAAUAUGUAACGGAGGACUCAAACUCGAUUUUUCACAAACUUGUUUUUACUUCAAGAGUCACACUUAAGGUUUUUCUUUUUUAUUUUGUUUUUCCCUUAAAAAAUAAAACAAAAAUCAGUUGACUUCAAGUCUUUUUUUUAAAAUCAUAUUUUUCACCAAAUAAAUAAAAAAUGAGUCUCGCUGUCGAGUGGAGACGCACAUAAAAAACGUAGGUCCACACCAAUAUAUUAUACUAUUUUUUAAUUUAUUUAUAAUUUAAAACUAAUUUCAUUUUUUAUAAGACCUUAAUUAAAUUUCUAUUAAUUAAAUUUAGAAUAUUUUUACAAAAUCAACAUAGAAAAAUUAUUUAAAAAAAAAACCAACUUUAAAAUAACUUGCCAAACAUCCUUAUUUUAUAAAAUUUUUAAAACAUAUUUUUAUUUGUUUAACAUAAAAGCAACUUUCAAAAACAAACAUUAUGGAACGUGAUUGAACUUUUCUCUUAUUUCUUUUUCAUUUUCUUGUUACUUAAAAUGACCGACAAAGGAAGAUGAAUUAAAUUAUUGAAGAACAUCUUUUGCCAAACAUAUUAGUUAAAAAAAGUGAUUUAAAAAGCGGGCCCUAACCUAUUCUGGAGCCCAUGAUAUCUUUGUACGUUACCAUAAAAGGCCACACGCCACACGCCUCAGCAAACCCACCAACCCUCAGAAAGGGGUUUCAACUGCAAAUAGUAACCAUACAAUUUCAAAGCAAAAAGCCAAACACUCACAUAAAUCUAAUAUUACCACAGCAACACUACUAAAUAGUUAAUAGCCCGUGAUGUUUCCUUUUUAUUCUAUGCCAAGCUUCUUUCUCAUCCCCAUAACAAAGCCAUGGACCUUGUGUGGGUCUUCCAGAGAAGACGACACGCUCUCCUUUUCCAUGCACCUCUUGGUCCAAGCUAUCAACUUGGGACACUCCGCCUCUAUGCUGAAGUUUCCAAAGCUCUCAUAUGCAUGAAACCAGCAAGAGAAGGUCACCAGAGCCACAUCCACAAACCCAAUUUUUUCACCGCCGAAGUAAGGCUUCUCUCCAAGCUCUCCUUCCAGAAGCUUGAGGCACUCUAUGAAUUCCUUCUUGGCUGUUUCCUGCUCUUCUCCUUUGGUUGACCAUAUCUUCCUUCCAAGUUCAUAGAGCUGUGGAAAACAAUAAAGUCAAAGAGAGAAAAGGGUUAUUUUUUUGGAGCAUUUCAUCAAGUUUCAACUUUCUGUAUAGUUGGACAAGUUUAUUAAGGACCCUUCAGCAUAGAAAUCUCAUAUACUAGGAACAAUUUAAAUGAAGGGCCGGUGGAAGAAAAAUAUCAGAAUCAGUUGAAAGAAUGUAUCAUUUGCUAAAGCUUUUCCCCUCAGUGUGGGUUUUAGAAAAUGAGAAGAAAGAGAUCAAAGCAACAAAACAUGUAUUAAAAGAACUGCUCUGCAAAAUGUUGAACAUCAGGAUAACAAAAAAAAACCAAACACUGCUUUAAAAACUGGUUUUUGGAUCCCCUUUCUUGAGGGAAAAGGCAUUCUUGAGAUCUGCUUUUUUGGGUGGAAAGAACGGACUGAAAACCCACAUCAGAAAUGCAAAGUGGAGUCUUGUUGGACACACAGCAAGGAGAAUCAGUAAAGUUCUAGUUUGAGACCCCAAGGCCCGCAAAACUCAAUGUCAGAAGAGAAUGUGUGAAGAAGAACCCAGCAUUUUGGACAAAUCCCUCAUCAUUAUCAAAAUCUGAGCCAAGCGCCAUGAAUCAAUGGCAAAAAAAUGCUUUAAAUCAACAGCAAAGACAUACCUUCUUGUCUACGUAGUCCACCCAGAACCUGGCCUGAGCUCUCUGGUAUGGGUCACUAGGCAAAAGCGGAGAUUUA
rnacentral:lncRNA from 1 species